GUACAGCAGCUCCAUGACGGGCAGGUAGGCAGCAAAGAGCCCCGCCGCGCCCAGGGUCACCGCGAAGCCUAUGAAGUACCUAGCCCGGCUCCCCCCGUCAGGAUGCUCGCCCGAGUCCGAGUCGGACGAUCGCAGCGCCAGCAGCACGGAGCUGAGGGUGAGGAGCACAACGGCAUUGAGGUUGGAGAAGGUCAAGGGGUGGCGCACGAUGAUGGCGGCGAGCACGAGGGUGAACGCGAGCUGCGUGGACAGCAGCAGCGACGAGGUGGACACGGGCAGGUACGACGAGCUGUACGAGAAGAGCAGGUUGUUCACCCCCAUGAGCACCCCGAUGACCACGCACGCCAUGAGCAGCCGCCUUGUGAACCACGCGAACGGCUGGGGCUCCCCGGCGGACCGGCCGGCGUAGACGGGCACAAGCAGCACCGGGAACCCGACCGACUGCACCAGCGUUGCCACCCACCGAUCGCGACCGCCGUGCGCGAAGUAGUAGCGGGACAGCAGGCUGGACGCCACGGAGCCGCCGAGCAGGGCCACGUAGUUGGCGCACAACAGCAGACGACUCCGCCUUGCCGCGCGCUCGCCAUUGCUGGCAACGUCGGAGGCCAGCAUGUCAAGGAUCGUGGGCGGGGAGGAGGACGUGGUGAUGGACAUUGGCGAGCGAGUGAGAUGGACUUGACUUGGGGCUGCGUUGGGUUGGGUUGAGGAGGGAAAGGGGUGGUGGUGGGGGACCAUUUAAGCGAGAUUACGCUCUCCUUUUCCUUUUCUAAGAGUGGGGAGGAGAUUUACAAACCUUUUCGUGAGGAGGGAAGCCGAAUAAAUAGACACCGGCAGACCGGAUGUUUGUUAAUUUGUUUGGAUUGGAUUUGUUAUUCUCAACACAAAUUCGAAUAUAUGUCCUUGCCCUUGUUAAUGCACACUAGAUCAAUGACAGAUCAUUUUGUUCAACUUGAAGGUAGAGCUUUUCUACCUUAUAUAUUCCACAUUUAUACUCCCUCCAUUCCUAAAUACAAGACUUUUCAGAGGUUUUACUAAAAAACUACAUACGAAUGUAUAUAGACAUAAUUUAGAGUAUAAAUUCACUCAUUUUGUUUUGUAUGUCGCCUUUUAGUAAAAUCUCUAAAAAGACUUAUAUUUAAGAACAGAGGUAGUAGUUAACAUACGACUAAUUUUCAGAUCAAUCGAUUUUGAUGUGUGGUGGAGAGUCUCCUUCCCGACGAGGGCCUUGCCAUGACUACACCGGAUAGGGGCACUGCGGCCGCGUCAUCGUCGAGGGUUGACAGGUUCGGUGGAGGGGGAAUGGGCAAAUCGUUGAAGAUGGUUCUAAACUUAGGCCAAAACAAACUGACGCGGAUAAUUUUUUUAUUAAGUGACUGCUUAGAUCAUAAGUUUCAACUUUUGUAUCUCACUAUGAUUCGUAUAAAGCUGGAGCUCGAGAUGGGGACGUGACGGCCAAUAAAGGCUCGUCGGGACCUCGCCGGAGGCAUGACAAAACUAGAGGCUAGAGACUAGAGAGGUGAGGGGACGAAACGUUUGGGCCGUUUGCCGUGCAAAAUGCUGACUGACAAGCUGGCCCAGCCCUGCACCCCUGUACUAACUUGUUCUUUCUUUCGUAUACCAGCAAAACCAGAUGGCAUCUCGUUUUGAGGUGAUCCAUUGCUACCGUGUUCCCGCAUCAGCGGAACGGGAGGCGAAAGAAACAACUGCGGCGAGCUGAGCGGAGGGCGAAACGGAAACGGUCGCGCGCCCUCUAAGGAAGUAAGGAUCACCUCGGAGCUGAAACUUUCGCCUGAGUUGGCUUGUUGGCGCUGAGCCUGAGACACGGUCAUCUCGUUUCAUGUCAGCCGGUUAUUACUACAAGCUUCAGUCGUGGGAAGCCAGCAGGAUCUCGUAUAGCGGAGGGGUAUUUCUCGUGGCUGCUCAUUCGGUUCGUUCGGAUGCGUGGUGUCGUGGCCGCGGAAGAAGGGGACCUGUAGCCCACAGCUCUACGGAAGGAAAACAUGCAUACAGACUAUGAUUAGCCCGAAGGGUGCUCGUUCUCCCUUGCGCGGGUGUGUUUGCUUUGAGGAUAUACUUGCACGAGACGGAUUGAUUCCGUCCGCAAUCCACCAUUUCAGUGUUUAGUUGAUGAUGAAACCGAAACCGGGUGAUUCUCAGAAAAGGAAUAUUCCCUAUAUAUUCUUCAUCAAGCGAUUCCAUCAAAUCGAAGGAAUCACGUGGUUAUUCUUCUCUUAUUGAUAGAAGAAAAAAAAAACAUCCUUGAUAACUGUUAAAACUAAAAAUACAAUGGAAAUGUUGCUGGAUUUUAUAUAAUAUUUUGAUAAAAGAAAAAAAAAGACCCCACAAGGUGAGUUGAGUCAUAUUCUUCUCAUUUCAUAUCACCAACCAAACACAAGAAUGGAACGAACCCAUGAUAUUUUUUAUCUUCAACCGAACAUAAGAAUGAAACCAAUACAUUCCUUCAAAACGAGACCAUGACAUGCCAUGUUUUUUGGUUGUCAAACCAAACAUUCAGACUUGAGAGUGGAUAUGCACGAACUUAAUAUACACACUCUACACCAGUACACCUACAGCACCUCCGUAGCAGCUAGCUAGUCCCAUGCCUCUGACUGCAUGACAUGGCAUGUCGCGCUUACACGCCAACAUGUCUACUAAUUGCAAUCGCAGCUUACUACUCAGACGACAGCCAGCCAGGCCAGCCAGCAAUCGCACCUUACUACUCAGACGACAAUCGCAAGUACUUCAAAUCAAUCAAUGUUCUUUUUUUGCGGGAAAAUCAAUCAAUGUUCUGACGGUGCUACUAACCCUAGACGACAGCCAGCCAGGCCAGCAGCGUACGAUUUCACUGUUUCAACCCUUUUACAAGUUUAGUCCGGUCUAACAAUGGUUGUGAUUUUUUUUGGAUCUGACAUUUUGUCUACCGUCAAGCAUACACACCGUACCACCACGUACUGUGACGGUAAGGUUCGGGCCAACACAGACGGCGUCGUCUAACUCUGUUGAUGUAGAUAAGUGAUGGUAGAAUGUGUAUGUCUACCGCCACAGCGGAUGACGACACGGUGUUUUCACAUUUAAUUUCAAAAUUAACUAACAAUACCAAAAGAGAUUUUACGGUACAUUAUAAUACACCAGAGCACGUGUAUUAUAUGGGCCAUCUAACGAAUGAGACUAACUGGGCCUUUUCGAGCCCAAGGGUAUUUUUGACCUAAUUCUUUUUAUACCUUUAUUUGGCCCAAUUAGGUUCAGGGGUAUUCCCGUCCUAAAUUUUUUGAUUAAAUUAAAUGCAUUAACAAAUCACUUCAUUAUAACACCAAUCAUCGUGUGUACUCUUUUGAAUUUCUGUUCGAGCGGUUCGUCCUCUCUCCUCCUCUCGAGCCCUAACCUCGGGCGCCCUCGAUCGCGGUCGAUCGCCUCCGGCGCCCUCGAUCGUCGCCGAUCGCACUUGAUCGCACUCGACGUGUCACUCCUUCCUCCUGCUCCUACUCCCCUCCCCCCUCCAUCGCAAGUCACACCCCCUCCCCCCGGGUCACGGCGCCAGAUCUUCCGACGAGCCGCUAAUCCCCACCUUCCCCGACCCGAGAGGUCACAUCAUCCUCAUCGACGUGCAUCAACUUUUUCACGCCGGAUCUUCGCUGUAAGUGCCUAGCCAUCUCAAAUCUUUUCUGUUCCCUUCUGCAUAUAGUACCAAUAUGGGUCGGAUUUGACUAGGGUUUAGGAUAUGACAUGUGAGGUUGAGGGUUUAUGGUUUCAGAAAGUUGUGACGAGAUUUCAAUUGAAAGGAAGUGUAAGUCGGAUUUAGCUAGGACAUAUUGAUGGAGUUAGUUAGGGUUUAUGGUUUCAGAAAGUUGUGACGAGAUUUUGAUUGAAAGGAAGUGCAAGUCGGGUUUAGCUAGGACAUAUUGAUGGAGUUAGGGUUUAUGGUUUCAGAAAGUCGUGACGAGAUUUCGAUUGAAAGGAAGUGUAAGUCCGAUUUAGCUAGGACAUAUUGAAGGACUUAGUUAGUGUUAUGUGGCAUGAGAAAGUUGUCAGCAGAUUUGGAUUCAAAGAAAGUUAUUUUGGAUUUAGUUAGGAGAUACUUUUGAAUUGAGUUUCGAGAUAUUUUGGAUUUGGUUAGGAGAUAAUUACUUUUGUAUGGAGUUUGGAGUUAUUUUGGAUUUAGUUAGGAGAUAAUUUGGAUUUAGUUAGGUCAUAAUUUUGGAUUUAGUUAGGAGACAAUUUUGAAUGGAGUUUGGAGAUAAUUGAUCUAUCAGGAUGGAUCUAUCACGGGACUUGAAGGAUUCAUGGACUUUGGAUUUAGUUAGGAGAUCAUCAGUUAGAGCAAGUACAAUCAAUUAAAUAUUUCCGGAUUUAAUGAGGGCAUAUUUUAUACUUACUUACAGAUUUUGAAGGACUGAGUUAGGUACAUGAAUUUGAUAUGAAAACUUAAAUCAGUUAUUUAAGAAGAGUAGUGCAGAAUUAUUACGUAUGUUAUCCAUCUGUUACAUUUACUAUCUGUUUUCGUUGGCAGCAUAAGGACAUGGAUGAUAAAGGCAACGAUCGCGAAAACUUGGGUGGUAUAGGCAAGGAUGACAAGGACAUGGGUGAUAGAGGAAACGAAAGCAAAGGCAUGGAUGAUAAGGAUAAUGAUUUCGUAGCCAUGGACCCUAAAGGAAUGGAUGGUAUGUGCACGGAUGAUAAUGAUGAGGAUGCAGACAAGGAUGGCAUAGACAUGGAUGAUGUACACAUGCAAGGUAAAGGAACUGAUAAUAAAGGCAUGGCUCGUUCAGACCUGAAUGAGUAUAUGGAAUACUUAGAGAUUUUGAAGAAGACUUUCAGGACUGAGGAAGAAGCCUACAUGUUCUACGUAGGCUAUGCGAGAAAAAAAGGGUUUGGUGUUAGAAAGGAUGAUCUGAAGUACGUGGGUCUGGGUCCGAAAAAAUGCAUACAGAAGGACAUACAAGUGCUGCAAGGAAGGAUGGCGGGCCUUAAGCACUUUAACAGAGCUGGAAGAAAAAGAACACCAAGGGGUCUUCCUCGGUGUGGGUGUCCCGCUCUUUUUCACGUUGAGCUACAAGAUAGCAGUGGCCUCUGGUUCGUCAAGAAUUUUGUGGACAAGCAUAACCAUUUGUUUGUCCCUGGUGACACGAGUCCCUACUUAUCACCUCAUUGUAGAAUGACAGACGCACAAAAGGCUGAUGUCAUGGAGUAUGCUGUCGGUGGACUUCGAACACAUCAUAUUAUGAAUGUAAUGGAGAAGAAUGUCGGAGGUCCCGACAAGCUUGGAUUUAUAGAUCGAGGCCUAUACAACCAUGUUUCAAUCCAGAAGAAGCGCAAGAUAGAAGGCAGUGACGCUAGAUAUUUCCUCACCUAUAUGAUUGCACACAAAAAAGCAGAUCCGGAAUUCUUUUUUAAAUACACAAAAGACAGCGAAGUCCAUUUGAGGAACAUAUUCUGGGCUGAUUCACAAGCCCGGAUUGACUAUGUUGCCUUUAGUGGUGUCAUGGUGUUAGAUAGUACAUAUCGGUCUAACAAGUACAAGCUUCCAUUUGUUCCAUUUGUUGGUCUGAACCAUCACUGCAACACAGUUUUGUUUGGGGUCGGUCUAGUGUCAGACGAGACAGUUGCAUCAUACCAGUGGCUUAUUCAUGUAUUUUUGGAGGCAAUGUCCCAGAAGCCACCCAUUUCAGCAAUCACCGAUGGGGAUGGUGCAAUGGCUAAAGCAAUAGCUACUAUUUGGACCGGAACAGAUCAUCGUUUGUGCAAGUGGCAUAUCGAGGAGAAUAUGGUGAUGCACCUCCGCAAGAAAAAACUUGAGGGAUUUAGGGAAUUCAUUUACCGUCAUUGGGAUGUUGAUGAGUUUGGUAAAAGACGGGAGGCUUAUAAGGUUCAGUUCAAACAAAACCAACGGGGCAAGAGGUCGUCAUGGGUUAACAGUAUGUACGAGCUGCGACACAAAUGGGCUGUUGCGUACACAAAGGGUAGAUAUUUCCUAGGCAUGGUGAGUAAUUAGAGGAGUGAGUCUCUCAACUCAAGGCUUCAUGUGCACCUGAACAAGAAGAUGCAACUUGUUGAUUUGUUGCAGCAUGUUCAGCACUGUGGAUCCGUAAUGCGUAAGAAUGAAGCAGCAUUAGACGCAGUAGCGACACAUACGAUACCCUUCACUAAGCUGAAUGCACACCCUCUGGAGAUUGAUGCCUCUUAUAUUUAUACAACGGUGAUGUUUCCACGCGUAAAGCGUCAGAUUGUCGAAGGAACAAAUUGGCAGGUUGCAGACCCGGUAGCAUGUGAUGCUUUGGUCGUGUUUGGAGUUUUGCGCAAAGUCCCAUAUGAUAAAGUCCCAUAUAUUAGGGAUGCUGGAGAAUUGCAAGCUAAGGAUGGUAAGGACUCGGAUUCUAAGGUUCCUACAGACUUGGAAGGUAAGGUGGUGAGGACUUGCAUGCAAAAAACUUGGAUGCUGAGGAUCCCAAUGACUUGGAAGGCAAGGAUGGUGUGGACUUGGAUGCGAAAAAACCUGGAUGCUAAGUAUCCCAAUGACUUGGAGGGUAAGGACAGUGAGGAGUUGGAUGUAAAAAAAGUUGGAUGCACAAGGCGUGGAUGCUAACUCUGUGGAUGUUUGAUAUCACGUGUCUUGUUUGUUUACAUGAGGAAGACUGGAUGUUGCAGCAUGUAAAUGUAAAAAGUUGGAAAGUGAGGAUUACCCAUGCACACAUAUAUUCUGCGUUCUGGAUCAUCUUGGUGUACGCACAUUUCCAAAAAAAUAGUGAAGAAAAGAUGGACAAUGCAUGCCAAGCUAGCGUUCCCUUCUUCGAGGACUGCGAAUAAGUAUCAUCAACUACGCAACAUGGCUAGUGACGCUUUAUUCACAGACGAAGCUAGCGAUUCACAGUCAGAACAGGUGAUGGAGCUCCUUCGGAGUAUAUUAGUUGAUGGAGAAAAAACCGAUUUGGAUGAAGGCAAGAAAUCGUUUGUUCCUUUGUCGGCAUACUUCUCUGCUGCUCGCGAAUGCUGCACUGAUGAGGUGGAAAAUCCAAUCAAAAUAGUUCCAAAAGGGAGACCAACUACAGAAGAAUCGAACAAGAGCAUUAAAUUCAGGCGCGAGACUAUGAGAGGGGAAAAAGUAAUGAAGUUAGUGCACAUGUUUAUCUCAUUGUUCAUUUCGAGUCUUCACAUGUUUUUUGUUCAAUUUACGCAAAAAAAAAUCAGAGAAUUCAAAGGUCACAAGGAGGAAGAAGCGAAAAGAGAAGACUCGAAGACAGAAGAAGAGGAAGAUACAAAAAAAGCAACAAAGUUAGUGGACAUGUUUAUCUCAUUGUUCAUUUCCAUACAUGCUUACAGUGUUAACAUGUUCUCCCGGAGAUUGUUCACAUGUUUUUCUUCAAUUUACCCAGGAAAAAAUAGGGAAAUCAAAGGUCACAAGGAGGAAGAAGCAAAAAGAGAAAGACCUAGAGACAGAAGAAGAGAUAGAGGCAAAAACAAAUUGUGCAUACUUAAACAUGUUUCCGAAUGGUGGCUGCAUAGUCAUCUAUUUCAUUUUUUGCAGGAAACGUAAGUGCGCUCCAAGUGUCAAAGCUGGGAGGAAAAAAUAUCCAAGAUGACAAAGAAGUGUCUGCUAGGAAUGUUGCAGCAAAGGGUGCGCGAAGAAACCCAGUGAAGUUAGUGUGUGUACUUACAUGUCCGCUCUACAAGUCAGGUCUUUGCUAGUACUGUGUUGACGUUUCUUAACUUUUCUAGGAAAGACUCUAGGAAGGGUGGUAAAGAACAGGACAAAUGGGUGAUGAAGUCAAAAAGGCAUGCUAGGAAUGUACCAAAAGCUGUGGGAAUAAGAGCUGUGAAGUUAACUUCUGCAGCUAUGAAGAGUGUUUUUUGUGUUCACGUGUAAUGCACAUGCUCAAAUCUUGUUUGCUACCCUAUUAACAAACGUUGUUUCAUGCAACAAAGCUAAAGUGAAGUCGAGACAAUAUGUUUAGAUGCACACGGUCAGGCAGAGAAACACAAGGAUUUCUCGGUUCGAAAAAUUGAGAACAAACUGAAUUAGAUAGUUUUCCAUGUCGUGAUCCACCUUGUUUCAGAUGUAUUUGACAUAUUUGAUGGACUGCCACUAUUUUUCUAAAUUUCUCGUUUGAUUGGUACCCUAAUUUUAUUAUGGAUAGGUCGAGAUGGUUGGCUACUUAUGAUUUAUCAACAUCGAUCAAACAAUGCAUUUUUAGUGAAGUUGGUUUAUGUAUUUUUUUCAUUUUUUACAUAAAAUAUUGCUGAAAUUUGUUAAAAGUGUAGUCAAAUUUCAUAUUUGAAAUAUAAAAUAGAAACCAAAAAAUCAUAUAUGUACAAAAAUAGAACGUUGGAUUUCCUGAGAAACCUAUUAUUAUGAGCACAAAAUUACAAAUUUGUAUCAAAAUAGAGACCUCGUUUUCAAAUAGCCUUGAAAAAUGUUUAUUUUGAAAUAGAAAAUAAGCAUAUUGAUAUUUUAAAAAUAGCAUGAAUAUGCGGAUUUAGAAAUAGCAUGCUGCUUUGGAUGUGUUGUUUUUAAAAUACCAUGCUAUUUUAAAAAUAGCAUGCUAAUUUUCAAAAUAUAAUGCUGCUUUCAAUAUGCUAUUUUAAAAUUACCAUGCUAUUUUUAAAAUAGCAUGUUGUUUUAAAUAUGCUAUUUUUAGAAUAAGCAUGCUGAUUUUAAAAAUAGCAUGCUCUUUUAAAAAUAUAAUGCUCUUUUCAUUAUGCUAUUUUUAAAAUAUAUGCUGAUUUCAAAAAUAGCAUGCUGAUUUUAAAAAUAGCAUGCUGAUUUUGAAUAUGUUGUUUUUAAAAAUAGCAUAUUGAUUUCAAAAUAGCAUGCUGAUUUCAAAAUAACUUCCUGGUUUUAAAAAUAUAACGGUGUUUUCAAUAUGUUGUUUCAAAAUUAACAUGCUGAUUUAAAAAAUUGCAUGCUUUUUUAAAUAUGUUGUUUUCAAUGUAGCAUGGUGAUUUUGGAAAUAGCAUUUUUUAUUACGCUGUUUUAAAAAUAGCAUGUUUUUUAGUAUACUGUUUUAGAAAAAUUAAAAUAACAUGUUGGUUUGCUCUAUUUUUUGAAAUAGCAUGCCAUUUCGAAAAUAACACAAACAUCAAUUUUUAAAUAUGAAAGCUUCGACCAGCAAGUUUUUGUUUUUGCAUUGCAUUUUUUGUGUAAUACAUGCAAAUUUCAUUUUCAAAAUGACUAGUACUAGCCAACACAAAAUCCUCGUUCUAAAUAUGAAAGUAGCAUCUAAUCCAUAUGAAACCUCGUUAGAUUUGAUUUUAAAAAUAUUAGCAUCACUUUAAAACUAUGGCAAAAAAAGGAAAUAUCAUUGCAGUCCAUAAAGCUAAUGAUAUCAAGCAGGGUACCGCGAUGCGUUAUAUAUAUAGACUUGCAUACCAAGUACAUUAAGCCACAUAAGUUCAUACUGUCACCAACCAGUUAUUGCGAAGUUCCACUUAUUGGUUGAUCUUCAUAUCUAGCCGGACCCAAACGUUAUACAACCAAAGUACACUAGUAGAAAAAGGGCCUUUUGUCCCGGUUCGUAAGGGCUUUCUGUCCCGGUUUCGGAACCGUGACUAAAAGGUCGUUACUAAUGCCCUUGGCCUUUAGUCCCGGUUCUUACACGAACCGAGACAAAUGGGCCUCCACGUGGCCGGUGCGGCGAGCCCGGGCAGGCGGGCCUUUAGUCCCGGUUGGUGNNNNNNNNNNNNNNNNNNNNNNNNNNNNNNNNNNNNNNNNNNNNNNNNNNNNNNNNNNNNNNNNNNNNNNNNNNNNNNNNNNNNNNNNNNNNNNNNNNNNNNNNNNNNNNNNNNNNNNNNNNNNNNNNNNNNNNNNNNNNNNNNNNNNNNNNNNNNNNNNNNNNNNNNNNNNNNNNNNNNNNNNNNNNNNNNNNNNNNNNNNNNNNNNNNNNNNNNNNNNNNNNNNNNNNNNNNNNNNNNNNNNNNNNNNNNNNNNNNNNNNNNNNNNNNNNNNNNNNNNNNNNNNNNNNNNNNNNNNNNNNNNNNNNNNNNNNNNNNNNNNNNNNNNNNNNNNNNNNNNNNNNNNNNNNNNNNNNNNNNNNNNNNNNNNNNNNNNNNNNNNNNNNNNNNNNNNNNNNNNNNNNNNNNNNNNNNNNNNNNNNNNNNNNNNNNNNNNNNNNNNNNNNNNNNNNNNNNNNNNNNNNNNNNNNNNNNNNNNNNNNNNNNNNNNNNNNNNNNNNNNNNNNNNNNNNNNNNNNNNNNNNNNNNNNNNNNNNNNNNNNNNNNNNNNNNNNNNNNNNNNNNNNNNNNNNNNNNNNNNNNNNNNNNNNNNNNNNNNNNNNNNNNNNNNNNNNNNNNNNNNNNNNNNNNNNNNNNNNNNNNNNNNNNNNNNNNNNNNNNNNNNNNNNNNNNNNNNNNNNNNNNNNNNNNNNNNNNNNNNNNNNNNNNNNNNNNNNNNNNNNNNNNNNNNNNNNNNNNNNNNNNNNNNNNNNNNNNNNNNNNNNNNNNNNNNNNNNNNNNNNNNNNNNNNNNNNNNNUAACACCUUCGGAGAUACCUGUAGAGCAUAUUUAUAGUCACCCAGUUACGUUGCGACGUUUGAUACACACAAAGCAUUCCUCCAGUGUCAGUGAGUUAUAUGAUCUCAUGGUCAUAGGAAUAAAUACUUGACACGCAGAAAACAGUAACAACAAAAUGACACGAUCNNNNNNNNNNNNNNNNNNNNNNNNNNNNNNNNNNNNNNNNNNNNNNNNNNNNNNNNNNNNNNNNNNNNNNNNNNNNNNNNNNNNNNNNNNNNNNNNNNNNNNNNNNNNNNNNNNNNNNNNNNNNNNNNNNNNNNNNNNNNNNNNNNNNNNNNNNNNNNNNNNNNNNNNNNNNNNNNNNNNNNNNNNNNNNNNNNNNNNNNNNNNNNNNNNNNNNNNNNNNNNNNNNNNNNNNNNNNNNNNNNNNNNNNNNNNNNNNNNNNNNNNNNNNNNNNNNNNNNNNNNNNNNNNNNNNNNNNNNNNNNNNNNNNNNNNNNNNNNNNNNNNNNNNNNNNNNNNNNNNNNNNNNNNNNNNNNNNNNNNNNNNNNNNNNNNNNNNNNNNNNNNNNNNNNNNNNNNNNNNNNNNNNNNNNNNNNNNNNNNNNNNNNNNNNNNNGCCUCUAGGGCAUAAUUCGAACAGUCUCCCACUUGCACUAGAGUCAAUAAUCCAGCCCUCACAUCACCAUGUGAAUUACAUUGUAAUAAAUCUAACACCCAUACAGUUCUGGUGUCGAUCAUGUUUUGGCCGUGGAAGAGGUUUAGUCAGCGGGUCUGCUACAUUCAGAUCCGUGUGCACUUUGCAUAUAUUUACGUCCUCUUCCUCGACGUAGUCGCGGAUGAGGUUGAAGCGUCGUUUGAUGUGUCUGGUCUUCUUGUGAAACCGUGGUUCCUUUGCUAAGGCAAUGGCACCAGUGUUGUCACAGAACAAGGUUAUUGGAUUCAGUGCGCUUGGCACCACUCCAAGAUCCGUCAUGAACUGCUUCAUCCAGACACCCUCCUUAGCCGCCUCCGAGGCAGCCAUGUACUCCGCUUCACAUGUAGAAUCUGCUACGACGCUUUGCUUGGAACUGCACCAGCUUACUGCACCCCCAUUAAGAAUAAAUACGUAUCCGGUUUGCGACUUAGAGUCGUCCGGAUCUGUGUCAAAGCUUGCAUCGACGUAACCUUUUACGGCGAGCUCUUCGUCACCUCCAUACACGAGAAACAUCUCCUUAGUCCUUUUCAGGUACUUCAGGAUAUUCUUGACCGUUGUCCAGUGAUCCACUCCUGGAUUACUCUGGAACCUACCUGCCAUACUUAUGGCCAGGCUAACAUCCGGUCUAGUGCACAACAUCGCAUACAUGAUAGAGCCUAUGGCUGAAGCAUAGGGGACGGAGCGCAUAUGCUCUCUAUCUUCAUCAGUUGCUGGGCACUGAGUCUUACUCAAUCUCGUACCUUGUAAAACUGGCAAGAACCCUUUCUUGGACUGUUCCAUUUUGAACCUCUUCAAAACUUUAUCAAGGUAUGUGCUUUGUGAAAGUCCUAUCAGGCGUUUUGAUCUAUCCGUAUAGAUCUUAAUGCCUAGAAUGUAAGCAGCUUCUCCUAGGUCCUUCAUAGAGAAACUUUUAUUCAAGCAACCUUUUAUGUUCUCCAAAAGCUCUAGGUUGUUUCCAAUCAGUAAUAUGUCAUCCACAUAUAAUAUUAGAAACGCCACAGAGCUCCCACUCACUUUCUUGUAAAUACAAGAUUCUCCAACCACUUGUAUAAACCCAAAUGCUUUGAUCACCUCAUCAAAGCGUUUGUUCCAAUUCCGAGAUGCUUGCACCAGUCCAUAAAUGGAUCGCUGGAGCUUGCACACCUUGUCAGCAUUUUUAGGAUCGACAAAACCUUCGGGUUGCAUCAUAUACAACUCUUCCUUAAGGAAACCGUUAAGGAACACCGUUUUGACAUCCAUCUGCCAGAUUUCAUAAUUGAAAAAUGCAGCUAUUGCUAACAUGAUUCUGACGGACUUAAGCAUCGCUACGGGUGAGAAAGUCUCAUCGUAGUCAACUCCUGGAACUUGUGAAAAACCCUUUGCCACAAGUCGAGCUUUAUAAACAGUCACAUUACCGUCAGCGUCCGUCUUCUUCUUAAAGAUCCAUUUGUUCUGAAUAGCCUUGCGGCCCUCAGGUAGUAUCUCCAAAGUCGACACUUUGUUCUCAUACAUGGAUCCUAUCUCGGAUUUCAUGGCUUCUAGGCAUUUGUUGGAAUCUGGGCCCACCAUUGCUUCUUCAUAAUUUGCAGGUUCAUUGUUGUCUAACAACAUGAUUGAUAAGACGGGAUUACCGUACCAGUCUGGAGCAGCGCGUGAUCUCGUCGACCUGCGUGGUUCAACAGAAACUUGAACUGGAGUUUCAUGAUCAUCAUCAUUAACAUCCUCCUCAACCGGCGUCGCAACGACAGAGGUUUCCCCUUGCCCUGCGCCACCAUCCAGAGGGAUGAGAGGUUCGACAACCUCGUCAAGUUCUAUCUUCCUCCCACUCAAUUCUCUCGAGAGAAACUCCUUCUCGAGAAAAGCUCCAUUUUUAGCAACAAACACUUUGCCCUCGGAUUUGAGAUAGAAGGUGUACCCAACUGUCUCUUUUGGGUAACCUAUGAAGACGCACUUUUCCGCUUUGGGUUCCAGCUUUUCAGGCUGAAGCUUUUUGACAUAAGCAUCACAUCCCCAAACUUUAAGAAACGACAACUUUGGCUUUUUUCCAUACCACAGUUCGUAUGGUGUCGUCUCAACGGAUUUUGAUGGUGCCCUAUUUAAAGUGAAUGCAGCUGUUUCUAAUGCAUGACCCCAAAAUGAUAACGGCAAAUCAGUAAGAGACAUCAUAGAUCGCACCAUCUCUAACAAAGUACGAUUACGACGUUCGGACACACCAUUACGCUGUGGUGUUCCAGGCGGUGUUAACUGUGAAACAAUUCCACAUUGUCUUAAGUGAGCACCAAACUCGAAACUCAGAUAUUCACCCCCACGAUCAGACCGUAGGAACUUGAUCUUCUUGUUACGAUGAUUUUCCACCUCACUCUGAAAUUGCUUGAACUUUUCAAAUGUUUCAGACUUGUGCUUCAUCAAGUAGACAUAACCAUAUCUACUUAAAUCGUCAGUGAAGGUGAGAAAAUAACGAUAUCCGCCGCGUGCCUCCACGCUCAUUGGACCACACACAUCGGUAUGUAUGAUUUCCAACAAGUCACUUGCACGCUCCAUUGUUCCGGAGAACGGAGUCUUAGUCAUCUUGCCCAUGAGGCAUGGUUCGCACGUGUCAAGUGAAUCAAAGUCAAGUGACUCCAAAAGUCCAUCAGCAUGGAGUUUCUUCAUGCGCUUUACACCAAUAUGACCUAAGCGGCAGUGCCACAAAAAUAUGGCGCUAUCAUUGUUUACUCUAACUCUUUUGGUCUCAAUGUUAUGUAUAUGCGUAUCGCUAUCAAGAUUCAAUAUGAACAAUCCUCUCACAUUCGGUGCAUGACCAUAAAAGAUGUUACUCAUAGAAAUAGAACAACCAUUAUUCUCAGACUUAAAAGAGUAACCGUCUCGCAAUAAACAAGAUCCAGAUAUAAUGUUCAUGCUCAACGCAGGCACUAAAUAACAAUGAUUUAAGUUCAUCACUAAUCCCGAUGGUAGCUGAAGUGACACUGUGCCGACGGCGAUUGCAUCAACCUUGGAACCGUUUCCUACGCGCAUCGUCACUUCGUCUUUCGCCAGCCUUCGUCUAUUCCGCAGUUACUGCUUCGAGUUGCAAAUAUGAGCAACAGAACCGGUAUCGAAUACCCAGGCACUACUACGAGAGCCGGUUAAGUACACAUCAAUAACAUGUAUAUCAAAUAUACCUGAUUUUUCUUUGCUCGCCUUCUUAUCUGCCAGAUACUUGGGGCAAUUGCGCUUCUAGUGACCCAUACCCUUGCAAUAGAAGCACUCUGUUUCAGGCUUAGGUCCAGCCUUGGGUUUCUUCGGCGGAUUGGCAACAGGCUUGCCGCUCUUCUUUGAAUUGCCCUUCUUGCCUUUGCCGUUUCUCUUGAAACUAGUGGUCUUGCUCACCAUCAACACUUGAUGCUCUUUACGGAGUUCAGACUCUGCGACUUUCAGCAUCGCAAACAACUCGCCGGGAGACUUGUUCAUCCCUUGCAUGUUGUAGUUCAACACAAAGCCUUUAUAGCUUGGCGGCAGUGAUUGAAGGAUUCUGUCAGUGAUAGCUUCUUGCGGGAGUUCAAUCCCCAGCUCAGAUAGACGGUUUGAGUACCCAGACAUUUUGAGCACAUGUUCACUGAUAGACGAGUUUUCCUCCAUCUUGCAAGCAUAGAAUUUAUCGGAGGUCUCAUACCUCUCGAUCCGGGCGUUCUUCUGAAAGAUAAACUCCAACUCCUGGAACAUCUCAAAUGCUCCAUGACGCUCAAAGCGACGUUGAAGUCCCGGUUCUAAGCCAUACAAGACUGCACAUUGAACUAUUGAGUAGUCCUCCUUACGUGCUAACCAAGCGUUCUUAACAUCCUGAUCAGCCGUAGCGGGUGGUUCAUCUCCUAGCGCAGCAUUAAGGACAUAAUCCUUCUUCCCAGCUUGUAAGAUUAGCUUAAGAUUACGAGCCCAGUCUACAAAGUUGCUUCCAUCAUCUUUCAACUUAGCUUUCUCUAGGAACGUAUUAAAAUUCAGGAUGACUGACGCGUGAGCCAUGAUCUACAACACAAAUAUAUUCAAAGUGGACUUAGACUAUGUUCAAGAUAAUUAGAGUUCAACUUAAUCAAAUUAUAUGCUAAACUCCCACUCAAAAAGUACAUCUCUCUAGUCAUUUGAGUGGUUCAUGAUCCACUUACACUAUCCCAAGUCCGAUCAUCACGUGAGUUGAGUAUAGUUUCAGUGGUAAGCAUCCCUAUGCUAAUCAUAUCAACUAUAUGAUUCAUGAUCGACCUUUCGGUCUCAUGUGUUCCGAGGCCAUGUCUGCACAUGCUAGGCUUGUCAAGCUUAACCCGAGUGUUCCACGUGCGCAACUGUUUUGCACCCGUUGUAUGUGAACGUUGAGUCUAUCACACCCGAUCAUCACGUGGUGUCUCGAAACGACGAUCUGUAGCAACGGUGCACACUCGGGGAGAACACAAUUUCGUCUUGAAAUUUUAGUGAGAGAUCACCUCAUAAUGCUACCGUCGUUCUAAGCAAAAUAAGGUGCAUAAAAGGAUUAACAUCACAUGCAAUUCAUAAGUGACAUGAUAUGGCCAUCAUCACGUGCUUCUUGAUCUCCAUCACCAAAGCACCGGCACGAUCUUCUUGUCACCGGCGCCACACCAUGAUCAUCCAUCAACGUGUUGCCAUCGGGGUUGUCGUGCUACUUAUGCUAUUACUACUAAAGCUACAUCCUAGCAAAAUAGUAAACGCAUCUGCAAGCACAAACGUUAGUAUAAAGACAACCCUAUGGCUCCUGCCGGUUGCCGUACCAUCGACGUGCAAGUCGAUAUUUCUAUUACAACAUGAUCAUCUCAUACAUCCAAUAUAUCACAUCACAUCGUUGGCCACAUCACAUCACAAUCAUACCCUGCAAAAACAAGUUAGACGUCCUCUAAUUUUGUUGUUGCAUGUUUUACAUGGUGACCAAGGGUAUCUAGUAGGAUCGCAUCUUACUUACGCAAACACCACAACGGAGAUAUAUGAGUUGCUAUUUAACCUCAUCCAAGGACCUCCUCGGUCAAAUCCGAUUCAACUAAAGUUGGAGAAACCGUCACUUGCCAGUCAUCUUUGAGCAAAGGGGGUUACUCGUAACGAUGAAACCAGUCUCUCGUAAGCGUACGAGUAAUGUCGGUCCAAGCCGCUUCAAUCCAACAAUACAGCGGAAUCAAGAAAAGACUAAGGAGGGCAGCAAAACGCACAUCACUGCCCACAAAAACUUUUGUGUUCUACUCGAGAAGACAUCUACGCAUGAACCUAGCUCAUGAUGCCACUCUUGGGGAACGUCGCAUGGGAAACAAAAAAUUUCCUACGCGCACGAAGACCUAUCAUGGUGAUGUCCAUCUACGAGAGGGGAUGAGUGAUCUACGUACCCUUGUAGACCAUACAGCAGAAGCGUUAGANNNNNNNNNNNNNNNNNNNNNNNNNNNNNNNNNNNNNNNNNNNNNNNNNNNNNNNNNNNNNNNNNNNNNNNNNNNNNNNNNNNNNNNNNNNNNNNNNNNNAGAAGAGAAAGAGAAGAAUAAGUAAAAGAAGGAGGAGGAGGAGGAGGAGGAGAAGGAGAAGGUAGAGGAGAAGAAGAAGAAAAGAAGAAGGAGAAGGAGAAGGAGGAAGAAGACGGAGAAGGAGGAGCUCCUUCCCCUUCUUCUCCUCCUUCUUAUCCUCCUCCUUCUCCUUCUUCUUCUUCUCUUCUUCUUCUUCUUCCUUCCUUUCAUUUUUCCUCUUUCUUCUCNNNNNNNNNNNNNNNNNNNNNNNNNNNNNNNNNNNNNNNNNNNNNNNNNNNNNNNNNNNNNNNNNNNNNNNNNNNNNNNNNNNNNNNNNNNNNNNNNNNNNNNNNNNNNNNNNNNNNNNNNNNNNNNNNNNNNNNNNNNNNNNNNNNNNNNNNNNNNNNNNNNNNNNNNNNNNNNNNNNNNNNNNNNNNNNNNNNNNNNNNNNNNNNNNNNNNNNNNNNNNNNNNNNNNNNNNNNNNNNNNNNNNNNNNNNNNNNNNNNNNNNNNNNNNNNNNNNNNNNNNNNNNNNNNNNNNNNNNNNNNNNNUUAUGUCAUUUCGAGGAUGAUUAGCUAAGUAUAGGUCAUCUUUUAUGAAAUAGACCAUUUAGGAGCUAACUAAGCUAAUUAUGUCAUUUAGGUGGAACCCUAGCUAACUAUAGGUCGUUUCGGAGCUAACUUGGGUUAAAUAGGUCAUUCCGGAGCAAACUAUGCUUAUUAAGCCAUUUUGGAUAUAGCUAGGCUAAUUAUAAGCCAUUUAAUACCUAAGUUAGGGGGAAUAGGUCAUCUUGCAGCUACGUAAGCCUUAUUAUGUCAUUUAGGAGAGAAAUUAGCUAAGUAUAGGUCAUUUUUAUCAAAUAGGUCAUUUUGGAGCUAACUAAGCUAAUUAUGUCAUUUCGUAGGAUAAUUAGCCAAUUUAGCCAUUCUUGGAUGAGUCUAAGCUACGUAGAAGAAGAGAAAGAGAAUUAGAAGUAAAAGAAGGAGGAGGAGGAGGAUGAGAAGGAGAAGGAAGAGGAGAAGAAGAAGAAAAUAAGAAGGAGAAGGAGAAGGAGGAAGAAGGUGUGGAAAAAGAAGGAGAAGGAGGAGCUCCUUCUCCUUCUUCUCCUCCUUCUUCUCCUUCUUCUUAUCCUCCUACUUCUCUUCUUCUUCUUCCUUCCUUUCAUUUUCCUCUUUCUUCUCCNNNNNNNNNNNNNNNNNNNNNNNNNNNNNNNNNNNNNNNNNNNNNNNNNNNNNNNNNNNNNNNNNNNNNNNNNNNNNNNNNNNNNNNNNNNNNNNNNNNNNNNNNNNNNNNNNNNNNNNNNNNNNNNNNNNNNNNNNNNNNNNNNNNNNNNNNNNNNNNNNNNNNNNNNNNNNNNNNNNNNNNNNNNNNNNNNNNNNNNNNNNNNNNNNNNNNNNNNNNNNNNNNNNNNNNNNNNNNNNNNNNNNNNNNNNNNNNNNNNNNNNNNNNNNNNNNNNNNNNNNNNNNNNNNNNNNNNNNNNNNNNNNNNNNNNNNNNNNNNNNNNNNNUGCCUUUUUGGAGCUAAUAUGUCAUUUUGAGGAUAAUUAGCUAAGUAUAGGUCAUGUUUUAUUAAAUAGACCAUUUAGGAGCUAAGUGAGCUAAUUAUGUCAUUUAGGUGGAACCCUAGCUAACUAUAGGUCAUUUUGGAGCUAACUUGGGUAAAAUAGGUCAUUCCGGAGCAAACUAUGCUUAUUAAGCCAUUUUGGAUCUAGCUAGUCUAAUUAUAGGCCAUUUANNNNNNNNNNNNNNNNNNNNNNNNNNNNNNNNNNNNNNNNNNNNNNNNNNNNNNNNNNNNNNNNNNNNNNNNNNNNNNNNNNNNNNNNNNNNNNNNNNNNAAUCCUUGGCACUGAGGUUCAAACGAUAAGAUCUUCGUAGAAUAUGUAGGAUCCAAUAUGGGCAUCCAGGUCCCGCUAUUGGAUAUUGACCGAGGAGUCUCUCGGGUCAUGUCUACAUAGUUCUCGAACCCGCAGGGUCUGCACACUUAAGGUUCGACGUUGUUUUAUGCGUAUUUGAGUUAUAUGGUUGGUUACCGAAUGUUGUUCGNNNNNNNNNNNNNNNNNNNNNNNNNNNNNNNNNNNNNNNNNNNNNNNNNNNNNNNNNNNNNNNNNNNNNNNNNNNNNNNNNNNNNNNNNNNNNNNNNNNNNNNNNNNNNNNNNNNNNNNNNNNNNNNNNNNNNNNNNNNNNNNNNNNNNNNNNNNNNNNNNNNNNNNNNNNNNNNNNNNNNNNNNNNNNNNNNNNNNNNNNNNNNNNNNNNNNNNNNNNNNNNNNNNNNNNNNNNNNNNNNNNNNNNNNNNNNNNNNNNNNNNNNNNNNNNNNNNNNNNNNNNNNNNNNNNNNNNNNNNNNNNNNNNNNNNNNNNNNNNNNNNNNNNNNNNNNNNNNNNNNNNNNNNNNNNAAGGUUUUCGGAGUUACCGGGAAUGUACCGGGAAUGACGAAUGGGUUCCGGGAGUUCACCGGGGGGGCAACCCACCCCGGGGAAGCCGAUAGGCCUUGAGGGAGACACACCAGCCCUUAGUGGGCUGGUGGGACAGCCCACAAGUGGUCUAUGCGCCAAGAGAAGAAAAAUCAAGAGGAAAAGAAAAAAAAAGGGAGGAGGUGGGAAGGGAGGAGGACUCCCUCCCACCAAACCUAGUCCAACUCGGUUUGGGGGGGGAGAGUCCUCCCCCUUGGCUCGGCCGACCCCCUUGAGGGUCCUUGGACCCCAAGGCAAGGCCCCCUCCCUCCCACCUAUAUAUACGGAGGUUUUAGGGCUGAUUUGAGACGACUUUUCCACGGCAGCCCGACCACAUACCUCCACGGUUUUUCCUCUAGAUCGCGUUUCUGCGGAGNNNNNNNNNNNNNNNNNNNNNNNNNNNNNNNNNNNNNNNNNNNNNNNNNNNNNNNNNNNNNNNNNNNNNNNNNNNNNNNNNNNNNNNNNNNNNNNNNNNNNNNNNNNNNNNNNNNNNNNNNNNNNNNNNNNNNNNNNNNNNNNNNNNNNNNNNNNNNNNNNNNNNNNNNNNNNNNNNNNNNNNNNNNNNNNNNNNNNNNNNNNNNNNNNNNNNNNNNNNNNNNNNNNNNNNNNNNNNNNNNNNNNNNNNNNNNNNNNNNNNNNNNNNNNNNNNNNNNNNNNNNNNNNNNNNNNNNNNNNNNNNNNNNNNNNNNNNNNNNNNNNNNNNNNNNNNNNNNNNNNNNNNNNNNNNNNNNNNNNNNNNNNNNNNNNNNNNUGAACGCGGAGGUGCCGUCCGUUCGGUACUAGAUCGUGGGACUGAUCGCGGGAUUGUUCGCGGGGCGGAUCGAGGGACGUGAGGACGUUCCACUACAUCAACCGCGUUCUCUAACGCUUCUGCUGUANNNNNNNNNNNNNNNNNNNNNNNNNNNNNNNNNNNNNNNNNNNNNNNNNNNNNNNNNNNNNNNNNNNNNNNNNNNNNNNNNNNNNNNNNNNNNNNNNNNNGGGGGGGGGUUAGGGGGUUUUGGGGGGUUAAUUUAGGUGUUUCAUAUAUUGUGUUAGCUAGAUAAUGAAUAGAGAGAAGUGUCCUCUCUUAUCUCCGUGCAUCGUUGACGCUGCAUGCUAUACGUAUAGAGAGGACUUGACACGCUAGCUAGUAAGAAAAUGAAGGAAACAGAAGAUCGUCAUGAACAUAUGCAUACAAAGAGAAGUGAUAUCGACCACCUCUCCUUCUCUGAGAGAUUGGUUGAACAACAAGUUCUCGUAUAUCUAUCCGACGCUACAGGCUACAUAUAUACAAUAUAAUUAUCUCUUACAAUAUAAUCUCCUAAUUAAAAUUCAACUGAUUAGGGUUCACAUGGUAUUCUCCGUCUUUAGCGNNNNNNNNNNNNNNNNNNNNNNNNNNNNNNNNNNNNNNNNNNNNNNNNNNNNNNNNNNNNNNNNNNNNNNNNNNNNNNNNNNNNNNNNNNNNNNNNNNNNNNNNNNNNNNNNNNNNNNNNNNNNNNNNNNNNNNNNNNNNNNNNNNNNNNNNNNNNNNNNNNNNNNNNNNNNNNNNNNNNNNNNNNNNNNNNNNNNGUCGCAUGGGAAACAAAAUUUUUCCUACGCGCACGAANNNNNUAUUCUCCGUCUUUAGCGAUCACGUGGCCAGGAAAGAAUGCCGCCAAUUCCUCUUGAAUUCCUCGCAUACGAUCUGCUGGUAGGAGUUCAUUCCGCAUCUGAUAUAUCUAAUUUGAAGAAGGGGGUCAAUACAUAUAUAUGAAUAAAUGAAACUGAACACAAAUGAUGAUAAUAAAAUAAGAUUGUGAAUAUUAUUAUUUACGCACGUCAUAUUGUUUGUCAGAGUAGCCCCGCUCACAGGUCGUGUGGCGGAUGGACUCGGAAAUGUAGUAUCCACAGUAAUCAUUCCCUGGUUCCUGCCACAACCACUUUACAAGAAAUAGAGGUCAAUCAAACUGAUAGUUAACAAGCAUGCUAAAUGGUAUUGAUGAAACUAGCGCUUGAAUCACUAGGAGAUGCGUGGAACAUGCUACUAUAGUACUCUUGGGGAACGUCGCNNNNNNNNNNNNNNNNNNNNNNNNNNNNNNNNNNNNNNNNNNNNNNNNNNNNNNNNNNNNNNNNNNNNNNNNNNNNNNNNNNNNNNNNNNNNNNNNNNNNCAUUGUGCAAUGAUGAUAAAGCAUAGCUAGACUAUAUGCUUUUGUAGGGAUAACUUUCUUUUGGCCUUGUUAUUUUGAAAAUUCAUGAUUACCUUGCUAGUUUGCUUGAAUUAUUAUUGUUUCCACGUCAAUAGGAAACUAUUGUUUUGAAUCUAAUGGAUCUGAACAUUCACGUCACAUAAGAGGAAUUACAAAGGACACAUAUGCUAGGUAGCAUGAAAACAUCAAAAAUUCGUUCUUAUCACUUCCCUACUCGAGGACGAGCAGGAGUUAAGCUUGGGGAUGCUUGAUACGCCUCAAACGUAUCUAUAAUUUUUGAUGGUUUCACGCUGUUAUCUUGCCUUCUUUGUAUGUUUUAUGUAUCUUUUUAUAUCUUUUUGGGACUAACUUAUUAAUUCAGUGCCAAGUGCCAGUUCCUGUUUUUUCCGUGUUUUUGACUCUUUUCAGAUCUAAUUUUGGAAUGGAGUCCAAACGGAAGAAAAACCCGAAAUGAUUUUUUCCCCAAUGGAAGAAGUCCAGGGGGCUUUUGGGCCAAGCCAGGUGGGCUCCCACUCCGCCACCAGGGGGAGGCGGCGGUGGGCAGGCUUGUGUCCUCCCUGGCCGCCCCCUGACCUAGGUCUUUGGCCUAUAAAUUCCCAAAUAUUCCACAAAAAAUCAGGGGAGCCUCGAAAAUACUUUUCCGCCGCCGCAAGCUUCCGUUUCUGCAAGAUAUCAUCUGGAGACCCUUCCCGGCACCCUGUCGAAGGGAACUUUGGAGUUGGAGGGCUUCUUCAUCAUCAUCAUCGCCCCUCCAAUGACUCAUGAGUAGUUCACUUCAGACCUACGGGUCCGUAGUUAGUAGCUAGAUGGCUUCUUCUCUCUCUUCGAUCUUCAAUACAAAGUUCUCCAUGACCUUCAUGGAGAUCUAUCCGAUGUAAUCUUCUUUGGCAGUGUGUUUGUCGAGAUCCGAUGAAUUGUGGAAUUUUGAUCAGAUUAUCUAUGAUAUAUAUUUCAGUCUUUGCUGAUUUCUUCUAUGCAUGAUUUGAUAUCCUUGUAAGUGUCUCUGAGUCUUGGGUUUUGUUUGGCCAACUAGAUCUAUGAUUCUUGCAAUGAGAGAAGUGCUUGGUUUUGGGUUCUGCCAAGUGGUGACCUUUCCUAGUGACAGGAGGGGCAGCAAGGCACACAUCAAGCAGUUGCCAUCAUGGGUAAAAAGAUGGGGUUUUUAUCAUUUGUUUGAGAUUAUCCCUCUACAUCAUGUCAUCUUGCUUAAGGUGUUACUCUGUUCUUAUGGACUUAAUACACUAGAUGCAUGCUGGAUAGCGGUCGACGUAUGGAGUAAUAGUAGUAGAUGCAGAAAGUAUCGGUCUACUUGUUUCGGACGUGAUGCCUAUAGAAAUAAUCAUUNCUAGAGGAAGGCAUUGGGGAGUAGUAAGUAGAUGAUGGGUUGCUGGAGUGACAGAAGUUGAAACUCCAGUCUAUGCGUUGCUUCGUAAGGGACUCAUUUGGAUCCACUAGUUUAAUGCUAUGUUUAGACGUUGUCUUAAUUCUUCUUUCGUAGUUGCAGACGCUUGCGAGAGGGGUUAAUCGUAAGUGGAUGAUUGUCCAAGUAAGGGCAGUACCCAAGCGCCGGUCCACCCACAUAUCAAACUAUCAAAGUAGCGAACGUGAAUCAUAUGAAGAUGAUGAAACUGGCAUGACAGAAAUUCACGUGUGUCCUCGGGAGCGUUUUUCCUCCUAUAAGACUUUGUUCAGGCUUGUCCCUUGCAACAAAAGGGAUUAGGCCACUGGCUGCACGAUCGCUACUACUUGUUACUUGUUACUUUUCGCUUGCUACGUUUCACCUCACUACACCAUCACUUGUUACCGCUACUUUUAGUGCUUGAAGUUAUUACCUUGCUGAAAACCAUUUAUCAGGGCCUUCUGCUCCUCGUUGGGUUCGACACUCUUACUUAUCGAAUGGACUACGAUUGAUCCCCUAUACUUGUGGGUCAUCGGGCCACCACCAUAGACGAGCCUGCGAUCUGGAGCCGAGCCACAGACUCGCCUAGGACGCCCAGGCGGGCCCUCAGGCCCACCCCGAUCUCCUCCACGCUCCAGUCGGAGCUAGCGUCUACCUCCUGCCCGGCCGUGCGGCGCUCCUCGUGGCUCACCUCGACGGCCGUGUCGGCCCCGUCCCGUGUCUCAGGGAGGAGGCCUGAGAUAGGGGAGGGGGCCCCAAGACGAAUAAGAAGAGGAGACGACAAAGAAAAUUCAAGACAAAACAAAAGAAGACUCACGAUCGAAGUCGUUAUCAGUCUCAUGGGCGCUCUCGAGGGCCUCGAGCUCCCGCUCCUUACUCGCUUGAGUAAGGCGGGCUACUUCGUCCUAGAGGGCCGCCACCGCGUCCAGGGCCUUGGCCAGCAACGCCUACUUCUAGAUUGGGGAGUCCUCCUUCUCCUUCAAGGCAGCAUCCUUGAGCUUCAUCUCCCCGAGAAGAAGCGUCUCAAGACGCUCCAGGUCGGCAGUAUGGGAGGCGUCCUUCUCCUGCAGAGAGGCGCGCAGCUGCUCCAGCUCGGCCCGGCUAGCCACCUCAAGCUCCUUCUUCUCCGUCUGGAGAAGAGCUAGCUGCUGCUGGAGCCGUCCGUCUGCAUCGCGCAGGGCGUCCCGCUCCACGACAACCUCGCCUAGCCGGGCUUGAAGCUCGGCAACCUGACCAUCAGCCGCCUGGUUUUGAGGCCGCAGCGUGUUGUAGGUUUGCACCUGGGCAUCAUAAAGAUCCUACAAAGCAAGGAUAAAGCAGAAGUAAGAUUCGGCCUGGUUAAGUCAUAACCAGCCUGAUUCUUGAGGGCUACACCCAGUGAGUGCGUUAGCGCUCCCCUACUAAAGAAGCAAAGCAAGAAAAGAAGCUCAAAGAGAUUCAGCCCGGCCGAUGCUCGGCCGGCCCGACUCUCGAGGGCUACACCGAGUGGGUGCGCUGGCAUGCCCCCACUGAUUCAAGAAAAGAAAAAAUUAAAGACAAAGGCGAGGCACUUACCCUGGUGCGCUCCUCCAAGCGCUCUAGAUCACCGCUCACCACGUGGGCCACCUGGUCCACCUUGAACCGGAUGUUGGUAAACAUCAACACCAGCUCCGGGACGUCGCGGGGCACAGUGCCUGCGGGGAGCUUCGAGCGCUCCAGGUUAGCUGCUCGCUAGGCCUUCAUGGGCCGGCUCCCGACUCUGGGACCGGUUCCUGGAGCAGUCGGACCGCGGUUGGAGACGACGAUGGUGUCGUCUCCAGGUGGUGGCAUGGCGGCCGGCUCCGCCGAUGUCCCAACCGGCGCCACCUCCUUAGCAGGAGUUGGAUAGGCCACGUCCGACGCAUCCAUGUUCUCCCCUGGCGCAUCCAGGGCCACGUCUGGCGUGUCCAGGAUCAGUUCCAGCGCGUCGGGCGCCGCCUCGGCCCCAGGUGAAUCUGGAGUCACCUCAAGAUCCACCGGCGCAAAGCCGUCCGGCUCGGAGGGACAGGCCUCCUCGAUCCUCGAGCGCGCCUCGGGGCCGCCUCACUAGCUGGCUCCUCCAUGCGAGCACGCGUGGAGGGGUCAUGUUUAGCCUCCGUACGCUUCUCCGCCGGCUUCUUGGCCCGGCUAGGGCGAGACUAGCCCUCGGCCGUCUUCCCCGCGGCCGCAUCCCACCGACGGGUGGACUGCUCCUCGAGCUCCUUCUUGGUAGCGUCAGCCGCUGUCCAGCCGGCUCGUCCGGCUGCGGAGGCGGUGUCUUCCUCCACGUCUUCCGCCUCCCUGCCAGGCGACGUUUUGAGGAACAAAGCUUCACACAAGACAAAAUAAAAAGAAGGGAGAGGAACCCUUACCCUUCGACGAUGGGCACCUGCCUCCUAGUGCCACCAGCACGACGCUUCUUAGCACCGCCUGCUCGUGUUCCGGCUGUAGGACCCGUCGUCGGGCGCUUAGGAGCCGGCCUGGAAGCUGUGGCACCCUUCCCUUCUUCCGGGCACCUCGUCAAGUCCAUCCGCCUCGGCCCUAUGACGUCGUCCGCGCGUCAGAGGCGGGCUGGUGACCUCCCCCACCCCGUCAGAAUCUUCCUCGAAGGCUGCAUCAGAUAGGGAGGAGGGAGUCUCGUCAUCGUCUGUCCAAUCUACAAUGGAGGGCCGCGGAUUCUCACCAGACGGCUCCGUCCCCUCCGACUCUAGCGCAUUCUUCGAGCCUUCGGAGAAGGCUGAAUGGGAUUCAAUCAUGCCCUCGUCCUCGAUCUCCGAGGCGUCAAACAUCGCCACGUUGGGGGCAGGCGGGUUGAGUGCGUGCAGCUUCUCAAACACCUGCGCGAAGGAGUUGACGGCCGGCUUAACGAGACGGCCAACCACGAGACAAACAGCAAGAACAUAGCAACAGAGUAUUCUUACCAGCGGAGGCGGACGGGACCUGCUGUAAGGGAUAAUCCCGCACGCCCAGUUCCCACUGUCGUCCAUGCGGGCGACGGAGAUCUGGUGCACCCACCGCGCCACCGCGCUGGGGGUGAAUCGCUUGGUGGAGGUCCGGUAGGGGUCGUGCCGGCUGCUCAUCUGGCAGACCAGAUGGGGCCGCCUCUGUAGCGGCAGAAUCUUACGGGUAACCAUGGUGGUAAGAAGGUCGCGGCCAAGGAGGACGCGAUCCCGCAGGAUGUCGAUAUGGGCGCCAAUCUGAGCCACCUCGGGGAUCGGCUUCUGGAACUUCACCCCCCACUUCAACUUGGUCGGAGGAUUGACGUUGAACGGGGGCAUGUUGAGGGCGUCGUGUGCAUGGUCGGCAUUCUUCACAUAGAAGAAGCCCCUCUGCCACUUCUUGAGGGACUCCUGCAGCGGCAUCUGUGGGAAGCAGGACUUCGAGCGAUGAUGAACCAGUGCGGCUCCGCACGGCGUCAUCGGGCGUGGCCCGGCGAGCUUCUCCAGCUCGGCCUUGUCCAUCACAAUGGACUACUGGUUGAAGAAAAAAAGCUUCGCCAGAGAUUGAGGCAGGGCUCGAUCCCAAGGAAGCCCUCGCACAGGUCAACGAAGGCCGACAGCUACAAGAUGGCGUUUGGAGCCAGGGGGUGCGGCUGCAGGCCAAAGAAGUUGAGCCAGUCGGAGAAGAAGGGGAUCACCGGGAGCCCAAAGCCCUUGUAGAAGUGCUCAUCAAACACGACGAUCUCUCCCUCUUCUAGUAUGGGAGCUGUCUCGGUGCCAGGGAUCCGCACCAACACCUGGGAGGCCGGGGCAACAUCCGGUGAUGGCGGAGCGCCUCGAUGUGGCCUUCGCAGAUCUCACUACCAAGCCAGGCUCUCUGCGACGAAGUCUUCUUCGAGGAGGAGCCGCCGGCCAUGACAGUGGGUGGCGGAUGCUCGGGAAGGCUGGUGGCGCAAUGACGAUGGAGAAGAAAAUGGCGAAGAUGGACGGGCUCUUUCUCUGUGGGCUCGGGGAGGAAGAGGGCGUCGAUGCGGGGCGAGAGGGGGGCGAGUGGCCUCCUGGGAACCCCCGCAUCCCAUUUAAACCCCACGAAGCAUCGUGGUGAGGGGAUCCGGUGCGCCCGGAGCCCCACUAACCCCGUGUAUUACUGGCGGUAACGCUUCCCGAAACCCAACUGUCGCGGAGUAAAUACACAGAGGAUCUUCCGCGCGGAGGCCGAGGGGGCAUCUUGGCGGGACCCGGGGCCCAGGCGCGGUCCCACCACUAGUAAUAACCAUCAUUACGUAAGUCCAGGCCUGACAUGUGGCGCGUUCUGUGCAGCCUACGACGAAGGCGAGGCGUCGCUUCGAAGCCAACCGGCUUCGGAGCUGGCGUUCCUUGCCACAGAUGGCGGCAGGAGUACAAAGACAAAAAAUGAAGCCGGUGAGGCCACCCGUUCGCAGGCGGCGGGCCUCUCCAGCUUCGGGGACUACUGUCGGGGGGAUAACCCCGGGGUAGGCUGAUCAAGCUUGCUCCUGUAUAACCCAAAGGAAUGACCAGAAACCAUUCUGGAAGGCCCAAGUCCUCUGGCCGGCUAGGCCACACCUACCGACUAGGGGGCGAGACAGCUAACUCUCUGGUCGGCCAGGCAACUCCUGCCGGCUAGAGGAGAGACGGCUACCUUUUCCUGACCGCCUCGGCCAAGCCAACCAUCUAGGGACGAGGCGGACGUGCCCAAGCCGGCUAGCCAAGCGGACUAGCCGGCCGGGGAUCUCAAGUCACAUCAGAUCGUAGGUCAUGAUGAGACCCUACGAUUAAAGGUGGAUACGCGUCAGCAAAGGUACUGGAUUGGAGUGCCCAACAGGUACCAGCAUCGGUGGCCACGCCGCUGACCUACCCCGACUCUAACCCAUCACCCAGCAUAGUGUCAGACCGUCAAACUCCCACUCCAUUACUGCACUCGGCGUCGGAACAGUGGAGGCGGCCGUACCGUCUGCCCAUGACGAAUCUCGUUGGACGACGCCGGAUGUACCGCGCGUGCCCUGCAUCAACCUUACGCGACAACUCCAUUGGCUAGCCGGCGGGUCCCAUAGCCAGACGGGACCUCGCAGCCGGCGGGCCCCUCAAGCGACCAGACAAGACCCUCGUGGGCCCCUUGGCCAGCCGGCGAGGCUGCCAGCCGGGUCCCACUCUUGUACCCAUUAUCCAUAUCGUAGGCCGGUGGGUUCGUCUAUAAAACCCCCCGUCCCCCCUCGAUGCAGAGGGUCGGUCAACAGAUUACACACACCUUCACCAACCACAUAGGAGAGGCAGAGACAAGCCGGAUUCUCCCUCUUCCUCCUCCACAAUACAGCUCCAGGAGCCACCUUGUAAUCCCAUCCAUAUACAUCAUACACUCAGACGGGACUAGGGGUAUUAUCUCUACGGAGAGCCCUGAACCUGGGUACAUCGUGAGUUCAAUGCUUGUCCCAACCUCGUCCCCAACGCCCUCCGUUGCCACUCUGGUUCUCACUGACUUUAGCCUACCUAUGGCAUAUGUUGUGAGUAUUCACCGACAACGUUCCUUGCCAAAAGACAGUAUCAUAAGUUAGAGUAGUAAAAAUCAUACAUGUAAUAUGUCCGAGUUUGUCUCAAACAGAUGAAUGAAAUGUUGUUUCCUUUGCGUCUGAUCCUUCUCUUUGCAUGAUACACCCUUUGCAUUUUCAGGCACUAGUGCUUUGAGGAACGGGUCCUUAGCAGUUCGUCGGAGGGGUCGUUACCGGCAAGGCUCCUUGCCGCACGCAGUGCAACCGUUAGAUCGUCGAGCCCGGCUCGAGAUAAAAUAAGGUGUUGCGUAACCGCUUGGUCUGCUGAACAGGUUCGAAACAAUGUGAAGGCGCUCUCUGGUGAUUCAAGUCAUUGAACGAGUUCGAAACAGAGCCAAGGUGCACUGAUCCUAACAAGGUUCCAUCUACGCGCAAGUUUCUCAAACAAAGUUUGGGAUCUCCAGAAAGGAAACAACCUAUCUACUCUAAAAUUUCAUCUAGAGUAUCUAUCACUUAUCUACUGUGUCGCGACACUUCUUCCCACGGUGUUUGGGUCCUUUGCCAGGGCCUCAGAUCCCCGGCAAGCAGUAGGUUACACUCUCCCGACAACUUGCCCUCCGGCAAGGUUCUCGCUGAUGGUCCUUGACUAUUGUAUGGAAACGGGGUUGCCGGAGUAUAACUUAUUUUCCUCUUUUGCGAGGCUAUGCUCGCGGAGCCCCCGAGCGCAUCUUCGGCGGCGACGAGACGCUUCCAUGGGGGAAAGUGUUUCCGCUGGAUUGCAUGCCUGGGCUUUGGGGCCCGUUGGCGCAUCCUCGAAGGCUAUGCAUCACUCCGCGGAGGUGCGUCGGCCGGAGUAUGCGCUGGAGGUCUUGCCGAAGCCCCCAGGCACACCCUGGACAGCAGCGCACUCUCCUGGAGCAACGCAUCAACCUGACGCCCUUGAGCUUGGGGUCUCUGCCACCUUGGCCCGCUCUCGCGCAGGCGUUAGGAGGUCAUGGCGAAGUAGAGCGACCACCGUUGCGCCAUGCUUCGGGGAACCGCAGUGGCGCGCUCAACCUCACAAGAUCUGGUGCGGAGCUUGCUCGAAUCCGUGAAAAAGCUCACAACCACCUCCCCCUACCUGGCGCGCCAAAUAUGUCGGGUAAACUGACACCUAUGGGAAGCUCGAAGGGUCCCUUGACCGUUCGGCGGAGGGAGAGAGGUGGCACCGAGAGCAGAUCUAGCGGAGGGAGAGAGGUCGUUUACCCAGGUUUGGGCCGCUCGGCGCGUAAAACCCAACUCCUUCUUAGUUUGUAUUGAGGGCUUACUGUAGGAUAAUUUGCUACAGUAAUUUAGCUGGUGAUUUGGGAGUCUCAAAUCCCAACAGGUCUAAACUCUAGAGAAUGAGCCUUGGGCCUCCUUUUAUAGGCAAGGGGUCACCAACAGUGUGCUCACGGGUUGUAUAGUGAACAAGGUUCACCGCUCAUCUUUCUACUGUGGUGUCAGGGGCAGUAAAUGCCUUGUCUAGCCCUUGACCUGCGGCAAGGUGGCUUCAACACAUACCCAGGUGGGUCGACACCUUGGUCUUGCACUGGUGCAUGAGGGAUGCGAUGGAGCGGUGGGACUGUGGUAGAAACGGGGGAGGACACGUGGCGAGCGAAAGGAGCUUGCUUGUCUGGUGUCCGUGUCGGAUGACUUAUGUGAUCUUCCUGGCAAGGAGGGCUUGACGGGAUCUUGAACGUCUUCCCGACAAGGGGGCUUGCAGGGGACUUGCGAGACUUUGAGAGUCUUCCCGGCAAGGAGGAUUGUCGGCGUGUGAUACUUCUCCGUCCUAUCUACUUUUCCAAACUCUUUUGUCCUUGUUUUGGACUCUAAUUUGCAUAAUUUGAAUGGAACUAACCCGGACUAACGUUGUUUUCAGCAGAAUUGCCAUGGGGUUGUUUUUGUGCAGAAAUAAAAGUUCUCGGAACGUCCUGAAAAUUUACGGAGAUUUUUUCUGGAAUAAAAGAAAAAUACCUGCACAAAGAUCCACGAGAGGGGGCGUGCCAGUGGGCCACAAGCCCACAGGCCGCGGCCACCCCUAUGGCCGCGCUGUGAGGGCUUGUGGGGCCCACGUGGCACCACCGCCCCCAAUCUCAGCUCUAUAUCUUCCGUUUCGCCUGGAAAAAUCAGAGAGAAGGUUUCAUCGCGUUUUGCGAUACGGAGGCGCCGCAAUAUCUAGUUCUUCAUCUCGAGGGCAGAUCUCGAGUCCAUUUCGGGCUCCGGAGAAGGGAAAUCGUUGCCAUCAUCAUCAUCAACCUUUCUCCAUCGACAAUUCCAUGAUGCUCUGCAUCGUUUGUGAGUAAUCUCAUCGUAGGCUUGCUGGACGGUGAUGAGUUGGAUGAGAUCUAUCAUGUAAUCGAGUUAGUUCUUGACGGGGAUUAAUCCAUAGUAUCCACUAUGUUCUAGAUUGAUGUUGCUACUACUUGGCUAUGCUUAAUGCUUGUGACUAGGGCUCGAGUGCCAUGAUUUCAGAUAUGAGCCUAUUAUGUUAUCGCCAAUAUAUGUGUCUUUUAGAUCCUAUCUUGCAAGUUGUAGUCGCCUACUAUGUGUUAUGACCCGGCAACCCCGGAGUGACAAUAGCCGGAACCACUCCCGGAGUGACAAUAGCCGGAACCACUCCCGAAGAUGACCAUAGUAUGAGGAGUUCAUGUAUUCUCCACGUGUUAAUGCGUUGAUCUGGUUCUUUAUUAAAAAAGAGAACCUUAAUAUCCCGUAGUUUCCAUUAGGACCCCGCUGCCACGGGAGGGAUGGACAAUAGAUGUCAUGCAAAUUCUUUUCCCUAAGCACGUAUGACUACAUACAGAAUACAUGCCUCUCUCCGUGUUAUAACUGUUACAUGAUGAAUCACAUCCAUCAUACUCGUCCAUCACCGAUCCACUGCCUACAAGUCUUUUACUACUGGUCCUCGCUACGUUACUUUUCCUAGGCUUCUCCCUUGCUACAAGAGGGAUUGGGCCACUUUGCUGCUGUCACUACUGCUGUUACUUGUUACUUUGCUGCUGCUGUCACUAUUGUUGUUACUAGCUACUCCGCUGUUACUUGUUGAAAGACUUUGUUGGCGUUAACAUCCCGUCAACAAGGCUUUUUCUGGCGCCGUUGCCGUGGAUUGUCAAAGCUUUUUAUGGCACCGUUGCUAUCGUACUACCUUGCUACCGAUACUUUGUUUGCAGACACUAAUCUUUCAGGUGUGGUUGAAUUGACAACUCAGCUGCUAAUACUUGAGAAUAUUCUUUACCUUCCCCUUGUGAGCGAAUCAAUAAAUUUGGGUUGAAUACUCUACCCUCGAAAACUGCUGCGAUCCCAUACGCUUGUGGGACAUCAAGGCUUUUUCUGGCGCCGUUGCCGGGGAAGCACACCUAUAUUCUCUCAGUCACUUGGGAUUGAUGUCUGUUGUUCACUAUGAGGAAUCCGAAAGAUCCAAGAACUAAAAUCCUGCCUUCCACUACGAGGAGAGGUAAGGAACUGCCAUCUAGCUCUGCACUUGAUUCACCUUUAGUUUGGAGUAAGUUUGCGACUUUGCCUCCUGCUAGAAAUCUUGAUAUGUCGCCUAUGCCUGAUGAUGCUAUGCUUGAUACUAUGCCUGAUGAUGCUAUGCUUGAUAGUAUGCCUGAUGAUGCUAUGCCUGAUACUGCUUUUCCACUAGGUGCAUUCCUUGAUGCACAACUUGCUAGAGUUGCUGCUAGAUGUGAUUAUACUUCUGAAACUGCUGAUACUAUUGAAGUAGAACCUGGUACUAUGCCUGAAUUGCCUGUUAUGCCUGAUACGCGCAAUGUUAUGGAGGGAGAGAUAGCUGAGGACUUUCCUGUGUGUAAGGAUAGCUUUGAUGUUGAGAAACUUCUGCGCAAGUGAAAAGAAAAAUCUCUGAACGCUAGGAUGAAAUACGACCCGAAGUUUGCCACUUCGCCUAUCUUUGUGACCGAUAAGGAUUAUGAAUUCUCUGUCGACCCUGAGUUAAUCACUCUGGUCGGAUCUGUUCCUUUUCACGGUUAUGAAUCUAAAACGGUUGUAGCCCAUCUUACCAAACUGCACGCUAUAGCCACCCUAUUCACUAGUGAGGAAAAGAUCUGCCACUACUAUAUACUCAAGUUGUUUCCUUUCUCGCUAAAGGAUGAUGCUAAGACUUGGUUCACUUCUCUUGCUCCUGGUUGUGUGCGUAGCCCCCAGGAUAUGGUCUACUACUUCUCUGAAAAAUAUUUCCCUGCCCAUAAGAAGCAAGCUGCCUUGCAGGAAAUAUACAACUUUGCUCAAGCUGAGGAAGAGAGUCUCCCACAAGCUUGGGGGAGGCUCAUCCAGCUACUGAAUGCUUUGCCUGAUCACCCUCUUGAGAAGAAUGAAAUACUUGAUAUCUUCUAUAAUGGACUUACCGAUGCUUCUAAAGACCACCUAGAUAGCUGUGCCGGUAGUGUUUUUAGGGAACGAACCGUAGAACAAGCUGAGAUUCUACUGAACAACAUCUUGUGCAAUGAGAAUGCUUGGGCUAUUGCCGAACCACCUCCUAAGCCAACUCCAAAGAAAAGAGGUAUUCUAUUCCUCAGUCCUGAAGAUAUGCAAGAAGCCAAGAAAUCUAUGCGAGAGAAAGGCAUUAAAUCUGAAGAUGACAAAAAUCUACGACCUAUCGAAGAGAUCCAUGGUCUCGAUAACCCGAUACAAGUAGUAGAAGUAAAUUCUCUGCGUAGGUUUGACGGGAGUGAUAUUCAUUUUGAUAAACCUGCUAGCUUAUGCAUGGAUGAAUUUGAUAACUUCGUUGCCAAACAACAAAGUUUCAAUGAUUAUGUUAGCAGACAAUUGGAAAAGAAUGCUCGUAUGCUUAGUCAUUUAAGUGCUUGUGUGGACAGAAACGUCAAUGAUCUUAAGCUUCUGAGCAAACAUGCCUCUAUGGUUACUACUCAGGUAGAACAAGUACUAAAAGCUCAGAAUCACUAGCUCAACGAGUUGAAUGACAAUGUCGUCAGAGUCUUCACUAGAGGCGGUGGAAUGACCCAGGAACCUUUGUAUCCUGAGGGUCAUCCGAAGAGAGUUGAACAAGAGUCUCAAGGAGUUAGCACUGAUGCACCUAGUCAUCCUAGAAAGAAGAAGAAAGAUGAUAGGAACCUGUACGCUAGCAACCCUGUUGCUGCUACCCCUGAGAGUCCAAACGGUGCCUCUGUCUCUGAUGCUGAAACACAAUCUGGUGAUGAACAUGAGCCUAAUGAUAAUAUCAAUAGUGAUGUUCAUGAAGAUGCUCAGCCUAGCAAUGAAAAGGAUGUGGAGAUUGAACCUAGUGUUGAUCUUGAUAACCCACAGGCUAAGAAUAGAAGAUACGAUAAGAAUGACUUCGCUGCUAGGAAGCAUGGUAAAGAAAGGGAACCAUGGGUUCAGAAACCUAUGCCCUUUCCUCCCAAACCAUCCAAGAAAAAGGAUGAUGAGGAUUUUGAGCGAUUUGUUGAGAUGAUCAGACCUGUCUUUGUGCAAAUGUGUUUGACAGAUAUGCUCAAAAUGUCUCCGUAAGCUAACUACAUGAAAGAUAUUGUGACUAAUAAGAGAAGGAUACCUGAUCUUGAGAUCUCCCCCAUGCUUGCCAAUUACACUUUCAAGGGUGGAACUCCUAAAAAAACUAGGUGAUCCCGGUGUACCCACUAUACCUUGCUCCAUUAAAGGCAACACCGUUAUAACUGCGUUAUGCGACCUUGGAGUCGGUGUUAGUGUUAUGCCUCUCUCUCUUUAUCGUAGACUUGAACUAGAUAAGUUGACACCCACUGAAAUCUCUCUGCAAAUGGCCGACAAAUAUCUGCAUGGCGCAAGAAAUGGGCACGUUGACGACACAAGGAAUCCUUGUUAGAGCAUAUAUCUNUCCUCUAUGUGAGGGGAACCCCCUGGAUCUAGAUCUUGGAGUUCGUUGCGAGCUCCUUGUUCUUCCUCUCAUAUUUCUCCACAGCUUUUGUUGUUGUGGAGGGAUUUGAGUGUGAGGGACUUGACCACUUAGUGUGUUCUUGCCAUUGCAUUAGUUGCAUCGGUUUGAGUUCUCCACGGUGAUACGUGGAAGUGAGAAGUUGAGAAGCUUACCACCUUUGGUACUUAGUACCCUAGAUAUUGUUCUUCGUGGAUGCUUUGGCAUCCUAGAAGCUUGGUGGUGUCUCGGAGCUCAAUCAUUGUGGUGUGAAGCUCCGGGCAAGCGUCGGGGCCUCCAAUUAGGUUGUGGAGAUAGCCCCGAGCAAUUUGUACGGGUACCGGUAACCGCCCCCAAGGGUUGCCACGUGUACGGGUUCGCUGACAGCCCCCAAGGUUUGCCAUUUGUAUGGGUUCGGUGACCGCCCUCAAGGGUCCUUUAGAGGAAUCACGGCAUCUUGCAUUGUGCGAGGGCGUGAGGAGAUUACGGUGGCCUUAGUGGCAUCUUGGGGAGCAUUGUGCCUCCACAACGCUCUGACGGAGAUUAGCAUCCGCAAGGGUUUGAACUUCGGGAUACAUCAUCGUCUCCCCGUGCCUCGGUUAUCUCUUACCCGAACCCUUUACUUAUGCACUUUACUUUGUGAUAGACAUAUUGUUUAUUGUAAUAUAUCUUGCUAUCACUCAGUUGUUUAUCUUGCUUAGCAUAAGUUGUUGGUGCACAUAGGUGAGCCUAGUUGUUUGUAGGUUUUGUUCUUGACCUAUUAAACGUUAGUUUUAUUCCACAUUUGUUCAAGCCUAAACCUUAAUUAUUUUAAAGCGCCUAUUCACCCCCCCUCUAGGCGAUAUCCACGUCCUUUCAAAUGCUAUAGAAAAAACUUCAUCGAUUCUUGUCGGGAGCUUUGAAUGCCCUAUUCCUCGUGUCAAGAUGAAGUAUGAUUUGCUUGUUCGGGAGAUACACAUCCCCAUUGAGGUGACUUAGUGACUAUUCAGAAAUUCUCCGUACUCUUUUGCGAUUCGAGAAAGUUUUGUCGAGGGGAUUUGAUCAACCCCAUUGACGGAUUUCUUUCGAUGACCAUGAGAUGGAUGAAUCAAGGAGUCACAAACCUCCGUUCCAAGCUUUCACCUUUUGUUGCUUAGAAGAAAAAUGAUAGAUCUAGUUUAGUUUUCCCUGUUUUCUUUCUUAGCGUCCCGUAGAAAAGUACCCCGAAAAUAAAAGUUCUGCGAACGCUGUGAAAAUAUAGUAUGAUUUUUUCUGGAAUAUUUGAAAAAAUACUGGGGCAAAGAGUCUGUCUGGGGGCCACACCAGUGGGACACAAGCCCUAGGGGCGCGGGCACCCCCCUGGCCGCGCCACCCAGGCUUGUGGGGCCCACAUGCACCCCCUCCACUCAUUCUUGUUCCCAUCCUCUUCUCCUACCUCCAGAAAAAAUCGUUUCGCAGCUCAAACCCGUGUUCUUGCUCCUCUUGCUGGGAUUUUUGAUCUCUUUGCUCAAAUCACCGUUCUCCGAACUGUUUUGGGGAAAUUACUACUUGGUAAGUGACUCCUCCAUUGGUCCAAUUAGUUUUUGCUCUAGUGCCUUAUACUCCGCGUAUUUUUCCUACCUUGGUGACCAUUUUCUUGAGCUUUGUAUGCUGAUUCUAGCUGGUCCCAAGUAGUUUUGAUGCGUGAUAUGGUCUCUAGGCACUUGUGGGAGUAGUUGCUACGAGUUUCGUUGGGCCUUAUUCACUUUUCCUUAGAAUCACUAAAAAUUUCAGAAAUUUUCGGAGAUAGAAAAAGGAAAAGAUGAGGAGGUUCUUCUGAGGCUCGUCAAGCCGUGACCCCAAGGAUGAUGGGAGUGAUAAGAAGCCCAAGUAUCCGGUCCUUCGAGUCGCGGAAGUUCGAGCGUGCAAGUGGCCAAGCGACGUGUUCUUACGCGCCCCUAAAAUUUAUGAGGACUUUUAUCACUUGGUGGAGAACGCAGUCCUUACCGCCUUCAUUGAAGAUAAGUGUUCGCAAUACCUCCUCCUCACUAAUAUCUCCGUACAAAGCUUUCACUUCUAUCCGAGGAAGAAUCCUUCUAUGGUUGAGUUUAAACUUUAUGAUGUCCCCCAGCGCAUGUCACUCCAGGAUUUUUGCAAUGUUUGCAAAUUACCUUACAUAGGGGAUAUUCAUGAACCUCGUCCACGGGACUUGGAAACUUUUAUCGGUACAAUUGCUGUAGGAGAGGAGAGAGGAGUGUCUUGCGCUAGAGCUGCUAGCAUUCAUUUUCCCGUGCUUCGGUACUUCUCACUAUUUGUGGGAAAAUGUUUGAUUGGUCGUGGGAAAGCUGGGUCACUUAGUUUCCCAGAUCUUGCGGUCUUGCGCGAAGCCCUUUAUAAUGAUAAAACUUAUAGCUUGGGCGCUAUAGUAGGUCAACGGUUAAACCUAAACUGUUCUAAAGGUGUUGUCUAUGGAGGUACCUUUGCUACCCGUCUUGCCAGACACUUUGAGAUACCCAUUAGACUGGAGGAGGAAAAAGAGAUGCUUCUUCCCGAGAGAUAUCUAGAUUACGAUAGCAUGGUUCGCCAUGACUUUCUUGAUAGAGAUAUAGGUGGAAGGAUGAUUUAUAACUUGGUAUUUAGUCAGGGUACUCGUGAGACUAUUACUUUGCCUGCUCCUUCUUUGUUCAAUCUUCCUGCAGGAAGGUACACUAUUAUUCCCUCAGACAUCUACACAUAUUGGGGCUUGGCCCAACCACAGGUGCCCGUGCCCGAGCCACCAGUCGAGUACCAGACGCCAGUUUAUCAAUGGGAGCUGGAGGAGCUCACACAGCACUGGCAUCCUCAGUCCACUCCGGAGCAUCCCGGAGCUGGUUAUUUCCCUCCUUGGGAGUAGACCAAGUUAGGACAAAAGCCUAAGCUUGGGGGAGUACGUGUUCUCACCGACUUGUUAGCCGGUGUUCACACUUUGCCACUGUAUCAUCCAUGCUAGUUUUACUUUCUUUUUCUCGUUUUGUUUUCGUGUGUCUGUCUAGUUUGAGAAAAACCCAAAAAUAUUUUCUUUUUCUUGUUUUGCUUGUUGGGAGCUUUCCCGUAUAAAUAGUUUUUCUUUUCUUUGGGUCAAGGUAGAAGAUAUUGGUUACAAUGUUUAGUGUCUCUUGCAUGCAUACCUGUUUAACUUUCAAAGAGCCAUAUUACUUUGUCUUCUCCUUUGUGUUUGCCCAAUCUCAGCUCUAUAUCUUCCGUUUCGCCAUGAAAAAAUCAGAGAGAAGGUUUCAUCGCGUUUUGCGAUACGGAGGCGCCGCCACAUCUAGUUCUUCAUCUGGAGGGCAGAUCUGGAGUCCAUUUCGGGCUCCGGAGAAGGGAAAUCGUUGCCAUCAUCAUCAUCAACCUUUCUCCAUCGACAAUUCCAUGAUGCUCUGCAUCGUUCGUGAGUAAUCUCAUCGUAGGCUUGCUGGACGGUGAUGAGUUGGAUGAGAUCUAUCAUGUAAUCGAGUUAGUUCUUGACGGGGAUUGAUCCCUAGUAUCCACUAUGUUCUAGAUUGAUGUUGCUACUACUUGGCUAUGCUUAAUGCUUGUCACUAGGGCUUGAGUGCCAUGAUUUCAGAUCUGAGCCUAUUAUGUUGUCGCCAAUAUAUGUGUGUUUUAGAUCCUAUCUUGCAAGUUGUAGUCACCUAUUAUGUGUUAUGACCCGGCCAUCCCGGAGUGACAAUAGCCGGAACCACUCCCGGAGAUGACCAUAGUAUGAGGAGUUCAUCUAUUCACCACGUGUUAAUGCGUUGGUCCGGUUCUUUAUUAAAAGGAGAACCUUAAUAUCACGUAGUUCCCAUGAGGACCCCGCUGCCACAGGAGGGAUGGACAAUAGAUGUCAUGCAAGUUCUUUUCCCUAAGCACGUAUGACUACAUACGGAAUACAUGCCUACAUUAGAUUGAUGAACGGGAGCUAGCCACAUAUCUCUCAGUGUUAUAGCUGUUACAUGAUGAAUCACAUCCGUCAUACUCAUCCAUCACCGAUCCACUGCCUACGAGUCUUUUACUACUGGUCCUCGCAAUGUUACUUUGCCUAGGCUUGUCCCUUGCUACAAGAGGGAUUGGGCCACUUUGCUACUGUCACUACUAUUGUUACUUGUUAGGUCGCUGCUGCUGUCACAACUGUUGUUACUUGCUACUCCGAUGUUACUUGUUGAAAGACUUUGUUGGCGUUAACAUCCCGUCAACAAGGCUUUUACUGGCGCCGUUGCCGGGGAUUGUCAAAGCUUUUUCUGGCACCGUUGCUAUCGUACUACCUUGCUACUGAUACUUUUCUUGCAGACACUAAUCUUUCAGGUGUGGUUGAAUUGACAACCCAGCUGCUAAUACUUGAGAAUAUUCUUUACCUUCCCCUUGUGAGCGAAUCAAUAAAUUUGGGUUGAAUACUCUACCCUCGAAAACUGCUGCGAUCCCAUACGCUUGUGGGACAUCAGGGCCUUGCGAAUCUUCCUGACAAGGAGGGCUUGUCGGGGCCUUGCGAGACCUUGCGAGCCUUCCCAGCAAGGAGGGCUUGCCGAGCCCUUGUGUCUAGAACUUUUGUACUCUACGCCCUCAGCGAGGGGGCGUGGCCUCGGUGUGUCUUGGUUUGUCUUCCUGCCAGUUGUCCUUGUGUGCAGCCGCCAGGGGCGUCGCCGGUGCCCGUGCACAAGUCUGGGGCACAAGGGACCCUAGUCUCUAGUGUACCAACAGGGAGCGACUGGAGGAUUCUGUCAAAGGUCGCGUCAUCCGGAAGUUCAACUCCGAGCUGAGUCAAGCGAUUGUGCAACCGAGACAUUCUGAGUAUUUGCUCACUGACAGAACUAUUCUCCUCCAUCUUACAAGUAAAGAACUUGUUGGAUACUUCAUAUCUCUCGACCCGGACAUGGGCUUGAAAAACUAGUUUAAGCUCUUCGAGCAUCUUAUAUGCUCCAUGUUCCUCAAAACGCCUUUGGAACCUCGGUUCUAAACUAUAAAGCAUGUCACACUGAACCAGAGAGUAGUCAUCAGUCCACGAUCGCCAGGUGUUCUUAACGUCCUGGGUUGCCGCGGGAACAAGAGGUCCACCUAGCGACGCAUUAAGGACAAAUGCCUUCUUGAAAGCAGUGAGUAUGAGCUUUAAGUUAAGAGCCCAAUCCGCAUAGUUGCUCUCAUCGUCUUUCAGCUUGGUUUUCUCUACAAAGACGUUGAAGUUGAAUGGGACAUUUGCGUUGGCCAUUGGAUCUACAAUAGUUGUAAAAACAAUUUUAGACUAAGUUAAUGAUAAUUAAGUUAAUCUACUCAAAUUAUAUAAUGAGCUCCCACUCAGAUCGUCAUCCCUCUAGUCAUCCAAGUGAUACAUGAUCCACGUCGACUAGCCCGUGUCCGAUCAUCACGUGAGACGAACUAGUCAUCAAUCGUGAGCAUCUCCAUGAUGGUCGUAUCAUCCAUAUGACUCAUGUUCGACCUUUCGGUCUCUUGUGUUCCGAGGCCAUGUCUGUACAUGCUAGGCUCGUCAAGUCAACCUAAGUGUUUUGCGUGUGUAAAUCUGGCUUACAUCCGUUUUAUGCGAACGUUAGAAUCUAUCACACCCGAUCAUCACGUGGUGCUUCGAGACAACGAUCCUUCGUAACGGUGCACACUUAGGGGAAUACUUAUCUCGAAAUUUUAAUGAGGGAUCAUCUUAUCUUUGCUACCGUCGUUCAAAGUAAUAAGAUGAAAACCAUGAUAAACAUCACAUGCAAUCAUAUAGUGACAUGAUAUGGCCAAUAUCAUCUUGCUCCUUUGAUCUCCAUCUUCGGGGCACCAUGAUGAUCAUUGUCACCUGCAUGACACCAUGAUCUCCAUCAUCGUGAUCUCCAUCAUUGUGUCUUCGUGAGAGUCGUCUCGCGAACUAUUUCUUUUACUACUAUAGCUAACGAUUUAGCAAUGAAGUAAAAUAAUCACAUGGCGUUGCAUCUCAUACAAUAAAUUAAGACAACUCCUACGGCUCCUGCCGGUAUUCAUAAUCGUCGACAUGCAAGUUGUGAAUCCUAUUACAAGAACAUGAUCAAUCUCAUACAUCACAUAUGUGACAUCACAUCCUUUUGGCCAUAUCACAUCACAUGCCAUACCCUGCAAAAACAAGUUAGACAUCCUCUAAUUUUUGUUGCAAGUUUUACGUGUCUGAUUUUGGUUUCUAGAAAGAACGCUUCUUACCUACGCCAAUGCUUUUAUACUUCAUAAGGAUCCUCUUCAUCGAAUCCGAUCCGACUCAAGUUGGAGAGACGCACACCCGCUAGCCACCUUAUGCAACAAGUGCAUGUUGGUCGGUGGAACCAGUCUCACGUAAGAGUACGUGUAAAGUCGGUACACGCCGCUUCAUCCCAUGAUGUCGCCGAAUCAAGAUAAGACUAGUAACGGCAAGCAAUUGACAAAAUCAUCGCCCACAACUUUUGUGUUCUACUCGUGCUUAGAAUCUACGUAUAGAACCUGGCUCGAAUGCCACCUUCGGGGAACGUAGUAAUUUUAAAAAACAUCCUACGCUUCACAAGGAUCUAUCUAGGAAAAACCAGGAACGAGCAAAGGAGUAGAGCAUCUUCAUACCUUUGAAGAUCGCUAAGUGGAAGGGUUGCUAGAACGCGGUUGACGGAGUCGUACUCGUAGCGAUUCAAAUCGCGAUGGAUUCCGAUCUAAGCGCCGAACAACGGCGCCUCCAUGUUCAACACACGUGCAACCCUGUGACGUCUCCUACGCCUUGAUCCAGCAAGGAGAGAGGAGAGGUUGAGGGAGAGUUCCGGCAGCAUGACGGCGUGUUGACGGUGGAGCUGCGUGGUACUCCUCGAGGGCCUUGCCAAGCGCUACGGAGGACGAGGAGGAGGAGGGGUAGGGCUGCUCCUUGGAGGUGGAAGAACUUGUGUCUAGCAACCCCAAACCCUUGGGUUUAUAUAGGAGGAGAGGGAGGAGGCUGAACCACCCCUAGGGUUUCCACCCUAGGUGGUGCGGCAGCCCUUGAUGGGGUGGCCGGCGGCCAAGUGGAGGAGGAGGCGGCGUCCUAGGGUGGCUUGCCAUCAAAGGCAUGCCCCGUGCCUAGGGUUAGCCCACCCUUCCCUCUUUUGCGCCUUGGGCUGAAGGUGGCUGGCGCACCAGCCCACCUAGGGGCUGGUUCCCAUCCACUUUUGGCCCACUUAGCCUUUUGGGGCUGGUGGGCCUUCCCGGUGGACCCCCGGAACCCUUCCGGUGGUCCCAGUACAAUACUAACGAUCUCCGGAACUCUUCCAAAGAUCAAAACUCCACUUUCUAUAUAUGAAUCUUUACCUCCGGACCAUUCCAAAACUCCUCGUGACAUCCGAGAUCUCAUCCGGGACUCCGAACACUCUUCGGUAACCACGUAUACUAUUCCCAUUAUAACCCUAGCGUCAUCGAACCUUAAGUGUGUAGACCCUACGGGUUCGGGAACCAUGCACACAUGACCGAGACACCUCUCCAGUCAAUAACAAACAACGGGGUUUGGAUAUCCAUGUUGUCUCCCACAUGUUCCAUGAUGAUCUUAUCGGAUGAACCACGAUGUCGGGGAUUCAAUCAAUCUCGUAUGCAAUUCCCUUUGUCUACCGGUAUGAUACUUGCCCGAGAUUCGAUCAUCUGUAUCCCUAUACCUUGUUCAACCUCGUUACCGACAAGUGUCUUUACUCAUUCUGUAACACAUCAUCCCGUGGCUAACUCCUCAGUUACAUUGAGCUCAUUAUGAUGAUGCAUUACCGAGUGGGCCCAGAGAUAUCUCUCCGUCACACGGAGUGACAAAUCCUAGUCUUUAUCCGUACAACCCAACAGACACUUUCGGAGAUACAUGUAGUGCACCUUUAUAAUCACCGAGUUACGUUGUGACAUUUGAUACACCCAAAUCACUCCUACGGUAUCCGGGAGUUGCACAAUCUCAUAGUCUAAGGAAACGAUACUUGACAUUAGAAAAGCUUUAGCAGACGAAUGAUACGAUCUAGUGGUAUGCUUAGGAUUGGGUCUUGUCCAUCACAUCAUUCUCCCAAUGAUGUGAUCAUGUUUUCAGUGACAUCCAAUGUCCAUGAUCAGGAAACCAUGAUCAUCUAUUGAUCAACGAGCUAGCCAACUAGAGGCUCAAUAGGGACACAUUAUGAUCUAUAUAUUCACACAUGUAUUACGGUUUCCAGUUAAUACAAUUAUAACAUGAAUAAUAGACAAUUAUCAUGAACCUGGAAAUAUAAAAAUAGCCACUUUAUUAUUGCCUCUAGGGCAUAUUUCCAUCAGAACAUCUCCAUGUUGAUCGUAUCAUCCAUACGACUCAUGUUCGACCUUUCAGUCUCUCGUGUCCCGAGGUCAUGUCUGUAGAUGAUAGGAUCGUCGAGUCAACCUAAGUGUUUUGCGUGUGUAAAUCUGGCUUACACCCGUUUUAUGCGAACGUUAGAAUCUGUCACACCCAAUCAUCAUGUAGUGCUUCGAGACAACGAUCCUUCACAACGGUGCACACUUAGGGGAAUACUUAUCUCGAAAUUUAAUGAGGGAUUAUAUUAUCUUUGCUACCGUCGUUCUAAGCAAUAAGAUGAAAAACGUCAUAAACAUCACGUGCAAAUCAUAUACUGACAUGAUGUGGCUAUUAUCAUCUUGCACCUUUGAUCUCCAUCUUCGGGCGCGGCAUGAUCACCACCAUCACCGGCACGACACCAUGAUCUACAUCAUCAUGAUCUCCGUCAUGGUGUCUCCAUGAAGUUGUCUCGCCAACUAUUACUUCUACUACUAUAGCUAACAGUUAGCAAUAAAGUAAAGUAAUCGUAUGGCGAUAUUAAGAUUGACACGCAGGUCAUACAAAUAUUGAAGACAACUCCUAUGGCUCUUGCCGGUUGUCGUGAUUCCUAUUACAAGAACAUGNNNNNNNNNNNNNNNNNNNNNNNNNNNNNNNNNNNNNNNNNNNNNNNNNNNNNNNNNNNNNNNNNNNNNNNNNNNNNNNNNNNNNNNNNNNNNNNNNNNNNNNNNNNNNNNNNNNNNNNNNNNNNNNNNNNNNNNNNNNNNNNNNNNNNNNNNNNNNNNNNNNNNNNNNNNNNNNNNNNNNNNNNNNNNNNNNNNNNNNNNNNNNNNNNNNNNNNNNNNNNNNNNNNNNNNNNNNNNNNNNNNNNNNNNNNNNNNNNNNNNNNNNNNNNNNNNNNNNNNNNNNNNNNNNNNNNNNNNNNNNNNNNNNNNNNNNNNNNNNNNNNNNNNNNNNNNNNNNNNNNNNNNNNNNNNNNNNNNNNNNNNNNNNNNNNNNNNNNNNNNNNNNNNNNNNNNNNNNNNNNNNNNNNNNNNNNNNNNNNNNNNNNNNNNNNNNNNNNNNNNNNNNNNNNNNNNNNNNNNNNNNNNNNNNNNNNNNNNNNNNNNNNNNNNNNNNNNNNNNNNNNNNNNNNNNNNNNNNNNNNNNNNNNNNNNNNNNNNNNNNNNNNNNNNNNNNNNNNNNNNNNNNNNNNNNNNNNNNNNNNNNNNNNNNNNNNNNNNNNNNNNNNNNNNNNNNNNNNNNNNNNNNNNNNNNNNNNNNNNNNNNNNNNNNNNNNNNNNNNNNNNNNNNNNNNNNNNNNNNNNNNNNNNNNNNNNNNNNNNNNNNNNNNNNNNNNNNNNNNNNNNNNNNNNNNNNNNNNNNNNNNNNNNNNNNNNNNNNNNNNNNNNNNNNNNNNNNNNNNNNNNNNNNNNNNNNNNNNNNNNNNNNNNNNNNNNNNNNNNNNNNNNNNNNNNNNNNNNNNNNNNNNNNNNNNNNNNNNNNNNNNNNNNNNNNNNNNNNNNNNNNNNNNNNNNNNNNNNNNNNNNNNNNNNNNNNNNNNNNNNNNNNNNNNNNNNNNNNNNNNNNNNNNNNNNNNNNNNNNNNNNNNNNNNNNNNNNNNNNNNNNNNNNNNNNNNNNNNNNNNNNNNNNNNNNNNNNNNNNNNNNNNNNNNNNNNNNNNNNNNNNNNNNNNNNNNNNNNNNNNNNNNNNNNNNNNNNNNNNNNNNNNNNNNNNNNNNNNNNNNNNNNNNNNNNNNNNNNNNNNNNNNNNNNNNNNNNNNNNNNNNNNNNNNNNNNNNNNNNNNNNNNNNNNNNNNNNNNNNNNNNNNNNNNNNNNNNNNNNNNNNNNNNNNNNNNNNNNNNNNNNNNNNNNNNNNNNNNNNNNNNNNNNNNNNNNNNNNNNNNNNNNNNNNNNNNNNNNNNNNNNNNNNNNNNNNNNNNNNNNNNNNNNNNUAUAUUUAUAUGUGAACCUCACUUUCUUUAUUACUUCCUAUUAAUUGCAGAAAUGAUCAAGGUCUAUGUUUGUCCACCCACAACAAGUUUCAAUCAACAUUCUUUUUAUAUGUGGAGCCAUCACUUCCCAUAAGAUCAUUACAUGAUCUUUCAUGCUGUUGUUCUUUUAUCAUUUUUUUCUUUUGAUCAUGGCAUGAAGCAAGUCCCUUAACUAAAACAAUCUUUAUUAAAAGACUCACAAACUCGAACACAUCGGGGGUGACACAAAGAAAACUCAAACCUAAAACAUUAAGAACUUAAUUCUACUAGAGAAAGAUAAAACCAAAAAGGAUCGAACUAAGAAAAGGUAAAGGCAAAAGACGUGUUGGUGAUACGAUACCGGGGCAACUCCCCCAAGCUUGGCACAAGCCAAGGGGAUUGCCCAUACCCGUGCAAAGUUGUCUUCCUUUGGAGGUGAUGGUGGUGGAGUUGUUGUAGAGUUCUUGAGCUUGUUUAAUUUCCUCUUGAGCACAAAAUUCUGCUCCUUCAGAUCGUUAAUUUCCUCUUCAAGCCUCAACACCCUUUGGCAUAAUUCUUGCUUACUUUCCUGCAAAAAGAUGAGAAGGGAUAAACAAAAUCUUAGGCUUCUUCCUUGAGUUGGGGAGGCUCGAUUUCUUGAACUCCACAUGUGUGUUUCGAGAUUGGAGUAGAGGAACUUCCUCUUCAUCAGAGCUUGUUCCUUCCUUCCCCUUGGGAUCAUAAUCUGCUUCCUCAUCAGUGGUCCAACCAUAAGGAUCCAAGUCCCCAUAGACCUAGGGGUUAGCAAGGUAGUCGACCACAUAGCUUUCCCCCUCUGAAUCUUGAUAAGACAUCUUGCCCUAAAUCUGGGGUAGAAACAGGCUCGAAACGAAAAUACAGGAAAUUUGCACGAUAGUGAUCCCGCUUCCAGGAGCUUUAGUAUUUCUUUUCAUACUACUUCUUUCAUCUUAGGAUUUCAUCUCCUUUGAUGAUCAGCAACUGGUUUGAAAUCAGGAUCAGUUUUGAUCUUGUGCUGGCAUAGAGCGGGACUAAUGCCCUUAAGAUCAUCAAGAGUAUAUCCUAUAGCAGCACGGUGCUUCCUCAGAGUUUUUAGCAACUUCUUUUCUUCAUGUUCUGAAAGGCUAAUACUAAUUAUAAUAGGAUAUAUCUCUUUUUCAUCAAGAUAAGCAUACUUAAGAGUAUCAGGCAACUGUUUAAGCUCGAACAUAGGAUCACCCUUUGGUGGGGGUGGAUCUCCAAGCAGUUCAACAGGCAAAUUAUUCUUAAGGAUAUGAUAGUGUUCAAAGAUAACUCUAUCUAUCUCAUUCCUUUCAUCCAUAUGCAUAUCAUUUCCAUGCUCAAGCAAGUAUUGCUCUAAAGGAUCAGUAGGAGGCACAACAAUAGAAGCUAGGGCAAUAAUUUCAUAUUUACUAGACAACUCGUUUUCAUGAGGUUGUCUACCAAACUUGGAGAAAUUGAACUCAUGUGAAGCUCCCUCAAAGCCAACAGUAACAGUUUGCUUCUCACAGUCAAUAUGAGCAUUGAUAGUAUUGAGGAAAGGUCUGCCAAAUAUGAUGGGACAAAAGCUAUCUUGUGUGGUAGCAAGAACGAGAAAAUCAGCACGAUACUUCGUUUUACCACACAAGACUUCAACAUCCGUAAAAUUCCCAAAGGGGAGAUAGUAUCUCUAUUGGCAACCUGAAUAGUGACAUCAAUAGGUUCCAUCUCGACAGGUGCAAUCUCGUCUUUAAUUUCAUCAUAUAGAGAUUGAGGUAUUGCACUAACACUAGCACCCACGUCACAUAAACCAUGAUAACAAUGAUCUCCUAUCUUAACAGAAACAACAGGCGUGCCAACAACAGGCCUAUGUUUGUCUCUAGCAUGAGGUUUAGCAAUUCUAGCAGCAUCUUCACAGAAGUGAAUAUCAUGUCCCUCAACAUUGUCGGACAGGAGAUCUUUGAUAAUAGUAAUGGUAGGUUCAACUCUAAUUUGCUCAGGGGGUGUAGGUGUUCUAAUGUAGCCCCUAUGUAUCACCGUUGAAGAUUUAGAAUGAUCCUUUAUUCUAAUAGGGAAUGGUGGUUUCUCAAUGUAAGCACUAGGAACAAUAGGAUCAUUAUAAGUGAUGACUUUCUCUUCAACUGGAUUGGGUUUAACUACAUUCACUUCUAAGGGAGGAUGAUAUUUAAACCACAUCUCUUUAGGGAGAUCAAUAUGAGCAGCAAAUGAUUCACACAACGAAGCUACUAUCUCAGAGUCAAGUCCAUAUUUAGCGCUAAAAUCACAAAAAGUAUUUGUUUCAACAAAGGAUUUAACGCAAUCAAACUUAAGAUUCAUACCUGGCUCCUUACUGAUACGUCUCCAACGUAUCUAUAAUUUUUUAUGGUUCCAUGCUAUUAUCUUGUCAAACUUAGGAUGUUUUGUAUGCCUUUUAUAUCUUUUUUGGGACUAACUUAUUAACUCAGUGCCAAGUGCCAGUUCCAGUUUUUUCUGUGUUAUGACCUUUUUUAGAGGAGAAUAUCAAACAGAGUCCAAACGGAAUAAAACCUGUGAAAAUAUUUUUUCUAGAAAAGAAGAUACGCAGGAAGCUUGAGAACCAAGGCAGAGGGCACCAGGGAAGGCCACAAGCCCCCUAGCCGCAGCCUAGGGGGGCGCGCCUAGCAGCGUUGUGGGCCCCCUGUGGCUCCUCUGCCCUACUUAUUCCGCCUAUAAAUCCCCAAAAAAUCCAAAACCACGGGAGAGAGCCACGAAAAUACUUUUCCGCCGCCGCAAGCUUCUGUCUCCGCAAGAUCCCAUCUAGGGCACGUUCUGGUGCCCUGCCGGAGGGGGGAUUCAGACACGGAGGGCUUCUUCAUCAACACCAUUGCCUCUCCGAUGAUGCGUGAUUAGUUCACCAUAGACCUUCGGGUCCAUAGUUAGUAGCUAGAUGGCUUCUUCUCUCUCUUGGAUCUUCAAUACAAAGUUCUCCAUGAUCUUCAUGGAGAUAGAUCCGAUGUAAUCUUCUUUUGCGGUGUGUUUGUCGAGAUCCGAUGAAUUGUGGAUUUAUGAUCAGAUUAUCUAUGAAUCUUAUUUGAGUUUCUUCUGAUCUCUUAUAUGCAUGAUUUCAUAUCCUUGUAAUUCUCUUCGAGUUGUGGGUUUUGUUUGGCCAACUUGAUCUAUGAUUCUUGCAAUGGGAGAAGUGCUUGGUUUUGGGUUCAUACCGUGCGGUGACCUCACCCAGUGACAGAAGGGGUAGCAAGGCACGCACCGUGUUGUUUCCAUCAAGGGUAAAAAGAUGGGGUUUAUAUUUAUUGCUUGAAUUUAUCCCUCUACAUCAUGUCAUCUUGCUUAAGGCGUUACUCUGUUUGUCAUGAACUCAAUACACUAGAUGAGUGCUGGAUAGCGGUGGAUGUGUGCAGUAAUAGUAGUAGAUGCUGAAAGUGUCGGUCUACUUGUCUCGGACGUGAUGCCUAUAUGUAUGAUCAUUGCCUUAGAUAUCGUCAUGACUUUGCGCGGUUCUAUCAAUUGCUUGACAGUAAUUCGUUCACCCACCGUAAUAUUUGUUAUCAGGAGAGAAGCCUCUAGUGAACCCUAUGGCCCCCGGAUCUUCUUCACACCAUAUUUUCAGCCCUACAGUUUUACUUUGCUGCACUUUCCGCCUUCAGAUCUCACCUUGCAAUCAAUCGUGAAGGGAUUGACAACCCCUUUGUAGCGUUGAGUGCAAGUUUUCUGUUUUUGCGCAGGUACUUUGGAGAGUUGGCUUGAUAAUCCUACUGGAUUGAUACCUUGGUUCGCAAACUGAAAGAAAUACUUACUGCUACUGUGCUGCAUCACGCUUUCCUCUUCAAGGGAAAAAACCAACGCAAGCUCAAGAGGUAGCAAGAAGAAUUUCUGGCGCCGUUGCCGGGAAGCAUCAAGUGAAGCUUAUCCAAGUAACCAUCGCAAACUCAUCUCUUGCAUUAACUUUUUUGCCUCUCGUUUUCGUCUCCCCAACUUCUGAAAAACAAAAAUUUACAAAAAUAUUUACCUUUUUCGUUCGCCCUUUUCUUUCGCUUGCUUUCUGCCUGCUUGUGUGGGAUAGUCUACCUGUCCCCAUGGCUAGACCUACCGCUUCGAACGUUACUCCCGAGAGGGAAGUUCUCAAUUUCAAACAAAAUGAGGAAGAAAACUUAAANNNNNNNNNNNNNNNNNNNNNNNNNNNNNNNNNNNNNNNNNNNNNNNNNNNNNNNNNNNNNNNNNNNNNNNNNNNNNNNNNNNNNNNNNNNNNNNNNNNNUGUCGCCUAGAGGGGGGGGGGAAUAGGCGCUUUAAAAUAAUUAAGGUUUAGGCUUGAACAAAUGCGGAAUAAAACUAACGUUUAAUAGGCAAGCACAAAACCUACAAACAACUAGGCUCACCUAUGUGCACCAACAAGUUAUGCUAAGCAAGAUAAACAACUAAGUGAUAGCAAGAUAUAUUACAAUAAACAAUAUGUCUAUCACAAAGUAAAGUGCAUAAGUAUAGGGUUCGGGAAGGAGAUAACCGAGGAACGGGGAGACGAUGAUGUAUCCCGAAGUUCACACCCUUGCGGAUGCUAAUCUCCGUUAUAGCGGUGUGGAGGCACAAUGCUCCCCAAGAUGCCACUAAGACCACCGUAAUCUCCUCACGCCCUCGCACAAUGCAAGAUGCCGUGAUUCCUCUAAGGGACCCUUGAGGGCGGUCACCGAACCCGUACAAAUGGCAAACCUUGGGGGCGGUCACCGAACCCGUACACGUGGCNNNNNNNNNNNNNNNNNNNNNNNNNNNNNNNNNNNNNNNNNNNNNNNNNNNNNNNNNNNNNNNNNNNNNNNNNNNNNNNNNNNNNNNNNNNNNNNNNNNNNNNNNNNNNNNNNNNNNNNNNNNNNNNNNNNNNNNNNNNNNNNNNNNNNNNNNNNNNNNNNNNNNNNNNNNNNNNNNNNNNNNNNNNNNNNNNNNNNNNNNNNNNNNNNNNNNNNNNNNNNNNNNNNNNNNNNNNNNNNNNNNNNNNNNNNNNNNNNNNNNNNNNNNNNNNNNNNNNNNNNNNNNNNNNNNNNNNNNNNNNNNNNNNNNNNNNNNNGGAGGCCCCGACGCUUGCGUGGAGCUUCACACCACAAUGAUUGAGUUCCGAGACACCACCAAGCUUCUAGGAUGCCAAAGGAUCCACGAAGAACAAUAUCUAGGGUACUAACUACCAAAGGUAGUAAGCUUGUCAACUUCUCACUUCCACGUAUCACCGUGGAGAACUCAAACCGAUGCAACUAAUGCAAUGGCAAGAACACACGAAGUGGUCAAGUCCCUCACACUCAAAUCCCUCCACAACAACAAAAGCCAUGGAGAAAUAUGAGAGGAAGAACAAGGAGCUCACAAAGAACUCCAAGAUCUAGAUCCAAGGGGUUCCCCUCACAUAGAGGAGAAAGUGAUUGGUGGAGAUGUGGAUCUAGAUCUCCUCUCUCUUUUCCCUCAAGAAAAAUCAAGAAUCAUUGGAGGGAUCGAGAGUUAGCAAGCUCUAAGAAUGUCAACAAUGGAGGUAGAACAAGAGCUCAACGGAUAUAUAAGGCAAGGGGGAAGAACCCCCCUUUAUAUAGUGGGGGAAGGAAUCAGACCGUUACCCCCACUUACAGCCCGAGCCCAGCGGUAUUACCGCUGGCUCUAGCGGUACUACCGCUGACCCUCUAGCGGUACUACCGCUGGCUGCAGCAGUACUACCGUUGGCUCUGCAGCGGUACUACCGCUGAGCCCAUGGUACCGCAAAGUUACUACCGGGCCAACCACCGCCAAGAAAGUCUUCGCAAAAAUGUCCGGUGGAGUACAACCGCAAAGAUGACGGUACUAAAAACUUGGAGGGGUACUACCACUGGCCAGGGGCGGUACUACCGCUGGGAGAGCGGUACUACCGCCAGCUCUAGCGGUACUACCGCUAGGGCCAGCGGUACUACCGCCAACUCUAGCGGUACUACCGCUAGGUCCAGCGGUACUACCGCUCGCCACUGAAACAACCAUAACUUUCGCAUACGAGCUCCGAAUCGAGCAAACGCAAGCUUGUUGGAAAUCUUAAGACCAUAAGCUCUAAAACACACAAAGAGAAACACCAAACAAGAACCAAGAAGUAUGAUGCAAGGAUGCAAAUGGUUUGAGCUCUCAAUGAACGAUACGGUCAAGCUACUCACUUGAGAGCCCCCUUGAUAGUACAACAAUCUAUCCUAAACAGAAAACCUAUCNAGAUAUAUGCUCUAACAAUCUCCCCCAUUUUGGUAAUUGAUGACAACUACUACAAGAGAGUUUAUAUAAGUAAAUAAGCAUAACCAACCGCACACAUAGAAAACAAUAAUGCAUGCGUGCAAGAUGUAAAUGCUUACGCAAUAAAAGCAAACCCCUCUAAACAUAUCCAAAGUAAACUCUCUAAACUUCUCCCCCAUUGGCAUCGAUUGCCAAAAUGGACGAAAAGUUUAGAAAGCCAAUAUAUUUGGUGGUCCUCCAAAAAGUGUGUACUUCUCAGCAAAUAGGUGGAAAGAAAUACACAAAUACAAUGAUAAGUAGUUGGAGGAAAACAAACUAUAUUGAGGACCCAAAGAUUGCAAAUAAAAGAAUCGUAUGCCACAAGGACAUACCAAAAUAGAGGCAAGCAAUCAAAAGAUACGGGAUGGAACAAACAAUCAUAUGGUCCUUCGAACCACAUGAAUAAAAGAUAUUAUGAUAAAAGCAACAGAGUGUUUUAUCAAAACUAGAGAAGCUCCCCAUGAUUUGUGCACUAAUAAGAGAUUUUUGUAUAUGAUACAAGUGCACAAAAUAGGAUCGUUGCUCCCCCAAAAUUAAUAAAAACACACAACGGGUGCAAGAAGAAAGAUGAGACAAUAAGCAAAUCUCUUGCACAAAACAAGUGGUUGAGCAACAUGUAAAAGAAGCAACUUAAGAUUAGGCUCAACCAAAAUUAUGUGUGUGAGUCAUGGCAAGGCCCUUGAGAAGACUAAGAUAAGGAUGAACAUUACUCAUCAACAUAGUCUUGAUGAAAUGAGACACAAAGUGCAAGACAUAUCAUUCCCACACACACAUACUAGAAAAUGGGUUCACAAGCUUACUAAUAAACAAAAUAAGAACCAACGCUUGUGACAACCCAUGGUGAAGAUAGGAAAUAAUAACCUUGUCAAGAGAGGAGGGAUACCAAUCGAAAUGGAAAAACCCUCAUCAAUACAGGCAUGAGGAAAAAUAAUCUUCACGGCCAAAGAGUGCAUCAAGGUGUAGGAAAAUCAGAUACGCACUCAAGACAAAUCCUUUCAUGAAGCCACAAAAAACUGAAAAAAGGAAAUGCAAUGGUGGACGUAAAAGAAAAGAGGAUAUCAAUUAGAGAUGUAACUUCUCUCAUGUGUAAAAGAUUCUAAGUAGAAGACAAUCAUGAUGAUAUAUAUCCACGAAGAAGAAUGUACACACGAAAUGGUUACAAGAAGGAACAAACUAGAUAUACAAAGGAAGUCAUAAAUAUAUCAAUAAGAUCUUUUGCUUGGAAGCAUAGCACAUGGCCUAAUAUUUUCUUAUUGUACAAUAUGAACUUCCAACAUACGAACAUCAAAGACAUCCCAACUAGUCAUAAGACAUCAUCGUUAGGAUGUUUUGAGAAAGGAAACAAGUACUACAAGAACGAAUCAAGAGAUUCAUGCCAUGAUGCACCCUGCAAAGAAAAGACAGGGGCCUUUGCAAGAAAAGAAUGCAUGAAGUAGAUAGUUGUUACCGAGACAACAUUGGAUUGAUGUAGUAGAUAGUUGUUCUUUGAUCAUCCUAACUUGGCUCCAAUAAUCACAUGGUCUCAACCCCUUCCUUAUAGUUGAGCCGAGCAUCCAAUGCAUCUCCAAUUGUUCCUGGAACAACAGAACAAACAAAAUGGUGCUCAAACUCAUUGGGACCAAAGAGUUAGAAAACGAGCAAUACAUAGGACAAACUCCACAUACAUAUGUGCAUAUAGAUAUGAAUUUGAAUUUCAUGCACACGUUAGCCAUUUUAUGACAAGGUGGAGUUUCCCCUAUAUAUUGGGUCAAAGAAAGAAAGCAUGCCAAAGGAAAUACCUAUAGUAAAUAUGCAUGCUCAAGGCUUUCAAGAAUCCAAUCAACAUAUAGUUGAUAAGAUACCAAAAGACAAGGUAUCAAGUGAUAAUAAGAUAGCAAAUGAAAAACUAUGACUUGAGGGAUAUCAAUUAAAAUAUACAACAAGGAAUGAGAUAUCCAUUGACACAUGCCAAAUAAAAAGGAAACAAGAUACCAAUUGAAGGAAAACAGACACGAGGUAUCUAGUUUCCAACAGAGAGCUAGGUUCCAACAAACCAAACCCUCGACAAAUUUUCAUGAUGGCACAAAGCAUCAUAAAGAGCAAGACUUGCCUCCCAUCAAUAUACACUUGAUGGGGAUCAAAAGAUUUUAUGAGGGGCAAAUAAAGAGAGUGUUCUAAACAAAAUAGGAUAGCUCCCCCAAGGGUUGUGCAUUAUAUAGAAUUUGCAUUUAAAUAAAAAAUGCACAAGAUGGGAUCAUCACUUUCUCUAUAUCUAUAAAAACACUAGACAAGUUAAAAUAGGUCCACAAGAGGCAAGGAAGACAAACAAAACACAAAAUCCAAUGUAAAGACGAUUAGCAAUUCCUACCACAUGAUGGGAAUACCAAUUGUCAAGGACAAGAAGUAUUUUGGAAAUGAUACUCAUUGAUAGAUCGCAAAUAAUCCAAGAUCAUCUUUACCCAUAAAACGCAAGCAAAUGGCACUUGUAGAGCAAACAUGCCACCUAGGAACAAGAUAAUUUACAAUAUCAACACUAAGUGGCAAUACCUCAAAUGUACACAUUCUCUAGUCUUCUAAUAUGCACAUAGCAUAUUACUCCCCCAUAAUGUGAUAACCUAACAAUAUUAACAAGUGGCAAACAAAAAACCGACAAGAGAUAAUUAAUGGACCAUUUUGAAUUUGAAUUUCUCAUGAGUAAGACAUACCACAUAGAAGCUAGAUAAUCUUGAAAUAUCAAUACUAAGUGGUAUUCCCCAUGUAUACACUUUUAUAGGAUCUUGAGGUGUGCAAAGCACAUCACUCCCCCAUAAUGAAAUAAUCCAUUAAUCUCUCACAAGAGCCAAUCAAAGAUAGAAACAAGAUGCAAUAAGGCUCAAUACAAGACUCACAUGUACAAGAUAUGCAAACCAACAUACACAUAUUCGCUUACUCAAGAUAAGCAAGUUGGAAGCACAACAUAUACAAACACAUGCAAGGUACAAAACCACAACAUGCAAAAGGGGCAAGCAACUAACAAUGUAAAUAGUUUAAGUACAAGUUACCGUAAGGAGGCACAUUGGAUAUAAGAUAGAAACUCGAUAAUCCAAAUGACUUGGCUUGAGAUAAUAUGAAUGAUGAAGACCCCUUAAUUCUUCAUUAUGUAUCCAAGUCUCUAAUGUCCUCCAUAUUCACCUAUUGAUCAAGUUUGAGCUUGUUGGCCCCCAACCACGUUGGGUCCUAAGAGGUUAGUCACAAUAGGCUUGGCAACCCAAAUGGUACUUUUCUUGACACCACUUUGAGUACCAACAAAUUUGGCAACCACAUUGCCAACCUUAUCCUUCCUAAGAGAAUAGAUAUCAUCUAUAAUGAUUGGGUUGGAUAAAUUACCUCCCGUGCAAGAAGAAGCGAAGUGACCCUUCUCACGACAUAAGUAGCAACAUCUACCCUUUAAUUUCUUCCCUAUUGAUUUCUCAACAUGAGGAGUGUUGGUUUGGGUCUUCUUGGGAAGGGGCCUUUCUUCAACUUGUAGUUGAGUAUGUGAGUGCACUUGUGGCCUCUUCCCUUGUUGCUUGUCACUUUGGGGCUUCUUCUUUAGUGGGCAAGAUCUAACAUGGUGCCCUUGAAUUUUGCACUUGAAGCAAAUAAUCUUGCCCAAAUUCUUGACUUGUUCUUGGCCCUUCUUCUUGAAGCUUUUGGACUUCUUCUUCUUGUUGGAGUUGAAUCCAAGUCCAUUUUUAUCAUUCGGGGAUUUUUGUCCACACAAGACAUUGUUGAGUGUGGACAUCCCUUCAUGACUCUUUUCCAAGUCUUUCUUCAAGGAAGUGACUUGGGCCUUGAGCUCUUUGAUUUCCUCUACAUGGUUAGUAUCAACACAAGUACUAGAGGAAGUAUAACCUUCAUUGUUAGAGCAACAAUGUAUGGAAAGUAAUUCAACACAAGAUGUAGCAAUAUUAUGAGUAGAUGAAUUACAAGGACUAGCACAUGGCAAUAUAGCUUUUUGACUAGAAGUAGUGCUAAUGUCCACAUGAGGCUCACUCGAUGUUACCUUGGUAGUAAUAGCCUCAUGAGCUAAUUUUAGCACAUUAUGGGAUGCUAGAAGAUCAUCAUGAGAGCUUGUGAGCAUCACAUGACUUUCUUCCAAUUUCCCAUAAUUGCUAGAUAGCAACUCAAGUUGAGCCCUUAGCUCAACAUUCUCCUUUAAAAUGGAUGCUCACAAGAAGUAGAGUUAGUAGCACAAGCAUCUUCAUUAGAAAUAAGAGGAGAAGGCACCUUGGCAAGCUCUUUAGCAUAUGAAGCUUCAAGUUGAGCAUGAGACUCGGUGAAUUCGAUGAGCGAGCUCUUAAUGGCCCGUGAGCCAUUUUCGAGGUGCUCAUAGUCCUCAAGGAGUUUGGCAUGUGCAACUUCAAGCUCAUCAUUUUUAGUUCUAAAAUCAUUAGCCACCUCGAGAGCUCUAUCAUAGGAUCCCUUUAAUCUAGAUAAUUCUAGAGCAAAGGUUUCCUCAAGAGAUUCCUUGGUGGUUUGUUCAUUAUCAAGAACUUGAGAUAGCUCUGCGAUCUCAUUAGCGUAAUCACGCUCAUGACCUUCCAUUGUCUCAAUGGUGGCCUCAUGCUCCUCAAGAUGAGCUUCCAACUCCUCAAUGUAUUUCUUGCCCUCAGUGGCAAUAGACAUGAUUUCCAAAAAGUUGGAACAAGCAAUUUUAUUCUUAUAAAGAUAUUUAAAAAUCAUUUCACCCUUAAUUUUUAAGGAUGCAAUAUUAUCACUCUCUUUAUUAUUAUCCUCAUCCCCAUUAUCAUCAACAUCAUCAUCAUGAGAUAUAUUGGAAUUCAAAGUAGGAGAUACCUUUGAAGCCUUAGCCAUAAGGCAAAAGUGAGUCACAAUAGAUGAUCAUGUAGGAUCCCUUGAAGCAUCAUUCAAGGCCACAUCUUGUUCCAUGGAGUGAUGAAUUUCCUCUACAUUGUUAGCACAACAACUCGGGGAAAUAUAUACAUUUUUAUCAUGGCAACAAGAUAUAGGAGGCAUAUCAUCAUGAGAUUUAGACAGGCAGUUUUUACAUGAUAUGUACGGACUAUCAACACAAGCAUGUGAAACAUUUAGAGUGCUCGAAGUGUUAACGCCCAAAGAUAAAGCAUCGCAAUAAUAUAGUGAUGAAGGAUCAUUAACAAUAAACCCACUUUCAUUAUUGCAAUGGUCACCACUACUCACCAUAUCAUUACCUUGUGGCAAUCCACAUGUAGGUGAAGUAGAUGAAGUUGAGAACACCACACGACCGGAGGUGGAGGGAGAACAAUCAUCCCUGCAAAUCUGGGACACACCAUAUUUAUCUUGAAGCUUUGUCCACAACUCAUGAGCAUCCCGGAAUGGCAUGAGUUGAAAUAUAACUACAUUGCUCAAAGCAUCAAAAAGCACAUUAGAAGCUUGAGCAUUGAGAUAAGAGUUUUUCUCAUCCUCUAAAGAUAUACUUUGAGAAUCCUUUGGAGGAGAAAAACCCAUAUCUACAAUUCGCUCUAAAUUUGGGUCCACGACCCUAAAGUGAUUAAGCAUGCGAAUUACCCAAACAUCAAAAUUUGUGCCAUCGAAACUAAGAGUGUCAGUGAAUCCUAAACCCCUAGUCGACAUCCUUACUCUCUAGGUGGUUAAACCUAAUAAAGAGAGACCUAGCUCUGAUACCAAUUGAAAGGACGUGGAUGUCGCCUAGAGGGGGGGNNNNNNNNNNNNNNNNNNNNNNNNNNNNNNNNNNNNNNNNNNNNNNNNNNNNNNNNNNNNNNNNNNNNNNNNNNNNNNNNNNNNNNNNNNNNNNNNNNNNNNNNNNNNNNNNNNNNNNNNNNNNNNNNNNNNNNNNNNNNNNNNNNNNNNNNNNNNNNNNNNNNNNNNNNNNNNNNNNNNNNNNNNNNNNNNNNNNNNNNNNNNNNNNNNNNNNNNNNNNNNNNNNNNNNNNNNNNNNNNNNNNNNNNNNNNNNNNNNNNNNNNNNNNNNNNNNNNNNNNNNNNNNNNNNNNNNNNNNNNNNNNNNNNNNNNNNNNNNNNNNNNNNNNNNNNNNNNNNNNNNNNNNNNNNNNNNNNNNNNNNNNNNNNNNNNNNNNNNNNNNNNNNNNNNNNNNNNNNNNNNNNNNNNNNNNNNNNNNNNNNNNNNNNNNNNNNNNNNNNNNNNNNNNNNNNNNNNNNNNNNNNNNNNNNNNNNNNNNNNNNNNNNNNNNNNNNNNNNNNNNNNNNNNNNNNNNNNNNNNNNNNNNNNNNNNNNNNNNNNNNNNNNNNNNNNNNNNNNNNNNNNNNNNNNNNNNNNNNNNNNNNNNNNNNNNNNNNNNNNNNNNNNNNNNNNNNNNNNNNNNNNNNNNNNNNNNNNNNNNNNNNNNNNNNNNNNNNNNNNNNNNNNNNNNNNNNNNNNNNNNNNNNNNNNNNNNNNNNNNNNNNNNNNNNNNNNNNNNNNNNNNNNNNNNNNNNNNNNNNNNNNNNNNNNNNNNNNNNNNNNNNNNNNNNNNNNNNNNNNNNNNNNNNNNNNNNNNNNNNNUGAUGAUCUUGGCUUCCUCAAGAUGGACCACCUUUCUCGAUUGCGUUGGCUUGAUGAAGACUAGUUGAUUGCUCCCCCAUACUCACUAUGGGUCAGCCACUCUUCAGCAUAUCUUCACAAGCCCAUUGCCACCACAAUGGACGGCAAGCUUCAAGCAUGAUAUCUUCGUGUUGAUCCACUUGAACUUGCACAUCGCAAUCUUGAUGACGAUCACAACUUGACGUCAUGCUUCAUGGGUUAUAUGAGAUCUUCCCUUUGACGCAAGCCCAUGGAAACACACCUAACCCCCACAUAGAACUCUCACGAAGACCAUGGGUUAGUACACAAACACUUAAUGGACAAUGCUUACCAUACCAUGGGAUCACUUGAUCCCUCUCGGUACAUCUUGUACGCUUUGUGUGUUGAUCAUCUUGAUUUACUCUUUGUCUGAGAUCUUGAUCAACCAUGUGUCUCUAUGACCAUACUUUGGAUAAUACCUUGAAUACCAUCUUGGUCAUCAUAUAAACUCCUUGAACCNNNNNNNNNNNNNNNNNNNNNNNNNNNNNNNNNNNNNNNNNNNNNNNNNNNNNNNNNNNNNNNNNNNNNNNNNNNNNNNNNNNNNNNNNNNNNNNNNNNNNNNNNNNNNNNNNNNNNNNNNNNNNNNNNNNNNNNNNNNNNNNNNNNNNNNNNNNNNNNNNNNNNNNNNNNNNNNNNNNNNNNNNNNNNNNNNNNNNNNNNNNNNNNNNNNNNNNNNNNNNNNNNNNNNNCAUUAGUCCAUAGGAAUUGUCAUCAAUUACCAAAACCACAUAUGGAGAUAUAUGCGCUAACAAGGAUUCCUUGUGUCGUCAACGUGCCCAUUUCUUGCGCCACUGGACGGUCUUUUGUGCAGUAGCAUAACAGACAUCAGAAGCAUUUCUUGCACCGUUGUCGGGGAGGAGAAAUCAAGAUCUAUACAAGUAGGUCUCACAAACUCUUCUCUUGCAUUUACUUUUGUUGCCAGUUGCCUCUCGUUUUCCUCUCCCCCACUUCACAUUUGCCGUUUUCAUUCGCCUUUCUCCUUCGCCGUCUUCUUUUGCUUUUUUGGUUCGCCCUUUUCUCUCGCUUGCUUUCUGUUCGCUUGUGUGCCAUGUGCCCUCAAUAUGCUUGCAUCUUCGCUUGCUGAAAAUCUAGUGAUAUGGAUCCUCAUCCACUUGCUAGUCUCUUUAAGAUACCCACUCGUGUGGAACAAAUUGCUAGUGAGUUGAGGGCAAUUGACUAUUUCUUUGGAGUUUUGUGUAAGAUGCGUGAAUCUGAAAAUUGUGAGGAAGAAAUUCAUGAAGUGAUUCACGAGGGCUCCUUGGAUGAAAAGCAUGAUUGCAAUGGUUUAACUAUAAAUUUUAUUAGUGAUAAUCAUGCUAAAAUUAUGCAAAACCCUAAGCUUGGGGAUGCUAGUUUUGCUUUGUCCACUACUUGUUGCAAUAAUCAUGAUUGGGGUGAUGAUCUUUCUUAUGAUCUUGAAAAUUUGUUCAAACCCCAUGAUGAAUAUGAUAUUUGCAAUAAUGUUGGAAGUGGAUUUGGAGAGGUCAUGACUUUGGUUGAUGAUAAUCCCACUAUUUUUGAAGAGCGUCAACUUUGCAUGCAUGUGGAUCAUGAAAAGAAUAUCCUAUGGGAUAGCUAUAUUGUUGAAUUUGAAUAUGAUCCCACAUGUAGUUGCUAUGAGAGAGGGAAAUAUUUUGGUAGAAACUUCCAUGUUACCGAAUCAUCUCUCGUGAUGUUGAGAUUGCUCUUGUCUCUUUCUUCUUCCUUGCAUAUGGAAACUAUUGGUUGUCUUGACAAUCUGUUUUCCUAUAAAGUGCCUAUGCAUAAGAAGUAUGUUAGACUUAAAUGUGAUUUUCACAUGGUUUAGCAUGCUCUCGUUGUGCUUCAAUUCUUGUCUUUUGUGAGAGCAUCAUUCAACGCCUAGCUAAGGGCAUUAAACAAAAGCGCUUGUUGGGAGGCAACCCAACGAAUUUAUCCUUUUUCUUUCUGUUUUGUGUUUUCCACACUUUCAUAAUUUUGUUAUGAUUGUGUUUUUGUGUUUCUUUUUUGCGUUUGUGCCAAGCAAAACCGUUAUGAUUAGUCUUGGGAAUGAUCGUUUGGUCAUGCNNNNNNNNNNNNNNNNNNNNNNNNNNNNNNNNNNNNNNNNNNNNNNNNNNNNNNNNNNNNNNNNNNNNNNNNNNNNNNNNNNNNNNNNNNNNNNNNNNNNAACGAAUAUCAAAUUCACGUGACUAUUAUCAGCAUGACUUAUCCCAUGUCCUCAGGAACAAAAGUAACUACUCACAAAGCAUAAUCAUAAUCAUGAUCAGAGGUGUAAUGAAUAGCAUCAAGGAUCUGAAGAUAAACUCUUCCACCAAAUAAUCCAACUAGCAUCAACUACAAAGAGAAAUCAACACUAUUAGGAACCUUACAAGUACCAAUCGAAGUCGUGAGACGGAGAUUGGUUACAAGAGAUGAACUAGGGAUUGGAGGGGAGAUGGUGCUGAUGAAGAUGUUGAUGAAGAUGCCUCCCCUCCGACGAGAGGAGUGUUGGUGAUGACGAUGGCGACGAUUUCCCCCUCCGGGAAGGAAGUUUCCCCAGCAGGAUCGUCCUGCCGGAGCUCUAGAUUGGAUCUGCUCAAGUUCCGCCUCAUGGCGGCGGCGAAACCACGAAAAAGCUCCCGAUUGACUUUUUUCUGGAACGAAACCCUUCAUAUAGCAAAAUAGGGGGGGGCAGUGGGUGAUGUCCGUUACGCUACUGCACAAAAGACCUUCCAAUGGCGCCAAAAAUGGGCACGUUGACGGCACAAGGAAUCCUUCCGCGUUGGUGUUCCCUCGAAGUGGAGAAGAUGAUGUAGCACAGCGGAGGUAAGUAUUUCCGUGAGUUUGAGAACCAAGGUAUCAAUCCGGCGGAGGAGUAUCUCAAGAUCUUGCACAAACAGAAAAACUUGCACCCAAUGCUAUGAAGUGGUUGUCAAUCCCUUAUAGGUUGUUUGCCAAGUGAGAACUGAAAGCAACAAAGUAACAAAGCAAAGUAAAAGCAGAGUUGUAAACGAUGGAUGUGAAUAGACCCGGGGGCCGUAGUGUUUACUAGUGGCUUCUCUCAUGAAAGCAAGUAGACAGAGGGUGAACAAAUUACUGUNNNNNNNNNNNNNNNNNNNNNNNNNNNNNNNNNNNNNNNNNNNNNNNNNNNNNNNNNNNNNNNNNNNNNNNNNNNNNNNNNNNNNNNNNNNNNNNNNNNNNNNNNNNNNNNNNNNNNNNNNNNNNNNNNNNNNNNNNNNNNNNNNNNNNNNNNNNNNNNNNNNNNNNNNNNNNNNNNNNNNNNNNNNNNNNNNNNNNNNNNNNNNNNNNNNNNNNNNNNNNNNNNNNNNNNNNNNNNNNNNNNNNNNNNNNNNNNNNNNNNNNNNNNNNNNNNNNNNNNNNNNNNNNNNNNNNNNNNNNNNNNNNNNNNNNNNNNNNNNNNNNNNNNNNNNNNNNNNNNNNNNNNNNNNNNNNNNNNNNNNNNNNNNNNNNNNNNNNNNNNNNNNNNNNNNNNNNNNNNNNNNNNNNNNNNNNNNNNNNNNNNNNNNNNNNNNNNNNNNNNNNNNNNNNNNNNNNNNNNNNNNNNNNNNNNNNNNNNNNNNNNNNNNNNNNNNNNNNNNNNNNNNNNNNNNNNNNNNNNNNNNNNNNNNNNNNNNNNNNNNNNNNNNNNNNNNNNNNNNNNNNNNNNNNNNNNNNNNNNNNNNNNNNNNNNNNNNNNNNNNNNNNNNNNNNNNNNNNNNNNNNNNNNNNNNNNNNNNNNNNNNNNNNNNNNNNNNNNNNNNNNNNNNNNNNNNNNNNNNNNNNNNNNNNNNNNNNNNNNNNNNNNNNNNNNNNNNNNNNNNNNNNNNNNNNNNNNNNNNNNNNNNNNNNNNNNNNNNNNNNNNNNNNNNNNNNNNNNNNNNNNNNNNNNNNNNNNNNNNNNNNNNNNNNNNNNNNNNNNNNNNNNNNNNNNNNNNNNNNNNNNNNNNNNNNNNNNNNNNNNNNNNNNNNNNNNNNNNNNNNNNNNNNNNNNNNNNNNNNNNNNNNNNNNNNNNNNNNNNNNNNNNNNNNNNNNNNNNNNNNNNNNNNNNNNNNNNNNNNNNNNNNNNNNNNNNNNNNNNNNNNNNNNNNNNNNNNNNNNNNNNNNNNNNNNNNNNNNNNNNNNNNNNNNNNNNNNNNNNNNNNNNNNNNNNNNNNNNNNNNNNNNNNNNNNNNNNNNNNNNNNNNNNNNNNNNNNNNNNNNNNNNNNNNNNNNNNNNNNNNNNNNNNNNNNNNNNNNNNNNNNNNNNNNNNNNNNNNNNNNNNNNNNNNNNNNNNNNNNNNNNNNNNNNNNNNNNNNNNNNNNNNNNNNNNNNNNNNNNNNNNNNNNNNNNNNNNNNNNNNNNNNNNNNNNNNNNNNNNNNNNNNNNNNNNNNNNNNNNNNNNNNNNNNNNNNNNNNNNNNNNNNNNNNNNNNNNNNNNNNNNNNNNNNNNNNNNNNNNNNNNNNNNNNNNNNNNNNNNNNNNNNNNNNNNNNNNNNNNNNNNNNNNNNNNNNNNNNNNNNNNNNNNNNNNNNNNNNNNNNNNNNNNNNNNNNNNNNNNNNNNNNNNNNNNNNNNNNNNNNNNNNNNNNNNNNNNNNNNNNNNNNNNNNNNNNNNNNNNNNNNNNNNNNNNNNNNNNNNNNNNNNNNNNNNNNNNNNNNNNNNNNNNNNNNNNNNNNNNNNNNNNNNNNNNNNNNNNNNNNNNNNNNNNNNNNNNNNNNNNNNNNNNNNNNNNNNNNNNNNNNNNNNNNNNNNNNNNNNNNNNNNNNNNNNNNNNNNNNNNNNNNNNNNNNNNNNNNNNNNNNNNNNNNNNNNNNNNNNNNNNNNNNNNNNNNNNNNNNNNNNNNNNNNNNNNNNNNNNNNNNNNNNNNNNNNNNNNNNNNNNNNNNNNNNNNNNNNNNNNNNNNNNNNNNNNNNNNNNNNNNNNNNNNNNNNNNNNNNNNNNNNNNNNNNNNNNNNNNNNNNNNNNNNNNNNNNNNNNNNNNNNNNNNNNNNNNNNNNNNNNNNNNNNNNNNNNNNNNNNNNNNNNNNNNNNNNNNNNNNNNNNNNNNNNNNNNNNNNNNNNNNNNNNNNNNNNNNNNNNNNNNNNNNNNNNNNNNNNNNNNNNNNNNNNNNNNNNNNNNNNNNNNNNNNNNNNNNNNNNNNNNNNNNNNNNNNNNNNNNNNNNNNNNNNNNNNNNNNNNNNNNNNNNNNNNNNNNNNNNNNNNNNNNNNNNNNNNNNNNNNNNNNNNNNNNNNNNNNNNNNNNNNNNNNNNNNNNNNNNNNNNNNNNNNNNNNNNNNNNNNNNNNNNNNNNNNNNNNNNNNNNNNNNNNNNNNNNNNNNNNNNNNNNNNNNNNNNNNNNNNNNNNNNNNNNNNNNNNNNNNNNNNNNNNNNNNNNNNNNNNNNNNNNNNNNNNNNNNNNNNNNNNNNNNNNNNNNNNNNNNNNNNNNNNNNNNNNNNNNNNNNNNNNNNNNNNNNNNNNNNNNNNNNNNNNNNNNNNNNNNNNNNNNNNNNNNNNNNNNNNNNNNNNNNNNNNNNNNNNNNNNNNNNNNNNNNNNNNNNNNNNNNNNNNNNNNNNNNNNNNNNNNNNNNNNNNNNNNNNNNNNNNNNNNNNNNNNNNNNNNNNNNNNNNNNNNNNNNNNNNNNNNNNNNNNNNNNNNNNNNNNNNNNNNNNNNNNNNNNNNNNNNNNNNNNNNNNNNNNNNNNNNNNNNNNNNNNNNNNNNNNNNNNNNNNNNNNNNNNNNNNNNNNNNNNNNNNNNNNNNNNNNNNNNNNNNNNNNNNNNNNNNNNNNNNNNNNNNNNNNNNNNNNNNNNNNNNNNNNNNNNNNNNNNNNNNNNNNNNNNNNNNNNNNNNNNNNNNNNNNNNNNNNNNNNNNNNNNNNNNNNNNNNNNNNNNNNNNNNNNNNNNNNNNNNNNNNNNNNNNNNNNNNNNNNNNNNNNNNNNNNNNNNNNNNNNNNNNNNNNNNNNNNNNNNNNNNNNNNNNNNNNNNNNNNNNNNNNNNNNNNNNNNNNNNNNNNNNNNNNNNNNNNNNNNNNNNNNNNNNNNNNNNNNNNNNNNNNNNNNNNNNNNNNNNNNNNNNNNNNNNNNNNNNNNNNNNNNNNNNNNNNNNNNNNNNNNNNNNNNNNNNNNNNNNNNNNNNNNNNNNNNNNNNNNNNNNNNNNNNNNNNNNNNNNNNNNNNNNNNNNNNNNNNNNNNNNNNNNNNNNNNNNNNNNNNNNNNNNNNNNNNNNNNNNNNNNNNNNNNNNNNNNNNNNNNNNNNNNNNNNNNNNNNNNNNNNNNNNNNNNNNNNNNNNNNNNNNNNNNNNNNNNNNNNNNNNNNNNNNNNNNNNNNNNNNNNNNNNNNNNNNNNNNNNNNNNNNNNNNNNNNNNNNNNNNNNNNNNNNNNNNNNNNNNNNNNNNNNNNNNNNNNNNNNNNNNNNNNNNNNNNNNNNNNNNNNNNNNNNNNNNNNNNNNNNNNNNNNNNNNNNNNNNNNNNNNNNNNNNNNNNNNNNNNNNNNNNNNNNNNNNNNNNNNNNNNNNNNNNNNNNNNNNNNNNNNNNNNNNNNNNNNNNNNNNNNNNNNNNNNNNNNNNNNNNNNNNNNNNNNNNNNNNNNNNNNNNNNNNNNNNNNNNNNNNNNNNNNNNNNNNNNNNNNNNNNNNNNNNNNNNNNNNNNNNNNNNNNNNNNNNNNNNNNNNNNNNNNNNNNNNNNNNNNNNNNNNNNNNNNNNNNNNNNNNNNNNNNNNNNNNNNNNNNNNNNNNNNNNNNNNNNNNNNNNNNNNNNNNNNNNNNNNNNNNNNNNNNNNNNNNNNNNNNNNNNNNNNNNNNNNNNNNNNNNNNNNNNNNNNNNNNNNNNNNNNNNNNNNNNNNNNNNNNNNNNNNNNNNNNNNNNNNNNNNNNNNNNNNNNNNNNNNNNNNNNNNNNNNNNNNNNNNNNNNNNNNNNNNNNNNNNNNNNNNNNNNNNNNNNNNNNNNNNNNNNNNNNNNNNNNNNNNNNNNNNNNNNNNNNNNNNNNNNNNNNNNNNNNNNNNNNNNNNNNNNNNNNNNNNNNNNNNNNNNNNNNNNNNNNNNNNNNNNNNNNNNNNNNNNNNNNNNNNNNNNNNNNNNNNNNNNNNNNNNNNNNNNNNNNNNNNNNNNNNNNNNNNNNNNNNNNNNNNNNNNNNNNNNNNNNNNNNNNNNNNNNNNNNNNNNNNNNNNNNNNNNNNNNNNNNNNNNNNNNNNNNNNNNNNNNNNNNNNNNNNNNNNNNNNNNNNNNNNNNNNNNNNNNNNNNNNNNNNNNNNNNNNNNNNNNNNNNNNNNNNNNNNNNNNNNNNNNNNUGCAUCUACUAUGAUGUUCUCGAUGUUAGAGUUUUUGCCGGUUCUUCAUUCAUAGAGGACUCACAUCUCUAUAUCAUUGGCAUUUUCAUAUCUGCAUGGUCUUAAGAUUUCCAACAAGCUUGGGUUUGCUCGAUUCGGAGCUCGUAUGCGAAAGUUAUGGCAGUUUCAGUGGCGAGCGGUAGUACCGCUAGAGUUGGUGGUAGUACCGCUGGCCCUAGCGGUAGUACCACUAGAGCUGGCGUAGUACCGCUCUCCCAGCGGUAGUACCGCCCCUGGCCAGCGGUAGUACCGCUCCAAGUUUUUAGUACCGUCAUCUUUGCGGUUGUACUGCGUCGGACAUUUUUGCGAAGACUUUCUUGGCGGUGGUUGGCCCGUUAGUAUCUUUGUGCUACCAUGGGCUCAACGGUAGUACCGCUGCAACCAGCGGUAGUACCGCUGCAGAGCCAGCGGUAGUACCGCUGCAGCCAGCGGUAGUACCGUUGAGGGGUCAGCGGUAGUACCGCUGCAGCCAGCGGAAGUACCGCCGGAGGGUCAGCGAUGGUACCGCUGGAGCCAGCGGUAAUACCGCUGGGCUCGGGGUGUAAGUGGGGGUAACGGUCUGAUUCCUUCCCCCACUAUAUAAAGGGGGUCUUCUUCCACCUUGGCCUUAUCUAUCCGUUGAGCUCUUGUUCUACCUCCAUUGUUGACAUUCUUAGAGCUUGCUAACUCUCAAUCCCUCCAAUGAUUCUUGCUUGUUCUUCGGGGAAAAGAGAGAGGAGAUCUAGAUCCACAUCUCCACCAAUCACUUUCUCCUCUAUGUGAGGGGAANNNNNNNNNNNNNNNNNNNNNNNNNNNNNNNNNNNNNNNNNNNNNNNNNNNNNNNNNNNNNNNNNNNNNNNNNNNNNNNNNNNNNNNNNNNNNNNNNNNNCUUUCAACUCAAAACUUAGAGCAACUAUGACUCUAUAUGGAAUGCCUUCGGUAGUGUACCGUGGCAAUGAUCUAGCAUGGCAUAGACAUCAAUGGAAACAUCAUGCUAGCUAUCUUACGGUAAUGCAAAGGCAAGUAGACGUGGUGGCACGUGUCAUAGUGGUAGUUGCAUGGCAAUAUAUCUCGGAAUGACUUUGAAAAAGCCAUAGUAGGUAGGUAUGGUAGCUGUUUUGAGGGAGGCUAAUGGUGUGUUUUGUGCACCGGCGAAAGUUGCACGGAACUAAGAAGAUGGUGAUGGUGAAAGGUGAAAGUGCAUCUAAACCAUGGACUCAACAUUAGUCAUGAAGAACUCAUAUACUUGUUGCAAAAGUUUUAUUAGUAAUCGAAACAAAGCAUUCAACGCGUACUCCUAGGGGAAGGGUUGGUAGGUAUAAACCAUCGCGCGAUCCCGACCGCCACACAAAGGAUGACAAUCAAAACACUAAUCAUGCUCAGCCUUCAUCACAUAGCGGUUCACCAUACGUGCAUGCUAUGGUAAUCACUAACUUCAACACAAGUAUUUCUAGAUCCACAACACCUUACUAGCAUGACUUCAAUAUUACCAAAACCAUAUCCCAAAACUAAUUGAGAGGAAUAAAACUUCUCUAACUAUUCAAUGCACAUGAAGGUGGAAGUUUUCGUAUCCCUUUGGAUAACUACCCCUUUUGAGACUACUUUCAAAGCAUAGAUCAACUACCAAGCCACGCACCACUGUGCUCUAAAAGAUAUAAGUGAAGCACAAAGAGCAAAAGUAUCUAGCNNNNNNNNNNNNNNNNNNNNNNNNNNNNNNNNNNNNNNNNNNNNNNNNNNNNNNNNNNNNNNNNNNNNNNNNNNNNNNNNNNNNNNNNNNNNNNNNNNNNGGUGAGUGCAUGUCUCUCUCUAGGUGUGAAGAAAGGAUGAUUUUGACACAACAAAAAUAAAAGACUCCUACGAUACAAUACGCUCCAAGAAAAAACACAUAACAUGUGGUGAAUAAAAAUAUAGCCCCAAGUAACGUUACCGAUGGAUUGAAGACGAAAGAGGGGAUGCCUUCCCGGGGCAUCCCCAAUCUUAGGCUUUUACGGCAUCCUUGAAUCUCUUGGGGUCCCUUGGGCAUCCCCAAGCUUGAGAUCUUGCCACUCUUUAUCUUUUUCUCCAUAAGAACUUCACCCAAAACUUGAAAACUUCACAACACGAAACUUAAACAGAAACUCGUGAUAACAUUAGUAUGAGAAAGCAAAUCACCACUUCCUUAGGUACUGUAGCAAACUUAAAUUCUACUUAUGCUGAUGUUGGGCUGCUGUAUUUUCAAUCUUCCAUGGCUGAUACCCCCCGAUACUAUCCAUAGUUUCAUCAAAAUAAGCAACCAACACAACAAAAACAUAAUCUGUUAACAGCAGACCAGUCUGUGGCAAUCUAUAUGUUUCAUAUACCUCUGAUACUUCACAAAUUAUUAACAAUUACGACAGUCUGAAGAAUUUGCGUAGCAAUCAACAGCAAAAAGAAUCAACUCAAAAGCUUUUACAGAAAAAAAGAAAAUUAUUUUCAUGAGCAGAAAGUUUCUGUNNNNNNNNNNNNNNNNNNNNNNNNNNNNNNNNNNNNNNNNNNNNNNNNNNNNNNNNNNNNNNNNNNNNNNNNNNNNNNNNNNNNNNNNNNNNNNNNNNNNUUGAGAUCAGGGGGCAAGCGACCCUGGUGCCUCCGCUGAUGGAUGGCGUCAGAUGCGCGCUGGUGCCUUUCUAGCCGCCAGUUGUCAGUAUUUAAGCGAGCUAUCUCGGCGGUAAUUUGAACUUGCCGGGUCUCAAUCCUGGUGGACUCCACAUCGGCAUCCCGCUGAGCCUUUGCCACCCCUUCUCUUAGCUUCGUUAAUUCUGUGUUCACCGCCUCCUGGUUCUCCGGUGUGAUGGGGGGCGCCAUGAGCCUUGUUAUUUCCGCUGCUAGCUCCACCAAAAUCGCGGCUAGGCUUCUAGACGUCAAACCAGUUCCAACUCCGCGUGCCGGAUUUGGCGAGGGUUGAGUCACCCCUGCCAUGUAAAUGGCGAUCUGACGGCGAGUCCUGUCAAGAACUUCGGCGUCAAUGGCCAGUGAUAAGCCCCCAAGGCAGCCCCCAUGCAAAGAUUGGAUUGAAUCUGAAUUGCCCAUAGAUGAUUCGUCGUCGGUGUUGACCGGCGUGGUUUCCUGGGUCGCUGAGUGUUCAGGCUCCUCAGAUCCCUGCGUGAACCCAACAAAGACCGGGCGGGUUAGGUUUGGCGUCACGACCGGGCAGACGUACCUGGCCGGCUCGACGAUGUCGGAGGAGGCGUCCGCCCGGCCAGUUACGUCCGCCCGGUCGUGACGCCAANGCCAAACCUAACCCGCCCGGUCUUUGUUGGGUUCACGCAGGGAUCUGAGGAGCCUGAACACUCAGCGACCCAGGAAACCAGACCGGUCAACACUGACGAUGAAUCAUCUAUGGGCGAUUCAGAUUCAAUCCAAUCUUUGCAUGGGGGCUGCCUUGGGGGCUUAUCACUGGCCAUGGACCCCGAAGUUCUUGACAGGACUCGCCGUCAGAUCGCCGUUUACAUGGCAGGGGCAACUCAACCCUCGCCAAAUCCGGCACGCGGAGUUGGAACUGGUGAGACGUCUAGAAGCCUAGCCACGAUUUUGGUGGAGCUAGCAGCGGAAAUAACAAGGCUCAUGGUGACCCCCAUCACACCGGAGAACCAGGAGGCGGUGAACACAGAAUUAACGAAGCUAAGAGAAGGGUUGGCAAAGGCUCAGCGGGAUACCGAGGUGGAGUCCGCCAGGAUUGAGACCCGGCAAGCUCAAAUUACCGCCGAGAUAGCUCGCUUAAAUACUGACAACUGGCGGCUAGAAAGGCAUCAGCGCGCAUCUGACGCCGUCCAUCAGCGGAGGCACCAGGGUCGCUUGCCUCCUGAUCUCAACCCGACCCGCCUGUUCGACACUCGGCGAACUCCCGGGACGGGAGCCGCCCCGGGGGGAGGGCCGGGCCAGCCACCUAACCAGCCGCUCCAGCCAAUUGUGGAUCGCGUCCCCNNNNNNNNNNNNNNNNNNNNNNNNNNNNNNNNNNNNNNNNNNNNNNNNNNNNNNNNNNNNNNNNNNNNNNNNNNNNNNNNNNNNNNNNNNNNNNNNNNNNAAUUAUCCCAUGUCCUCACGAACAAAAGUAACUACUCACAAAGCAUAAUCAUAAUCGUGAUCAGAGGUGUAAUGAAUAGCAUCAAGGAUCUGAACAUAAACUCUACCAAGUAAUCCAACUAGCAUCACCUACAAAGAGUAAUCAAUACUACUAGCAACCUUACAAGUACCAAUCGGAGUCGCGAGACGGAGAUUGGUUACAAGAGCUGAACUAGGGUUUGGAGAGGAGAUGGUGCUGAUGAAGAUGUUGAUGGAGAUGACUCCCCUCCGACGACAGGAGUGUUGGUGUUGACGAUGGCGACGUUUCCCCCUCCGAGAGGGAAGUUUCCCCGGCAGGAUCGUCCUGCCAGAGCUCUAGAUUGGAUCUGCUCAAGUUCCGCCUCGUGGCGGCGGAGAAUCCACGAAAAAGCUCCACCUUUAUUUUUUCCUGGACGAAACCCUUCAUAUAACAAAAGAGGGGGGCCAGUGGGUCGCCAUGGUGCCGCCAAGCCCUGUAGCCGCCACCGGGUGGGGCCCUGGUACUUCCCCUAUGGUACUUCUUUCACCCAGUAUUUUUUAUAUAAUCCCAAAAAAUUCCACGUUGAUUUUCACGGCAUUUGGAGUUGCGUAGAAUAGAGGACUCAGACUUGCUCCUUUUCUAGUCCAGAAUUCCAGCUGCCGGUAUUCUCCCUCUUCAAAUAAUCCUUGCAAAAUAAGAGAGAAAAGGCAUAAGUAUGGUGCCACAAAGUAAUAUAACAGUCCAUAAAGUAAUAAAUAUCAACAUGAAAGCAUGAUGCAAAAUGGACGUAUCACGCCACAAGUCCUUAUUGGGGUAGUGGAGUCAGCCCAAGAGGGAUAUGGCGCUACAUAAGAAAAUACCAAAAGAAAAGAAAAAGAAAAAGGAAAGAGGGAGGUGGGAAGGAAGGAGUGGACUCCUUCCCCACCAAACCGAAUUGGGGAUGGAGUCCAACUCCUCCCCCUUGGACGGCGCACCUUGAGGCCUUGUGCCUCAAGGCUAGCCCCUCCCCCUUCCUCCUAUAUAUAGUGGUGGUUUAGGGAUUUUUGAGACACAACUUUGCCACGUGCAACUCUAGCCUAAACCACACAGUUUCACCUCUAGAUCGGAUUUCUGCGGAGCACGGGCGGAGCCCUGCAGGAAUAGUUCAUCACCAACACCGGCGCGCCGUCACGCUGCCGGAGAACUCAUCUACUUCUUCGUCUCUCUUGCUAGAUGAAGAAGGCCGAGAUCGUCAUCGAGUUGUACGUGUGGUGAACGUGGAGGUGCCUUCCGUUCGGCACUAGAUCGGAACGGGUCAUCGGACGGAUCACAGGACGGUCUAUGGGACAGAUCGCAGGAUGGUUCGUGGGACGGUUCGAGGGACGUGAAGACGUUCCACUACAUCAACCGCGUUUCUUAACGCUUCCUGCUGUGCGAUCUACAAGGGUACGUAGAUCCAAAUCUCCACUCGUAGAUGGACAUCACCAUGAUAGGUCUUCGUGUGCGUAGGAAAUUUUUUGUUUCCCAUUCAACGUUCCCCAACAAAACACUUAUUUAAAUAGGACUUUAUGUUUUCCAAAAGUUUUGUAUCAUUUCCCAUCAACAAUAAUUCAUCUACAUAUAAUAUGAGAAAUGCUACAGAGCUCCCACUCACUUUCUUGUAAAUACAAGCUUCUCCAUAAGUCUGUAGAAACCCAAACGCUUUGAUCACCUCUUCAAAGCGAAUGUUCCAACUCCCAGAUGCUUGCACCAGUCAAUUGAUGGAGCGCUGGAGCUUGCAUACCUGUUUAGCAUUUUUAGGAUCGACAAAACCUUUCGGUUGAAUCAUAUAUAACUCUUCCUUAAGAAAGCUGUUAAGGAAUGCCGUUUUGACGUCCAUUUGCCAGAUCUCAUAGUCAUAAAAUGCGGCAACUGCUAACAUGAUUCAAAUCGACUUCAGCUUCGCUACGGGUGAGAAAGUCUCAUCGUAGUCAAUUCCAUGAACUUGUCGAUUCCCUUAGCGACAAGUCGAGCCUUAUAGAUGGUCACAUUACCAUCAGCGUUAGUCUUCUUCUUAAAUAUCCAUUUAUUUUCAAUGGCUCCCCGAUCAUCGAACAAGUCCACCAAAGUCCAUACUUUGUUCUCACACAUGGAUCCUAUCUCGAAUUUCAUCGCUUCAAGCCAUUUGUUCGAGUCUGGGCCCGCCAUUGCUUCUUCAUAGUUCGAAGGUUCACUGUUGUCCAACAACAUGAUUUCCAUGACAGGGUUGCCGUACCACUCAGGUGUGGAAUGUGUCCUCAUGGACCUACGAAGUUCAGUAGCAACUUGAUCUGAAGUUUCAUGAUCAUCAUCAUUAACUUCCUCCCUACCCAUUGGAGGCACCCCACAAACAUUUUCCUAUGCUACGCUACUCUCUGGUUUGAGAGGGGGUACAAUUACCUCAUCAAGUUCUACUUUCCACCCACUCACUUCUUCCGAGAGAAACUCUUUCUCCAGAAAGGAUCCAUUCUUGGCAACAAAUAUCUUUCCUUCGGAUCUGAAAUGAAAGUAUACCCAAUAGUUUCCUUAGGGUAUGUUAUGAAGAGGCAUUUUUCCGCUUUGGGUUCAAGCUUAUCAGGUUGAAGUUUUUUCACAUAAGCAUCACAACCCCAAACUUUCAGAAACGACAACUUAAGUUUCUUUCCAAACCAUAAUUCAUUCGGUGUCGUCUCAACGGAUUUAGAGGGUGCUCUUUUUAAAUGCAUAUCCCCAAAAUGAUAGCGGUAAAUCAGUAAUAGACAUCAUAGAUUGCACCAUAUCCUAUAGAGGGCGAUUACGACAUUCGGACACACCAUUAUGCUGAGGUGUGCCAGGCAGCGUGAGUUGUGAAACAAUUCCACAUUUCUUAAGUGCGUGCCAAACUCGUGACUCAAAUAUUCUCCUCCACAAACAGAUCGUAGGAACUUUAUUUUCUUGUCACGUUGAUUCUCUACCUCACUCUAAAAUUCCUUGAACCUUUCAAAGGUUUCAGACUUGUGCUUCAUUAAAUAGACAUACCCAGAUCGUCUUAAGUCAUCAGUGAGGGUGAGAACAUAAUGAUAGCCACUGCGAGCCUCAACGCUCAUUGGACCGCAUAUAUCAGUAUGUAUUAUUUCCAACAAGUUGGUUGCGCGCUGCAUUGUUCCAGAGAACGGAAUCUUAGUCAUCUUGCCCAUGAGGCCCGGUUUGCACAUCUCAAAUGAUUCAAAAUCAAGAGACUCCAAAAGUCCAUCUGUAUGGAGUUUCUUCAUUCGUUUGACACCGAUACGACCAAGGCGGCAGUGCCACAAGAAUGUGGUACUAUCAUUAUGAAGCUUACAUCUUUUGGUACUCACACUAUGAACAUCUGUAACAUCACGUUCGAGAUUCAUCAAGAAUAAACCAUUGACCAGCGGGGCAUGUCCAUAAAACAUAUCACUCAUAUAAACAGAACAACCAUUAUUCUCAGAUUUAAAUGAGUAGCCAUAUUGCAUUACAUGAGAUCCAGAUACAAUGUUCAUGAUCAAAGCUGGUACUAAAUAAAAAUUAUUGAGGUUUAAAACUAAUCCCAAAGGUAGAUGUAGAGGUAGCGUACCGACGACGAUCACAUCGACCUCGGAACCAUUCUCAACGAGCAUCGCUACCUCGUCCUUCGCGAGUCUCCGCUUAUUCCGUAGUUCCUGUUUUGAGUUGCAAAUGUGAGCAACAGCACCGGUAUCAAAUGCCCAGGAGCUACUACGAGCGCUGUUAAGGUACACAUUAAUAAAAUGUAUAUCAUAUAUACCUUUGACGUUGCCGGCCGGCUUAUCCGCUAAGUACUUGGGGCAGUUUCGCUUCCAGUGACCGGUUCCCUUGCAGUAAUAGCACUCAGUCUCAGGCUUGGGUCCAUUCUUGCGCUUCUUUCCGCCAACUGGUUUACCGAGCGUGUCAACUGCUUUGCCGUACUUCUUGAAGGUCUUUUUACCCUUGCCUUUCUUGAAACUGGUGGUCUUAUUCACCAUCAACACUUGAUGUUCCUUCUUGAUUUCCACCUCUGCUAAUCUCGGCAUUGAACAUAACUCAGGAAUGGUGUUUUCCAUCCAUUGCAUCUUAUAAUUCAUUCCGAAGCUCUUGUAGCUAGGUGGAAGCGACUGGAGGAUUCUGUCAAUAACCGAGUCAUCCAGAAGAGUAACUUCCAGCUGAGACAGACGGCUGUGCAACCCAGACAUUCUGAGUUCGUGCUCACUGACAGAACUAUUUUCCUCCAUCUUACAGCUCCUCGAACAUCUCAUAUGCUCCAUGAUGAUCAAAACACUUUUGGAGCCCUGGUUCUAAACAGUAAAGCAUGUUGCACUGAACCAGAGAUUAGUCAUCACUUCGCGACUAGAAAUCAUUCAGAACGUCCUCGGCUGCCACGAGAACGGGAGGGUCACCUAGCGGAGCAUCAAGGACAUAUGCCUUCUUGGAAGCCAUGAGGAUGAGCUUUAAAUUACGAGCCCAGUCCGCAUAGUUGCUACCAUCGUCUUUCAGCUUGGUUUUCUCUAGGAACGCGUUGAAAUUGAGGUUGACAUGAGCGCUAGCCAUUGGAUCCACAAUAUUGUAAAAACAUUUUUAGACUAAUUUCAUGAUAAUUAAGUUCAUUUAAUCGAAUUAUAUGAUGAACACCCACUUAGAUUGAUAUCCCUCCAGUCAUCUAAGUGAUACAUGAUCCAUGUCGACUAGCCCGUGUCCGAUCAUCAUGUGAGACGGACUAGUCAUCAAUGGUGAACAUGUUGGGGAACGUAGUAAUUUCAAAAAAUACCUACGGUUGACAAGGAUCUAUCUAGGAGAAACCAACAACGAGCAAAGGAGUACAACAUCUUCAUACCUUAGAAGAUCGCUAAGCAGAAGUGUUGCUAGAAUGCGGUUGAUGGAGUCAUACUCGUAGCGACUCAGAUCAUGGUAGAUUCAGAUCUAAGCGCCAAACAACAGCACCUCCAUGUUCAACACACAUGCAGCCCGGUGACGUCUCCUACGCCUUGAUCCAGCAAGGAGAGAUGAGAGGUUGAGGGAGAGCUCCAGUAGCAGGAUGGCGUGGUGACGGUGGAGUUGCAUGGUACUCCGGCAGGGCUUUGUCAAGUGCUACGGAAGACGGGGAGGAGGAUAGGUAGGGUUGUGCCUCGGAGGUGGAAGAACUUGUGUCUAGCAGCCCCAAUCCCUUGGGUUUAUAUAGGAGGAGAGGGAGGAGGGUACGCCACAUCUAGGGUUUCCACCAUAGGUGGUGUGGCAACCCGAGAUGGGGUAGGCUCGCGGCCAACUGGAGGAAGAGGCGGCAUCCUAGGGUGGCUUCCACCCUUCCCUCUUGUGCGCCUUGGGCUGAAGGUGGGUGGCACACCAUCCCAGCUAGGGGCUGGUUCCCAUCCACUUUUGGCCCACUUAGCCUUUCAGGGUUGGGACCCCGGGAACCCUUCCGGUGGUCCCAGUACAUUAUCGACGAUCUCCAAAACUCUUCCAGCAAUCAAAACUCCACUCCGGACACCAAACCAUUCCGGAACUCCUCGUGACCUCCGGGAUCACAUCCGGGACUCCGAACAACCUUCGGUAACCAGGUAUACUAUUACAAUAAUAACCCUAGCAUCAUCGAAUCUUAAGUGUGUAGACCCUACGGGUUCGGGAACCAUGCACACAUGACCGAGACACCUCUUCGGUUAAUAACCAACAACGGGGUCUAGAUAUCCAUGUUGGCUCCCACAUGUUCCACGAUGAUCUCAUCGGAUGAACCACGAUGUCGGGGAUUCAAUCAAUCCCGUAUGCAAUUCUCUUUGUCUACCGGUAUGAUACUUUCCCGAGAUUCGAUCGUCGGUAUCCCUAUACCUUGUUCAAUCUCGUUACUAGCAAGUCUCUUUGCUCGUUCUGUAACACAUCAUCCCGAGGCUAACUCCUUAGUAACAUUGAGCUCAUUAUGAUGAUGUAUUACCGAGUGGGCCCAAAAAUACCUCUCCGUCACAUUGAGUGAAAAAUCCCAGUCUUAAUUCGUACAACCCAACAGACACUUUCGGAGAUACCUGUAGUGUACAUUUAUAAUCACCAGUGAGGGUGAGAACAUAACGAUAGCCACCACGAGCCUGAACGCUCAUUGGACCGCAUACAUCGGUAUGUAUUAUUUCGAAAAAGUUGGUUGUUCACUCCAUUGUUCCGGAGAACGGAGUCUUGGUCAUCUUGCCCAUGAGGCACGGUUCGCAUGUGUCAAAGGAUUCAAAAUCAAGACUCCAAAAGUCCAUCUGUAUAAAGUUUCUUCAUGCGCUUGACACUGAUAUGACCAAGGCGGCAGUGCCACAAGUAUGUGGGACUAUCAUAAUCAACCUUACAUCUUUUGGUACUCACACUAUUAAUAUAUGUAACAUCACGUUCGAGAUUCAUUAAGAACAAACCAUUGACCAGCCGGGCAUGACCAUAAAACAUACCACUCAUAUAAAUAGAACAACCAUUAUUCUCAGAUUUAAAUGAGUAGCCAUCUCAAAUCAGGCAAGAUUCCGACACAAUGUUCAUGCUCAAAGUUGGUACUAAAUAACAAUUAUUAAGGUUUAAAACUAACCCCGAAGGUAGAUGUAGAGGUAACUUGCCGACAGCGAUCACAUCGACCUUGGAACCAUUCCGGACGCGCAUCGUCACCUCGUCCUUAGCGAGCCUCCACUUAUUCCUGAGUUGCUGUUUUGAGUUGCAAAUGUGAGCAACAACACCGGUAUCAAAUAUCCAGGAGCUACUACGAGCGCUGGUAAGGUACACAUCAAUAACAAGUAUAUCAUAUAUACCUUUGACGUUGCCGACCUUUUUGUCCGCUAAGUACUUAGGGCAAUCCCGCUUCCAUUGACCGGUUCCCUUGAAAUAAUAGCACUCAGUCUCAGGCUUGGGUCAUUUCUUUUGCUUCUUCCCGGCAAUUGGGUUAGCCGGCGCGGAACUUGCUUUGUUGUCCUUCUUGAAGUUCUUUUUACCCUUACCUUUCUUGAAACUAGUGGUCUUAUUCACCAUCAACACUUGAUGUUCUUUCUUGAUUUCUACCUCUGCUGAUUUCAGCAUUGAAUACAACUCCGAAAUGGUUUUCUCCAUCCCAUGCAGGUUGUAGUUCAUCACAAAGCUUUUAUAGCUAGGUGGGAGUGUCGGGGAAAUCGAGACCUAUUGGAAACUCGAAGGGUCCCUUGACCGUUCGGCGGAGGGAGAGAGGUGGCGCCGAGAGCGGAGCUAGUGAUCAACACUGGCAAGGUCGUUUACCCAGGUUCGGCCCGCUUGGCGCGUAAAACCCUACUCCUGCUUAGUUUGUAUUGAGGACUUACUGUAGGAUAAUUUCCUACAGUAAUUGAGCUUGUGAUUAGGGAUUCUCAAAUCUCAAAAGGUCUAACCUCCAGAGAAUGAGCCUUGGGCCUCCUUUUAUAGGCAAGGGGUCACCAACAGUGUGCUCACGGGUUGUAUAGUCAACAGGGUUCACCGCUCAUCUUUCUACUGUGGUGUCAGGGGCAGUAAAUGCCUUGUCUGGCCCCUGAACUACAACAAGGUCGCUUCGACACGUACCCAGGUGGUCGACACCUGGAUCUUGCGCUGGCGCAUGAGGGAUGCACUGGAGCGGUGGGACUGUGGUAGAAACGGGGGAGGACACCUGGCGAGCAAAAGGAGCUUGCUAGUCUCGUGUCCCCGUGAGAGGACUUAUGUUAUCUUUCCGGCAAGGAGGGUUUGUCGGUGUCUUGAACGUCUUUCCGGCAAGGGCGCUUGCCAGGACCUUGCGAGACUUUGGGAGUCUUCCCGGCAAGGAGGGCUUGCGGGGGCCUUAAGAAUCCUCCCGGAAAGGAGGGCUUGUCGUGGCCAUGCGAGACCUUGCGAUCCUUCACGGCAAGGAGGUCUUGUCAGGCCCUUGUGUGUGGAACUUCUGUACUCUACGCCCUCGGGGAGGGGCGUGGCCUCGGUGGGUCUUGGUUUGUCUUCCUAACAGUCUUCCUCGUGUGUUGCCGUCAGGGGAGUCGCCGGCGCCUGUGCACAAGUGUGGGGCACAAGGGACCCCAGUCUCUAGUGCAUCGACAGGAGCCCCAGGGCCUGGGCCACACACGCGCGCGAGGCGUUGCUGGGCCAGGCCCAAAGUGGUGCACGGGCUUCCAUGACAGGGUACUCUGUAGCUUUGGAGCCAUUGUGAGCGACACUUCCCCACGUCGCGCAUCGAGCGCGCGAGUAGGAGAAGUGUGCGCACAGUGGCCUCCCCACCUCCCGAAGUAUUACUGCUACAUGUGAGGCAUGCGCAGUAACGGUCAGGAAAGUGACAUUCGUGGCCUUUAAGGCCACAGUUGUGGCAGGGCCCGCCCCCACAUGCAUAGGUGAUACAUGGCGCUUCCCUGUUCACCCGUGAUCAUGGGUGAUUGGGUGAGAGGGGCGGCGAUUUCUAGAGUGAGGAGAGCUAGGCCCCGUGCCUCUCCCUCUAAAUUAGGAAUUUUGCGAGGGGGUUUUGCUCAUCCAUCCAACUCCCGAAACAUUCAGCAUCCCCCGCUUGCGUGUGCGGAGUCUUCUUUAGUUCUAGGUGGCGCCCGCCCCUAACCAUGGCUAGGGGACGAGGGCGGCCACCAUCGGCCGCCAGGGCGGCAAGAGGAUACCAUUCGGAUCAUGCAUAGCUUCAGGGGCCGCAGCCGCGGAGGGCGGCCCGAGCGCCCGAGGUGGCAGAGGGGCGAGGGGCCGCGGUCGCCGUGGAUGCCCUGGCCUGGCAAGGCGGAGUGCUACUCCAGCACAUCCGACUUCUCCCCCAGCACCAGCUUCUCCUUUGUGGGGCGGGCACUCGGACGGGAUGCCACUGGAGUUGGUCAUGGAACUGCACGGUGUCCCUCGGGGCCAUCUGCACCUCCCUUGCCCUUUUGCUAGGGCGAUGAAGGCUGCCAAGCUUCCCGUCUUGUGGUUGCGGGCGUACGGUUGCUUCCACGGCGCUAUGCAGGUACACGUGGAGUACCCGAAAUGCCGCUCCAUGUUGCUCAAGCGGGGCUGGAAAGCCUUCGGCCGCGCCCACAACCUCGAGGAUCGGCAUGUCUUCCGCUUCAAGCUAGCGGAGGAUAAAAUGCUAUCCGUCAAGUUUUAUGGGCGGUCAGGUGUGUGUUUCGGCUACUGCGAAGAGAGCUCGAGCUGCGCCGAAUGUCCCUCCUCGAGCAAUAGCGACGAGGAGGACAACGGCGGCAGUGGCGCUCUUGGCAGGUCAGGAUCUCGGGGGGGUCAAGUCGGAGUACGGACUCCCCGACCACCGGCCAUGCUGCCGAGGCCCGCUCAUGCCUCUCCCCCGCCCGGUGGGGUUACCUUGCCGGGGCCGGCAUUGACGCCUUGUCCUAUAGGAGGCGCGAUUGCGGUUUCCGACUUCUUCAUCCCUUCUGGUCGCCCUGUCCUCCGCCCCCGUUCUCCUCUACGCACUGCUAGUUGAGGAGAAACCAUCCUGGGUUGUGUCGGGGGCCGUCCUGUUUUUUUGUCUUCCUGAACUUUUGUCCAGCAAGCACGUUUGUCGGGGGGAUAACCCCUUGGUAGGCUCAUCGAGUCUGCUCCUUUAUCUCCGGCCCCAAAGGAAUGACCAGAAACUAUACUGCAAGGCCCAAGUCCUGUGGCCGGCUAGGCCAAACCUACCGGCUAGGGGGCGAGACGGCUAACUCUCUGGCCGGCCAGGCAACACCUGCCGGCUAGAGGAGAGACGGCUACCUUUUCCUAACCGCCUAGGUCAAGCCAGCCGGCUAGGGACGAGGCGGCCGUGCCCAAGCCGGCUAGCCAAGCGGGCUAGCCGGCCGGGGAUCUCAAGUUCAGAUCGUAGGUCAUGACGAGACCCUACAAUUAAAGGUGUCUACGCGUCAGCAAAGGUACUAGAUUGGAGUGCCCGACAGGUACGAGCGUCAGCGGCCAUGCCGCUGACCUACCCCAGCUCUGAUCCAUCACCCAGCAUAGUGUCGGACCGUCAAACUCCCACUCCAUCACUGCACUCAGCAUGGGAACAGUGGAGGUGUCUGUACCGUCUACCCAUGAAGAAUCUCGCUGGAUGACGCUAGACGUACCGCGCGUGCCCUGCGUCAACCUUACGCGAGAGCUCCAUUGGCUAGCCAGCGGAUCCCACGGCCAGACGGGACCUCAUAGCUGGCGGGCCCCUCAAGCGACAAGACCCUCAUGGGCCCCCCUAACCAGCCAAAGAGGCUGCCAGCUGGGUCCCACUCUUGUACCCAUUAUCCAUAUUGUAGGCUGGUGGGUGCGUCUAUAAAACCCCCGGGUCCCCCUCCAUGCAGAGGGUCGGUCAAAAGAUUACGCACACCUUCACCAACCACAUAGGAGAGGCAGAGACGAGCCGGCUGCUCCCCUCUUCCUCCUCCACAAUACAGCUCCAGGAGCAACCUUGUAAUCCCAUUCAUAUACAUCAUACACUCCGGCAGGACUAGGGGUAUUAUCUCUACGGAGAGCCCUGAACCUGGGUACAUUAUGCGUUCCAUGCUUGUACCAACCUCGUCCCCAGCGCUCUCCAUUGCCACUUCGGUUCUCACUGACUUUAGCCUACCUAUGUUGUGAGUAUUCAUCGAUAUGUUGUGAGUAUUCACCGAUAUUUGGCGCCCACCAUGGGGCCGAUCGCGGUAUCGGCUGGCUUUACGCGCUGGGCGGGGCCCCGCACCUACACCACCGGAUGCAUCGCGUCUGGAUCGAUCUGCAUGCCCGUGGAGCCCACCUUCGAUGAGGCAGUGCCGAUGAUGAUCGACGUCCCGGUCCGCCAUGCGGAUUCGGACGAAGAUCCCGAUGACGAGGCGCCUCUUAGCGUCGUCGUCGCUGCUACGGAGAACCUCAACAUUAUCUUUAGAGACCUGCAUCUCAACGAUGGUCCUCGCUACUUCGGCGAGGUCUACGAUGUCGACGCGCUGUGCGCCAGCUUCAGUAGGCUCUCUAUCGCUGAGAUGCCUGCACAUGACGUGUACCCCAGCAACGUACUCGUCUUUGACGGCCCUCUGCAGUCGUUGGGGUUCUUCACCCGAUACCAUGUCGCCACCGUCUCCAACGUCGUGGAGGUAAUGGUCAUCAUCGCUGGAACCAGCACGGCUCAUGGCAAGGCGUCAGCAGACGCUGGCGAGCCUGCUGCUGUCACCGCUGACACUCUUCAGGAUGCGCUUGCCGGCCUGAAGACGCCCAUCGUCGCCUCCACGAACCCUAACGACGCCCGAGCCUCGCUGGAGGAUGCUCGCUUGCAGAUCUUGAAGGAGGGCAUUGCCGUCGCCUUGUCAAAGCACCGGAUGGAGGCCAUGCAGCGCGAGUAUAACUCCGCAUACGGCCUCACUCCGGUUUGCGAGGACCCUAGCCGGCUUGGGUCGGUCCGCGACAGCGGCCGGUUCAUUGCCAAGAUCCUAGGCGGUAAGAAGCCCAUCUACGAGACCUCUGCAGCCAACUUGCGGGCGGCACAGGAGGCCAUGGAAGAAAUGUCGAGCUUGGAGGGUCAGGAGCGCGCCUUCCAGGAGAAGCGUGUCAAGGAACUCCAUGACGCCGCCAACGAGCAGCAGACCCGGCUUGACCCCGGUCAGGCCCAGUCAGAGUCUCCGGGACCCAACCCGGAGCGCGCCGCAACCCUAGCGGUCAUCACCAUGAGGAGGCAUCUUCCACGCAUCGCACCUGUGGCCGGAGGGGCGAGGGAAGUCAAGAGAGGCGGUCCCAGCGCUAGAGCGAGCAUACUUCGAGCAGGCGUCACGGAGGCGACGAGAGGGACUCGGUGUAUGAGGUUCCUUGUCCGGGGAGGACCCAUGCCACCGGUUCGCAAGGUGCACUUUCGAUCGCAUCUCGGAUCGACGCUCGCAUUCCCUAGGGCGACCAGGAUGCCCCUCGGCGUCUCAACGCCCUGGCCCAGUCAGCCCUCCUGGAGGAGGACGACCCCAUCGGUUUGGCCUGCUUCGGCCCCCAGAUAUGAGGGGAGCCGUUUCCCCGAGGCUUCACCUUGCCUCGUUACACUCCCAAGUACAACGGCACCGCCAAGCCAGAGGACUGGCUGAUCGACUACACCACCUCCGUUGGCAUUGCCAGGGGAAACAAGCGCGUAGCAGUCCGCUACGUGCCACUCAUGUUGGCCGGCUCGGCUCGGACUUGGCUCAACAGCCUUCUAGCCGGCAGCGUCAACUCAUGGGUGGGUUUCGAGGAGGCGUUAGUCCGCAACUUCACCGGUACCUACAAGCGCCCUGGCCGGCCUCGCGAGCUGGCCAUGUGUGUCUAGAGGCCCGACGAACCCCUUCGCGACUACGUCUCUCGCUGGACGAAGCUUCGCAACUCCUGCGAGGGGGUGCAUGAGGUACAGGUCAUCCAAUACUUCAUCGACGGUUGCCGAGACGGAACCCUCCUCAAGCACAAGCUCAUGUGCUCCGAGCCCACUUCUCUUGCGGUGCUCAUGGACAAGGCAGACAAAUACGCCACGGCCGACUCCAUGAUGCGGUUCAAGGUAACCGCCUCGGACAAGGUUGUCCCUACGCCGGGUACUCCUAAGCUGGCUGGAGACAGUCGAGGUGGCCAGAAGAACAACAACCGCAAGGCGGGUUAGCUAGAUUCGCGCUCCAAAAACAAGUUGGUAGCCAGCGUGGAGGGUGAGGCAUCGGCUUCUCAAGCCGGCUCUCAACGGAAGCGGCCCAACAGGGGCAAUACAAACUGGUUGCCCAAGCAGACUUUCGAGUAGCUGCUUGACGCCCCCUGCAAGAUACAUUCUGGGGCGCAGCCUUCUACCCACACCCUUCGAUAGUGCUGUUUCGCACGAAGGCUGUCGCAAGGGGAGGGCCUGCCGGCUGUCCUAGUUUCACAGGCUGCGCCUCAAGCCUCGGCUCCUGGUCCUGCACUGGCUCCACCGACGCCGCCUCGCGAAGACGGCCGCAUCCACGACGACUACCCCCAUCAAGAUGGAGCAUUCGUCGUCUUCACCAGUGAAGGCGAUGACAAGCAUAGCCUGCACCAGGGAUGGUGUGAGGUGAAUGCCACGGUCCCCCCGGUCCCCCAAUAGAUGAUCAUCCCGCGGUGAUGCCCAACCCGGACUCAUACGCGCUCGUUCUCGACCCCACCUUCGCCUCCAAGAGGCUCACCUGCCGGUUCUCCGGGGUGCUGGUCGAUGGCGGCAGUAGCAUCAACAUCCUCUACCUCGACACUCUGUGUAAGCUCGGGCUCAAGGAGACGGACGUCCUGCCGACGAGCACUGUCUUCCACGGCAUCGUGCCUAGGCAGUCCUGCUCGCCUAUCGAGAAAAUCCAGCUAUACGUCCUCUUCGGUGACAAGGCUCACUUCCGCCGCGAGUCCAUAUGGUUUGAGGUAGUGGACCUCAGUAGCCCGUAUCACGCGCUGCUGGGCAGACCGGCUCUGGCCAAGUUCAUGGCUAUCCCGCACUACGCUCACCUGAAGAUGCAGAUGCCAGGUCCGAAGGGCAUCAUCACCAUUGCUGGCGACUACAAGAAGUCGCUCGAGUGCGCACAAGACAACAGCCGCCUCGCCGACCUCAUGGUGAUUGCUGAGGAGAAGAGACAGGUCGACCGGCUCGUGGCUCAGGCUACCAAGCAGCCGGCGAUGCCUUCUCCUCCGUCCCAGUCAGCCGGCGAAAGCUCCUUCAAGCCGGCCAAAGAGACCAAGCAGGUGCCACUCGACCCUGCAAACCCCAAGCAGUGCGUCACCAUCGGGGCUGGCCUCAGCCCCAAAUAGGAAGGCAAGCUCGUCGACUUCCUCCGUGAGAAUCGGGACAUCUUUGCAUGGUCCCCCAAAGACAUGCCAGGUGUUUCGAGGAAGUACACCGAGCACAAACUUUACGUGCGACCGGAUGCAAAGCCGGUAAAACAACCUUUGUGCCGCUUCGUCGAGGGGAAGGGGCACACAAUUGGAGAAGAGAUUACCCGGCUCCUUGCGGCCGGCUUCAUCAUGGAGGUUUUCCACCCGGACUGGUUGGCCAAUCCAGUCCUGGUGCUGAAGAAGAACAAUACCUGGCGAAUGUGUAUCGACUACACUAGCUUGAAUAAGGCAUGUACGAAAUACCCUUUCGCGUUGCCUAGGAUAGAUCAAGUGAUCGACUCCACUGCAGGCUGCGAAAUGCUAUCAUUUCUGGAUGCUUAUUCAGGCUACCAUCAAAUGAAGCUGGAUCCAGCUGAUCGCCUGAAGACCUCCUUCAUCACGCCCUUCGGGUCCUACUGCUACAGCACCAUGACGUUUGGUUUGAAGAACGCUGGUGCGACGUUCCAACGCUGCAUGCAGCAGUGCCUACUGCCACGGAUCGGCAGAAACAUCCACGUCUAUGUGGAUGACAUCGCCGUCAAAACGAAGUAGCACUUCAGGCCUCCUCGACGACUUGCGGGAGACGUUCGCGAACCUGCGCGAAUACAAGAUCCGGCUCAACCCGGAGAAGUGCGUCCUUGGGGUUCCAGGCAGCAAGCUCUUGGGGUUCUUCGUGCCAGCUCGUGGCAUCGAGGUGAACCCCGAGAAGAUCGGCACCAUCGAGCGGAUGGUGAGGCCGGCUCGGAUCCUAGACGUCCAGAAGUUCGCCGGCUGCCUGGCGUCCCUUAGUAAGUCCGUCAGCCGGCUCGACGAGAAGGCCCUUCCACUCUACCAGCUCAUGAAGAAGAAAACGAAGUUCGAGUGGAACGACCAGGCGGACGAAGCCUUCCGCGACCUCAAGCGGGUCAUCUCGAGCCUGCCAAUCUUGGCAGACCCGGCUGAAAGGGAACCCAUACUCAUAUACAUUGCAGCGACCACUCGCGUGGUUAGUGUAGUGCUGGUAGUUCAGCGCAAGAAGGAGGGCAAAGUACUGUUAGUGCAGUGCCCUGUCUACUACCUGAGUGAGGUCUUGUCUGCCUCCAAGCAGAACAAUCCCCACUACCGAAAAAUGUGUUAUGGUGUUUACCUUGCUGCAAAGAAGUUGAAGCAAUACUUCCAAGAGCAUGCUAUUACCGUGGUGAGCACUGCUCCGCUUUCAGAAAUCAUGGGAAACCGUGAUACAACUGGCAGGGUCGCCAAGUGGUCCAUCGCCAUGGCGGACCACGAUAUCCUCUACAAGCCUCGCACCGCCAUGAAAUCUCAGGUGGUGGCUGACUUCUUGGUCGACUCGGCCGAAACCCAGUUCGAGCCACCACCUCCAGACUCUACGCAUUGGUGGAUGCAAUUCGACGGCUCAAAGAUGUGGACUGGUCUGGGAGCCGGCAUCGUCUUGACGUCUCCGAAAGCAGACCAGCUCAAGUAUGCUCUCCAGAUCCACUUCGCCGCCUCCAACAACAUCGCCGAGUACGAAGUGCUCGCUCAUGGCCUCCGGCUCGCCAAGGAGAUUGGCAUCCGGCGGCUCAUAUGCUUUGGCGACUCAGACCUGGUGGUGCAGCAAGUUUCUGGUGAAUGGGACGCCAGUGACACCAACAUGGCAAGCUACCGCUUCCUCAUCCAGCAGCUCAGCGGCCCCUUCGAGGUUUGCGAGUUCCACCAUGUUCCCAGGGCAGACAACAAGGCGGCUGAUACAUUGGCCAAGAUUAGCUCCAUGAGACAGGCUAUCCCAGUCGGCGUCUCCCUCGAGCAGCUCCAUAAGCCGUCUAUGAGGCCGUCUCCAGAGUGGACAUCGAUCUUCGUAAUGGCUGAUUCUUCGGUGCAAGCACCGUCGGCUCCACCAGCUACACCGGCUACAGCUCAUGUGCCAGCUAAGCUAGCUCUGCCGACUCCAAUUGCGGCACCGGCUCAUUCUUCGGUGCAAGCACUAUCGGCUCCACCAGCUACACCGGCUACAGCUCCAGCGCCGACUAAGCUGGCUCUGCCGACUCCAAUUACAGCACCGGCUACAACAACAACUCCGGCUCUGCCCUGCCUCGAAUCCUGUCGUCUCGACACCCAUUGGGUGGAUUUCAUGGACGUAGACGGCAAGCCAGCUGCUACGACAGCAUCAGAGACACCUUGUCUCGAGCCCACGACUACUGCUUCAUCAAGCGCGGGGGCUGCAGAAGCCCCUAACAGUCAGGUUGAGACGGAGCCAACCCUUGUGUCUGCUCCGUCAUGGGCUCAACCCAUCCUGGCCUUCCUCCUUCACGGCGAGCUUCCUCAAGACGAGGCGGAGGAGAGGAAGAUCCAGCGCACGUCUGCAGCCUACGCCAUCAUCAAUCGCGAGCUGGUUCGGCGUAGUGUGACUGGCGUGUUCCAGCGCUGCGUCGAAUCAGAAAAGGGACAGGAUAUCCUCAGAGACAUUCACCAGGGGGAGUGCGGGCAUCAUGCCGCCUGGAUUCCUCUGGCCCAUAGCCCUUGAGGAGGCCGUGGACUUGGUCAACAAAUGCGAGGGCUGCCAAUUCUUUGGCACAUAGAGCCACAUGCCGCCUUCGGCUCUCAAAACCAUCCCCUUGUCAUGGUCUUUCGCCGUCUGGGGGAUGGACACGGUGGGGCCUUUCAAGACGGCUCGUGGUGGCAUGACUCACCUCUUGGUGGCCAUCGACAAAUUCACCAAGUGGAUCGAGGCUAGGCCCAACAAGAUGCUUGAUGGCCCCAGGACUGUCAAGUUCAUCACGGACAUCUCUGUUCGAUAUGGCGUCCUCCACAACAACAUCACCGACAAUGGCACAAACUUCGCCAAGGGCGCUCUCAUGCUCUACUGCUCCAAGGUAGGCAUCCAGCUCGACUAGGCGUCAGUGGUACAUCCCCAGUCCAAUGUCCAGUUGGAGAGGGCCAACGUCCUGAUCCUGGCCGUCAUCAAGCCAAGACUGGUGGCACCACUUGUCAGGUCAGCCGGCUGCUGGAUCGAAGAACUUCCGGCUGUACUGUGGAGUCUCCGUACCAUGCCCAACCGGUCAACCAGCUUCACUCCAUUCUUUCUUGUAUACGGGUCCGAGGCCAUCAUCCCUAUGGAUAUCGAGUUCGACUCGCCUCGGGUCACCUUGUACACGGAAAUGGAGGCAAAGGAGGCAAGAGAAGACGGUGUUGAUCUCCUCGAGGAAGCAAGGGACUUGGCCUUGAGCCGGACGGCCAUCUAUCAACAGAAGCUGAGAUACUACCACAGCAAGAAGAUCAAGCCGCUCUCUUUCAGAGAGGGAGACUUGGUGCUCAGAAGAAUCCAGCGCACCGCCGGCCAGCACAAGCUCUCAUACCCAUGGGAGGGGCCCUUCAUCAUCAGUAGGGCAUUGCACAACAACGCAUACUACUUGAUCGAUGCCCAGAAGCCAAGGAAGCGCAAGAGGGACGACUCCAACCAGGAGACGGAACUUCCAUGGAACGCGGUGUUGCUUCGCCCGUUCUAUUGCUAGAAGGCAAGUAUCAAACAUGGAAAGAGCAUGCACAUAUGUAUCUUUCUCCCUCUUCAUGGAUUUCUAAUGAAUGCAAUGGAAAGAGCAUGCACAUAUGCUUCUUUUUAAAUUCAUAUCUAGAGUGCUCACUUCCUGAAGCCCCUUGCUGGCUCUAACAAGCUCGGGGGCUCGCUAGCUACCCGGACGACUUCCUUAUGUUGUAGAAAAACACAUAGCGUACGCCGGACUGAUCCCUGGUCACCUCGUAACAGCUACAGACCGGCUCCCGGCUGUCCGGCUAACGAGGCGACGCCAGGUAAGGCUGGAUGCGUGUAAAGUUUGACUACAAAAAGGUUGCCUGCUCGGCUUGGCUUGAUCUAUUUUACGAUCUCAUUCUAUCCGGCCUUUGCUCGUUUAUGUCUGAAUCUUUAAGUCUUGAUGGCUUCGAAAAAUCUAAGUCUUAUAUUCUCGAAGUCAGAAACCUCGACCGAGUCACACACCGGCUCCCGGCUGUCGGGCUGGCGGGGUGGAAACUUGGGGGGUACACGAGUUGGAGAAAAAGAGGUCAAAUAGGAAUCAAAAUAUAAAGAUAUAAAACAACACGCAUGGCAAUACGAAUAUAAUGUUGAAUCCAUACAUUCAAAAUGCAUUGGCCCACGACCGAAGUUCAUUACAUCCCCCAGUGGGUGGAACUGUUGGACUGACAAGAUAAUUUCAGACAACAAAAAGAAAAAGCAGGAUCGACUAAGGGGCUCCGGCCUCGUCGGUUGCCCCGGCUGCUGCUCCUGAAGUGGUGGCUUCACCAUCGCCGGCUGCUCGAGAGGUUGUGGCGCUGUCGCCUCCGCGAGGGAUCCCGGCUCUAUCCGCGUCGGAGUCGGCAUACGCCCCACCGCUGGAGGCGGCAACAUUCUCCACCUCAUGGGCCGCCUCGUCGGAGCUGCCAUCGGCGUCAUAGGGUGAAGGCCAUGCAUAUCCUCAGGGAUCACACUGCCGCCUUCGCCCCGCUCCAAGUUGAGACCAUCCCAGGUGGCAUACGAGGCGAUGUCGCUGGCCCACACGCGCAACUCCUCCUCCACGGCCUGCAGCUCCACCUUCGAGCCGUCGCGCUGAGUGACAAGCUUGCCCAAGUCCAGGUUUCAGAACCAGGACUUGGGCAAGCGCAGGGCCAUGUAGGCUUCAGCGCGCGCGACUGAAGCGCGCCAAGCGUCAAGACGGUCCUCACCAGCCGCAAGCCAGCGGGAGAGCCGGCUCAUCGACGCUGGCUCCACGCCUUCAGGCCACAGGGCCGUGAUACGUCCAUUUUGCAUCAUGCUUUCAUGUUGAUAUUUAUUGCUUUAUGGGCUGUUAUAUUACUUUGUGGUACCAUAUUUAGGCCUCUAAAGAGGGAGAAUUCAGGCAGCUGGAAUUCUGGACUGGAAAAGGAGCAAAUCUUAGUCCACUAUUCUCCACAUCUCCAAAUGCCCUGAAAAGUUACGUCGAAUUUUUUGGGAUUAUAUAAAAAAUACUAGGCAAAAGAAGUACCAAAGGGGGGCUACCAGGGCGCCACAAACCCUGCCACCGCCACCCCCUGGUUGUGGAGGGCAAGCUUGUGGGAUCCCUGACGGCCCACUGAUACGUCUCAAACGUAUCUAUAAUUUUUGAUGGUUUCACACUGUUAUCUUGUCUUCUUUGUAUGUUUUAUGUACCUUUUAUAUCUUUUUGGGACUAUCUUAUUAAUUCAGUGCCAAGAGCCAGUUCCUGUUUUUUCCGUGUUUCUGACUCUUUUCAGAUGUGAUUUUGGAACGGAGUAAAAACGGAAGAAAAACCCCGAAAUGAUUUUUUCCCGAACAGAAGAAGUCCAGGGGGCUUUUGGGCCAAGCCAGGUGGGCUCCAGGGGGCCCACAAGCCCCCACUCGGCCAACAGGGUGGAGGCGGCGGUGGGCAGGCUUGUGGCCUCCCUGGCCGCCCCCUAACCUAGGUCUUUGGCCUAUAAAUUCCCAAAUAUUCCGCAAAAAAUCAGGGGAGCCUCGAAAAUACUUUUCAGCCGCCGCAAGCUUCCGUUUCCGUGAGAUCUCAUCUGGAGACCCUUCCCGGCGCCCUACCGGAGGGGACUUUGGAGUUGGAGGGCUUCUUCAUCAUCAUCAUCGCCCCUCCAAUGAAUCGUGAGUAGUUCACUUCAGACCUACGGGUCCGUAGUUAGUAGCUAGAUGGCUUCUUCUCUCUCUUGGAUCUUCAAUACAAAGUUCUCCAUGACCUUCAUGGAGAUCUAUCCGAUGUAAUCUUCUUUGGCGGUGUGUUUGUCGAGAUCCGAUGAAUUGUGGACUUGUGAUCAGAUUAUCUAUGAUAUAUAUUUGAGUCUUUGCUGAUUUCUCAUAUGCAUGAUUUUAUAUCCUUGUAAGUCUCUCCGAGUCUUGGGUUUUGUUUGCCAACUAGAUCUAUGAUUCUUGCAAUGAGAGAAGUGCUUGGUUUUGGGUUAUGCCAUGUGGUGACCUUUCCAAGUGACAGUAGGGGCAGCAAUAUUAUCACUCUCUUUAUUAUUAUCACUCUCUUUAUUAUUAUCCUCAUCCCCAUUAUCAUCAACAUCAUCAUCAUGAGAUAUAUUGGAAUUCAAACUAGGAGAUACCUUUGAAGCCUUAGACAUAAGGCAAAAGUGAGUCACAAUAGAUGAUCAUGUAGGAUCCCUUGAAGNNNNNNNNNNNNNNNNNNNNNNNNNNNNNNNNNNNNNNNNNNNNNNNNNNNNNNNNNNNNNNNNNNNNNNNNNNNNNNNNNNNNNNNNNNNNNNNNNNNNUCAUCUUUGACAUCGUCUAUGAUUGUGAACACUCAUUGAACUAUUACAUGCUUAGAAGUAGAUGUUGGACAAGGAAGACAACAUAAUGAAUUUUGUUUGCUUGGUUCCGAACAAUGUUUUAUGACUAGAGAUCCCUUAGCAUGUGACGAUUGCUUCCACCUCAUAUCAGCCAAAACUUUUGCACUAAGUAGAGAUAUGAGUUGUGCAUCCAUAAACCUUCAACCCAGUUUUGCCAUGAGAGUCCACCAUACCUACCUAUGGAUUGAAUAAGAUGCCUUAAGUAAGUUGUCGUCGGUGCAAGCAAUAAAAAUUUCUCCCUAAAUAUGUAUGAUCUAUUAGUGUGUGGAAAAUAAGCUUUGUACGAACCUGUGAUGAGGAAGACAUAAAAGCGACAGACUGCAUAAUAAAGUUCUUUAUCACAGGAGGCAAUAUAAAGUGACGUUCCUUCACACUAAGAGGUCACACAUCCCAACCUCAAAAGCGCAUGACAACCUCUGCUUCCCUCUGCAAAGGGCCUAUCUUGUACCUUUAGUUUUUGCCCUUGAAAGAGUCAUGGUGAUCUACACAAAUCCCUCAUUUCGUCUCUAACUUGGCUAACGUCAUAUGCUAGGGAAAGAUCUAUAUUCAUAUGUCAACUUGGAAGUAAGUAUUCACGAAUUAUUAUUGUUGACAUCACCCUUGAGGUAAAUAGUUGGGAGGCAAAACUAUAAGCCCCUAUUUUUCUCUAUUUCUGACUGAAUGAUCUCAUGAGUACCACGUGAGUUGUAGCAAUUGUAGAAGACAAAAGGAUGAUUGAGUAUGUGGAUUUGCUUUACUAGCUCUUACUUGACUCUUUCCGAUGUUACGAUAAAUUGCAAUUGCUUCAAUGACUAAAGGCUAUUGGUUGUUAAUUCUCAAUAAGGUUCUUGAUCCAUACUUUACUUUGUGAAGGAACUGUCACUUUAGCAUGAGAGAUUAUAUGAUGAUAUUGUUGUUCUAAUUAUGAUCAUGAUGCCUGCAUGUCCAUAUCUUGUUUUGUCGACACCUCUCUCUCUAAACAUGUGGGCAUAUUUAUUGAUCUUGAUUUCCGCUUGCGGACAAGAAAAGUCUAAGCUUGGGGGAGUUGAUACGUCCAUUUUGCAUCAUGCUUUUAUGUUGAUAUUUAUCGCUUUAUGGGCUGUUAUUACACUUCACGGUACAAUACUUAUGCCUUUUAUCUCUUAUUUUGCAAGGUUUACAUGAAGAGGGAGAAUGCCGGCUGCUGGAAUUCUAGCCUGAAAAGGGAGAAAGUUUGAGAUACCUAUUCUGCGCAACUCCUAAAGCCCUGAAAAUCAACGAGGAAUUAUUUUGGAAUUUAUAAAAAAUACUAGGCGGAAGAAGUAACAGAGGGGAGCCACCAAGAGGCCACAAGCCUGCUAGGCGCGGCCUACCCCCUGGCCGUGCCUAGGGGGCUUGUGGGCUCCCCUUUGGCCCUCUGGCUCCCCUCUUUUGCUAUAAGGAGGGUUUCGUUUCAGAAAAAAUCAAGAGGAGGCAUUCGGGAGGAUUCGCCGCCGCCACGAGGCGGAACUUGAGCAGAACCAAUCUAGAGCUCCGGCAGGGUCGUCCUGUCGGGGAAACUUCCCUCCCGGAGGGGGAAAUCGUCACCAUCGUCAUCACCAACACUCCUCUCAUCCGAGGGGGACCCAUCACCAUCAACAUAUUCAUCAACACCAUCUCAUCUCCAAACCCUAGUUCAUCUCUUGUAACCAANUGUAAGGUUGCUAGUAGUGUUAAUUACUCUUUGUAGUUGAUGCUAGUUGGAUUACUCGAUGGAAGAUUAUAUGUUCAGAUCCUUGAUGCUAGUAGUGUUAAUUAAUCUUUGUAGUCUCAUGAACAUAAUUAUGCUUUGUGAGUAGUCACUUUUGUUCCUCAGGACAUGGGAUAAGUCAUGCUAUAAGUAGUCAUGUGAAUUUGGUAUUCGUUCGAUAUUUUGAUGCGUUGUAUGUUGUUUUUCCUCUAGUGGUGUUAAGUGAACGUCGACUACAUAACACUUCACCAUUAUUUAGUCCUAGAGGAAGGCAUUGGGAAGUAAUAAGUAGAUGAUGGGUUGCUAGAGUGACAGAAGCUUAAACCCUAGUUUAUGCGUUGCUUCGUAACGGGCUGAUUCGGAUCCACUAGUUUAAUGUUAUGGUUAGACUUUGUCUUAAUUCUUCUUUCGUACUUGCGGAUGCUUGCGAGAGGGGUUAAUAAUAAGUGGGAGGUUUGUCCAAGUAAGGGCAGCACCGAAGCACCUAUCCACCCACAUAUCAAACUAUCAAAGUAGCGAACGCGAAUCAUAUGAACAUGAUGAAAACUAGCUUGACAGAAAUUCCCAGGUGUCCUCGGGAGCGCUUUACCUUCUAUAAGAGUUCGUCCAAUUUUGACCCUUGUUACAAAAGGGAUUGGGCCACUUUGCUGCACCUUUGUUACUAUUGCUACUUGUUACUUGCUACUUGCUACGAAUCAUCUUAUCACACAACUAUCUGUUACCGAUAAUUUCAGUGCCUACAGAGAAUACCUUGCUGGAAACCACUUGUCAGAUCCUUCUGCUGCUCGUUGGGUUCGACACUUUUACUUAUCGAAAGGAAUACAAUAGAUCCCCUACACUUGUGGGUCAUCACUUGGUGAAGCCCUGCCGCGGUACCACACAGCUCCACCGUCACCACACCAUCGUGCUGCCGGAGUUCUCCCUCAACCUCUCCUCCCUCCUUGCUGGAUCAAGCCGUCGGAGACGUCACCGGGCUACACGUGUGUUGAACGCGGAGGCACCAUUGUUUGGUGUAUAGAUCGGAAUCCACCGCAAUCUGAAUCGCUGCGAGUACGACUCCAUCAACCGCGUUCUAGCAACGCUUCCACUUAGCGAUCUUCAAAGGUAUGAAGAUGCUCUACCCCUUCGCUCGUUGCUGGCUUCUCCAUAGAUAAAUCCUUGCAUGACGUAGGACAUUUUUUGAAAUUACUACGUUCCCCAACAGCUCUACCCCUUGCUUGUUGGUAGCAUCUCCUAGAUUGAUCUUUCUGUGACAUAGGAUUUUUUUUGAAAUUCUCCCUUGAGCCCCAACAGUGGCAUCAUGACCUAGGUCUAUGCAUAGAUCCUAUGCACGAGUAGAACACAAAAGUUGUGGGCGAUGAUUUUGUCAAUUGCUUGCCAUCACUAGUCCAAUUUAUUUUUGGCGAUAUUGUGGGAUGAAGCGGCUGGACUGACUUUACAUGUACGCUUACGUGAGACUGGUUCCACCGCCUCACAUGCACUUGUUGCAUAAGGUGGCUAGCGGGUGUCUGUCUCUCCCACUUUAGUUGAGUUGGAUUCGAUGAAAAGGGUCCUUAUGAAGGGUAAAUAGCAUUAGCAUAUCAACAUUGUAGUUGCCACGUAGGUAAGAAGCGUUCUUGCUAGAAACCCAAAUCAGCCACGUAAAACUUGCAACAACAAUUAGAGGACGUCUAACUUCUUUUUGCAGGGUAUGCUAUGUGAUGUGAUAUGGACAAAAGGAGGUGAUGAAAUAUAUGUGAUGUAUGAGAUCGAUNNNNNNNNNNNNNNNNNNNNNNNNNNNNNNNNNNNNNNNNNNNNNNNNNNNNNNNNNNNNNNNNNNNNNNNNNNNNNNNNNNNNNNNNNNNNNNNNNNNNGACUCGCCCCUGGAAUAUUGCCCACUUGCGGCCUUAUUACACUUGAGCUCUUAAGCUCUACAUUUUGUAAGUUUUUCAUUUCUUAUAAAGAAAUAAAAUUAAACGCCUCCCGACUUGGGGGCUUCCUCUCACUGAGAUCAUCUUUAUUACCCAUUUGGCCUGCGAAAAAUUACUGCGUUACAAGUGGUUAUACUCGACUGUGUGUUGGCCGAAUCGCCAUAUGGACCCAUGAACUCUUGGCGAGUUAUUCCGCUAAUGGACCCUGAACUUGCUUUGGUUAAAACAUGUCUGGUACCGGAAAUCGCCUCACAUGGAAAAUAGAUAAACCAUUGGUUCAUUGAACCCGCUUCACUGAAGCUUGACUUGUGUCUGAUCAGCUGGUCUAAAUACCUGGGCUUUUGAUACAAAAGUCUCCUUUGGGUGGCGCUUGAGCUUGUUUAACUCGCCAUAUCCUGUCGCGACCUUAUGAGCCGACGAAAUUGUUAUUUUUUUACCUCCCUUGGCUGGUGCUUGAGCUUGUUUAACUCGCCCUAUCCUGUCGNNACCUUAUGAGCCGACGAUAUUAUUAUUUUGGGUGGCGCUUGAGCUUGUUUGACUCGCCCUAUCCUGUCGCGACCUUAUGAGCCGAUGAAAUUGCUAUUUUUUACCUCCCUGGCAUUGCCACAAGGUUUUUUAGACUUUUUUUUCCUGACUCGCCUCAAAAUAUCUUGGGGCGAUUGCUAUUUGUUAUCACCUAUUACUCACUGAGAUGGUUUGAUAUAUGUUUUCAAGUUUAGAACAGGUUGAUGAUCAUAAUCACUCUAGCCAUGGCGGAUCAAGCAUCAUAACAACGCCUCAAUGGAGGAUCAAGUAUUAUGAUAAAAGCCUCAAACGGCAGAUCAAGUAUUUCAAAACNNNNNNNNNNNNNNNNNNNNNNNNNNNNNNNNNNNNNNNNNNNNNNNNNNNNNNNNNNNNNNNNNNNNNNNNNNNNNNNNNNNNNNNNNNNNNNNNNNNNNNNNNNNNNNNNNNNNNNNNNNNNNNNNNNNNNNNNNNNNNNNNNNNNNNNNNNNNNNNNNNNNNNNNNNNNNNNNNNNNNNNNNNNNNNNNNNNNNNNNNNNNNNNNNNNNNNNNNNNNNNNNNNNNNNNNNNNNNNNNNNNNNNNNNNNNNNAGGGUUUUUAAGAUAUCACAGAAGCAGUUUUCAUUCCUAAAGAGACCUAUUACAUGCCUCUCAUGGCCAAAUCAAUGAGGUGUUAUUCUGCUGAUGCCCUUGGCUCAGCUUGCUGCGAGCUUUGGCCAACUUCAAUUUGCAACUCGCCCAGUACCCAGUUACAUUUGGAUAAUGCGGCGAACUCAUCUUCAUCGCUCAGAACUGAUGAGAGAUCUGCGUCCAAGUCAAAAGGAUUCUUGGGUCGAUGCGGAGUUAAGCUGGUCAUCACAAAGGUUGGCGGGUUAACCUUCUUGUUUUUGUUGUCGUAGGCGGCUUGGUAUUUUGAUAAAUCUAGGCUAGCAGCAAGCUGAGUCGCCGCCAAACGGGAGUCCUUGACAACACGUUGAUAGUCCUCUUCAGCGAAUUCUGACCCAUCAUCCUUGAGUUGAGGAAAGUCCGCCGCUACUUCUUCUGGGUNNNNNNNNNNNNNNNNNNNNNNNNNNNNNNNNNNNNNNNNNNNNNNNNNNNNNNNNNNNNNNNNNNNNNNNNNNNNNNNNNNNNNNNNNNNNNNNNNNNNUUUACUCGUUCCGUAAUACAACAUCCCGUGACUCCUCUUCUAGAGCUCGUUUACUUCAUAUGAGAGAUGUUUAUUUGACUUUGUCCACCAGGUCCAUGAAUUUUAGACCUGACAGUUUCAUCAGUGAUAUUUACUUCAUAUAAGAGAUUUUCAUUUUUCAGAAGCACGGGGUUCUUAAAUUUGCCUUCCUCUUCUAGAUCUCGUUGCUUCCAUUGGUUCACCAAGGAAACAACAUGCUAACUGUCGUAGCAUGGAAUGUACUGCAAAAAAAUUAAAAUGCUUCAGUCAGUAAGAAGGAAUUCUUCAAUCAGUUAAAAUGUAGGGUUUUCCUCACUCCUAAAAAAUGCUUUACGCGGUAGUCUAGCAUUUGGUAAAAGGUGUGCUUUUUAAAAAAACAAUCAUUUUGUGGAUUAUGCACAUCUAGUUCUUCUGUGAGAAACGUAACAUGGUAGUAAUUUAUAUGCAUGUCGUGCCAAAACUUUUCUACUUAAAGUGCAUGUCUCGUAACAAGCGACACGUGAAGUGCUAUUAUAGUACAUCGAACGCCUGUUUCUAUUCCAGCGCAGUUGAUGUUCGUACAGGUUCAGCAACUCGUAAUUCUACUGCAAAAAAUAUACAGAUAAUGUACAAGAAGUUACAUGUGAACUUUGAUAUGCACAAAAUUAUCAACACAAGCAUGUUCGAGUAAAGAUAUGUUUACAUGCAAAGUCGUGAAAAAGCCAUGUGCAACUUGAUUUAUGACAACUCAGGUCGUGCAACAAUUAUAAUAGGAAACUAGUGUUUACUUUGUUGCCAAUGCAAAAAUGUAUGCCCAGCUACUUAUGGAAGUACCAUUGCGAAAUAUAUUUUUCCUGAAAACUUAUCUAAGUAAUUAUGUAUGGUAUUAGCUAGUUGCAUUGUAUUACACAAAUCUAUAUCUAAUAAUACGACAGUUUUGCGUCGAGAGGCUCGAAUCUCCUUUCUAAUUAUGGCACGUUCCGCAACCGACGAUCUACAAGUAUCAUCCACGCCCCCAGAGCCGCUCUCACCACACCAUUGUCACUAAGGGAUACAGCGCAACGCCACCUCCACUUUCCCCGUUAACCUCCUCUCACACCGUUUUUAGCCAUAGAGCAACUGGAUUUUCUCUAACAUUCACCUUUAACCUCCGCCCCCACACUGGUGGAGUCUAUUUGUCUCCUACAUCUGCGAUGUCGUACCUCACUUUCGGUUGUAGAGCUUGCUCCUACUUGAAGGAGGUCGUUGAUGUCGGAAAUUGACGGUGUGGAAAGCUUCGUCCUGGCAUCUAGCGGAUCUGUACGAGAUCACCGCAAAAUUUUAAUCGUAAUAGCAUAGAUCUAUCAAUUUGCAACACGAAGAAACAAAAAUCUCCAAGAUAGAACAACCCAUACAAAAAAAUGUUGCGGAAAUGGAGAGAUAACGUACGAAUCGUAGAGUGAGUUUGAGGACCGAAAGAGAAGAGAGGGCAAGAGAGGAAUAGUGAGUGUUGUACACNNNNNNNNNNNNNNNNNNNNNNNNNNNNNNNNNNNNNNNNNNNNNNNNNNNNNNNNNNNNNNNNNNNNNNNNNNNNNNNNNNNNNNNNNNNNNNNNNNNNNNNNNNNNNNNNNNNNNNNNNNNNNNNNNNNNNNNNNNNNNNNNNNNNNNNNNNNNNNNNNNNNNNNNNNNNNNNNNNNNNNNNNNNNNNNNNNNNNNNNNNNNNNNNNNNNNNNNNNNNNNNNNNNNNNNNNNNNNNNNNNNNNNNNNNNNNNNNNNNNNNNNNNNNNUACUUGGGGCCACCAAAGAGAAUGUUGACGUUUUAGAUUUCCACGUGCAAAGCUUCCGUUGCCUCAGGAAUCACGGUCGUGCCUUUUUGCUUCAAAAUAUUUUGGUUGAACGUUCACUUAAUCAGUCACGGUUUUACAAUCCAAGGGGGAACGUCAGUUGCAAAUGUUUUAAUUGACUGGUUGAGUAUGAGACGGUCCGUUAACACCCUAGUUGAGGCACGAGGCUACAUGAAGCACAUGCAAGAUGUUCCGUUUGUUUCCUUCAAUGUUUCCCUUGACGACGGAUUCAGUGACAGAGACAGGGGCAAAGAUCAGACUCUGGGUAAAACACGUUCGUGCACCUGGGAAUGAGAUAUAUUGUAUAACGACAAGUUCAAUGGGACGAGGCAUGGACUACAGAUGCACGGUAUUGUGUCUCUGUUCACUCUAUCCUUUCACUCUAGUUUGAGUGUCGUAGGCAUAGGCUUGAAGCCACGAGAGAUGUGGAGGCACGAAACAACACCAUAUUCCCCACAUGCGGCAGUGCAUCAAAAUUGGAUGCUAAAUCAUCGAUAUUUAGCAUGCUCAACCCUUUUUUCUGAAGCCAUCGAUGGUUACACAAACAUGUAGUGAACAUCACAAGACAAACCUCAAUAUUGAUGUCAUAAUUAUUGCUGCUACUAAACACAUCAUAGUCUGACAAGUUUUACACAAGACCUCUAUGCUUUACACAGUAAUUAGAAGAUGACAACUACAUCUCCCUCCAUCUUCCAGGCCCUGAUUUCAGUAUUCGCAAAUGAACGGAUUUGACAAUUCCAAACACUCGACGUGUGUGUUUGCUAAAUCCAGAUGCACAUGCUCACAACUUGUUGUUAGUGCAAGACUAGCACACUUAGAAGCCCUUUUAUGCAUCUCACGCACCUUUACUUGCUGCUUGUAGAAUUUAACCGUGAAAUCUUUGUGCAAGCGGGACUCGAGCUUGAUAGUUUGUAGUAUGCUUGCAUUCUGAAUAAAGAAUGUUAGAAACUCAACGUUUCCCAUUGUGUAUUCAUAUUCUUCAAGCGUUAUUGUCUUCAAGUAAAUACCAUGACUCUUCAGAAACACCUGGUGCUUUUGGCGCCAUUCAUUUGUUAAACCUCUCUGAUCCCAUCAUGUUGCCUAGAUAUACACGGAGACUCAAAAACAGUUAAUGUCUGGAAAGCACCUAAAAUACCGCCCAGAAUGUUCACUUCCUGUUCAAACACAAAAUAAAAAAUAUAUAUAAAGAGAAACUAAAACAGUUAUUGCAUUACUGCUGUGUAUCGGGAAGCCCAUGGGAUACCAUGCAUGUGAAAGCCAUAGAAUACUAUGUUGUCAUCGUCUCUUAGAUGAUCACCUCGAUAAAUAGGUUCUUCACGCAUCUAAAGCAUUGCAACAAUCCAACAAAAUCAUCUAGUUUAAAACAUGUCUGCGAGAUACAUAAGGUCUUGAUGGAAUCCAUCACUCCUGGUAUGUUGUGUAUGGACAGACCCUUCAUUUGAUCAUAGUAGAUUACAUUAUUACUUUGUGUUCAUGAAAGUCAAUGCAGCACAAUGUAAUGUGGAAUACCAGUAACUGAAUAACUGUAGAACCAAAGACGAUCUUCGAUUCAUCAGAUAGAUCUGAAUUUUUUCCCAAGGUAUCCAAUUUAGGCGUAGAAAAAUAGUUAUUUGCAACCGUGUAUCUACAGAAUCGUGGAGCAAUCUUUGAUGUGAAUGUCCAUCCUCGGUGUUGAGCUUUCCUUUUUCACAAUGAAUGGCGAUGCUGAUAAGAUUAGGGGAGUUUAUUCGCACGCAGCAGAAUUCCUUGUUGAAAACAAGUAGCAGGUAUUGCACGGCAGGGCAAUAGUAGUGGAUCAUGUUGUAUAUUUAGACCUCCUAUAUGUAAACUUCCAGCAACGAAAGUCUCUUGAGUACUAGGAGGCAAAUCGUUUCUACUAGAUUAUCUGCUAGUUUGCACAGGGUGAAUGUGAGCGUGUGGAGGGAGGAGUAGAACCUCGAGNNNNNNNNNNNNNNNNNNNNNNNNNNNNNNNNNNNNNNNNNNNNNNNNNNNNNNNNNNNNNNNNNNNNNNNNNNNNNNNNNNNNNNNNNNNNNNNNNNNNNNNNNNNNNNNNNNNNNNNNNNNNNNNNNNNNNNNNNNNNNNNNNNNNNNNNNNNNNNNNNNNNNNNNNNNNNNNNNNNNNNNNNNNNNNNNNNNNNNNNNNNNNNNNNNNNNNNNNNNNNNNNNNNNNNNNNNNNNNNNNNNNNNNNNNNNNNNNNNNNNNNNNNNNNNNNNNNNNNNNNNNNNNNNNNNNNNNNNNNNNNNNNNNNNNNNNNNNNNNNNNNNNNNNNNNNNNNNNNNNNNNNNNNNNNNNNNNNNNNNNNNNNNNNNNNNNNNNNNNNNNNNNNNNNNNNNNNNNNNNNNNNNNNNNNNNNNNNNNNNNNNNNNNNNNNNNNNNNNNNNNNNNNNNNNNNNNNNNNNNNNNNNGGGAGUGAGACGGCGAUUUACCCAGGUUCGGCCCCUCGUGAGGAGGUAAAGGCCUACGUCCUGCUUUGUGUUGUAUUGAUGGAGUUUCGAUUACGAGGAGGGCGUAGCUCGCCAGACCUAGCACUCGAUGAUUUCUAACCUAUCCUCUUCUUCCCUGGGACUCGCCUUUAUAUACAGGUCGAGUCCCUAGGGUUUACAAGGGUCCUUUCCUUUCUCCAAACCAUGACUCUUACGAUCUCUNNNNNNNNNNNNNNNNNNNNNNNNNNNNNNNNNNNNNNNNNNNNNNNNNNNNNNNNNNNNNNNNNNNNNNNNNNNNNNNNNNNNNNNNNNNNNNNNNNNNACACAUUAACCCGUCCCGACGACUUAAAGGGAGGAUACGCCAUUCGACCCAGCAACGGAUCAAGUCAACUCCAGUAAGGCCGUUGUAUGUCAAAGAUCUUAACUCGGACAUUACUGGGAUAAAGUCUGACUCCUCCUCUUAGGUGAGCUUGUUUGGGAGUUUGAAAUUUGUUGGAAGGCGAUCUUCCCUAUAACCCAGAAGUUUGUUCUCGCCCUCAGGCGAAGUCACCUGGCAAUAGAACCAAGACUCGCCCCAGCCUUUGGGGUGGCUUGGCAUGGCGAGUGACGGAAAUGGGCUAUCCCUGCGGCGCUGAACAUUAACACCACCAAGCUCGAGGUUGGGGCCAUUGUGAAAUUCUGUUUGGCGAUUUAAGUGGAAGAAGUACCAGAAUAAGGGAACUGAGGGCUCCAUCCGCAAGUAAGCCUCACAAAACACCUGGAACUGGCAUAGAUUACUUAUCGAGUUGGGCCCUNNNNNNNNNNNNNNNNNNNNNNNNNNNNNNNNNNNNNNNNNNNNNNNNNNNNNNNNNNNNNNNNNNNNNNNNNNNNNNNNNNNNNNNNNNNNNNNNNNNNNNNNNNNNNNNNNNNNNNNNNNNNNNNNNNNNNNNNNNNNNNNNNNNNNNNNNNNNNNNNNNNNNNNNNNNNNNNNNNNNNNNNNNNNNNNNNNNNNNNNNNNNNNNNNNNNNNNNNNNNNNNNNNNNNNNNNNNNNNNNNNNNNNNNNNNNNNNNNNNNNNNNNNNNNNNNNNNNNNNNNNNNNNNNNNNNNNNNNNNNNNNNNNNNNNNNNNNNNNNNNNNNNNNNNNNNNNNNNNNNNNNNNNNNNNNNNNNNNNNNNNNNNNNNNNNNNNNNNNNNNNNNNNNNNNNNNNNNNNNNNNNNNNNNNNNNNNNNNNNNNNNNNNNNNNNNNNNNNNNNNNNNNNNNNNNNNNNNNNNNNAUCUAGUAUAGCGUCAUUUACCUUGGUGUGGAGCCAGUCGCUUUUGAAAACGGCGCCCAUGCUACAAAGGGAUAAAAUUACGGGUGAAUUGACACGCCAAACAUCUACUGAAAAAGGAGAAACAAUUUCAUUUGACUCGCCAAAUAAUUUGCCUGAUGGCUAAGGAAAUUUUUUGAUCUGUCAACGAAGGUCCGGGUCAGGUUGCCCGGGUGACUUACGAAACUUUUGCUACUUAAGGCAGCGGUGUUUCAAAGCAUGAGUGGUAUUUCUCAAAAUGGUGAAGUAUGAGACUACAAACAGUUUUCACUUGACAAGCGGUAGAUUAUGGAUCUACCGGGCAGACGGAAAUGAACACGGAAAAUGACUGGAUACAGUAACCUGCGAGUAAGGUGGGACAAUACUAUUGAUUUGGUGAAGCCCUGCUCUAAGUAUGCAAGUAGAGGCUGAACCAAUAAAGGUAUGAAAGACAUCGAUUUUCUCGUUAUCAUCGCCGCCAACUAAUCGGGAACAAGUAAAGCUAUUCGGAAAGCACCAAGAACGCGGCAGUGAUGCACUUUGAAAAGGAACUUGGAUCUGCUCUUGAAUGACAGAAACCUAACCUGGUGGAUUCGGCUGGAGAUGGUCGACGGCGAUGAAGGUCUCGGACGGGCACGAAAACCUCGGGCGGCGACAAAGUGUUCGGAGGCGGCGAGGUGCUCGACGACGGCGAGACGGUCGACCGUGGCGAACUGCUCGGCCGCGGCGAAGUGCUUGAUGGCGACGAAGUCCUCGGGCGGCACCGAAGUUUUCGGAUGGCGACGAGGUCCUCGGGUGGCGGCGGAGCUCUCAGAAGACGAUGAGGGUUUUCACUUUGAUAGUGGGGAAGAGAAGGGCGACAAGACUGGUAGGUGGAAUGCGCCCAGUCCCUUCCUCCCGCCUAUUUAUNNNNNNNNNNNNNNNNNNNNNNNNNNNNNNNNNNNNNNNNNNNNNNNNNNNNNNNNNNNNNNNNNNNNNNNNNNNNNNNNNNNNNNNNNNNNNNNNNNNNNNNNNNNNNNNNNNNNNNNNNNNNNNNNNNNNNNNNNNNNNNNNNNNNNNNNNNNNNNNNNNNNNNNNNNNNNNNNNNNNNNNNNNNNNNNNNNNNNNNNNNNNNNNNNNNNNNNNNNNNNNNNNNNNNNNNNNNNNNNUUCCUCCCGCCUAUUUAUUAGCACAGGCGCGAGGAUCGAGGCGCCACGGGCGGGAAUCACCAAAAGAUAAAGAUUCUCCAUGAUGGCACCCCGAAAAUUUUGGGAUAACGAUACCGAAAGAUCCAUUGGGGAUUAUGUCAUUAUCUUUUCCGGGAUUCAAGGGAUAAGGAGGUACCAACAAGAAAUGGUUUGGCGACUCAAGUUUUUCCGCAACAGAUGGCGGGUUAACUUCAUGGCGUAUAAAAGGGGUGAAGAUGAAUCUCCCUUAAUUGAGUAAGGAUAUUGGCGAGAAGGAACUUCAAGUCAAUCUGGGGCCUAAUGUUGGGGAUAUUAUUUGUUGAUAACCCGCCCUAGUUGGGCCGGGUCACCAAAUCUGGCGAUUCAUCUAAAAUAAGGUUCAGGCCUUGGCCUGGUAGGACCGAAGGCUGUAUGGCGGUUUACAACUUCCGGAAGGAGUCCAUGACAGAGAAGGCCUCCAAGCUUUGGAAAGGUGGCGACUUAGAGAUCGUAAGAGUCANNNNNNNNNNNNNNNNNNNNNNNNNNNNNNNNNNNNNNNNNNNNNNNNNNNNNNNNNNNNNNNNNNNNNNNNNNNNNNNNNNNNNNNNNNNNNNNNNNNNAAGGGCAAACCUAUACCUUGCACCUCGUCCUCUUGAGCUAGAUGAUGAUGAUCUUGGCUUCCUCAAGAUGGACCACCUUUCUUGAUUGUAUUAGAUUGAUGAAGACUAGUUGAUUGCUCCCCCAUACUCACUAUGGGUCAGCCACUCUUCAGCAUAUCUUCACAAGCCCAUUGCCACCACAAUGGACGGCAAGCUUCAAGCAUGAUAUCUUCGUGUUGAUCCACUUGAACUUGCACAUCGCAAUCUUGAUGACGAUCACAACUUGACGUCAUGCUUCAUGGGUUAUAUGAGAUCUUCCCUUUGACGCAAGCCCAUGGAAACACACCUAACCCCCACAUAGAACUCUCACGAAGACCAUGGGUUAGUACACAAACACUUAAUGGACAAUGCUUACCAUACCAUGGGAUCACUUGAUCCCUCUCGGUACAUCUUGUACGCUUUGUGUGUUGAUCAUCUUGAUUUACUCUUUGUCUGAGAUCUUGAUCAACCAUGUGUCUCUAUGACCAUACUUUGGAUAAUACCUUGAAUACCAUCUUGGUCAUCAUAUAAACUCCUUGAACCGAACAGAUGGACUUCAAGAAGUGCCUAUGGACAAAUCCUAUAAAUGUAACUUAAGGCAACCAUUAGUCCAUAGGAAUUGUCAUCAAUUACCAAAACCACAUAUGGAGAUAUAUGCNNNNNNNNNNNNNNNNNNNNNNNNNNNNNNNNNNNNNNNNNNNNNNNNNNNNNNNNNNNNNNNNNNNNNNNNNNNNNNNNNNNNNNNNNNNNNNNNNNNNAGAAAAGACUAAGGAGGGAAGCAAAUUGAACAUCAACUCCCACAAAACCUUUCUGUUCUACUCGAGAUAACAUCUAUGCAUGAACCUAGCUCAUGAUGCCACUGUUGGGGAACGUUGCAUGGGAAACAAAAAAUUUCCUAUGCACACGAAGACCUAUCAUGGUGAUGUCCAUCUACGAGUGGAGAUUUGGAUCUACGUACUCUUGUAGAUCGCACAGCAGGAAGCGUUAGGAAACGCGGUUGAUGUAGUGGAACGUCUUGACGUCCCUCGAACCGUCCAACAAACCAUCCCGCAAUCCAUCCCACGGACCGUCCUGCGAUCCGUCCCACGAUCCGUCCUGAUCUAGUGCCGAACGGACGACACCUCCGCGUUCAGCACACGCAACUCGACGACGAUCUCGGCCUUCUUGAUCCAGCAAGAGAGACGGAGAAGUAGAUGGGUUAUUCGGCAGCGUGACGACGCGCCGGUGUUGGUGAUGAACUAUUCCUGCAGGGCUCCGCCUGAGCUCCGCAGAAAUCCGGUCUAGUGGUGAAACUAUGUGGUUUAGGCUAUAGUUGCACGUGGCAAAGUUGUGUCUCAAAAAGUCCUAAACUACCAUUGUAUAUAGGAGGAAGGGGGAGGGGCUAGCGUUGAGGCACAAGGCCUCAAGGUGCGCCGACCAAGGGGGAGGAGUUGGACUCCAACCCCAAUUCAGUUUGGUGGGGAAGGAGUNNNNNNNNNNNNNNNNNNNNNNNNNNNNNNNNNNNNNNNNNNNNNNNNNNNNNNNNNNNNNNNNNNNNNNNNNNNNNNNNNNNNNNNNNNNNNNNNNNNNNNNNNNNNNNNNNNNNNNNNNNNNNNNNNNNNNNNNNNNNNNNNNNNNNNNNNNNNNNNNNNNNNNNNNNNNNNNNNNNNNNNNNNNNNNNNNNNNNNNNNNNNNNNNNNNNNNNNNNNNNNNNNNNNNNNNNNNNNNNNNNNNNNNNNNNNNNNNNNNNNNNNNNNNNNNNNNNNNNNNNNNNNNNNNNNNNNNNNNNNNNNNNNNNNNNNNNNNNNCCAUAUCCCUCUUGGGAUCACUCCACUAGCCCAAUAAGGACUUGUGGCGCCACCCUAGGGCCUUGGGCUCACUCCCGGGUGGGUGUGCCCCUCCCGGUAAACACCCGGAACCCAUUCGUCACUCCCGGUACACUGCCGGAAUUGCCCGAAACUUUCCGAUGACCAAAUGAAACCAUCNNNNNNNNNNNNNNNNNNNNNNNNNNNNNNNNNNNNNNNNNNNNNNNNNNNNNNNNNNNNNNNNNNNNNNNNNNNNNNNNNNNNNNNNNNNNNNNNNNNNGAUUAAAUCACUGAACAACAGUCAAAGUUAUCCUUAGUAACUAAUGGACUAAGGAAUUUUUCUCGAUUAUGGAGGUGGUUAAAGAGUUCAUCGUAAAAGGUUACGUUGAUGCAAGCUUUGACACUAAUCCGAAUAACUAUGAGUAAUAAAACGGAUUUGUAUAGUAGAGUAGAUAUUUGGAGUAUUUCCGAAUAGCACGUAGUAGCAGCAUCUAUGAGAUGACAUAAAGAUUCGUAAAGCACACACGGAUCUGAAAAUUCAGAACCGUUGACUAAAACCUCUCUCAUGAGCAAGACGUGAUCAAACCCCAGAACUAUAUGGGUGUUGGAUUCGUUAAAAUCACAUGGUGAUAUGAACUAGAUUAUUGACUCUAGUGCAAGUGGGAGACUAUUGGAAAUAUGCCCUAGAGGCAAUAAUAAAUUAGUUAUUAUUACAUUUCUUUGUUCAUGAUAAUCGUUUAUUAUCCAUGCUAGAAUUGUAUUGAUUGGAAACUUAGAUACAUGUGUGGAUACAUAGACAAAACACUGUCCCUAGUAAGCCUCUAGUUGACUAGCUCGUUGAUCAAAGAUGGUCAAGGUUUCCUGACCAUAGACAAGUGUUGUCGCUUGAUGACGGGAUCACAUCUUUAAGAGAAUCAUGUGAUGGACUAGACCCAAACUAUGUACGUAGCAUAUUGAUCGUGUCAUUUUAUUGCUAUUGUUUCUGUGUGUCAAGUAUUUAUUCCUAUGACCAUGAGAUCAUAUAACUCACUAGCACCAGAGGAAUACCUUGCAUGUAUCAGACGUCACAACGUAACUGGGUGACUAUAAAGGUACUCUACAGGUAUCUCCGAAGGUUUUCCGUUGAGUUAGUAUGGACCAAGACUGGGAUUUGUCACUCCGUGUGACGGAGAGGUAUCUCGGGGCCCACUUGGUAAUACAACAUCACACACAAGCCUUGCAAGCAAUGUGACUAAGUAUAAGUCACGGGAUCUUGUAUUAUGGAACGAGUAAAGAGACUUGCCGGUAACGAUAUUGAAAUAGGUAUGCGGAUAGUGACGAUCGAAUCUCGGGCAAGUAACAUACCGAAGGACAAAGGGAGUGACAUACGGGAUUAUAUGAAUCCUUGACACUGAGGUUCAACCGAUAAGAUCUUCAGAGAAUAUGUAGGAUCCANNNNNNNNNNNNNNNNNNNNNNNNNNNNNNNNNNNNNNNNNNNNNNNNNNNNNNNNNNNNNNNNNNNNNNNNNNNNNNNNNNNNNNNNNNNNNNNNNNNNGAACUCUCCAAGGCUAAGCUCUCCCAAUAUGAAAAUCUGGAAUUCAAAGUACUUUGCUCUGGCUUUGCAAGUCGCCUAGAGGCGAGUUACGAGAUGGAGAAGAGCCUGCUUUGGAUGCUGAAGAACAAACAUGAGGUACAUUUUGUUGUACACUAUAUUAUCCUCAUUAACCCCCAAGAGUCGGGUCAUAAGUAAAAANNNNNNNNNNNNNNNNNNNNNNNNNNNNNNNNNNNNNNNNNNNNNNNNNNNNNNNNNNNNNNNNNNNNNNNNNNNNNNNNNNNNNNNNNNNNNNNNNNNNNNNNNNNNNNNNNNNNNNNNNNNNNNNNNNNNNNNNNNNNNNNNNNNNNNNNNNNNNNNNNNNNNNNNNNNNNNNNNNNNNNNNNNNNNNNNNNNNNNNNNNNNNNNNNNNNNNNNNNNNNNNNNNNNNNNNNNNNNNNNNNNNNNNNNNNNNNNNNNNNNNNNNNNNNNNNNNNNNNNNNNNNNNNNNNNNNNNNNNNNNNNNNNNNNNNNNNNNNNNNNNNNNNNNNNNNNNNNNNNNNNNNNNNNNNNNNNNNNNNNNNNNNNNNNNNNNNNNNNNNNNNNNNNNNNNNNNNNNNNNNNNNNNNNNNNNNNNNNNNNNNNNNNNNNNNAUUUGAAAAACUUUCGACAUGUAACCCCCAAGGGCCGGGUCGUGAGUAAAAAGAUGAGCCGGGUCUUGAUACUGUAUAAUUUUGUCUAAAAAAAUUAUACAUUAGCCCCCAAGUGUCAGGGAUGUUGCUUGCAAUAAUUCUGAGACUUGCCCCUUAACUAUAUGCUUCAACAGGAAUCACUUAUCCAAACUGAAUCAGCACUUGGCGACUUGAAGAAAAAUUUAUCCGAUCAGCAGGAUGCCUGGGCCAAAUCAUAAGAGAAGUAUCAACUGAUCUUAUCUGAGAUGGAGAAGCUAAAAGCCGACUCAAAAAGGGCUCAAGCUGAUCAAGAUGCUUUAACAAAGUGAGCAGAAAAAGNNNNNNNNNNNNNNNNNNNNNNNNNNNNNNNNNNNNNNNNNNNNNNNNNNNNNNNNNNNNNNNNNNNNNNNNNNNNNNNNNNNNNNNNNNNNNNNNNNNNAUUAAACGUUAGUUUUAUUCCGCAUUUGUUCAAGCCUAAACCUUAAUUAUUUUAAAGCGCCUAUUCCCCCCCCCCUCUAGGCGACAUCCACGUCCUUUCAAUUGGUAUCAGAGCUAGGUCUCUCUUUAUUAGGUUUAACCACCUAGAGAGUAAGGAUGUCGACUAGGGGUUUAGGAUUCACUGACACUCUUAGUUUCGAUGGCACAAAUUUUGAUGUUUGGGUAAUUCGCAUGCUUAAUCACUUUAGGGUCGUGGACCCAAAUUUAGAGCGAAUUGUAGAUAUGGGUUUUUCUCCUCCAAAGGAUUCUCAAAGUAUAUCUUUAGAGGAUGUGAAAAACUCUUAUCUCAAUGCUCAAGCUUCUAAUGUGCUUUUUGAUGCUUUGAGCAAUGUAGUUAUAUUUCAACUCAUGCCAUUCCGGGAUGCUCAUGAGUUGUGGACAAAGCUUCAAGAUAAAUAUGGUGUGUCCCAGAUUUGCAGGGAUGAUUGUUCUUCCUCCACCUCCGGUCGUGUGGUCUUCUCAACUUCAUCUACUUCACCUACAUGUGGAUUGCCACAAGGUAAUGAUAUGGUGAGUAGUGGUGACCAUUGCAAUAAUGAAAGUGGGUUUAUUGUUAAUGAUCCUUCAUCACUAUAUUAUUGCGAUGCUUUAUCUUUGGGCGUUAACACUUCGAGCACUCUAAAUGUUUCACAUGCUUGUGUUGAUAGUCCGUGCAUAUCAUGUAAAAACUGCCUGUCUAAAUCUCAUGAUGAUAUGCCUCCUAUAUCUUGUUGCCAUGAUAAAAAUGUAUAUAUUUCCUCGAUUUGUUGUGCUAAUAAUGUAGAGGAAAUUCAUCACUCCAUGGAACAAGAUGUGGCCUUGAAUGAUGCUUCAAGGGAUCCUACAUNNNNNNNNNNNNNNNNNNNNNNNNNNNNNNNNNNNNNNNNNNNNNNNNNNNNNNNNNNNNNNNNNNNNNNNNNNNNNNNNNNNNNNNNNNNNNNNNNNNNUUCGAUAAAACCGCUGUGGCCGGUUUAGAGAAGCGAGUACCGGUGAUAACCACAGUGUCCGGGUCUUCUGUUGUUGUCAAUGGAAUUGGCGGGUUAGGUGCAUCCAUGUUUUCCUUGGGAGAGCUGGGGAGAUCCACUUGAUCUUCAGGUUUGUCUUGGUCCGGGUCAUCCUGGAUCGGUGCCGACUUUCCGAUAGGCUCCGAAGUUGUAACGGGAGUUGACCCGCCAAUUUUUCUUUUCUUCGCCUGUGCCCUGAAAGGAGAAGGGGGUGCGUUUAAAGGACUAAAAAUUUAUCGCCAUUAGACUAAAAGUAAAAAUUAUCAAAGGUUUACCUAGGGACACGGAUGAUCGGUGGAAGUGCCGACAUUACUGAGUCGCCAGAUGUAGGAGGAGAACUCUGCAAAAAGUUAUACUUCGAAGAUAUGAGUGAGCUACAAAUGCGAUCCAAAAAGACCCGAAGAAGUGUUAGUAAAAUAUACCUCAUUUGGCUUUUUCUUGUUUCUUGGUGGUAAACAGGACACCAGAUCGUCAGAAUGACUUCAAGUAUUCCGAUUUGAGGUUUGUUGUGCUUUCUUCAGAAGAAAAUUUGGAUCCAAACAAGAAUUUGGGUGUGAGAAGGGAACUUUCCCACAAACUCGCCUGGCCGGCUUAGGUGGAGAAGGAGAUGAGUCGGAGGAAACAGAUAUUACCUCUACAGAAUCCUCCUCGCUUUCAUUGUCUUCACUCUACGCAAGAAAUGCAGAGGUGUAAAUACAAAGUUAUCAGUAAUGGAUCGCGAGUUAAAAGAGGAUAGGUUUUUUUUACCUCCGAAGGUNNNNNNNNNNNNNNNNNNNNNNNNNNNNNNNNNNNNNNNNNNNNNNNNNNNNNNNNNNNNNNNNNNNNNNNNNNNNNNNNNNNNNNNNNNNNNNNNNNNNUUUGGCCAACUUCAAUUUUCAAGUCGCCCAGUACCCAGUUACAUUUGGAUAACACGGCGAACUCAUCUUCAUCGGUCAGAACUGAUGAGAGAUCUACUACCAAGUCAAAAGGAUUCUUGGGUCGACGCGGAGUUAAGCUGGUCGUCACAAAGGUUGGCGAGUUAACCUUCUUGUUUUUGUUGUCAUAGGCGGCUUGGUAUUUUGAUAAAUCUAGGCUUGCAGCAAGCUGAGUCGCCGCCAAACGGGAUUCCUUGACGACACGUUGAUAGUCCUCUUCAGCGAAUUCUGACCCAUCAUCCUUGAGUUGAGGAAAGCCCGCCACUACUUCUUCUGGGUUUAUCUCUGGAGCAUAUGCUAAGAACCGACUCAGAGUGGUCAGCGCUCCUUUCGGGGCGGCUGACCGAGUGAACUCGCCAAUUUGGGGAGGAAGAGUGGGUAAGCAUCCAAGCAUCUUCUUUAUUGAUGUUAUAGGUUCCUUGGCGCCCAUCCCUGCUUUCACAGUCAGCACACUCCUGGUAUAUUGCUGCUCCGUCAACGUGUAAAUCGCCUUCAGCAUCAGGACGCAAUCAUCCUGAAGGUUGGCGGCUCUCGGACCUGUAUAAGAGGUAAUGAUAGUCAGUGAUUUAUAUAAAGCUAUUAGUUUACAAAGGUCAAGAGUUGAUUUUUACCGAAGACAGUUUGCGCCAUGUUUGAGAUGUGUCGCUUUAAGUCGGACAGCUCCUGUUGCACAGUGUCCAACUUGGCUUCAACUUUUUCUGCUCACUUUGNNNNNNNNNNNNNNNNNNNNNNNNNNNNNNNNNNNNNNNNNNNNNNNNNNNNNNNNNNNNNNNNNNNNNNNNNNNNNNNNNNNNNNNNNNNNNNNNNNNNUUCCCCUCACAUAGAGGAUAAAGUGAUUGGUGGAGAUGUGGAUCUAGAUCUCCUCUAUCUUUUCCCUCAAGAACAAGCAAGAAUCAUUGGAGGGAUUGAGAGUUAGCAAGCUCUAAGAAUGUCAACAAUGGAGGUAGAACAAGAGCUCAACAGAUAGAUAAGGCCACGGGGAAGAAGACCCCCUUUAUAUAGUGGGGGAAGGAAUCAGACCGUUACCCCCACUUACAGCCCGAGCCCAGCGGUACUACCGCUGGCUCCAGCGGUACUACCGCUGACUGCAGCGGUACUACCGCUGGCUCUGCAACGGUACUACCGCUGGCUGUAGCGGUACUACCGCUGAGCCCAUGGUAGCGCAAAGAUACUACCGGGCCAACCACCGCCAAGAAAGUCUUCGCAAAAAUGUCUGACGCAGUACAUCCGCAAAGAUGACGGUACUAAAAACUUGGAGCGGUACUACCGCUGGCCAGGGGCGGUACUACCGCUGGGACAGCGGUACUACCGCAAGCUCUAGCGGUACUACCGCUAGGGCCAGUGGUACUACCGCCAACUCUAGCGGUACUACCGCUAGGUCCAGCGGUACUACCGCUCGCCACUGAAACAGCCACAACUUUCGCAUACGAGCUCUGAAUCGAGCAAACCCAAGCUUGUUGGAAAUCUUAAGACCAUGCAGAUAUGAAAAUGCCAAUUAUAUAGAGAUGUGAGUCCUCUAUGAAUGAAGAACCGGCAAAAACUCCAACAUCGAAAACAUCAUAGUAGAUGCANNNNNNNNNNNNNNNNNNNNNNNNNNNNNNNNNNNNNNNNNNNNNNNNNNNNNNNNNNNNNNNNNNNNNNNNNNNNNNNNNNNNNNNNNNNNNNNNNNNNGAUCAUCUUGAGCCCUUUUUAUGUCGGCCUUUAGCUUCUCCAUAUCAGAUAAGAUGAGUUGAUACUUCUCUUCUGAUUUGGCCCGGGCAUCCUACUGAUCGGAUAAAUUUUUCUUCGAGUCGCCAAGUGCUGAUUAAGUUUGGAUAAGUGAUUCCUGUUGAAGCAUAUAGUUAAGGGGCAAGUCUCAGAAUUAUUGCAAGCCACAUCUGUGACACUUGGGGGCUAAUGUAUAAUUUUUUUAGACAAAAUUAUACAGUAUCAAGACCCGGCUCAUAUUUUUACUCAUGACCCGGCCCUUGGGGGUUACAGGUCGAAAGUUUUUCAAAUCAUCAAGACCCGGCUCAUCUUUUCACUGAUGACCCGGCCCUUGGGGUACAGGUUGAAAGUUUUUCAAAUCAUCAAGACCCAGCUCAUCUUUUUACUGAUGACCCGGCCCUUGGGGGUUACAGGUCGAAAGUUUUUCAAAUCAUCAACACCCGGCUCAUCUUUUUACCGAUGACCCGGCCCUUGGGGGUUACAGGUCGAAAGUUUUUCAAAUCAUCAAGACCCGGCUCAUCUUUUUACUGAUGACCCGGCUCUUGGGGGUUAAUGAGGAUAAUAUAGUGUACAACAAAAUGUACCUCGUGUUUGUUCUUCAGCAUCCGAAGCAGGCUCUUCUCCAUCUCAUAACGCGCCUCUAGGCGACUUGCAAAGCUAGAGCAAAGUUCUUUGAAUUCCAGAUUUUUCAUAUUGGGAGAUCUUAGCCUUGGAGAGUUCAUGCUCAAGAAUAGAUUGAGUUGAUGAUGAUACAUGCUUCGAUAAAACCGAUGUGGCCGGUUUAGAGAAGCGAGUACUGGUGAUAACCAAAGCGUCCGGGUCUUCUGCUGUUGUCAAUGGACUUGGCGGGUUAGGUGCAUCCAUGUUUUCCUUGGGAGAGCUAGGGAGAUCCACUUGAUCUUCAGGUUUGUCAUGGUCCGGGUCAUCCUGGAUCGGCGCCGACUUUCCGAUAGGCUCCGAAGUUGUAACGGGAGUUGACCCGCCAGUUUUUCUUUUCUUCGCCUGUGCCCUGAAAGGAGAAGGGGGUGCGUUUAAAGGACUGAAAAUUUAUCGCCAUCAGACUAAAAGUAAAAAUUAUCAAAGGUUUACCCAGGGACACGGAUCAUCGGUAGAAGUGCCGACAUUACUGAGUCGCCACAUGUAGGAGGAGAACUCUGCAAAAAGUUAUACUUCGAAGAUAUGAGCGAGUUACAAAUGCGAUCCAAAAAGACCCGAAGAAGUGUUAGUAAAAUAUACCUCAUUUGGCCUUUUCUUGUUUCUUGGUGGUAAACCGGACACCAGAUCGCCAGAAUGACUUCGAGUUUUCCGAUUUGAGGUGUGUUGUUCUUUCUUCAGAAGAAAAUUUGGAUCCAAACAAGCAUUUGGGUGUGAGAAGGGAACUUUCCCACAAAUUCGCCUGGUCGGCUUAGGUGGAGAAGGAGAUGAGUCGGAGGAAACAGAUAUUACCUCUACAGAAUCCUCCUGGCUUUCAUUGUCUUCAUUCUACGCAAGAGAUGCAGAGGUGUAAAUACAAAGUUAUCAGUAAUGGAUGGCGAGUUAAAAGAGGAUAGGUUUUUUACCUCCGAAGGUGCGUCGCCGACUUGGGAUUCAUCGGCCUCAGAUGGUUCGGUAACAACACCUUUGCCCUUGCCCUUGGAUUUCUUCUUUGGAGGCGGCCUAGCUUGCUUCAUGGCUUACUUUUUUGGCCUCUUGGACCAAAAUUAUCACCUUUCUGAAAUGGCAUAUUUUAUAAGAGGUCAUAGUUCGAAUAAGACGUAAGGAGUAAAAGACAAAAGGCGGGUUAAAGUUAUUUACCUUUGGUGCCGGGUUAAUCUUGCAGAAAGGUUUAAGACCUAUUUGGCCGCAUUUCCCCGCGGGCUCGCCGGUCAGCUUCUAGAUGAUGGUUACAAUAUCAUUUUCCGUCAGAGCCGUGUGGAAGUAGCACUGAGGAUGAUCUAGGGUGCCGUCGAAUUCACACAUUAACCCGUCCCGGCGACUUAAAGGGAGGAUACGCCAUUCGACCCAGCAGCGGAUCAAGUCAACUCCAGUAAGGCCGUUGUUUGUCAAAGAUCUUAACUCGGACAAUACUGGGAUAAAGUCUGACUCCUCCUCUUCGGUGAGCUUGUCUGGGAGUUUGAAAUUUGUUGGAAGGCGAUCUUCCCUAUAACCCAGAAGUUUGUUCUCGCCAUCAGACGAAGUCUCCUGGCAAUAGAACCAAGAAUAGCCCUAGCCUUUGGGGUGGCUUGGCAUGGCGAGUGAACAUUAACACAACCAAGCUCCAGGCUGGGGCCAUUGUGAAAUUCUGUUUGGCGAUUUAAGUGGAAGAAGUACCAGAAUAAGGGCUCCAUCCGCAAGUAAGCCUCACAAAACACGUGGAACUGGCAUAGAUUGCUUAUCGAGUUGGGCCCUAGAUCUUGGAGGCGGACAUUCAUAAAAGCCAUGGCGUCUCUGAGGAAUUUUGAUCCACUCAAGGUGUUGAACAAAAACAACUAUUUCGCCUUCCUUGGGAUUGGGGAUUUCUUCUCCUAACCCGGUGCGCCAACCGAUAAUCUCCUGAGGGUCCAAAUUUCCCGUUUUCACAUAAUCAUCUAGUAUAGCGUCAUUAACCUUGGUGGGGAGCCAGUCGCUUUUGAAAACGGCGCCCAUGCUACAAAGGGAUUAAAUUACGGGUGAAUUGACACGCCAAACAUCUAUUGAAAAAGGUGAAACAAUUUCAUUUGACUCGCCAAAUAAUUUGCCCGAUUGUUGAGGAAAUUUUUUGAUCCGCCAACGAAGGUCCGGGUUAGGUUGCUCGGGCGACUUACGAAACUUUCGCUACUUAAGGGAGCGGUGUUUCAAAGCUUUAGUGGUAUUUGUCAAAAUGGUGAAGUAGGAGACUACAAACAGUUUUCACUUGAAAAGCGGUAGAUUAUGGAUCUACCGGGCAGACAGAAAUGAAUGCGGAAAAUGACUGGAUACAGUAACCUGCGACUAAGGUGGGACAAUACUGUUGAUUUGGUGAAGCCCUCCUCUAAGUAUGCAAGUAGAGGUCGAACAAAUAAAGGUAUGAAAGACAUCGAUUUUCUCAUUAUCAUCGCCGCCAACUAAUCGGGAACAAGUAAAGCUAUUCGGGAAGCACCAAGAAUGCGGCGGUGAUGAACUUCGAAAAGGAACUUGGAUCUGCUCUUGAAUGACAGAAACCUAACCUGGUGGAUUCGGCUGGAGACGGUCGAUGGCGAUGAAGGUCUCGGACGGGCGCGAAAACCUCGGGCGGCAACGAAGUGUUCGGCGGCGGCGAGGUGCUCGACGACGGCGAGACGGUCGACGACGAGACGGUCGACGGCGGCGAACUGCUCGGCCACGGUGAAGUGCUUGACGGCGACGAAGUCCUCGGGCGGCACAGAAGCUUUCGGAUGGCCACGAGGUCCUCGGGUGGUGGCGGAGCUCUCGGAAGACGAUGAGUGUUUUCGCUGUGAUAGUGGGGAAGAGAAGGGCGACAAGACUGGUAGGUGGAAUGCGCCCAGUCCCUUCCUCCCGCCUAUUUAUCAGGGCAGGCGCUAGGAUCGAUGCGCCACGAGCGGGAAUCAGCAAAAGAUAAAGAUUCGCCAUGAUGGCACCCCGAAAAUUUUGGGAUAACGAUACCGAAGGAUCCGUUGGGGAUUACGUCAUUAUCUUUUCCGAGAUUCAAGGGAUAAGGAGGUACCAACAAGAAAUGGUUUGGCGACUCAAGUUUUUCCGCAACAGAUGGCGGGUUAAGUUCAUGGCGUAUAAAAGGGUGAAGAUGAAUCGCCCUUAAUUGAGUAAGGAUAUUGGCGUGAAGGAAAUUCUAGUCAAUCUGGGCCUAAUGUUGGGGAUAUUAUCUGUUGAUAACCCGCCCUAGUUGGGCCGUGUCACCAAAUCUGGCGAUUCAUCUAAAAUAUGGUUCGGGCCUUGGCCUGGUAGGACCGAAGGUUGUAUGGAGGUUUACAACUUCCGGAAGGAGUCCAUGACAGAGAAGGCCUCCAAGCUUUGGAAAGGUGGCGACUUAGAGAUCGUAAGAGUCAGGGUUUGGAGAAAGGAAAGGACCCUUGUAAACCCUAGGGACUCGACCAGUAUAUAAAGGCGAGUCCCAGGGAAGAAGAGGAUAGGUUAAAAAUCAUCGAGCGCUAGGUCUGGCAAGUUACGCCCUCCCAUUAAUCGAAACUCCAUCAAUACAACACAAAGCAGGACGUAGGCUUUUACCUCCUCACGAGGGGCCGAACCUGGGUAAAUCGCCGCCUCACUCCCGUUCAACCCCUUUUGAGUUGCCACCAAAGUGCAAUGGCUCCAAUACUAAGUCCUUUCACGAGGACAUCUGUCGUGACAAAACCACGAAAGAACUCCUCGUGACAUCCUGCAUCUCAUCCGAGACUCCAAACAACAUUCGAUUACCAACAUCAAUAACUCAACUAUACCGAAAACGUCACCAAACCUUAAGUGUGCAGACCCUGCGGGUUCGAGAACUAUGUACAUAUGACCGAGACACUCUCCAGUAAAUAUUCAAUAGCGGGACCUGGACGUCCAUAUUGGAACCUACAUAUUCUACGAAGAUCUUAUCGGUUGAACCUCUAUGUCAAGGAUUGACACAAUCCCGUAUAUCAUUCCCUUUGUCCUUCGGUAUGUUACUUGCCCGAGAUUCGAUCGUCGGUAUCUUCAUACCUAUUACAAUCUCAUUACCGGAAAGUCUCUUUACUCGUUCCGUAAUACAAGAUCUGGUGACUAAAUCUUUAAUCACAUUGUUUGCAAGGCUUGUUUGUGAUGUUGUAUUACCGAGUGGGCCCCGAGAUACCUCUCCGUCACACGGAGUGACAAAUCCCAGUCUUGAUCCAUGCUGACUUAACGGACACCUUUGGCGAUGCCUGUAGAGUACCUUUAUAGUCACCCAGUAAUGUUGCAAAGUUUUAUACACACAAGGCAUUCCUCCGGUGUCAGUGAGUUACAUGAUCUCAUGGUCAUAGGAUUGUAUACUUGACAUGCAGAAAACAAUAACAACAAAAUGACACGAUCAUAUGCUACGUUUAUAGUUUGGGUCUUGUCCAUCACAUCAUUCUCCUAAUAAUGUGAUCCCGUUAUCAAGUGACAACACUUGUCUAUGGCCAAGAAACCUUGACCAUAUUUGAUCAACGAGCUAGUCAAUUUGGUGCUCACUAGGGAUAGUGUGUUGUCUAUGUAUCCACACAUGUAUUUGGGUUUCCAAUCAAUACAAUUCUAGCAUGGAUAAUAAACGAUUAUUAUGAACAAGGAAAUAUAAUAAUAACCAAUUUAUUAUUGCCACUAGAGCAUAUUUCCAAUAGUUUCCCACUUGCACUAGAGUCAAUAAUCUAGUUCACAUCACUAUGUGAUUGUACAACACCCAUACAUUUCUCGGGUUCGAUCAUGUCUUGCUUGUGAGAGAGGUUUUAGUCAACAGGUCUGAACCUUUCAGAUCAGUAUGUGUUUUACAAAUCUCUAUGUCAUCCUAUAGAUGCUGCUACCACACAGCAUUUGGAACUAUUCCAAAUGACUGCUCCACAAUAUGAAUACGGUUUACUACUUGGAGUUAUCCAGAUUAGUGUCAAAGCCUGCAUCGAUGUAACCCUUUAUGACGAAAUCUUUUAUCACCUCCAUAAUCGAGAAAAAAAAUCCUUAGUCCACUAGUUACAAAGGAUAACUUUUGACCGAUGUCCAGUAAUCCAUUACUGGAUCACUUUUGUACCCCUUGAUAGAUUCAUGACAAGGCACACAUCUGGUGCGGUACACAACAUAGCAUACUAUAGAGCCUAUGGCUAAAGCAUAGGGGACGACUUUCGUGCUUUCUCUUUCUUUUGCCGUGGUCGGGUUUUGAGUCUUACUCAAAUUCACACCUUACAACACAGCCAAGAACUCCUUCUUUGCUGAUCCAUUUUGAACUCCUUUAAAAACUUGUCGAGGCAUGCAUUUCGCUGAAAGUUCUAUUAAGCACUUUGAUCUAUCUCCAUAGAACUUGAUGCUCAAUGUUGAAGUAUCUUAAUCCAGGCUUUCCUAUGAAAUAAAAUCCUUUAAAACAACCUUUUAUGCUUUCCAGAGGUUCUACAUUAGUUCCCAUCAAUAAUAUGUCAACCACAUAUACUCAUCAGAAAUUCAAUAGUGUUCCUACUCACUUCUUUGGAAAUACAAGUUUCUCAUAAACCUUGUAUAAACCCAAAAACUUUGAUCAUCUCAUCAAAGCGUGUAUUCCAAUUCCGAGAUGCUUGCUCCAGUCCAUAGAAGGAUCGCUGGAGCUUGCAUACUUGUUAGCAUCCUUAGGAUCGACAAAACCACUUGUUGUAUGACAUACAACCUUUCCUCAAGGAAAUCGUCGAGGAAACAAUGUUUUGACAUCCUAUCCGCAAGAUUUCAUAUAUAAUGCAGCAAUUGCUAACAGAAUUCCAACAUACCUUUAGCAUCGCUAUGAGUGACAAAGUCUCAUCAUAGUCAACUCCUUGAAUUGUCAGAAACAUCUUUGUGACAAGUUGAGCUUUCUUAAUGGUGACUUUUCACCAUCAUCGUCUGUCUUCCUUUUAAAGAUCCAUCUCUACUUAAUAGUCGUACAACCAUCAAGUAGUUCUUCCAAAGCCUACACUUUGUUUUCAUACAUGGAUCCUCUCUCGGAUUUCAUGGCCUCCAGCCAUUUGCCGGAAUCCGGGCGCACCAUCGCUUCUCUAGAGCUCGUAGGUUCAUUGUUGUCCAACAACAUGACCUCCAAGACAAGGUUACUGUACCACUCUGUAUCAGUACGUGACCUUGUCGACCUACGAGGUUUGUAGUAACUUGAUCCGAAGUUUCAUGAUCACUAUCUUUAGCUUCCACUUUAAUUGGCGUCGGCGCCGCAGGAACAACUUCCUGUGCGGUGCUACAUACUGGUUGAAGUGAUGGUUCAAUAACCUCAUCAAGUUCCACCAUCCUCCCACUCAUGUCUUUCGAGAGAAAAAAUUUCCUCAAGAAAGGACCCAUUUCUAGAAACAAACACUUUGCUUCCGGAUCUGAGAUAGGAGGUAUACCCAACUAUUUUGGGUGCCCUAUGAAGAAGCAUUUAUCCGCUUGACGUUCGAGCUUAUCAUGUUGAAACUUUUUCACAUAAGCAUGACAGCCCCAAACUUUUAAGAAAGAACAACUUAGGUUUCUCCAAACCAUAUUUCAUACGGUGUCAUCUCAACGGAAUUACGUGGUGCCCUAUUUAAAGUGAAUGUGGUUGUCUCUAAUUCCUAACCCAUAAACAAUAGUGGUAAUUCGAUAAGAGACAUCAUAGUAUGCACCAUAUCAAAUAGGGCGUAGCUAUGAUGUUUGGACACACCAUCACAAUAUGGUGUUCCAGGUGGCAUGAGAUGUGAAACAAUUUUUACAUUGUCUCAAUUGUGUACCAAACUCGCAACUCGGAUAUUCACCUCUAUGAUCAUAUCAUAGACAUUUUAUCCUCUUAUCACGACGAUUUUCAACUUCACUCUGAAAUUACUUGAACCUGUCAAUAAUUCAGACGUGUGUUUCAUCAAGUAAAUAUACUAGUAUCUACUCAAAUCAUCUGUGAAGUAAGAACAUAACGAUAUCCACUACGUGCCUCAGCGCUCAUUGGACUACACACAUCAAAAUGUAUUACUUCCAACAAGUUACUUUCUCGUUCCAUCUAACUGGAAAACGAGGCCUUCGGUGGUCUUCCCAUGUGGUAUGAUUUGCAUGUCUCAAGUGAUUCAAAAUCAAGUGAGUCCAAACGAUCCAUGUGCAUGGAGUUUCUUAAUGCGUUUAUAGCAAUAGGUAUGGUUUGCAUGUCUAAAACAUUUCAAAAAUGAAUGUGUACAAAGAUCCAUCAGCAUGGAGCUUCUUCAUGCAUUUUAUACCAAUGUGACUCAAGCGGCAUGCAACAAGUAAGUGGUACUAUCAUUACUACUUUGUAUCUUUUGGUAUCAAUAUUAUGAACAUGUGUAUCACUACGAUCAAGAUUCAAUAAACCAUUCAUUUUAUGUGCAAGACCAUUUAAGGUAUUAUUCAAAUAAACAGAGUAACCAUUAUUCUCUUUAUUAAAUGAAUAACCGUAUUGCGAUCAACACAAUCUAAUCAUGUCUACGAUCAACACAAACACCAAAUAACAAUUAUUUAGGUUUAACACUAAUCCCGAUGGUAGAGGGAGUGUGCGAUGUUGAUCACAUCAACCUUGGAAUUACAUCCAACACACAUCCUCACCUCACCCUUGCUAGUAUCUAUUUAAUCUGUAGCUAUAAUUUAGAGUUACUAACACUUAGCAACUGAACCGGUAUCUAAUACCCUGGUACUACCGGGAGUACUAGUAAGGUACACAUGAAUAUCACGUAUAUCCAAUAUACUUUUGUCGACUUUGCCAGCCUUCUCAUCUACCAAGUAUCUAGGGUAGUUCUGCCUCUGUGACCGUUCCCAUCAUAACAGAAGCACUUAGUUUCGGGUUUGGGUUCAACCUUGGGUUCUUCACUAGAGCAGCAACUGGUUUGUUGUUUCAAGAAGUAUCCCUUCUUUCCCUCGCCCUUCUUGAAACUAGUGGUUUUACUAACCAUCAACAAUUGAUGCUCCUACUUUAUUUUUACUUUUGCAGUGUCAAACAUCGCGAAUACCUCAAGGAUCAUCAUAUCUAUCCUAGAUAUGUUAUAGUUCAUCACGAAGCUCUAGUAGCUUGGUGGCAGUGUCCUUGGAGAACCAUCACUAUCUCAUCUGGAAGAUCAACUCCCACUCGAUUCAAGCGAUUGUAGCACUCAGACAAUCUGAACACAUGCUCAACGAUUGAGCUUUUCUCCCUUACUUUGUAGACAAAGAAUCUUGUCGGAGGUCUCAUACCUCUCAACAAGGGUACGAGCAUGAAAUCCCAAUUUCAUCUCUUUGGAACAUCUCAUAUGUUCCAUGACGUUCAAAAUGUCUUUGACGCCUUAGUUCUAAGUCAAUGAGCGUUACACACUGAGCUAUCACGUAGUCAUCAACAACGUGUAUGUCAUAUGUUCGCAACAUCCACAGACGAUGCUCGAGGUUCAGCACACCGUGCGGUGCAUUAAGGACAUAAGCCUUGUGCGCAGCAAUGAGGACAAUCCUCAGUUUAUGGACCCACUCCGCAUAAUUUCUACUAUCAUCUUUCAACUAAUUUUUCUCUAGGAACAUAUCAAAAAUAGUAGAGCUACUACGCAUGCUACAACAUAAUUUGCAAAGAACUUUUGAUUAUGUUCAUGAUAAUGAGCUUAGCUAAUCAUAUUACUAAUAAACUCCCACUCAAACAGACAUCCCUCUAGUCAUUCGAGUGUCGCAUGAUCCAAAUUCACUAACUCAAGUUCGAUCAUCAUGUGAGUUGAGUAUAGUAUCAGUGGUGAACAUCUCCAUGUCGAUCAUAUCAACUAUAUGAUUCAUGAUCCACCUUUGAGAUCUUUUGUUCCAAGGCCAUGUCUUUACAUGCUAGGAACAUCAAGUUUAACCCGAGUGUUCUGCGUGUGCAACUAUUUUGCACCCGUUGGAUGUGAACGUUGAGUCUAUCACACACAAUCAUCACGUGGUGUCUCGAAACAACGGACUGUCGCAACGGUGCAUAGUCGGGGAGAACACAAUUUUAUCUUGAAAUUUUAGUGAGGGGUCACCUUAUAAUGCUACCGGCGUUCUAAGCAAAAUAAGGUCAAUAAAAGGAUUAGCAUCACAUGCAAAUCAUAAGUGACAUGAUAUGGCCUUGAACUUGUGAUUCUUGAUCUCCAUCAUCAAAGCACCGUCAUGAUCUCCAUCGUCACUGGCGCCGCACCAUGAUCUCCAUCGUCACUGGCGCCGCACCAUGAUCUCCAUCCUCACUGGCGCCGCACCAUGAUCUCGAUCAUCGUGCCGCCAUCGAGGUUUUCAUGCUAUCUAUGCUAUUACUACUAAAACUACAACCUAGAGAUAUAGUAAAAGCAUCUGCAAGCACAAACGUUAGUUUAAAGACAACCCUAUGGAUCCUACCGGUUGUCGUAGCAUCGACGUGCAAGUCAAUAUUUAACUAUUAAAACAUGAUCAUCUCAUACAUCCAAUAUAUUAUAUCAUGUCUUUGGCCAUAUCACAUCACAUGCAUAGCAUGCAAAAAUAAGUUAGACGUCCUCUAAUUUGUUGUUGCAUGUUUUGCGUGGCUGCUAUGGGUAUCUAGUAUGAUCACAUCUUACUUACGCAAAGCCACAAUAGUGAUAUGAAAAUUGUUAUUUAACUUUCUCCAAGGACCGCCUCGGUCAAAUCCGAUUCAACUAAAGUUCAAGAAACAGACACCCGCCAGUCAUCUUUAUGCAACAAGUUGCAUGUCAGUUGAUGAAACCGGUCUAUGGUAAGCGUACAAGUAAAGUUGGUCCGGGCCACUUCAAUCCAACAAUGUCGCCGAAUCAAGAAAAGACUAGGGAGGGCAGCAAAUUGGACAUCAAUGCCCACAAACUCUUUUGUGUUCUACUCGAGAUAUUAUCUACGCAUGAACCUAGCUCAUGAUGCCACUGUAGGGGGAUGUUGCAAGGGAUACAAAAAAUUCCUACGCACACAAAUACCUAUCAUGGUGAUGAUCAUAUACGAGAGGGAGAUUGAAUCUACAUACCCUUGUAGACCGCUAAGCGGAAGCAUAUAUAACGUGGUUGAUGUAGUGGAACAUCUUCACGAUCUGAAUUGUAGACCGUCCCACAAUCUCAUGACGAUCCAUCCCGAGACCGCAUCACGAUAUAGUGCCGAACGGACGUCACCUCCGCAUUCAGCACACGUACAGCUCGAUGACUAUCUCCGCCUUCUUGAUCCAGCAAGAGAGACGGGGAGGUAGAUGAAUUGCGCGGAAGCGUGAUGGUGUGUCGGCCAUGGUGGUGGAUCUAUCCGAGCAGGGCUUCGCCUAAGCGCUGCUGAAAACCGAUCUAGAGGAAGAACUACGAUCUAGAGGAGAGGGUAGCACAUGCUUGAAAAUACUGUGAAAACCCCCUCAAAAACUCUAGUAUAUAUAGGAGGAAGGAGGGAGGAGGCUUGACCUCGAAGGGAAGCCUCCCUUGACUCGGCCGAAGCAAGGAGGGAAGAGUCCUCCUUCAAUUCCACUUGGAGGAGGACUCCUCUCCCACUUGUCCACCUCUUUUGGAUUUUCAACCUUUUUCCUCAUGGGCCUUCUUUGGUUGAUUCUCCAUCCCACGAAGGGCUAUUGCGCCACCCCAAAGUCCAUGUGGCCCACUUAGGGAGUGGUGGGGCCACUAGGUGGAACCCCCGGAACCCAUUCGUCACUCCCGGCACACUGCUAGUAUUGCCCGAAACUUUUACGGAAUCCAAAUACCAACUUCCUAUAUGUCAAUCUUCAUUUCUGAUCCAUUCCGGAACUCCUCGUGAUAUCCUGGAUCUCAUCCGGGACUACGAACAAUAUUCGGUUACCACGUCAAUAAUUCAACUAUACCGAAAACGUCACCGAACAGUGUGCAGACCCCGCGGGUACAAGAAGUAUCUAGACAUGACCGAGACACUCUCCGGUCAAUAUCGAAUAGCGGGACCUGGACUUCCAUAUUGGAUCCUACAUAUUCUACGAAGAUCUUAUCAGUUGAACCUCUAUGUCAAGGAUUCACACAAUCCCGUAUAUCAUUCCCUUUGUCCUUCAUUAGGUUACUUUCCCGAGAUUCGAUCGUCAGUAUCUCCAUACCUAUUUCAAUCUUGUUAUCGGCAAGUCUCUUUACUCAUUCCAUAAUACAAGAUCGCAUGACUAACUCUUUAGUCACAUUGCUUGCAAGGCUUGUUUGUGAUAUUGUAUUACCGAGUGGGUCCCGAGAUACCUCUCUGUUACACGGAAAAUCCCAGUCUUGAUCCAUGCUGACUCAACGGACAACUUCGGAGAUGCCUUUAGAGUACCUUUAUAGUCACCCAGUAACGUGGAGAUGUUUGAUACACACAAGGCAUUCCUCCGGUGUCAGGGAGUUACAUUAUCUCAUGGUCAUAGGAAUGUAUACUUGACAUGCGGAAAAUGAUAGCAACAAAAUGACACGAUCAUAUGCUACGGUUAUAGUUUGGGUAUUGUCCCUCACAUCAUUCUCCUAAUGAUGUGAUCUCGGUAUCAAGUGACAACACUUGUCUAUGGCCAGGAAACCUUGACCUUCUUUAAUCAACGAGCUAGUCAACUAGAGGCUCACUAGGGACAGUGUGUUGUCUAUGUAUCCACACAUGUAUUUGAGUUUCCAAUCAAUACAAUUCUAGCAUGGAUAAUAAACGAUUAUUAUGAACAAGGAAAUAUAAUAAUAACUAAUUUAUUAUUGCCUCUAGGGCAUAUUUCCAACACGAGAGGCCACGGCUUGGGUGCGAAUGCCAUCCUUGAGAGGCAGACUGUAGAUGAUCUCGCCAAGGAUGGCGUCUGGGAGGUCGCUAAUGCAGUCCUUAGAAGAUCCACUUCUUUUUGCUCAGAUCCACCUUCUUGUUGCUCAGAUCCACCUGUGUACUCGACCCACCUGUGUAUGCUCCUAGGUAGUGUCGUGGUUUUGUCACGGUAGAUGUCCUCGUGAAAGGACUUAGUCCUGGAGCCAUCGCACCUUNNNNNNNNNNNNNNNNNNNNNNNNNNNNNNNNNNNNNNNNNNNNNNNNNNNNNNNNNNNNNNNNNNNNNNNNNNNNNNNNNNNNNNNNNNNNNNNNNNNNUAAAAUCCUUGGGCAUUCGCUCGUUGCGAAGGGCGAGGGCCAAGCAUGUUACCCCCACUCGUUCGCCGCGCCCGACAAGAGGGGCUGGGGUGACUUGGGUGUCCGGAUGAUCCCGGCCUGGCGGGUCUUGAUGAUCAGGCGAGUUGUCCUGGGGGAUGAGCCGCGGUCCGCUGGUUAUAGUGGGCUGGUCAUCUGGCCGACUCCUGGUGCGGCUUGCCUGGGGAGUGGAAUGCAGCCUGUCUAGGCUAUGUGAGAACUGGGCGUUUUGAACCACUGCCGUCUUCAACAUCUCAAUGGCGUUCCUCGCCUCUAUCUCGGCAGGAGUGUUGCCGUGAAUCGGAAGGGAUUCCAAAUGUCGAGUUGCGGCAAGGACGUUGUCCACCGGGUUGGAAAAGUGAACUUGAGGUGUCCGGAAUCGGGGGACGCGAUCCACAAUUGGCUGGAGCGGCUGGUUAGGUGGCUGGCCCGGCCCUCCCCCCGGGGCGGCUCCCGUCCCGGGAGUUCGCCGAGUGUCGAACAGGCGGGUCGGGUUGAGAUCAGGAGGCAAGCGACCCUGGUGCCUCCGCUGAUGGACGGCGUCAGAUGCGCGCUGAUGCCUUUCUAGCCGCCAGUUGUCAGUAUUUAAGCGAGCUAUCUCGGCGGUAAUUUGAGCUUGCCGGGUCUCAAUCCUGGCGGACUCCACCUCGGUAUCCCGCUGAGCCUUUGCCAACCCUUCUCUUAGCUUCGUUAAUUCUGUGUUCACCGCCUCCUGGUUCUCCGGUGUGAUGGGGGUCACCAUGAGCCUUGUUAUUUCCGCUGCUAGCUCCACCAAAAUCGUGGCUAGGCUUCUAGACGUCUCACCAGUUCCAACUCCGCGUGCCGGAUUUGGCGAGGGUUGAGUUGCCCCUGCCAUGUAAACGGCGAUCUGACGGCGAGUCCUGUCAAGAACUUCGGGGUCCAUGGCCAGUGAUAAGCCCCCAAGGCAGCCCCCAUGCAAAGAUUGGAUUGAAUCUGAAUCGCCCAUAGAUGAUUCAUCGUCAGUGUUGACCGGUCUGGUUUCCUGGGUCGCUGAGUGUUCAGGCUCCUCGGAUCCCUGCGUGAACCCAACAAAGACCGGGCGGGUUAGGUUUGGCGUCACGACCGGGCGGACGUAACUGGCCGGGCGGACGCCUCCUCCGACAUCGUCGAGCCGGCCAGGUACGUCUGCCCGGUCGUGACGCCAAACCUAACCCGCCCGGUCUUUGUUGGGUUCACGCAGGGAUCUGAGGAGCCUGAACACUCAGCGACCCAGGAAACCACGCCGGUCAACACCGACGACGAAUCAUCUAUGGGCAAUUCAGAUUCAAUCCAAUCUUUGCAUGGGGGCUGCCUUGGGGGCUUAUCACUGGCCAUUGACGCCGAAGUUCUUGACAGGACUCGCCGUCAGAUCGCCAUUUACAUGGCAGGGGUGACUCAACCCUCGCCAAAUCCGGCACGCGGAGUUGGAACUGGUUUGACGUCUAGAAGCCUAGCCGCGAUUUUGGUGGAGCUAGCAGCGGAAAUAACAAGGCUCAUGGCGCCCCCCAUCACACCGGAGAACCAGGAGGCGGUGAACACAGAAUUAACGAAGCUAAGAGAAGGGGUGGCAAAGGCUCAGCGGGAUGCCGAUGUGGAGUCCACCAGGAUUGAGACCCGGCAAGUUCAAAUUACCGCCGAGAUAGCUCGCUUAAAUACUGACAACUGGCGGCUAGAAAGGCACCAGCGCGCAUCUGACGCCAUCCAUCAGCGGAGGCACCAGGGUCGCUUGCCCCCUGAUCUCAANNNNNNNNNNNNNNNNNNNNNNNNNNNNNNNNNNNNNNNNNNNNNNNNNNNNNNNNNNNNNNNNNNNNNNNNNNNNNNNNNNNNNNNNNNNNNNNNNNNNGGAUCCGCCAUGGCUAGAGUGAUUUUGAUCAUCAACCUCUUCUAAACUUGAAAACAUAUAUCAAACCAUCUCAGUGAGUAAUAGGUGAUAACAAAUAGCAAUCGCCCCAAGAUAUUUUGAGGCGAGUCAGAAAAAAAAAGUCUAAAAAACCUUGUGGCAGUACCAGGGAGGUAAAAAAUAGCAAUUUCGUCGGCUCAUAAGGUCGCGACAGGAUAGGGCGAGUCAAACAACCUCAAGCGCCACCCAAAAUAAUAAUUUCGUCGGCUCAUAAAGGUCGCGACAGGAUAGGGCGAGUCAAACAAGCUCAAGCGCAACCCAAGGGAGGUAAAAAAAUAACAAUUUCAUCGGCUCAUAAGGUCGCGACAGGAUAGCGCGAGUUAAACAAGCUCAAGCGCCACCCAAAGGAGACUUUUGUAUCAAAAGCCCAAGUAUUUAGACCGGCUGAUCAGGCACAAGUCAAGCUUCAGUGAAGCGGGUUCAAUGAACCAAUGGUUUCUCUAUUUUCCAUGUGAGGCGCUUGCCGGUACCAGACAUGUUUUAACCAAAGCAAGUUCAGGGUCCAUUAGCGGAAUAACUCGCCAAGAGUUCAUGGGUCCAUAUGGCGAUUCGGCCAACACAUAGUCCAGUAUAACCAUUUGUAAUGCAGUAAUUUUUCGCAGGCCAAAUGGGUAAUAAAGAUGAUCUCAGUGAGAGGAAGCCCCCAAGUCGGGAGGCGUUUAAUUUUAUUUCUUUAUAAGAAAUGAAAAACUUACAAAAUGUAGAGCUUAAGAGCUCAAGUGUAAUAAGGCCGCAAGUGGGCAAUAUUCCAGGGGCGAGUCGACUCAGCCUCCGUGGUUGGCUGGUUAGGCCGGAGAUCCACCAGAUAGUAAGACCUGUUGUGAAGAUUUUUGCUGACGACCAACGGUCCUUCCCAUGGUGGUGAUAACUUAUGCAUGCCAACGCGAUCUUGUAUCAGCCGAAGCACUAAGUCGCCUUCCUGAAAGGUUCGGCUCUAGACCCGGCGGCUGUGAUAACGUCGUAAGUCCUGCUGAUAAAUGGCCGAUCGGGCUGCAGCCAAAUCACGCGCCUCCUCUAAGGCGUCCAAAGAGUCAUGACGCGCUAGUUCGUUGUCCUGUUCCACAUAAGCAGCGACUCUAGGCGAGUCAUGCCUUAUGUCAGUGGGAAGAACAGCUUCUGCUCCAUAGACCAGAAAGAAAGGGGUAAAACCCGUGGACCGGUUCGGGGUGGUCCGGAUGCUCCAUAGCACCGAAGGCAACUCCUCAACCCAACACCCCGGGGUUCUUUCCAAGGGAACCAUGAGUCGGGGCUUGAUUCCCCGUAAAACUUCCUGGUUCGCCCGCUCCGCCUGUCCAUUAGAUUGUGGGUGAGCAACCGCAGAAACAUCAAGCCGGAUGUGCUCUCGACGGCAAAACUCCUGCAUCGCCCCUUGAGACAGAUUAGUGCCAUUGUGAGUAAUGAUACUGUGCGGAUAUCCAAACCGGAAGAUCAACUUUUUCAAUAAUUUGACCGCCGUCUCCGCAUCGCAAGCUCCAACAGGCUCUGCCUCAACCCACUUGGUGAAUUUAUCAACCGCCACCAGCAAAUGGGUUUUCUUGUUGGAAGGCAUCUUAAAGGGGCCAACCAUGUCUAACCCCCAGACCACGAAAGGCCAAGUCAUGGGUAUCAUCCUUAGUUCUUGAGACAGCACAUGGGCCUGUCGCCCAUAACGCUGGCAUCCAUCGCAUCGACGAACUAUUUCCUCUGCAUCUACAUGGGCCGUCAACCAAAAGAAACCAUGACGGAACGCCUUUGAAACCAAGGAGCGUGACCCGGCGUGAUGCCCACAAUCUCCGGAAUGAAUGUCAUUUAGAAUUAUGCACCCUUCUUCGGAGGAGACACAUCUUUGAAAAACCCCGGAAGUGCUUCGCUUAUAUAGUACGCCAUUGAUGAUCACCAUGGAUUUGCUUCGCCGAAUGAUUUGGCGAGCCAACACUUCAUCUGUAGGUAACUCGCCUCGGGCGAGAUAGGCCAGAUACAGAAGAACCCAAUUCGGCGUAAUGUGGAGAGCUGCCACGAACUGGGACUCAGGAUCUGGUAUUGCCAACUCCUCCUCUGAAGGCAAACUUACGGAAGGAUUAUGCAAAGUAUCCAGAAAAACAUUGGGGGGAACCGGUUUUCGCUGGGAACCGAGACAUGAAAGGGCAUGAGCUGCCUCGUUAAGGCGCCGGUCAAUGUGAUCAACCUGAUAGCCAUGGAAAUGACCCGCCACAUCGGACACAGCCCUCCUGUAAGCCGCCAUCAUGGGGUCCCGAGAAUCCCAAGUGCCUAAAACUUGCUGAGCCACCAGAUCAGAGUCGCCAAAACAUCUGACCCGCGUAAGGUACAUCUCUUUGGCGAGUCACAAGCCGUGAAGUAAAGCUUCGUAUUCCGCAGCGUUGUUGGUACAUGGAAACAUGAGUCGGAGGACGUAACAGAAUUUGUCUCCUUGAGGAGAUACCAGCACCACGGCAGCCCCCGAGCCUUCCAACUGUCUAGAUUCGUCAAAAUAAAAAGUCCAGUAUGUAAGGUCAGGCCUGUCUUCCGAGACGUGUAACUCGGUCCAAUCAUUGACGAAAUCAACCAAGGCCUGAGAUUUGAUAGCCGUGCGAGGGGUGUACCGCACGUGGUGCGGCCCAAGUUCAAUCGCCCACUUGGCAAUCCGCCCCGUCGCCUCCCGAUUCUGGAUGAUGUCCCCGAGGGGAGCGGAACUAACCACCGUGAUGGGAUGCUCUUGACAAUAAUGUUUAAGCUUCCGGCUUGCCAUAAGCACCCCAUACACUAAUUUCUGCUAGUGUGGGUAUCGCUGCUUUUAAAGAGUUAGCACCUCGCUGAUAAAAUACACCGGGCGCUGCACAGGGUAUUCCUUUCCUUCCUCCUUCCUUUCGACGACCACCGCCACACUCACCGCUUUGGAGUUUGCCGCAAUAUAUAAAAGCAUGGGCUCUUUCUCAGUCGGGGCGGCCAAGACCGGCGGGUUGACCAGUUGCCGUUUUAAGGCUUCAAAAGCUUCAUCGGCUUCAUCUGUCCAAACAAAAUGGUCAGAUUUCUUUAGCAAUUGAUAAAGGGGAAUAACUUUUUCCCCCAGGCGGCUUAUGAAGCGACUUAAGGCCGCAAUACGACCCGCCAUCCGUUGGACUUGAUUAACAUUUGCUGGCUUCCCAAGGGAGGUAACUGCUUCGAUCUUGUCUGGGUUAGCUUCGAUAACGCGCUCAGACACCAGGAAACCCAACAACUUCCCUGCAGGAACGGCAAAGACACACUUGGUGGGAUUCAGCUUCAUCUGAUAUACCCGCAGAUUAUCAAAGGUUUCCUUGAGAUCUUCCAAUAGCGUUUCCCUCCUGUGGGUUUUAACCACAAUGUCAUCGACAUAGGCAUGGACGUCGCGUCCGAUUUGGCCACGGAGGCAAUUUUGGAUGCAGCGCUGAUAAGACGCCCCUGCACUCUUGAGUCCAAAUGGCAUGUACACAUAGCAAAAAGCCCCAAAGGGGGUUAUAAAAGUUGUUUUCUCUUGAUCUUCCACGGCCAUAUUGAUUUGGUGAUAUCUAGAAUAAGCGUCCAAGAAACACAAACAUUCGCAUCACGCCACCGAAUCAAAUAUCUGGUCGAUGCGGGGAAGAGAGAAAGGAUCUUUUGGACAAGCUCUGUUGAGGUCCGUGUAAUCAAUGCACAUACGGAAGGUACCAUUCUUCUUGAGCACCAAGACCUGGUUAGCCAACCAAUUGGGGUGGAAAACCUCUACGAUGAAUCCGGCGGCCAUGAGACGGGCAACCUCUUCCCCGAUUGCCUUGCGUCGUUCCUCGAUAAACCUACGAAGAUAUUGCUAGAUGGGUUUGCCUUUGGGUCAACAUUAAGAUGGUGCUCAACAAAUUCUCUCGGCACACCAGGCAUGUCAGAAGGUUUGCAUGUGAAGAUGUCCCGAUUCUCACGGAUGAAUCCGAUGAGCGCGCUUUCCUAUUUGGGAUCCAGACCCGUCCCAGUAGUCUACUGCUGGGUUGAGUCGCCAGUGACGAAAUCAACCGUUUUAGUGUCAUCCAUUGGUUUGAACUUGAGGGGCGGCUCAACAUCUGUCGUUGGCUUUUUUAAGGGUGACAUAUCAGCCGGGUCAACAUUGGCCUCAUGAUAUUUGAGCUCCUCCGCAGCGCAGGCGACUUCCGCAUAAGCCGUGUCCCCUUCUUCACAUUCUCUUGCAAUCCUUCUAUCACCAUCAGCCGUGAUGGGUCCUUUAAGACCAGGCAUCUUGAGUUUAAGGUAAACAUAGCAUGGACGAGCCAUGAACCGGGCGUAAGCCGGCCGCCCAAACAACGCAUGGUAGGGGCUUUUUAAUUUGACCACCUCAAACAUCAGCGACUCACUCCUGUAAUUAGAUGUUGUUCCAAAUGCAACUGUGAGCCUGACUCGGCCUAUGGGGUACGCCAAUUUGCCUCGGACGAUUACGUGGUGUACCGUGGUUGAAGGCAUCAAAUCUUUUUCCAACAGGUUCAUCCUUUGGAAAGUGUUCAAAUACAAAAUAUUGAUGCUGCUGCCACCAUCCAUCAGUACUUUCGACAAGGUAUACCCCCCAACUUGGGGAGCCACGACCAACGCUAAGUCACCGGGAUUGUCAACUCUUGGCGGGUGGUCCUCCCUACUCCAUGAUAUGGUCUGCUCGGACCAGUGGAGGUAUCUAGGGAGUGCCAGCUCGGAAACACUGUACGCUCGGUGACUCACCUUUUUAUCGUGCCUGCAAGCAUUGGUGGUGAAAACGUGGUACUGCCCAUUGCUUAACUGCUUGGGAUUGUUGCGGAAGCCGCCAUUAUCAUCCUGCCCCUGCGAAGCCCCCUGCGGGGGUGGUUGUUGAAAUGCUAUGGGCGGUUUAUACCGUCGCUGGUGAUGCACCGGAUAUUGGCCGCUGUUCGGCUGCGAGCCACCCUGAGCCCCCGAUUCGGGGAAACCGCCGAAGGGGUUCUGACGUUGAUUGGGCGCGCCGAACUGUUCCUGCCAUUGGUCCGGUUCACCGCUUUGCCCCUUUUUGAUCGCCUCCGCCCGAAACUCCCGCAUCACGUAACAGUCCUCCCAGGAAUGAGUCGCCGGUCCGUCUGCCAUGGCGUGGUGCGGGCAGGGGCCCUUGAGUAACUCACUAUAGUUGCGCGGCUUUUUACCACUGUAUCCCCUGCUUGUCUUCUGGCGUUGGUUGCCAUUAUUGGUGUUGGUGUUGGCGACUAAGUCCGAAGAUUCUUCCUGUUGCCUUCUCUUGCUAUUCGCUCCCUGAUUGUGGCGGGCGCGUUCCUAGAAACGGGUAUGAUUUUUGGAUGACUCGCCCUUCCUUGGCAAGUUAGCUUUACCAUCCUCGUCGGGAUCUUUAGUGUCGUCCGCCUCAGCAUACCUGGUGAGGGUAUCCAUUAGCUCCCCCAUGUCUUGGACCUUUCGUUUGAGUCGCCCCAACUUUUGCACCAAAGGUUCGUAGUGGCAAUUCUGCUCGAGGAUCAGCACAGCCUGAGUCGCCGUAAUACCGUCUGACGAGUGCAUGAUUUCUAGGACCCGCCGCGACCAGUGGUGGGCCGACUCGUCGGGGCGUUGAACGCAGUGUUGUAGAUCGACAAUUGUCAUUGGACGCUUGCAAGUUCCUCGGAAGUUUUUAAUGAAACGCUCUUUCAAUUCAGCCCAAGUCUGGAUGGAGUUGGGAGGAAAGUUUUUUAACCAAGUACGUGUCGUUCCUUCGAGCAUCAUUGUGAAGUAUCUGGCGCAAACUGCUUCGUUUACGUCGAGCAUGUCCAUGGCGAUUUCAUAACUCUCGACCCACGACGCCGGCUCAAGGUCCGGAGUGUAGUUAGGCACCUUUCUUGGCCCUUUAAAAUCCUUGGGCAUUCGCUCGUUGCGAAGGGCGAGGGCCAAGCAUGGCACCCCCACUCGUCCGCCGCGCCCGACAAGAGGGGCUGGGGCGACUUGGGUGUCCGGAUGAUCCCGGCCUGGCGGGUCUUGAUGAUCAGGCGUGUUGUCCUGGGGGAUGAGCCGCGGUCCGCUUGUUACAGUGGGCUGGUCAUCUGGCCGACUCCUGGUGCGGCUUGCCUGGGGAGUGGAAUGCAGCCUGUCUAGGCUAUGUGAGAACUCAGCGUUUUGAUCCACCGUCGUCUUCAAAUCUCAAUGGCGUUCCUCGCCUCUAUCUCGGCAGGAGUGUUGCCGUGAAUUGGAAGGGAUUCCAAAUGUCGAGUUGCGGCAAGGACGUUGUCCACCGGGUUGGAAAAGUGAACUUGAGGUGUCCGGAAUCGGGGGACGCGAUCCACAACUGGCUGGAGCGGCGGGUUAGGUGGCUGGCCCGGCCCUCCCCCCGGGGCGGCUCCCGUCCCGGGAGUUCGCAGAGUUUCGAACAGGCGGGUCGGGUUGAGAUCAGGUGGCAAGCGACCCUGGUGCUUCCGCUGAUGGACAGCGUCACAUGCGCGCUAGUGCCUUUCUAGCCGCCAGUUGUCAGUAUUUAAGCGAGCUAUCUCGGUGGUAAUUUGAGCUUGCCGAAUCUCAAUCCUGGCGGACUCCACCUCGGCAUCCCGCUGAGCCUUUGCCACCCCUUCUCUUAGCUUCAUCAAUUCCGUGUUUACAGCCUCCUGGUUUUCCGGUGUGAUGGGGGUCGCCAUGAGCCUUGUUAUUUCCGCUGCUAACUCCACCAAAAUCGCGGCCGGGCUUCUAGACGUCUCGCUAGUUCCAUCUCCGCCUGCCGGGUUUGGUGAGGGUUGAGUCGCCCCUGCCAUGUAAACGGCGAUCUGACGGCGAGUCCGGUCAAGAACUUCGGGGUCCAUGGCCAGUGACAAGCCCCCAAGGCAGCCCCCGUGUAGAGACUGGAUUGAAUCUGAAUCGCCCAUGGACUAUUCGUCAUCAGUGUUGACCGGCCUGGUUUCCUGGGUCGCUGAGUGUUCUGGUUCCUCGAAUCCCCGCGUGAAUCCAACAAAGACUGGGCGGGUUAGGUUUGGCGUCAUGACCGGGCGGACGUACCUGGCCGGCUCGACGAUGUCGGAGGAGGUGUCCGACUCAGGCUCGGGCGAUCCAAUCAUGUCGAUGAAGACAUUGAUCCUGCUGAAGGGGACCCUAUAACCAGAUUCGAUCGAAUCCGCCUCGGGCCCCCAUAGCAAGUUGUUGAUGUAGUACUUCCCGCGACGGCUCCGGGUCAUGAGCCCCGUCGCGUAGCUCCCAAACCCUGGUAGGGGUCCCUUUGAGAACUCAACUCCACCGUGCGCAAGCCCCACGGUGGGCGCCAACUGUCGUGGUUUUGUCACGGCAGAUGUCCUCGUGAAAGGACUUAGUGUUGGAGCCAUCGCACCUUGGUGGCGACUCAAAGGGGUUGAACGGGAGAGAGACAGAUAUUUACCCAGGUUCAGCCCGUCGUGAGGAGGUAAAAGACUACGUCCUGCUUUGUGUUGUAUUGAUGGAGUUUCGAUUACAAGGAGGGCGUAACUCGCUUGACCUAGCACUCGAUGAUUUCUAACCUGCCCUCUUCUUCCUUGGGACUCGCCUUUAUAUACAGGUCGAGUCCUUAAGGUUUACAAGGGUCCUUUCCUUUACACAAAUCGUGACUCUUGCGAUCUCUAAGUCGCCAUCUUUCCAAGGCUUGGAGACCUUCCCUACUAUGGACUCCUUUCGAAAGUCUGAAACCGCCAUACAACUUUCGUCCUUACCAGGCCAAGGCCCGAUCCACAUUUAGAUGAGUCGCUAGCUUUGGUGACCCGGCCCAACUAGGGCGGGUUAUCCAACAGAUAAUAUCCCCAACAGUACCCAAGCGCCAGUCCACCCACAUAUCAAACUAUCAAAGUAACGAAUGUGAUUUGGAGCACUUUUCCUCCUAUAAGACUUUGUUCAGGCUUGUCCCUUGCUACAAAAGGGAUUGGGCCACUUUGCUGCACCAUUGCUACUACUUGUUACUUGUUACUUUUCACUUGCUACGUUUCACCUCACUACACCAUCACUUGUUACCGCUACUUUCAGUGUUUGCAGUUAUUACCUUGCUGAUAACCAUUUAUCAGAGCCUUCUGCUCCUCGUUGGGUUCGACACUCUUACUUAUCGAAAGUACUACGAUUGAUGCCCUAUACUUGUGGGUCAUCAAGACUCUUUUCUGGCACCGUUGCCGGGGAGGUGAAGCGCCUUUGGUAAGUGGAAUUUGGUAAGGAAACAUUUAUAUACUGUGCUGUAAUUAAUUGUCACUUGUCACUAUGGAAACUGUUCCUUUGAGGAGUUUGUUCGGGGUAUCUUCACCACGAACGGAAGCACGAGGAGUUGUUCCUCAACCUGAGGUACCUACUGAAAAUAUCUUUUAUGAAAUUCCUUCGGUUAUGCUUGAGAAACUUCUGGCUAAUCCUUUUACAGGAGAUGGAUCAUCACAUCCAGACUUGCAUCUAAUCUAUGUAGAUGAAAUUUGUGGUUUAUUUAAGCUUGCAGGUUUGCCCGAGGAUGAGGUAAAGAAGAAAGUCUUUCCUUUAUCUUUGAAGGAUAAGGCGUUGACAUGGUAUAGGCUAUGUGAUGAUACUGGAUCAUGGGACUACAAUCGGUUGAAAUUGGAAUUUCAUCAAAAGUUUUAUCCUAUGCAUUUAGUACAUCGUGAUCGGAAUUAUAUUUAUAAAUUUUGGCCUCGUGACAGGGAAAGCAUAGCUCAAGCUUGGGGAGUGUUAAAUCAAUGCUAUAUUCAUGCCCCAAUCAUGAUCUCUCGAGAGAAAUUAUCACUCAAAACUUUUAUGCUCGACUUUCUCAUGAAGAUCGUACCAUGCUUGACACUUCUUGUACCGGUUCUUUUAUGAAGAAGGAUAUUGACCACAAGUGGAAUUUAUUGGAAAGAAUCAAACGUAACUCUGAAGAUUGGGAGCUUGAAGAAGGUAAGGAGUCAGGUAUGAAUGUCCAGUUUGAUUGCAUUAAAUCUUUUGUUGAAACAAACACUUCUAGAGAUUUUAGCGCUAAGUACGGACUUGACUCUGAGAUAGUAGCUUCUCUAUGUGAAUCUUUUGCUCCUCAUGUUGAUCUUCCUAAAGAGAAGUGGUUUAAGUAUCAUCCUCCUGUAGACAUCAACAUAGUUAAACCAAAUCUAGUUGAAGAGAAGGUCAUUGCCUUUAGUGAUUCUAUUGUUCCUUGUGCCUACGCUGAGAAACCACCUUACCCUGCUAGGAAAAAGGAUUAUUAUAAAGCUCCAACUGUGAUACGUAGGGGUUACAUUAGACCACUUGCACCCACUGAGGAAAUUAGAGUUGAACCUAGUGUUGCUAUUAUCAAAGAUCUCUUAGCCGAAGACAUAGACGGAUAUGUUAUCAAAUUCUGUGAGGACUCUGCUAGAAUUGCUAAACCUCACGCGAAAGACAAAUACGGACCUGUAGCUGGCCUGCCCGUUGUUUUUGUCAAGAUAGGAGAUCACUGUUAUCAUGGUUUAUGUGAUAUGGGUGCUAGUGUUAGUGCAAUACCCCGGUCCCUAUAUGACGAAAUCAAAGAUGAGAUUGCACCUGCUGAGUUAGAACCCAUUGAUGUCACUAUUACGCUAGCUAAUAGAGACACUAUCUGCCCUCUGGGAAUUGUGAGAGAUGUAGAAGUCCUGUGUGGUAAGACGAAGUAUCCUAUUGAUUUCCUCGUCCUUUCUACUUCACAAGAUAGCUUUUGUCCCAUCAUAUUUGGUAGACCCUUUAUCAACACUGUCAAUGCCCAUAUUGAUUGCGUUAAACAGACUGUCACUGCUAGUUUCGAGGGUGUGUCUCAUGAAUUUAACUUCUCCAAGUUUGGAAGACAACCCCAUGAAAAAGAGUCGUCUGGUAGGGAUGAAAUCAUUUCUCUUGCCUCUAUUGCCGUACCUCCUACGGAUCCUUUAGAGCAAUAUCUACUUGAGCAUGAAAAUUACAUGCAUAUGGAUGAAAGAGAUGAGAUAGAUAAAAUUGUUUUAGAACAAUAUCCUAUUCUCAAGAAUAAUCUGCCUAUUGAACUGCUUGGGGAUCCUCCCCCACCAAAGGGUGAUCCUGUGUUCGAGCUAAAACAGUUACCAGAUACUCUUAAGUAUGCCUACCUUGAUGAGAAGGAGAUAUAUCCUGUUAUUAUUAGUGCUCACCUCUCUAAUCACGAAGAGAAGAAGUUACUAAAAACUUUGAGGAAGCACCGUGCUGCUAUUGGAUAUACUCUUGAUGAUCUUAAGGGUAUUAGUCCCACUCUAUAUCAGCACAAUAUUAAAGUUGACCCUGAUUCUAAACCAGUUGUUGAUCAUCAAAGGAGAUUAAAUCCUAAGAUGAAAGAGGUCGCGAGGAAAGAAAUAUUAAAGCUUCUGGAAGCAGGAAUCAUUUAUCAUGUUCCUCAUAGUGAUUGGGUAAGUCCAGUACAUUACGUACCUAAGAAGGGAGGUAUCACCGUCGUUCCUAAUGAUAAGAAUGAACUAAUCCCACAGAAGAUUAUUACUGGUUAUAGGAUGGUGAUAGACUUCUAGAAACUGAACAAGGCAACCAGGAAAGACCAUUAUCCUUUGUCGUUUAUCGACCAAAUGCUAGAAACGCUAUCUAAACACACACACUUCUGCUUUCUAGACGGUUAUUCAGGUUUCUCACAAAUACCUGUUGCACAAUCUGAUCCCGAGAAAACCACUUUCACUUGCCCCUUCGGUACCUUUGCUUAUAGACGUAUGCAUUUUGGCUUAUGCAAUGCACCUGCCACCUUUCAAAGAUGUAUGAUGGCUAUAUUCUCUGACUUUUGUGAAAAGAUUGUUGAGGUUUUCAUGGAUGAUUUCUCCAUUUACAGUUCUUCCUUUGACGAUUGCCUCAGCAACCUUGAUUGAGUCUUAUAGAGAUGCAAAGAUACCAACCUCGUCUUGACCUGGGAGAAGUGCCACUUCAUGGUUAAUGAAGGCAUCGUCUUAGGACACAAAAUCUCUAAGAAUGGCAUUGAAGUUGAUAAGGGUAAGGUUGAUGCAAUUGAGAAAAUGCCUUGGCCCACAGAUAUCAGAGGUAUACGAAGUUUCUUAGGUCAUGUUGGUUUCUAUAGAAGGUUCAUUAAAGACUUCUCUAAGAUUUCUAGGCCUCUUACCAACCUCUGGUAGAAGGAUGUUCGUUUUGUUUUUGAUGAGGAUUGUGAGGAAGCCUUUGAAAUACUUAAGAAGGCCUUGAUAACCGCACCUAUUGUUCAACCACCUCAUUGGGACUUGCUCAUUGAAAUCAUGUGCGAUGCUAGUGAUUAUGCUUUCGGUGCUGUUCUAGGACAAAGAGUUGACAAGAAGUUGAAUGUUAUUCACUACGCUAGUAAAACUCUAGACAGUGCCCAAAGAAACUAUGCCACUACGGAGAAGGAGUUUCAGUAGUCGUGUUCGCAUGUGAAAAGUUCAGAUCUUAUAUAGUUGACUCCAAAGUCACUAUUCACUCUGAUCAUGCUGCUAUUAAGUACCUUAUGGAGAAGAAGGACGCUAAGCCUAGGCUAAUCAGAUGGGUUCUCCUGCUACAGGAAUUUGAUUUGCACGUUGUUGACCGAAAGGGUGCUGAUAACUCUGAGCAGAUAACUUGUCUAGGCUAGAGAAUGUCCUUGAUGACCCAUGACCUAUUGAUGACAGCUUUCCUGAUGAGCAAUUGAAUGUCAUCCGCACUUGACAUAGUGCACUGUGGUAUGCGGAUUACGCAAACUAUAUCGUAGCCAAAUACAGACCACCCAGUUUCACCUAUCAGCAAAAGAAGAAAUUCUUCUUUGAUUUGAGACACUACUUUUGGGAUGAUCCUCACCUUUAUAAGGAAGGAGUAGAUGGUGUUAUUAGACGUUGUGUGCCUGAACAUGAAUAGGGACAUAUCUUGCAAAAGUGUCAUUCCGAAGCCUACGGAGGACACCAUGCUGGAGAUAGAACUGCUCAUAAGGUAUUGCCAUCAGGUUUCUAUUGGCCCACUCUCUUCAAGGAUGCCUGUAAGUUUUUCUAGUCUUGUGACGAAUGCCAAAGAAUAGGAAACAUCAGUAAACGCCAGGAAAUUCCUAUGAACUAUUCACUUGUCAUUGAACCAUUUGAUGUUUGGGCCUUUGAUUAUAUGGGACCCUUCCCGAGUUCCAAUAGGUAUAGUCACAUCUUAGUUGCUGUGGAUUACGUCACUAAGUGCGUAGAAGCUAUCCCCACUAGAAAUGCUGAUCAUCACACCUCUAUUAGGAUGCUUAAAGAAGUCAUUUUCCCAAGAUUUGGAGUCCCUAGAUAUCUGAUGACUCAUGGCGGUUCACACUUCAUUCACGGUGUUUUCCGCAAGAUGCUUGCUAAGUAUGAUGUCAACCAUAGAGUUGCAUCUCCUUAUCAUCCUCAGUCUAGUGGUCAAGUGGAGUUGAGUAAUAGGGAGAUCAAAUUGAUCUUACAAAUAACUGUCAAUAGAUCUUGGAAGAAUUGGUCUAGCAAACUUGACGAUGCACUAUGGGCUUAUACGACGACUUAUAACAAUACCAUGGGCAUGUCGCCGUAUAAAAUGGUUUACGGUAAGGCCUGUCAUUUACCUAUUGAGUUGGAACACAAAGCUUAUUGGGGCAAUCAAAGAGCUCAACUUCGAUUUAAAAUUGCCAGUGAGAAGCGGUUGUUUGAUAUCAGCCCAUUAGAUGAAUGGAGGGCCCAGGCAUAUGAGAAUGCCAAGUUGUUCAAGGAAAAGGUUAAGAGAUGGCACGAUAAAAGAAUACAAAAACGAGAGUUCAAUGUAGGAGCUUAUGUCCUGCUAUACAAUUCUCGCUUAAGAUUCUUCGCAGGCAACCUCCUCCCUAAAUGGGAAGGUCCUUACGUUGUCGAGGAAGUAUAUCGUUCCGGUGCCAUCAAAAUUAAUAACACAGAAGGUAAUUUUACUUGAGUGAUAAAUGGGCAAAGAAUCAAGCAUUAUAUCUGUGGUACUCCCAUAAAUGUUGAGACCAAUAUCAUCAAUAUCAUAACUCCAGAGGAGUACAUAAGGGAUGUUUACGAGCCUGUUUCUGACCCUGAAAACGAAGAGGUAUGUGUUUCGAUAAGUUAUUGGACUCCGAAACUUUUCCAAUAGGAAUUUUCCUUCGUUUUGGAAUUUUUGAAAAUUAGAAAAAUAAAAAGCAGUCCGGAGAGCGCACGAGGCGGCCACAAGCUUGGUAGCCGCCACCUACCCCCCCUGGCGGUGGCUACAGGGCUUGUGGGCACCUCGUGUGCCUCCCGGACUCUGUUUUCUUGUGGAGCAAUCCUUCUGGUCCAGAAAAAAUCAUUAUAUAUACGCCCGAGGGUUUUGAUCUCCGUUUCGUGCAGUUCUGUGUUUUCGUUUCGAGCCUGUUUGUGCUGCAGAUCUAGGUCAAGAUGUCUUCUCAGGAUUCAGAGGGGGAGAGCUAUGUGGCUGAUUACCUUGCUAACCCCAAGGUCUAUGGAGACUUGCAACCAUAUGGUGGACCACUGACGAGGAAGAGGACUAUGAGCCCAAGGGGAAGGAACAGACGAGUUCCGACAAAGAGGAGGCUCCUCUACAUCAACCUGGACGCACUCAUGUGGAGUUCAAGAAGUCAAGCCUUCCUGACCAGAGGAAGAAGCCUAAGACCUUGUUUAUCCCUUCUCGUUUCUUGCAGGAGAGUAAGCAGGAACUUUGCCAUAGAGUGUUGAUGCUUGAGGAGUAAAAUGACGAUCUGAGGGAGCAGAACUUUAUGCUCAAGUGGAAAUUAGACAAGCUCAAGACUAAUUCAACAACACCACCACCAUCACCACAAAAGGAAGACAACUAAGCAUUGGUAUGGGCAAUUAAUCCCCUUCGCUUUUGCCAAGCCUGGGGGAGUUGCCCUGGUAUCGUAUCACCUUUAUAUCUUUUGCUUUUACCUUUGUUUUAGUUCUUUUCUUUUCAGUUUUUUCUUCUCUUAGUGGAAUAAAUCUUUAGUGUUCAGUUUGAGUCUUUUGCUUUGUGUCUCCCCCGAUGUAUUCGAGCUUGCGAGCUAUAUAAUAAAGAGUAUCUUAGUCAAGGGCUUUGUUUUGUGCCGUGUUCAAAAGUAUGAAAAGAACGAUAGCAUGAAAGAUCAUGAGAAGAUCUUAUGGAAAGUGAUAGCUUCACAUAUGACAAGUAUGAUGAUCGAAACUUGUUGAGAAUAGACCAACAUAGACCCCAGUCAUUGUUGCAAUUAAUAAGAAGUAAUAAGGAAAGAGAGGUUCACAUAUAAAUAUAUCAUCUUAGACACUUUUGACAGUUGUGAGCACUCACCAAACUAUUACAUGUUUAGAAGUAGAUGUUGGACAAGGAAGACAACAUAAUGAAUUGUGUUUGCUUGGUUCCAAACAAUGUUAUAUGCCUAGAGAUCCCUUAGCAUGUGACAAUUGCUUCCACCUCAUAUUAGCCAAAACACCCGCACCAAGUAGAGAUACUACUUGUGCAUCCAUAAACCUUCAACCCAGUUUUGCCAUGAGUGUCCAACAUACCUACCUAUGGAUUGAAUAAGAUCCCUCAAGUAAGUUGUCAUCGGUGCAAGCCAUAAAAUUGCUCUCUAAUAUGUAUGAUCUAUUAGUGUGUGGAAAAUAAGCUUUGUUCGAACCUGUGAUGAGGAAGACAUAAAAGCGAAAGACUGCAUAAUAAAGUUCUUUAUCACAGCGGGCAAUAUAAAGUGACGUUCCUGCGCACUAAGAGGACACGCAUCCUAACCUCAAAAGCGCAUGACAACCUCUACUUCCCUCUGUGAAGGGCCUAUCUUGGACCUUUACUUUUUGCCCUUGAAAGAGUCAUGGUGAUCUUCACCAAUUCCUUAUUUUGCCUUUGUCUUGGCUACUGUCACAAGCUAGGGAAAGAUCUAUAUUCAUAUAUCAACUUGGAGGUGAGUACUUAUGCUUUAUUAUUGUUGACUUUGCCCUUGAGGUAAAUGGUUGGGAGGCAAAACUAUAAGCCCCUAUCUUUCUCUGUGUCCAGCUGAAACUUUGAUACCAUGAGUACCACGUGAGUUGUAACAAUUGUGGAUAACAAAAGAGAUGAUUGAAUAUGUGGGUUUGCCUUACAAGCUCUUAUUUGACUCUUUCUGAUGUUAAGAUAAAUUGCAACUGCUUGAAUGACUAUGGACUUUUGUUGGCUACUUCUCGGCAAGGUUUUUGCUUCAUACUUUGCUUUGUGUAGGAAUUGUUACUUUCCCAUCAGAAUCUUUAUGAUGUAUUGCUGUUCUAUGUGUGAUCAUGAUGCCCUCUUGUCUGUAUUAUGUUUUAUCAACACCUUCACCCCUAAACAUGUGGACAUGUUUAUGGAUCUUGGUUUUCGCUUGAGGACAAGUGAGGUCUAAGCUUGGGGGAGUUGAUACGUCCAUUUUGCAUCAUGCUUUCAUGUUGAUAUUUAUUGCUUUAUGGACUGUUAUAUUACUUUGUGGUACCAUACUUAUGCCUUUUCUCUCUUAUUUUGCAAGGUUUAUUUGAAGAGGGAGAAUACCGGCAGCUAGAAUUCUGGACUGGAAAAGGAGCAAGUCUGAGUCCUCUAUUCUGCGCAACUCCAAAUGCCCUGAAAAUCCACGUGGAAUUUUUUGGGAUUAUAUAAAAAAUGCUGGGCGAAAGAAGUACCAGAGGGGAGCUACCAGGGCCCCACAAGCCUGGUAGCCGCCCCCCUGGUGGCGGCUACAGGGCUUGUGGGCACCAUGGCGGCCCACUGGCUCCCCUCUUUUGCUAUAUGAAGGGUAUCGUCCAGGAAAAAAUAAAGGUGGAGCUUUUUCGUGGAUUCUUCGCCGCCACGAGGCGGAACAUGAGCAGAUCCAAUCUAGAGCUCUCGCAGGACGAUCCUGCCGGGGAAACUUCCCUCCCGGAGGGGGAAACGUCGCCAUCGUCAACACCAACACUCCUGUCAUCGGAGGGGAGUCAUCUCCAUCAACAUCUUCAUCAGCACCAUCUCCUCUCCAAACCCAAAUUCAUCUCUUGUAACCAAUCUCCGUCUCGCGACUCCGAUUGGUACUUGUAAGGUUGCUAGUAGUAUUGAUUACUCUUUGUAGUUGAUGCUAGUUGGAUUACUUGGUGGAAGAGUUUAUGUUCAGAUCCUUGAUGCUAUUCAUUACACCUCUGAUCAUGAUUAUGAUUAUGCUUUGUGAGUAGUUACUUUUUUUCCUGAGGACAUGGGAUAAUUCAUGCUGAUAAUAGUCAUGUGAAUUUGGUAUUCGUUCGGUAUUUUGAUAUGAUGUAUGUUGUCUUUCCCUCUAGUGGUGUUAUGUGAACGUCGACUACAUAACACUUCACCAUCUUUGGGACUAGAGGAAGGCAUUGGGGAGUAGUAACUAUAUGAUGGGUUGCUAGAGUGACAGAAGCUUAAACCCUAGUCUAUGCGUUGCUUCGUAAGUGGCUGAUUUGGAUCCACUAGUUUAAUGCUAUGGUUAGACGUUGUCUUAAUUCUUCUUUCGUAAUUGCGGAUGCUUGCGAGAGGGGUUAAUCAUAAGUGGGAUGCUUGUCCACCCACAUAUCAAACUAUCAAAGUAACAAACAUGAAUCAUAUGCACAUGAUGAAAAUAGCAUGACAAAAAUUCCGGUGUGUCAUCGGGAGCACUUUUCCUCCUAUAAGACUUUGUUCAGGCUUGUCCCUUGCUACAAAAGGGAUUGGGAAACUUUGCUGCACCGUUGCUACUACUUGUUACUUGUUACUUUUCAAUUGCUAUGUUUCACCUCACUACACCAUCACUUGUUACCGCUACUUUCAGUGCUUGCAGUUAUUACCUUGCUGAAAACCGUUUAUCACAGCCUUCUGCUCAUCGUUGGGUUCGACACUCUUACUUAUUGAAAGGACUACAAUUGAUCCCCUAUACUUGUGGGUCAUCAUGGCGCCACCCUAGGGCCUUGGGCUUACUCCCGGGUGGGUGGGCCCGUCCCGGUAAACAUCCGGAACCCAUUCGUCACUCCCGGUACACUACCGGAAUUGCCCAAAACAUUCCGGUGACCAAAUGAAACCAUCAUAUAUAUCAAUCUCAUUUACGUACCAUUCCGGAAACCCUCGUGACGUCCAUGAUCUCAUCCGGGACUCCAAACAACAUUUGGUAACCACACAUAUAACUCAACUAUACUAAAACAUCAUCAAACCUUAAGUGUGCAGACCCUGCGGAUUCGAGAACUAUGUAGACAUGACCGAAGGCACUCCUCGGUCAAUAUCCAAUAGCGGGACCUGGAUUCCCAUAUUGGAUCCUACAUAUUCUCUGAAGAUCUUAUCGGUUGAACCUCAGUGUCAAGGAUUCAUAUAAUCCCGUAUGUCACUCCCUUUGUCCUUCGGUAUGUUACUUGCCCGAGAUUCGAUCGUCACUAUCCGCAUACCUAUUUCAAUAUCGUUACCGGCAAGUCUCUUUACUCGUUCCAUAAUACAAGAUCCCGUGACUUAUACUUAGUCACAUUGCUUGCAAGGCUUGUGUGUGAUGUUGUAUUACCAAGUGGGCCCCGAGAUACCUCUCCGUCACACGGAGUGACAAAUCCCAGUCUUGGUCCAUACUAACUCAACGGAAAACCUUCGGAGAUACCUGUAGAGUACCUUUAUAGUCACCCAGUUACGUUGUGACGUCUGAUACAUGCAAGGUAUUCCUCUGGUGCUAGUGAGUUAUAUGAUCUCAUGGUCAUAGGAAUAAAUACUUGACACACAGAAACAAUAGCAAUAAAAUGACACGAUCAAUAUGCUACGUACAUAGUUUGGGUCUAGUCCAUCACAUGAUUCUCUUAAAGAUGUGUCGUCAAGAGACAACACUUGUCUAUGGUCAGGAAACCUUGACCAUCUUUGAUCAACGAGCUAGUCAACUAGAGGCUUACUAGGGACAGUGUUUUGUCUAUGUAUCCACACAUGUAUCUAAGUUUCCAAUCAAUACAAUUCUAGCAUGGAUAAUAAACGAUUAUCAUGAACAAAGAAAUGUAAUAAUAACUAAUUUAUUAUUGCCUCUAGGGCAUAUUUCCAAUAGUCUCCCACUUGCACUAGAGUCAAUAAUCUAGUUCAUAUCACCAUGUGAUUUUAACGAAUCCAACACCCAUAUAGUUCUCGGGUUUGAUCACGUCUUGCUCAUGAGAGAGGUUUUAGUCAACGGUUGUGAAUUUUCAGAUCCGUGUGUGCUUUACAAAUCUUUAUGUCAUCUCACAGAUGCUGCUACUACGUGCUAUUCGGAAAUACUCCAAAUAUCUACUCUACUAUACAAAUCCGUUUUACUACUCAUAAUUAUUCGGAUUAGUGUCAAAGCUUGCAUCAACGUAACCUUUUACGAUGAACUCUUUAACCACCUCCAUAAUCGAGAAAAAUUCCUUAGUCCAUUAGUUACUAAGGAUAACUUUGACUGUUGUUCAGUGAUUUAAUCUUGUCUCACUCUCUCUACCUCUUAACAAACUUGCGGCAAGGCAAACAUCAGGUGCGGCACACAACAUGGCAUACAUUAGAGUCUAUGGCUAAGGCAUAGGAGACGACCUUCUUCCUUCCUCUUCCUUCUGUCGUGGUCGGGUUUUGAGUCUUUACUCAAAUUCACACCUUACAACACGGCCAAGAACUCCUUCUUUGCUGAUCUAUUUUGAACUCCUUCAAAAACUUGUCAAGGCAUGCAUUUCAUUUGAAACUUCUGUUUAGCAUUUUGAUCUAUCCAGGUCUUCCUUUGAAAAAACCCCUUUGAAACAACCCUUUAUGCUUUACAGAAAUUUUGCAUUACUUCCGAUCAACAAUAUGUCAAACACAUAUACUUAUCAGAAAUUCUUUAGUGCUCCCACUCAUUUCUUUGGAAAUACAAGUUUCUCAUAAACCUUGUACAAACCUAAAAGCUUUGAUCAUCUCAUCAAAGCGUAUAUUCCAACUCCGAGAUGCUUCCACUAGUCCAUAGAAGGCUCGCUAGACCUUGCAUACUCGUUAGUAUCCUUGGGAUCGAGAAAACCUUCUAGUUGUAUCACAUACGACCUUUCCUCAAGGAAACCGUCGAGGAAACGAUGUUUUGACAUCCUAUGUGCAAUAUUUCAUAAAUAAUGCAGCAACUACUAACCUAAUUCCAACAAAUUUUAGCUUCACUACGAGUGAGAAAGUCUCAUCAUAGUCAACUCUUUGAACUUUGUCGGAAACAUCUUUGCGACAAGUCAAGCUUUUCUUAAUGAUGACUUUUCACCACCAUCGUCUAUCUUCCUUUUAAAGAUCCAUCUUUACUCAAUAGUAUUACGACCAUCAAGUAGUUCUUCCAAAGUCUACACAUUGUUYUCAUACAUGGAUYCWCUCUCGGAUUUCAUGGCCUCCAGCCAUUUGUCCGAAUCCAUGCCCACCAGCGCUUCUCYAUAGCUCAUAGGUUCAUUGUUGUUCAAUAACAUGACCUCCAAGACAGGGUUACCAUACCACUCUGUAGUGGUACGCGACCUUGUCGACCUACGAGAUUUGUAGUAACUUGAUCCAAAGCUCAAUGAUCACUAUCAUCAGUUUCCACUUCAAUUGGCGUAGGCGCCACUUGAACAUCUUCCUGCGCCCUGCUACACUCUGGUUGAAGUGACAGUUCACUAACCUCAUCAAUUUCCACCACCCUCCCACUCAAUUCUUUUGAGAGAAACCUUUCCUCGAGAAAGGACCCGUUUCUAGAAACAAACACUUUGCUUCCGGAUCUGAGAUAGGAGAAGUAUCCAACUGUUUUGGAUAUCCUAUGAAGAUGCAUUUAUACGCUUUGGGUUCGAGCUUAUCAGACUGAAACUUUUUCACAUAAGCAUCAUAGCCCCAAACUUUCAAGAAACGACACCUCAGGUUUUCUCCAAACCAUAGUCUCUACCGUUACAUCGCAAUGGAAAUACGCGGUGCCCUAUUUAAAGUGAAUGCGGUUGUCUCUAAUGCAUAACCCAUAAAUUAUAGUGGUAAUUCGAUAAGAGACAUCAUAGUACGCACCAUAUAAAAUAGGGUGCGGCUAUGACGUUCGGACACACCAUCAUACUAUGGUGUUCUAGGUGGCAUGAACUACGAAACAAUUUCCACAUUGUCUUAACCGUGUACCAAAACUCGCAACUCAGAUAUUCAUCUGCAUGAUCUUAUCGUAGACGGUUUAUCCUCUUGUCAAGAUGAUCUUCACUCUGAAAUGGCUUUGAACUUUUCAAUAUUUCAGACUUGUGAUUCAUCAAGUAAAUACUCCUGAUUCUACUCAAAUCAUCAGUGAAGUAAGAACAUAACAAUAUCCACUACGUGCCUCAGCGCUUCAUUGGACUGCACAUAUCAGAAAUGUAUUGAAUCCAACAAGUUACUUUCUUGUUCCAUGUGGUAUGAUUUUGCAUGUCUCAAGUGAUUCAAAAUCAAGUGAGUCCAAAUGAUCCAUCUGCAUGGAGUUUCUUCAUGCGUUUAUACCAAUAGGUAUGGUUUGCAUGUCUCAAACGUUUCAAAAAUGAGUGAGUACAAAGAUCUAUCACUAUGGAGCUUCUUCAUGCAUUUUAUACCGACAUGACUCAAGCGGCAGCGCCACAAGUAAGUGGUACUAUCAUUAGUACUUUGUAUCUUUUGGCACCAAUAUUAUGAACAUGUCUAACACUAUGAUCGGGAUUCAAUAAACCAUUGAGGGUAAUUAUUCAAGCAAAUAGAAUAAUUAUUAUUCUCUUUAAAUGAAUAAUCAAAUUGCAAUAAACAUGAUUCAGCCGUGUUCAUGCUCAAUGCAAACACCAAAUAACAAUUAUUUAGGUUUAACACCAAUCCCGAUGGUAGAGGGAGAAUGUGAUGUUUGAUCACAUCAACAUUGGAAACACUUCCAACACUUAUUGUCACCUCGCCUUUAGCUAGUCUCCGUUUAUUCCGCAGCUUUUAUUUUGAGUUACUAAUCGCUUAGCAAUCGAACCAGUAUAUAAUACCCUCGUGCUACUAGGAGUACUAGUAAAGUACACAUCAAUAUAAUGUAUAUCAAAUAUACUUCUUUUGACUUCGCCAGCCUUCUCAUCUACCAAGUAUCUAUGGUAGCUCCGCCUCAGUGACCGUUCCCCUCAUAAUAAAAGAACUUAGUCUGAGGUAUGGGUUCAAUCUUGGGAUUCUUCAUUAGAGCAGCAACUAGUUUGUCAUUUCAUGAAGUAUCACUUCUAGCCCUUGCCCUUCUUGAAACGAGUGGUUUUACUAACCAUCAACAAUUGAUGCUCCUUCUUGAUUUCUACUUUCGCAUUGUCAAACAUUGCGAAUUGCUCAAGGAUAAUGAUAUCUAUCCUUGAUAUGUUAUAGUUCAUCACGAAGCUCUUAGCAGCUUAGUGCCAAUAACUUUGGAGAACCAUCACUGUCUCACCUCGAAGAUUAACUCCCACUUGAUUCAAGUGAUUGUUGUACUCAGACAAUCUGAGAACAUGCUCAACGAUUGAGCUUUUCUCCUUUAAUUUGUAGACAAAGAAUCUUGUCGGAGGUUUCAUACCUCUCAACAAGGGCACGAUCAUGAAAUCUCAACUUCAUCUCUUAGAACAUCUCUUAUGUUCCGUGACGUUUCAAAACGUCUUCGGCGCCUUGCUUCUAAGCCCUUAAGUUUUAUGCACUAAACUAUCACGUAGUCAUCAAAACGUGUAUGUUAGAUGUUCGCAACAUUCACAGACGACGCUCGAGGUGCAGCACACCGAGUGGUGCAUUAAGGACAUAAGCCUUCUGCGCAACAAUGAGGACAAUCCUCAGUUUUACGGACUCGGACCGCAAAGUUUCUACUAUCAUCUUUCAACUAAAUUUUCUCUAGGAACAUAUAAAAACAGUAGAGCUAUACCGCAAGCUACAUCAUAAUUUUCCAAGACCUUUUGACUAUGUUCAUGAUAAUUAGUUCAAUUAAUCAUAUUACUUAAGAACUCCCACUCAAAAAGUACAUCUCUCUAGUCAUUUCAGUGGUACAUGAUCCAAAUUCACUAACUCAAGUCCGAUCAUCACGUGAGUUGAGAAGACUUUCAGUGGUAACCAUCUCUAUGCUAAUCAUAUCAACUAGACGAUUCAAGCUCGACCUUUCGGUCUCAUGUGUUCUGAGGCCAUGUUUGUACAUGCUAGGCUCGUCAAGUUUAACCCGAGUGUUCCGCGUGUGCAACUGUUUUUCACCCGUUGUAUAUGAACGUUGAGUCUAUCACACCCGAUCAUCACGUGGUGUCUCGAAACGAUGAAUUGUCACAACGGUGCAUAGUCGGGGAGAACACAAUUUCAUCUUGAAAUUUUAGUGAGAGAUCACCUUAUAAUGCUACCAUCGUUCUAAGCAAAAUAAGGUGCAUAAAAGGAUUAACAUCACAUGCAAUUCAUAGGUGACGUGAUAUGGCCAUUAUCUUGUGCUUCUUGAUCUCCAUAACCAAAGCACCGACAUGAUCUUCAUCGUCACCGGCGCCACACCAUGAUCUCCAUAAUCGUGCCGCCAUCGAGGUUGUCGUGCUCUCUAUGCUAUUACUACUAAAGCUACGACCUAGCAAUAUAGUAAACGCAUCUGCAAACACAAACGUUAGUUUAAAGACAACCCUAUGGCUCCUGUCGGUUGCCGUAGCAUCAACGUGCAAGUCGAUAUUAACUAUUACAACAUGAUCAUCUCAUACAUCCAGUAUAUCACAUCACGUCAUUGGCCAUAUCAUAUCACAAGCAUACCCUGCAAAAACAAGUUGGAUGUCCUCUAUUUUUUUGUUGCAUGUUUUACGUGGCUGCUAUGGGUAUCUAGUAUGAUCGCAUCUUACUUACGCAAAAACCACAACGAAGAUGUGCAAAUUGCUAUUUAACCUCUCUCCAAGGACCGCCUCGGUCAAAAUCAAUUCAACUAAAGUUGAAGAAACAGGCACCCGCCAGUCAUCUUUAUGCAACGAGCUGCAUGUUAGUCGAUGAAACCAGUCUCUCGUAAGCGUACGAGUAAUGUCGGUCCGGGCCGCAUCAAUCCAACAAUACCGCCGAAUCGAGAAAAGACUAAGGAGGGCAGCAAUUCAAACAUCAACUCCCACAAAAACUUUUUUGUUCUACUCGAGAUAACAUCUAUGCAUGAACCUAGCUCAUGAUGCCACUGUUGGGGAACGUUGCAUGGGAAACAAAAAAUUCCUAUGCACACGAAGACCUAUCAUGGUGAUGUCCAUCUACGAGUGGAGAUUUGGAUCUACGUACCCUUGUAGAUCGGACAGCAGGAAGCGUUAAGAAACGUGUAGUGGAACGUCUUCACGUCCCUCGAACCGUCCAACGAACCAUCCCGCAAUCCGUCCCACGGACCGUGCUGCGAUCCGUGCCACGAUCCGUUCUGAUCUAGUGACGAACGGACGACACCUCCGCGUUCAGCACACGCAACUCGAUGACGAUCUCGGCCUUCUUGAUCCAGCAAGAGCGACGGAGAAGUAGAUGAGUUAUUCGGCAGCGUGACGGCGCGCCGGUGUUGGUGAUGAACUAUUCCUGCAGGGCUCCGCCUGAGCUCCGCAGAAAUCCGGUCUAGUGGUGAAACUAUGUGGUUUAGGCUAUAGUUGCGCGUGGCAAAGUUGUGUCUCAAAAAGCCCUAAACUACCACUGUAUAUAGGAGGAAGGGGGAGUGGCUAGCCUUGAGGCACAAGGCCUCAAGUUCCGCCGACCAAGGGGGAGGAGUUGGACUCCAACCCCAAUUCGGUUUGGUGGGGAAGGAGUCCACUCCUUCCUUCCCACCUCCCUCUUUCCUUUUUCUUUUUCUUUUCUUUUGGUAUUUUCUUAUGUGGCGCCAUAUCCCUCUUGGGAUGACUCCACUAGCCCAAUAAGGACUUGUGGCGCCACCCUAGGGCCUUGGGCUCACUCCCGGGUGGGUGGGCCCCUCCCGGUAAACACCCGGAACCCAUUCGUCACUCCCGGUACACUCCCGGAAUUGCCCGAAACUUUCUGGUGACCAAAUGAAACCAUCCUAUAUAUCAAUCUUCAUUUCCGCACCAUUCUGGAAACCCUUGUGAUGUCCGUGAUCUCAUACGGUACUCCGAACAACAUUUGGUAACCACACAUAUAACUCAACUAUACUAAAACAUCAUCGAACCUUAAGUGUGCAGACCCUCCGUGUUCGAGAACUAUGUAGACAUGACCCGAGGCAUUCCUCGGUCAAUAUCCAAUAGAGGUACCUAGAUGCCCAUAUUGGAUCCUACAUAUUCUCCGAAGCUCUUAUCAGUUGAACCUCAGUGUCAAGGAUUCAUAUAAUCUCGUAUGUCAUUCCCUUUGUCCUUCGGUAUGUUACUUGCCCGAGAUUCGAUCGUUAGUAUCCUCAUACCUAUUUCAAUCUCGUUAUCGGCAAGUCUCUUUACUCGUUCCGUAAUACAACAUCCCGUGACUCCUCUUCUAGAGCUCGUUUACUUCAUAUGAGAGAUGUUUAUUUGACUUUGUCCACCAGGUCCAUGAAUUUUAGACCUGACAGUUUCAUCAGUGAUAUUUACUUCAUAUAAGAGAUUUUCAUUUUUCAGAAGCACGGGGUUCUUAAAUUUGCCUUCCUCUUCUAGAUCUCGUUGCUUCCAUUGGUUCACCAAGGAAACAACAUGCUAACUGUCGUAGCAUGGAAUGUACUGCAAAAAAAUUAAAAUGCUUCACUUAGUAAGAAGGAAUUCUUCAAUCAGUUAAAAUGUAGGGUUUUCCUCACUCCUAAAAAAUGCUUUACGCGGUAGUCUAGCAUUUGGUAAAAGGUGUGCUUUUUAAAAAAACAAUCAUUUUGUGGAUUAUGCACAUCUAGUUCUUCUGUGAGAAACGUAACAUGGUAGUAAUUUAUAUGCAUGUCGUGCCAAAACUUUUCUACUUAAAGUGCAUGUCUCGUAACAAGCGACACGUGAAGUGCUAUUAUAGUACAUCGAACGCCUGUUUCUAUUCCAGCGCAGUUGAUGUUCGUACAGGUUCAGCAACUCGUAAUUCUACUGCAAAAAAUAUACAGAUAAUGUACAAGAAGUUACAUGUGAACUUUGAUAUGCACAAAAUUAUCAACACAAGCAUGUUCGAGUAAAGAUAUGUUUACAUGCAAAGUCGUGAAAAAGCCAUGUGCAACUUGAUUUAUGACAACUCAGGUCGUGCAACAAUUAUAAUAGGAAACUAGUGUUUACUUUGUUGCCAAUGCAAAAAUGUAUGCCCAGCUACUUAUGGAAGUACCAUUGCGAAAUAUAUUUUUCCUGAAAACUUAUCUAAGUAAUUAUGUAUGGUAUUAGCUAGUUGCAUUGUAUUACACAAAUCUAUAUCUAAUAAUACGACAGUUUUGCGUCGAGAGGCUCGAAUCUCCUUUCUAAUUAUGGCACGUUCCGCAACCGACGAUCUACAAGUAUCAUCCACGCCCCCAGAGCCGCUCUCACCACACCAUUGUCACUAAGGGAUACAGCGCAACGCCACCUCCACUUUCCCCGUUAACCUCCUCUCACACCGUUUUUAGCCAUAGAGCAACUGGAUUUUCUCUAACAUUCACCUUUAACCUCCGCCCCCACAGUGGUGGAGUCUAUUUGUCUCCUACAUCUGCGACGUCGUACCACACUGUCGGUUGUAGAGCUUUCUCCUACUUGAAGGAGGUCGUUGAUGUCGGAAAUUGACGGUGUGGAAAGCUUCUUCCUGGCAUCUAGCGGAUCUGUACGAGAUCACCGCAAAAUUUUAAUCGUAAUAGUAUAGAUCUAUCAAUUUGCAACACGAAGAAACAAAAAUCUCCAAGAUGGAACAACCCAUACAAAAAAAUGUUGCGGAAAUGGAGAGAUAACGUACGAAUCGUAGAGUGAGUUUGAGGACCGAAAGAGAAGAGAGGGCAAGAGAGGAAUAGUGAGUGUUGUACACCGGGUUAGUCGGAUAUUCUUUUUACAGUAAAGAGGUGGUUGUACUUGGGGCCACCAAAGAGAAUGUUGAGGUUUUAGAUUUCCACGUGCAAAGCUUCCGUUGCCUCAGGAAUCACGGUCGUGCCUUUUUGCUUCAAAAUAUUUUGGUUGAACGUUCACUUAAUCAGUCACGGUUUUACAAUCCAAGGGGGAACGUCAGUUGCAAAUGUUUUAAUUGACUGGUAGAGUAUGAGACGGUCCGUUAACACCCUAGUUGAGGCACGAGGCUACAUGAAGCACAUGCAAGAUGUUCCGUUUGUUUCCUUCAAUGUUUCCCUUGACGACGGAUUCAGUGACAGAGACAGGGGCAAAGAUCAGACUCUGGGUAAAACACGUUCGUGCACCUGGGAAUGAGAUAUAUUGUAUAACGACAAGUUCAAUGGGACGAGGCAUGGACUACAGAUGCACGGUAUUGUGUCUCUGUUCACUCUAUCCUUUCACUCUAGUUUGAGUGUCGUAGGCAUAGGCUUGAAGCCACGAGAGAUGUGGAGGCACGGAACAACACCAUAUUCCCCACAUGCGGCAGUGCAUCAAAAUUGGAUGCUAAAUCAUCGAUAUUUAGCAUGCUCAACCCUUUUUUCUGAAGCCAUCGAUGGUUACACAAACAUGUAGUGAACAUCACAAGACAAACCUCAGUAUUGAUGUCAUAAUUAUUGCUGCUACUAAACACAGCAUAGUCUGACAAGUUUUACACAAGACCUCUAUGCUUUACACAGUAAUUAGAAGAUGACAACUACAUCUCCCUCCAUCUUCCAGGCCCUGAUUUUAGUAUUCGCAAAUGAACGGAUUUGACAAUUCCAAACACUCGACGUGUGUGUUUGCUAAAUCCAGAUGCACAUGCUCACAACUUGUUGUUAGUGCAAGACUAGCACACUUAGAAGCCCUUUUAUGCAUCUGAAGCACCUUUACUUGCUACUUGUAGAAUUUAACCGUGAAAUCUUGGUGCAAGCGGGACUCGAGCUUGAUAGUUUGUAGUAUGCUUGCAUUCUGAAUAAAGAAUGUUAAAAACUCAACAUUUGCCAUUGUGUAUUCAUAUUCUUCAAGCGUUAUUGUCUUCAAGUAAAUACCAUGACUCUUCAUAAACACCUGGUGCUUUUGGCGCCAUUCAUUUGUUAAACCUCUCUGAUCCCAUCCUGUUGCCUAGAUAUACACGGAGACUCAAAAACAGUUAAUGUCUGGAAAGCACCUAAAAUACCGCCCAGAAUGUUCACUGCAUGUUCAAACACAAAAUAAAAUAUAUAUAUAUAUAUAAAGAGAAACUAAAACAGUUAUUGCAUUACUGCUGUGUAUCGGGAAGCCCAUGGGAUACAAUGCAUGUGAAAGCCAUAGAAUACUAUGUUGUCAUCAUCUCUUAGAUGAUCACCUCGAUAAAUAUGUUCUUCACGCAUCUAAAGCAUUGCAACAAUCCAACAACCUCAUCUAGUUUAAAACAUGUCUGCGAGAUACAUAAGGUCUUGAUGGAAUCCAUCACUCCUGGUAUGUUGUGUAUGGACAGACCCUUCAUUUGAUCAUAGUAGAUUACAUUAUUACUUUGUGUUCAUGAAAGUCAAUGCAACACAAUGUAAUGUGGAAUACCAGUACCUGAAUAACUGUAGAACCAAAGACGAUCUUCGAUUCAUCAGAUAGAUCUGAAUUUUUUCCCAAGGUAUCCAAUUUAGGCGUAGAAAAAUAGUUAUUUGCAACCGUGUAUCUACAGAAUCGUGGAGCAAUCUUUGAUGUGAAUGUCCAUCCUCGGUGUUGAGCUUUCCUUUUUCACAAUGAAUGGCGAUGCUGAUAAGAUUAGGGGAGUUUAUUCGCACGCAGCAGAAUUCCUUGUUGAAAACAAGUAGCAGGUAUUGCACGGCAGGGCAAUAGCAGUGGAUCAUGUUGUAUAUUUAGACCUCCUAUAUGUAAACUUCCAGCAACGAAAGUCUCUUGAGUACUAGGAGGCAAAUCGUUUCUACUAGAUUAUCUGCUAGUUUGCACAGGGUGAAUGUGAGCGUGUGGAGGGAGGAGUAGAACCUCGAGCUGGACAUCGGUGUUGAGGGCAUAUAAGAAGGGCAUCGGUGUGGUUGGUUGACGGCCCGGUGCAUGAAUUUUGGGAACACAUGGUAGAACUCAAUCACUUGGAUCUUGUCAAGUUUUGCGGAUUGGAGCAACUCAAUGACUGUCCUGGUUUUGUCACGGCAGAUGUCCUCGUGAAAGGACUUAGUAUUGGAGCCAUCGCACUUUGGUGGCGACUCAAAAGGGGUUGAACGGGAGUGAGACGGCGAUUUACCCAGGUUCGGCCCCUCGUGAGGAGGUAAAGGCCUACGUCCUGCUUUGUGUUGUAUUGAUGGAGUUUCGAUUACGAGGAGGGCGUAGCUCGCCAGACCUAGCACUCGAUGAUUUCUAACCUAUCCUCUUCUUCCCUGGGACUCGCCUUUAUAUACAGGUCGAGUCCCUAGGGUUUACAAGGGUCCUUUCCUUUCUCCAAACCAUGACUCUUACGAUCUCUUAGUCGCCACCUUUCCAAAGCUUGGAGGCCUUCUCUGUCAUGGACUCCUUCCGGAAGUUGUAAACCGCCAUACAACCUUCGGUCCUACCAGGCCAAGGCCUGAACCAUAUUUUAGAUGAAUCGCCAGAUUUGGUGACCCGGCCCAACUAGGGCGGGUUAUCAACAGAUAAUAUCCCCAACAUUAGGCCCCAGAUUGACUUGAAUUUCCUUCACGCCAAUAUCCUUACUCAAUUAAGGGCGAUUCAUCUUCACCCCUUUUAUACGCCAUGAACUUAACCCGCCAACUGUUGCGGAAAAACUUGAGUCGCCAAACCAUUUCUUGUUGGUACCUCCUUAUCCCUUGAAUCCCGGAAAAGAUAAUGACGUAAUCCCCAACAGAUCCUUCAGUAUCGUUAUCCCAAAAUUUUCGGGGUGCCAUCAUGGCGAAUCUUUAUCUUUUGGUGAUUCCCGCCCGUGGCGCCUCGAUCCUAGCGCCUGCCCUGAUAAAUAGGCGGGAGGAAGGGACUGGGCACAUUCCACCUACCAGUAUUGUCGCCCUUCUCUUCCCCACUAUCAAAGUGAAAAUCCUCAUCGUCUUCUGAGAGCUCCGCCGCCACCCGAGGACCUCGUCGCCAUCCGAAAGCUUCGGUGCCGCCCGAGGACUUCGUCGCCGUGAAGCACUUCGCCGUGGCCGAGUAGUUCGUCACGGUCGACCGUCUCGCCGUCGUCGAGCACCUCGCCGCCUCCGAACACUUCGUCGCCGCCCGAGGUUUUUGUGCCCGUCCGAUACCUUCAUUGCCGUCGACCAUCUCCAGCCGAAUCCACCAUGUUAGGUUUCUGUCAUUCAAGAGCAGAUCCAAGUUCCUUUUCGAAGUUCAUCACUGCCUCGUUCUUGGUGCUUCCCGAAUAGCUUUACUUGUUCCCGAUUAGUUGGCGGCGAUGAUAACCAGAAAAUCGAUGUCUUUCAUACCUUUAUUUGUUCGGCCUCUACUUGCAUACUUAGAGCAGGGAUUCACCAAAUCAACAGUAUUGUCCCACCUUAGUCGCAGGUUACUGUAUCCAGUCAUUUUCCGCAUUCAUUUCCGUCUACACGGUAGAUCCAUAAUCUAUCGCUUGUCAAGUGAAAACUGUUUGUAGUCUCAUACUCCACCAUUUUGACAAAUACCACUCAUGCUUUGAAACACCGCUCCCUUAAGUAGAAAAAGUUUCGUAAGUCGCCCGGGCAACCAGACCCGGACCUUCGUUGGCGGAUCAAAAAAUUUCCUUAGCCAUCAGGCAAAUUAUUUGGUGAGUCAAAUGAAAUUGUUUCACCUUUUUCAGUAGAUGUUUGGCGUGUCAAUUCACCCAUAAUUUUAUCCCUUUGUAGCAUGGGCGCCGUUUUCAAAAGCGACUGGCUCCACACCAAGGUUAAUGACGCUAUACUAGAUGAUUAUGUGAAAACGGGAAAUUUGGACCCUGAAGAGAUUAUGAGUUGGCGCACAGGGUUAGGAGAAGAAAUCCCCAAUCCCAAGGAAGGGGAAAUAGUUGUUUUUGUUGAACACCUUGAGCGGGGCUUUAAGCCGCCUGGAUCGAAAUUCCUCAGAGACGCCAUGGCUUUUAUUAAUGUCCGCCACCAAGAUCUAGGGCCCAACUCGAUAAGUAAUCUAUGCCAGUUCCAGGUGUUUUGUGAGGCUUACUUGCGGAUGGAGCCCUCAGUUCCCUUAUUCUGGUACUUCUUCCACUUAAAUCGCCAAACAGAAUUUCACAAUGGUCCCAGUCUGGAGCAUGGUGGUGUUAAUGUUCAGCGCCGCAGGGAUAGCCCAUUUCCGUCACUCACCAUGCCAAGCCACCCCAAAGGCUGGGGCGAGUCUUGGUUCUAUUGCCAGGAGACUUCGCCUGAGGGCGAGAACAAACUUCUGGGUUAUAGGGAAGAUCGCCUUCCAACAAAUUUCAAACUCCCAAACAAGCUCACCUAAGAGGAGGAGUCAGACUUUAUCCCAGUAUUGUCCGAGUUAAGAUCUUUGACAAACAACGGCCUUACUGGAGUUGACUUGAUCCAUUCCUGGGUCGAAUGGCGUAUCCUCCCUUUAAGUCGCCGGGACGGGUUAAUGUGUGAAUUCGAUGGCACCCGAGAUCAUCCUCAGUGCUACUUCCACACGGCUCUGACGGAAAAUGAUAUUGUAACCAUCAUCAAGAAGCUGACCGGCGAGCCCGCGGGAAAAUGCGGCCAAAUUGGUCUUAAACCUUUGUGCAAGAUUAACCCGGCACCAAAGGUAAAUAACUUUAACCCGCCUUUUGUCUUUUACUACUUAUGUCUUAGUCGAACUAUGACCUGUUAUAAAAAAUGCCAUUUCAGAAAGGUGAUAAAUUUUGGUCCAAGAGGCCAAAAAAGUCAGCCAUGAAGCAAGCUAGGCCGCCUCCAAAGAAGAAAUCCAAGGGCAAGGGCAACGCUGUUGUUACCGAACCAUCUGAGGCCGAUGAAUCCCAAGUCGGCGACGCACCUUCGGAGGUAAAAAACCUAUCCUCUUUUAACUCGUGAUCCAUUACUGAUAACUUUGUAUUUACACCUCUGCAUCUCUUGCAUAGAAUGAAGGCAAUGAAAGCCAGGAGGAUUCUGUAGAGGUAAUAUUUGUUUCCUCCGACUCAUCUCCUUCUCCACCUAAGUCGGCCAGGCGAGUUUGUGGGAAAGUUCCCUUCUCACACCCAAAUUCUUGUUUGGAUCCAAAUUUUCUUCUGAAGAAAGCACAACAAACCUCAAAUCGGAAUACUUGAAGUCAUUUUGGCGAUCUGGUGUCCCGUUUACCACCAAGAAACAAGAAAAGGCCAAAUGAGGUAUAUUUUACUAACACUUCUUCGGGUCUUCUUGGAUCGCAUUUGUAACUCGCUCAUAUCUUCGAAGUAUAACUUUUUGCAGAGUUCUCCUCCUACAUCUGGCGACUCAGUAAUGUCAGCACUUCCACCGAUCAUCUGUGUCCCUAGGUAAACCAUUGAUAAUUUUUACUUUUAGUCUGAUGGCGAUAAAUUUUCAGUCCUUUAAACGCACCCCUUCUCCUUUCACGGCACGGGCGAAGAAAAGAAAAACUGGCGGGUCAACUUCCGUUACAACUUCGGAGCCUAUCGGAAAGUCGGCACCGAUCCAGGAUGACCCGGACCAAGACAAACCUGAAGAUCAAGUGGAUCUCCCCAGCUCUCCCAAGGAAAACAUGGAUGCACCUAACCCGCCAAUUCCAUUGACAACAGCAGAAGACCCGGACACUGUGGUUAUCACUGGUACUCGCUUCUCUAACCCGGUCACAGCGGUUUUAUCGAAGCAUGUAUCAUCAUCAGCUCAACCUAUUCUUGAGCAUGAACUCUCCAAGGCUAAGCUCUCCCAAUAUGAAAAUCUGGAAUUCAAAGUACUUUGCUCUGGCUUUGCAAGUCGCCUAGAGGCGAGUUACGAGAUGGAGAAGAGCCUGCUUUGGAUGCUGAAGAACAAACAUGAGGUACAUUUUGUUGUACACUAUAUUAUCCUCAUUAACCCCCCAAGAGCCGGGUCAUCAGUAAAAAGAUGAGCCGGGUCUUGAUGAUUUGAAAAACUUUCGACCUGUAACCCCCAAGGGCCGGGUCAUCAGUAAAAAGAUGAGCCGGGUCUUGAUGAUUUGAAAAACUUUCAACCUGUAACCCCCAAGGGCCGGGUCAUCAGUAAAAAGAUGAGCCGGGUCUUGAUGAUUUGAAAAACUUUCGACAUGUAACCCCCAAGGGCCGGGUCGUGAGUAAAAAGAUGAGCCGGGUCUUGAUACUGUAUAAUUUUGUCUAAAAAAUUAUACAUUAGCCCCCAAGUGUCAGGGAUGUUGCUUGCAAUAAUUCUGAGACUUGCCCCUUAACUAUAUGCUUCAACAGGAAUCACUUAUCCAAACUGAAUCAGCACUUGGCGACUUGAAGAAAAAUUUAUCCGAUCAGCAGGAUGUCUGGGCCAAAUCAUAAGAGAAGUAUCAACUGAUCUUAUCUGAGAUGGAGAAGCUAAAAGCCGACUCAAAAAGGGCUCAAGCUGAUCAAGAUGCUUUAACAAAGUGAGCAGAAAAAGCUGAAGCCAAGUUGGACACUGUGCAACAGGAGGUGUCCGACUUAAAGCAACACAUCUCAAACAUGGCGCAAGCUGUCUUCGGUAAAAAUCAACUCUUGACCUUUGUAAACCAAUAGCUUUAUCUAAAUCCCUGACUAUCAUUACCUCUUAUACAGGUCCGAGAGCCGCCAACCUUCAGGAUGAUUGCGUCCUGAUGCUGAAGGCGAUUUACACGUUGACGGAGCAGCUAUAUACCGGGAGUGUGCUGACUGUGAAAGCAGUGAUGGGCGCCAAGGAACCUAUAACAUCAAUAAAGAAGAUGCUUGGCUGCUUAUCCACUCUUCCUCCCCAAAUUGGCGAGUUCACUCGGUCAGCCGCCCGGAAAGGAGUGCUGACCACUCUGAGUCGGUGCUUAGCAUAUGCUCCAGAGAUAAACCCAGAAGAAGUAGCGGUGUGCUUUCCUCAACUCAAGGAUGAUGGGUCAAAAUUCGCUGAAGAGGACUAUAAACGUGUCGUCAAGGACUCCCGUUUGGCGCCGACUCAGCUUGUUGCAAGCCUAGAUUUAUCAAAAUACCAAGCCUCCUACGACAACAAAAACAAGAAGGUCAACCCGCCAACCUUUGUGACGACCAACUUAACUCCGCGUCAACCCAAGAAUCCUUUUGACUUGGACGCAGAUCUCUCAUCAGUUCUGACCGAUGAAGAUGAGUUCGCCGCGUUAUCCAAAUGUAACUGGGUACUGGGCGACUUGCAAAUUGAAGUUGGCCAAAGCUCGCAGCAAGCUGAUCCAAGGGCAUCAGCAGAAUAACACCUCAUUGAUUUGGCCAUGAGAGCCAUGUAAAAGGUCCCUUUAGGAAUCAAAACUGCUUCUAUGAUAUCUUAAAAACCCUUAUGUCGCCUUUAAGGCGUUUUGAAAUACUUGAUCCGCCGUUUGAGGCUUUUAUCAUAAUACUUGACCCGCCAUUGAGGCGUUUUUACGAUGCUUGAUCCUCCAUGGCUAGAGUGAUUUUGAUCAGCAACCUGUUCUAAACUUGAAAACAUAUAUCAAACCAUCUCAGUUAGUAAUAGGUGAUAACAAAUAGCAAUCGCCCUAAGAUAUUUUGAGGCUUGUCAGAAAAAAAGUCUAAAAAACCUUGUGGCAGUGCCAGGGAGGUAAAAAAUAGCAAUUUCGUCAGCUCAUAAGGUCGCGACAGGAUAGGGCGAAUCAAACAACCUCAAGCGCCACCCAAAAUAAUAAUUUCGUCGGCUCAUAAGGUCGCGACCGGAUAGGGCGAGUCAAACAAGCUCAAGCACCAGCCAAGGGAGGUAAAAAAAUAACAAUUUCGUCGGCUCAUAAGGUCGCGACAGGAUAUGGCGAGUUAAACAAGCUCAAGCGCCACCCAAAGGAGACUUUUGUAUCAAAAGCCCAGGUAUUUAGACCAGCUGAUCAGACACAAGUCAAGCUUCAGUGAAGCGGGUUCAAUGAACCAAUGGUUUAUCUAUUUUCCAUGUGAGGCGAUUUCCGGUACCAGACAUGUUUUAACCAAAGCAAGUUCAGGGUCCAUUAGCGGAAUAACUCGCCAAGAGUUCAUGGGUCCAUAUGGCGAUUCGGCCAACACACAGUCCAGUAUAACCAUUUGUAAUGCAGUAAUUUUUCGCAGGCCAAAUGGGUAAUAAAGAUGAUCUCAGUGAGAGGAAGCCCCCAAGUCGGGAGGCGUUUAAUUUUAUUGCGUUAUAAGAAAUGAAAACUUACAAAAUGUAGAGCUUAAGAGCUCAAGUGUAAUAAGGCCGCAAGUGGGCAAUAUUCCAGGGGCGAGUCGACUCAGCCUCCGUGGUUGGCCAGUUAGGCCGGAGAUCUACCACAUAGUAAGACUCGUUGUGAAGAUUUUGGCUGACGACCAACGGUCCUUCCCAUGGUGGUGAUAACUUAUGCAUGCCAACGCGAUCUUGUAUCAGCCGAAGCACUAAGUCGCCUUCCUGAAAGGUUCAGCUCUAGACCCGGCGGCUGUGAUAACGUCGUAAGUCCUGCUGAUAAAUGGCCAAUUGGGCUACAGCCAAAUCACGCGCCUCCUCUAAGGCAUCCAAAGAGUCUUGACGCGCUAGUUUGUUGUCCUGUUCCACAUAAGCGGCAACUCUAGGCGAGUCAUGCCUUAUGUCAGUGGGAAGAACAGCUUCUGCUCCAUAGACCAGAAAGAAAGGGGUAAAACCCGUGGACCGGUUCGGGGUGGUCCGGAUGCUCCAUAGCACCGAAGGCAACUCCUCAACCCAACACCCCGGGGUUCUUUCCAAGGGAACCAUGAGUCGGGGCUUGAUUCCCCAUAAAACUUCCUGGUUCGCCCGCUCCGCCUGUCCAUUAGAUUGUGGGUGAGAAACCGCAGAAACAUCAAGCCGGAUGUGCUCUCGACGACAAAACUCCUGCAUCGCCCCUUGAGACAGAUUAGUGCCAUUGUGAGUAAUGAUACUGUGCGGAUAUCCAAACCGGAAGAUCAACUUUUUCAAUAAUUUGACCGUUGUCUCCGCAUCGCAAGCUCCAACAGGCUCUGCCUGAACCCACUUGGUGAAUUUAUCAACCGCCACCAGCAAAUGGGUUUUCUUGUUGGAAGGCAUCUUAAAGGGGCCAACCAUGUCUAACCCCCAGACCGCGAAAGGCCAAGUGAUGGUAAUCAUCCUUAGUUCUUGAGCCGGCACAUGAGCCUGUCGCCCAUAACGCUCGCAUCCAUCGCAUCGACGAACUAUCUCCUCUGCAUCUGCAUGAGCCAUCAACCAAAAGAAACCAUGACGGAACGCCUUUGAAACCAAAGAACGUGACCCGGCGUGAUGCCCACAAUCUCCGGAAUGAAUGUCAUUUAGAAUUAUGCACCCUUCUUCGAAGGAAACUCAUCGUUGAAAAACCCCGGAGGUACUUCGCUUAUAUAAUUCGCCGUUGAUGAUCACCAUGGCUUUGCUUCGCCGAACAAUUUGGCGGGCCAAAACUUCAUCUGUAGGUAACUCGCCUCGGGCGAGAUAGGCCAGAUAGGGAAGAACCCAAUCCGGCGUAAUGUGGAGAGCCGCCAUGAACUGGGACUCAGGAUCUGGUAUCACCAACUCCUCCUAUGAUGGCAAACUCACGGAGGGAUUAUGCAAAGUAUCCAGAGAAACAUUGGGGGGAACCGGCUUUUUCUGGGAACCGAGACGCGAAAGGGCAUCAGCCGCCUCGUUAAGGCGCCGGUCAAUGUGAUCAACCUGAUAGCCAUGGAAAUGACCUGCCACUUCGGACGAAGCCCUCCUGUAAGCCGCCAUCACGGGGUCUCGACAGUCCCAAGUGCCUGAAACUUGCUGAGCCACCAGAUCAGAGUCGCCAAAACAUCUGACCCGCGUAAGGUUCAUAUCCUUGGCGAGUCGCAAGCCGUGAAGUAAAGCUUCGUAUUCUGCAGCAUCGUUGGUGCACGGAAACAUGAGUCGGAGGACAUAACAGAAUUUGUCUCCUUGAGGAGAUACCAGUACCACGCCAGCCCCCGAGCCUUUCAACUGUCUGGAUCCGUCAAAAUAAAUAGUCCAGUAUGUAAGAUCAGGCCUGUCUUCCGAGGCAUGUAACUCGGUCCAAUCAUUCACGAAAUCAACCAAGGCUUGAGAUUUGAUGGCCGUGUGAGGGGUGUAUCGUACGUGGUGCGGCCCAAGUUCAAUCGCCCACUUGGCAAUCCGCCCCGUUGCCUCCCGAUUCUGGAUGAUGUCCCCGAGGGGGGCGGAACUAACCACUGUGAUGGGAUGUUCUUGAAAAUAAUGUUUCAGCUUCCGGCUCGCCAUAAACACCCCAUACACUAAUUUCUGCCAAUGUGGGUAUCGUUGCAUGGAAAGAGUUAGCACUUCGCUGAUAAAAUACACCUGGCGCUGCACAUGGUAUUCCUUUCCUUCCUCCUUCCUUUCAACGACCACCGCCACACUUACUCCUUUGGCGUUUGUCGCAAUAUAUAAAAACAUGGGCUCUUUCUCAGUCGGGGCGGCCAAGACCGGCGGGUUGACCAGUUGUCGUUUCAAGGCUUCGAAAGCUUCAUCAGAUUCAUCUGUCCAAACAAAAUGGUCAGAUUUCUUUAGCAAUUGAUAAAGGGGAAUCGCCUUUUCUCCCAGGCGGCUUAUGAAGCGACUUAAGGCCGCAAUGCGACCCGCCAUCCGUUGGACUUGGUUAACAUUUGUUGGCUUCCCAAGGGAAGUAACCGCUUCGAUUUUGUCCGGGUUAGCUUCGAUUCCGCGCUCAGACACCAGGAAGCCCAACAAUUUUCCUGCAGGAACACCAAAAACACACUUGGUGGGAUUUAGCUUCAUCUGAUAUACCCGCAGAUUAUCAAAAGUUUCCUUGAGAUCUUCCAAUAGCGUCUCCCCCUGGUGGGUUUUAAUCACAAUGUCAUAGACAUAGGCGUGGAUGUUGCGUCUGGUUUGGCCACGGAGGUAAUUCUGGAUGCAGCGCUGAUAAGUCGCCCCUGCACUCUUGAGUCCAAAUGACAUGGACACAUAGCAAAAAGGCCCAAAGGGGGUUAUAAAAGUUGUUUUCUCUUGAUCCUCCACGGCCAUCUUGAUUUGGUGAUAUCCACAGUAAGCGUCCAAGAAGCACAAACGUUCGCAUCACGCCACCGAAUCAAUAAUCUGGUCGAUGCGGGGAAGAGAGAAAGGAUCUUUUGGACAAGCUCUGUUGAGGUACGUGUAAUCAAUGCACAUACGGAAGGUACCAUUCUUCUUGAGCACCAAGACCUGGUUAGCCAACCAUUUGGGGUGGAAAACCUCUACGAUGAAUCCGGCGGCCAUGAGACGGGCAACCUCUUCCCCGAUUGCCUUGCGUCGUUCCUCGUUAAACCUAGGAAGAUAUUGCUGGAUGGGUUUUGCCUUUGGGUCAACAUUAAGAUGGUGCUCAGCAAAUUCUCUCGGCACACCAGGCAUGACAGAAGGUUUCCAUGCGAAGAUGUCCCGAUUCUCACGGAUGAAUCCGAUGAGCGCGCUUUCCUAUUUGGGAUCCAGACCCGUCCCAGUAGUCAACUGCUUGGUUGAGUCGCCAGGGACGUAAUCAACCAUUUUAGUGUCAUCCGUUUGUUUGAACUUGAGGGGCGGCUCAACAUCUGUCGUUGGCGUUUUUACGGGUGACAUAUCAGCCGGGUCAACAUUGGCCUGAUGAUAUUUGAGCUCCUCCGCAGCGCAGGCGACUUCCGCAUAAGCCGCGUCCCCUUCUUCACAUUCUCUUGCAAUCCUUCUAUCACCAUCAACCGUGAUGGGUCCUUUAGGACCAGGCAUCUUGAGUUUAAGGUAAACAUAGCAUGGACGAGCCAUGAACCGGGCGUAAGCCGGCCGCCCAAACAGCGCAUGGUAGGGGCUUUUUAAUUUGACCACCUCAAACAUCAGCGACUCACUCCUGUAAUUAGAUUGUGUUCCAAAUGCAACUGUGAGCCUAACUCGGCCUAUGGGGUACGCCAAUUUGCCUGGGACGAUUCCAUGGAGUACCGUGGUUGAAGGCAUCAAAUCUUUUUCCAACAGGUUCAUCCUUUGGAAAGUGUCGAAAUACAAAAUAUUGAUGCUGCCACCAUCCAUCAGUACUUUCGACAAGGUAUAACCCCAACUUGGGGAGGCACGACCAACGCUAAGUCGCCGGGAUUGUCAACUCUUGGCGGGUGGUCCUCCCUGCUCCAUGAUAUGGUCUGCUCGGACCAGUGGAGGUAUCUAGGGAGUGCUGGCUCAGAAACAUUGUACGCUCAGUGACUCACCUUUUUAUCGCGCCUCCAAGCAUUGGUGGUGAAAACGUGGUACUGCCCAUUGCUUAACUGCUUGGGAUCGUUGCGGAAGCCGCCAUUAUCAUCAUGCCCCUGCGAAGCCCCAUGCGGGGGUGGUUGUUGAAACGCUCCGGGCGGGUUAUACCGUCGCUGAUGAUGCACCGGAUAUUGGUCGCUGUUCGGCUGCGAGCCACCCUGAGACCCCGGUUCGGGGAAACCGCCGAAGGGGUUCUGACGUUGAUUGGGAGCGCCGAACUGUUCCUGCCGUUGGUCCGGGUCACCGCUUUGCCCCUUUUUGAUCGCCUCCACCCGAAACUCCCGCAUCAUGUAACAGUCCUCCCAGGAAUGAGUCGCCGGUCCGACUACCAUGGCGUGGUGCGGGCAGGGGCCCUUGAGUAACUCAUUAUAGUUGCGCGGCUUUUUACCACUGUAUCCCAUGCUUGUCUUCUGGCGUUGGUUGCCAUUAUUGGUGUUGGUGUUGGCUACUAAGUCCGAAGAUUCUUCCUGUUUCCUUCUCUUCCUAUUCGCUCCCUGAUUGUUGCGGGCGCGUCCCUGGAAACGGGUAUGAUUUUUGGAUGACUCGCCCUUCCUUGGCGAGUUAGCUUUACCAUCCUCGCCGGGAUCUUUGGUGUCGUCCGCCUCAGCAUACCUGGUGAGGGUAUCCAUUAGCUCCCCCAUGUCUUGGACCUUUCGUUUGAGUCGCCCCAACUUUUGCACCAAAGGUUCGUAGUGGCAAUUCUGCUCGAGGAUCAGCACAGCCUGAGCCGCCGUAAUACCGUCUGACGAGUGAAUGAUUUCCACGACCCGCCGCGACCAGUGGUGGGCCGACUCGUCGGGGCGUUGAACGUAGUGUUGUAGAUCGACAAUUGUCAUUGGACGCUUGCAAGUUCCUCGGAAGUUUUUAAUGAAAUGCUCUUUCAAUUCAGCCCAAGUCUGGAUGGAGUUGGGAGGAAAGUUUUUUAACCAAGUACGUGCCGUUCCUUCGAGCAUCAUUGUGAAGUAUCUGGCGCAAAUUGCUUCGUUUACCUCGAGCAUGUCCAGGGCGAUUUCAUAACUCUCGACCCACGACGCUGGCUCAAGGUCCGGAGUGUAGUUAGGCACCUUUCUUGGCCCUUUAAAAUCCUUGGGCAUUCGCUCGUUGCGAAGGGCGAGGGCCAAGCAUGUUACCCCCACUCGUUCGCCGCGCCCGACAAGAGGGGCUGGGGUGACUUGGGUGUCCGGAUGAUCCCGGCCUGGCGGGUCUUGAUGAUCAGGCGAGUUGUCCUGGGGGAUGAGCCGCGGUCCGCUGGUUAUAGUGGGCUGGUCAUCUGGCCGACUCCUGGUGCGGCUUGCCUGGGGAGUGGAAUGCAGCCUGUCUAGGCUAUGUGAGAACUGGGCGUUUUGAACCACUGCCGUCUUCAACAUCUCAAUGGCGUUCCUCGCCUCUAUCUCGGCAGGAGUGUUGCCGUGAAUCGGAAGGGAUUCCAAAUGUCGAGUUGCGGCAAGGACGUUGUCCACCGGGUUGGAAAAGUGAACUUGAGGUGUCCGGAAUCGGGGGACGCGAUCCACAAUUGGCUGGAGCGGCUGGUUAGGUGGCUGGCCCGACCCGCCUGUUCGACACUGCGCGAACUCCCGAGACGGGAGCCGCCCCGGGGGGAGGGCCGGGCCAGCCACCUAACCCGCUGCUCCAGCCAGUUGUGGAUCGCGUCCCCUUAUUUCGGACACCUCAAGGUCACUUUUCCAACCCGGUGGACACCGUCCUUGCCGCAACUCACCAUUUGGAAUCCCUUCCGAUUCACGGCAACACUCCUGCCGAGAUAGAGGCGAGGAACGCCAUUGAGAUGUUGAAGACGGUAGUGGUUAAAAAUGCCCAGUUCUCACAUAGCCUAGAUAGGCUGGAUUCCACUCCCCAGGCAAGCCGCACCAGUAGUCGGCCAGAUGACCAGCCCGCUAUAACCAGCGGACCGCGGCUCAUCCCCGAGGACAACUCGCCUGAUCAUCAAGACCCGCCAGGCCGGGAUCAUCCGGAUACCCAAGUCGCCCCAGCCCCUCUUGUCGGGAGCGGCGGACGAGUGGGGGUGCCAUGCUUGGCCCCCACCCUUCGCAACAAGAGAAUGCCCAAGGAUUUUAAAGGGCCAAGAAAGGUGCCUAACUACACUCCGGACCUUGAGCCAGCGUCGUGGGUCGAGAGUUAUGAAAUCGCCAUGGACAUGCUCGACGUAAAUGAAGCAGUUUGCGCCAGAUACUUCACAAUGAUGCUCGAAGGAACGGCGCGUACUUGGUUAAAAAACUUGCCACCCAACUCCAUCCAGACUUGGGCUGAAUUGAAAGAGCGUUUCAUUAAAAACUUCCGAGGAACUUGCAAGCAUCCAAUGACAAUUGUCGAUCUACAGCACUGCGUUCGACGCCCCGAUGAGUCGGUCCACCACUGGUCGCGGCGGGUCGCUGAAAGGAUCGAUAUGGUUGACUAGAGGGGGGGUGAAUAGGCAACGACCACUUUUUAAUUAAUCUUAGCAAGUUAGAGCAACCAACAUACGGGUUCACGAAUAUAACAACAAUGGGGAGAACCGUAAUGAUGCUAACAACGAGAGCUACUAAGACAAGUAAGAGAAAGACAACAACAUAAGCAUACACAAAGUAAAGGUUAGAGAUAACCACAAGUGGGACCAAUGAAGACGAGGAUGUGUUACCGAAGUUCCUUCCCUUUGACAGGAAGUACGUCUCCGUUGGAGCGGUGUGGAGGCACAAUGCUCCCCAAUAAGCCACUAAGGCCACCGUAUGCUCCUCACGCCCUCGCACGAUGCAAGGUACCGUGAUUCCACUAUAGGUGCCCUUUGAAGGCGGCUACUGAACCUUGACAAACAAGGUUGGGGCAAACUCCACAUAAAGCUUGGAGGCUCCCAACAAGACCACGAAGCUUCACCACAAUGGAAUGUGGCUUCGAGGUGACCUCAACCGUCUAGGAUGCUCAAACACCCAAGAGUAACAAGAUCCGCCAGGGAUUGGUGGGGGAAUCAACUUUUCUCUUGGUGGAAGUGUGGAUCUAGGCCUUCUCAACCAAUCCCUAAAGAAUCAACAAGUUUGAUUGGCUAGGGAGAGAGAUCGGGCACUUUUGAGCUUAGGGAGCAACAAUGGAGCUUGGAGGGUAAGAAAUAGGGUUCCACAGCUAGAAGAACCCUUUAUAUUGUGGGGGAGAAAAUCCAACCGUUUUCCCACUCACAGCCCGUGCCUAGAGGUACUACCGCUGGAUGCAGCGGUACUACCGCUAGCACUCCUGCGGUACUGCCGCUGGCUGCAGCGGUACUACCGCUGGGCCCCUGAUAGUGCAUAAGCACUACCACCGCCAAGAAAGUCUUCGCAAAAAGGUCCGUCCAUCCACAACCGCUAGACAGGCGGUACUAAGCUCCUGGAGCGGUACUACCGCUGACCAGGGGCGGUACUACCGCCAGCUGGCGGUACUACCGCUGGCUGCCGCGGUACUACCGCUAGCACUCCAGCGGUACUACCGCUAGGCCCAGCGGUACUACCGCUGGGGGACCAUUUGCAAAGAAGAAAGAAACACCAAGGCGGGAGCCACUCAGAAGUUGCCGGCAAGGGGGAAAAGAGGUGAAGUGUGCGCGUGCAAGAUUGAUUCCACCCAAACCUUUCCACUACGGUUCCCCUCUUAAUAGUACGGCUUUCCUAUGACUCAAAUAAAGAGAAUCGUAGAGAACACCGUGCUUCUGUUCCAUGAAAGAGGGGGGCGAGUCGUAUUGUGCCGUUGACGUGUGUUAUCUGAAAUCUUAACACACACGGUUAGUCCUUUGCGGUACUGUCAUCAAUCACCAAAAUUACUUUGGCAUAAACUGUGCCCCAACAAUCUCCCCCUUUUUGGUGGGUUGUUGACAAUACCGGAUUUGCACAGAGAAUAAUAUGAGAACAAAAAGAUAGAGAUAUAUGAAAAUAAGGAGCAUAUGACUCACACCAUAUGAUGGAAAUAAAUCUCACACAAGUUCAUAUCUCACGAAAGAUAGCAAAAUAGAAGCAAACCAAGUUCGAAGCAAAACACGAAAGAUAAGCAAAGCUAAGCAAAGUUCAACACUCAAAGCAAAUCCAGCUCCUAGACUCUCUCCCCCUUUGGCACAAGACACCAAAAAGGGGCACACCUAACGCCACAGGUGGUUACUCCUCAUCCUCAUCAUCGCCAGACUCGUCCGUAGCAUCCGGAUCGUCCUGCUCCUCUUCAUUGUCCUCUUCCUCCUCAGCGCCAGACCACUGGUAACCUUGAGCCUGCAUCCAAGCAGCCUCUGGAGUGAUGUCGUCCUCUGAUCCGCUGGAGAUGUCAACAUCAAGUGUCCUCAGGACACGCUUGUGCCUCUGACGGUUCUCCUUCUGAGCCACGUGCGUCUGAUACUGGCCCUUAGCCUGCAUACAGAAGAGAGUCUUCAUCUUAUCCUAUAGUUUCAUGGCCCAAGAUGGCAUGGCAGAAGAGCGGGACCGAGAAGCGGUUCCUUUGUCAGCAGCAGUCUCUGUGUCAGUGUCCAUGUGCUGAGAUGAAGUGGAUGGGUUGGCCCAUUUGUCCUUGACGCGAAGCUUGACAGGAUCGUGCACAAAGUAGUCAGCCUGAAUGUAUAACUCCUCCUGCGGAUAGGUGUCUUGCCACUUCUAACGGAUAUAAGCAAACAGGUAGGGCCCGUAGAUGGGAACCUUGCGCAUCAUGGUGCAGUUCGAGAGCUCAGUGGACAUCACAUCAGAAAUAUCAAGAGGGGCAGACUCCUUAGUCAUACCCUCCUCACAGAGCAGUAGCAUCUCAGCCAAAGAGCCAUGUACCUCAUCGAAGUUGCCAAUGCGAGGAAAGAGGGUGUUGCGGAAGAUCCGAUGCAUGAUGUUCAGAUGCCUGGGGAGCACACCUUUCUUCACAUAGAGUUGCUGCAAUCUGUCCUUGGCGGAGGCCCUAUCAGUGGGAGCUGCAGCAUGAGGACACGACCCAAGUGGAGUGUUAGCUCCCUGGAAAUCAACCUUGAGGAAUGCCAUGAAUUCGCGCCAAGAACCGGUCAUCUUCUGAGUCCCAGUCAUCCACACUAGGGAGCGCUCGUCAUCAAGUGAGAAGUGAACCGUGACAUAGAACUGGGCAACAACAUUGGGGUCAAAGUCUGUCUUGAAGGAGAUGAUCUCCUUAAUGCCGAGCUUGUCAAUCAGAGAGAGAGCAUCACCAAAGUAGUCCAUGUUCCGCUGAAGGUGAGCCAGGUCAAUCAACUGAACGGGGACAAAGCUCUUCUUGAAAUGGUUGAUGGUAUCACGGUAGAUCCUGCAGUGAUCCUUUGCCCAAACGUGCUCGACAUUCUUGAUCACAGCCCUCUCUUGGAGACAGUGGUUUUGGUUGCAAAACCUUAGAAAAUCCUUAGGGGGCAUGGUGCGAACAUUGACCGCCUUGUCCUUGUGAGCGGUCUUCUUGAAGGCCUGCUUUUUGGGUUGAGACCUGAAGUGGCGGAGCCCUCUAGAGCCUCUGCGUUGAGAUAAUUCUUUGACUGUGUGUCUUGUGGGGGGUUCGAGCGGCGAGCACCACCUUUGACACAAAACACACACCGAAAAAGAGCGACAAAAGGAGUCAAGGAAAUGAACAAGAAAAGGCAGAAAAGAAAACACACAUUGCCAAGCAAAUGAAAGAAUACACACAGAAUCCUCCUGGCAGUAGUACCGCUACCCCUGGCGGUAGUACUGCUGGGGUCAGAGCGGUAGUACCGCUGCCCCUGGCGGUAGUACCGCUGCCCCUGGCGGUAGUAUCGCUGGGGUUUGAUUUUUCAGAUCUGAAUAUGAAGAGAGCCCAUAGAGAUGGCCACAAGGAUUUUCCGAGGGCUACGGGCUGUGUAUAAUCACUAAGAACUCCACCACAGCCCUAACCGCAUGAGGAUCAAAAGUACCAUCUAAAGAAGGACAUGCCUAGUCAAGAGAGUGCAAGUUUUAGAUCUAAUCCAAACAUAGUCCAAGAUCUUGGUCUAAAACAUGUAAAUCCUAGGGCAUGGCAAUAUAAAAGCAAAGAUUCAUAGGACCUACACUCCCCUCGAAUACCUCCUUCAUGCCAUCCAAGAACAAAGCACGAUAUCAAAGACAUGGAUCCAAACCACCAAUGGUCCUAACCCUAGAACAAGAACAUCAACCAAGAGAAGAAGAGGAGGAGCUUUACCGGGGUCCAUGGCACUUGGAGGAGGAAGGAGAAGUGGAGCAAACCCCCCAACUCAACGGAGAGAAGGAGCUGCACGGAUAGAGAUCCAAAUAGGGGGAGUUCGGGGUUGGGGAGGGUGGAGCCGCGAGGGAGAAGAAAGAGGUAGGAAAAAAUGGGCUCCCCCUCCUUUAUAUAGCCCAAGGGGUACGGGCCAGUGGUAGUACCGCUGUGGUCCUGGCGGUAGUACCGCUGGCUGCAGCGGUAGUACGGCUGGGGUCCUCGCGGUAGUACCGCUACCCCUGGUGGUAGUACGUCUGGGGUCCUGGCGGUAGUACCGCUACCCCUCGCGGUAGUACCGCUGCAAAUGUCACAACGGGGCCUAGGAGAUGAGAAGAACGUGGGCAAAUGACAAGUAGUGAAAAUAAGAAGAUAGCACCAGCAAGAUAUACUGACUUGUCAUUUUGUAUCCUUUCUUGCAUAUGAGAGAAAGGUGGGGGCGGUGGCCGAGGCCACCUAUGUUUGAGACAAAGGUAUGACACCGCGAAGAAUUAUCCUUGGGUUCAUGACCAACGCUCGUCUUUGAAGCACAAGUGCCAUUUGGUAAUGGCUAAAGUGAAAGACUAGAUCAAUUUAUGCAUAAUGGGCGGAGGAAGAGUUCAUUGAGAGAACAACACUCCCCCUAUGUCCAUGCCUACAUCUAGAACGAGAUAAAAUGCAUAGUAAGGUGCAACGUGCCUAGCUUCAAUCCACAUUACUUGAAUCAAUGAUAUUUAGCUCAUGCCUUAACUCCCGGAACCUUGCUUCAUCUAGGGGCUUAGUGAAGAUAUCUGUAAGUUGCUCUUCAGUCUGGAUGAAGUGGACCUCAAUAUCACCUAGCUUGAUAUGUUCACGAAUGAAGUGAUGGUGAAUAUCAAUAUGCUUGGUUUUGCUAUGUUGCACUGGGUUGAGGGAAAUCUUGAUAGCACUUUGAUUGUCACAUAGAAGAGGCACUUUGUCACAAGUGACACCGUAAUCCUUUAAAGUUUGCCUCUUCCAUAGCAAUUGUGCAUAACAACUUGCAGCUGCCACAUACUCAGCUUCGGUGGAUGAUAGAGAGACGCAAUUCUGCUUCUUUGGAGACCAACUUACCAGUGACCGACCAAGGAAUUGGCAUCCUCCAGACGUUGACUUCCUCUCCACACAAUCUCCUGCCCAAUCUGAGUCAGAAUAGCCAACUAGGUUGAAGUUUGCUCCUUUGGGAUACCAUAGGCCAAAGUUUGGGGUAUGAGCCAAAUAUCGAAAGAUUCGCUUAACAGCCAUAUAAUGACUUUCUUUUCGUCCGGAUUGAAACCGUGCACAUAUCCCUACACUCAACAUAAUAUCCGGUCUAGAUGCACAAAGGUAAAGGAGGUAUCCAAUCAUGGAGCGAUAUACCUUUUGAUCCACUGCUUUACCAUUGGGAUCACUGUCAAGCUUUCAUCUUGUUGGCAUGGGGAACUUGACCAGUUUGACAUCUUCAAGCUCGAACCGUUUGAGCAUGUAUUGAGUGUACUUGGCUUGUUUGAUGAAGGUCCCUUCUAGGCCUUGUUUAAUCUCGAACCCGAGGAAGAACUUCAACUCUCCCAUCAUGGACAUCUCAAAUUUCUCAGUCAUUAGUGCAACAAAUUCUUCAUUGAAGGAAAUGUUAGGAGAGCCAAAGAUAAUAUCAUCAACAUAUAGUUGGCAUAUGAACAAAUCCCCUUUAACCCUCUUAGUAAAAAGAGUGGGAUCUAUCUUCCCAAUUUCAAACCCACGAUCUUGUAACAGCUCAGUAAGAUACUCAUACCACGCACGUGGGGCUUGUUUAAGGCCAUAGAGUGCCUUCUUAAGUUUGUACACAUGAUUGGGGAGCUUGGGAUGUUCGAAUCCCGGGGGUUGUUUGACAUAGACCAACUCAUUUAAAGGACCAUUAAGAAAGGCACUUUUCACAUCCAUUUGUUGUAAUUUGAAGUUAUGAUGAGAAGCAAAUGCAAGCAACAUGCGAAUAGAUUCUAGACGAGCCACAGGGGCAAAGGUUUCACCGUAGUCGAUACCCUCGACUUGGGAGCAGCCUUGAGCCACCAAUCUUGCCUUGUUUCGAAUCACAAUCCCAUUGGCAUCUUGCUCGUUCUUGAAUAUCCAUUUGGUCCCGAUGACAUUAUGUUCCUCCGUUGGCCUUGGUACUAAAUCCCAGACGUGGUUACGCUCGAAGUUGUUAAGUUCUUCAUGCAUGGCCAUAAGCCAAUCCUCAUCAUCGAGCGCUUCCUGUACCUGCUGAGGUUCACAAUACGAAACAAACGCGUGAUGCUGACAAUAAUUCCAAAUCUGUUGAUGGGUGGAUACUCCCCUUUUUAAGCUGCCAAGUACAUUCUUCAUAAGAUGUGACUUGACUCUCAGCUUGUUCUCAAUCUUGGCUUCUCGACGCUCCAAGAGCUCAUCAUUGGAUAACUGGGGAGCAUCGACUUGUUUACUUUGCUUGCCCUUGCGUCUUGAGCCUCCCUUGGCACCGGCUGUUGGUGCUGCAGAAGGGAAUUGUGAGACAGUAUCCUGAGCAUCUUGACUUUCGACUUGAGCAGGUUCACUUGUUUGUUCUUGUAAUUGUGGUUGCUCUUGAUCUUGAUCUUGUGCUUCUACUUGGUCUGGAUCUCGCGGUUGCACUUGAUCUUGAUCAUGAGCAGGUUCGGAGCCUUGGGUGAGCGCUUGAAUAUCAUGGGACACAUCAUCAUUGUUGGGCAAUUUAUCUUGACCUUGAGCUUGUUCAUUUUGUUGAGAGUCUUCUCUUUGUUCAUCGGAAGCGUGUGGGGCUUGUGGAGGUGAUGGCUCCAUUCGAGUAGAGCAUUGUCCUUCUCCUUCGGCCACAAGGGGUUCCUCAAUGGGGAGUAUUUGACCAAUCCCCAUUCUUCUUAUGGCUUGGGGAGGAAUUUCAUCACAUACAUCACAAACACCCCUUUGCUCCACUUGGGAGCCAUUAUUUUCAUCAAACUCCAUGUUACACGUCUCCUCAAUGAGUCCGGUGGACUUGUUGAGGACACGGUAAGCAUGAGAGUUUGUAGCAUAACCAACAAAGAUGCCCUCAUGUGCUCUAGAAUCAAAUUUAGCUAAACGUGCACCUUUCUUGAGAAUGAAACACUUACAACCGAAUACCCGGAAGUAUUUGAGAUUGGGUUUAUUCCAGUUAGAAUCUCAUAAGGAGUCUUGUUCAAGCCUUUGCGGAUAUAGAGCCGAUUGGAUGCAUGACAUGCUGUGUUGAUGGCCUCUGCCCAAAAGUUAUAUGGAGAUUUGAAUUCCGCCAUCAUUGUUCUUGCAGCGUCUAUCAAGGUCCGGUUCUUCCUUUCUGCCACGCCGUUUUGUUGAGGGGUGUAUGGUGCUGAAUAUUGAUGUUUUAUUCCCUCAUCACCUAGAAACUCAUCCAAGGUGUAGUUCUUGAACUCGGUGCCGUUGUGACUUCUAAUCAUCAAGAUCUUUGCUUCAUGUUGACGUUGAGCUUCAUUGGCAAAGUUGAUGACAAUUUGUUGAGUUUCACUCUUCCUUUUGAAGAAAUAUACCCAGGUGUAUCUUGAGUAGUCGUCAGCAAUCACCAAGCAGUACUUUCUGCCUCCAAAACUAUCAAAUGAUGGAGGGCCAAACAGAUCCAUAUGGAGGAGCUCCAAUUGCCUCUUAGUGUAGAUGAGAGUCAUUGGACGAUGAGCAGUUUCAUGAAUCUUUCCUUUAAUGCAGGCACUGCAAACACGAUCUUUGGAAAAACUCACAUUUGUUAGUCCACGAAUAUGGUCCCCUGUUAGAAGACUUUGCAAAGAUCUCAUAUUGACAUGAGCUAAACGGCGAUGCCAAAGCCAGCCCACAUCAACUUUAGCCAUUAAACUCGUCGCGGUCUUAGUGGGUCGCUUUGAGAAGUUCACCACAUAAAGACCAUUUUCGACAUAUUCAACAUAGGCUACUUUAAGAGUCUUGCUCCAUAGGAGGACCACAGUAUCAAGAUUAAAGAAUGUGGAAAAACCCAUAAUUGCAAGUUGACGAACUGAAAGUAAAUUGUAGGCAAGUGACUCAACAAGCAUGACCUUCUCAAUAGAUAACUCUUGAGAGACGACCACCUUACCAAAUCCCAAUACCUUUGACGAGGAUGCAUCGGCAAAUUGGACAUGGGUGGGCAUAGAUGGAGAAGGAUGCACAUCCACCACUAAGUCCUUGCUUCCGGUCAUAUGAUUUGUUGCUCCAGUAUCGAGCAACCAUGACACCCCACCGGAAGCAAACUCCUGCAAUAGAUCAAGGCUUGGUUUUAGGUACCCAUUUUUAAUGGGUCCUUUCAUGUUAGAGACAAGGGUCUUAGGAACCCAGAUAGCCCAUUCAAUGUACUCAUCGUAGGAACCAACAAAUCUGGCAUAAACAUGAACAUCACUAGCACGACAUAAGACAUAAGAAGAAUUGAGUUUGUCGGCUGUGUUAGUAGGAAUGGUUUUGCCCUUCUUGAGGUUGCCAUAGUCCACCAUGUUCAUGUUCACCUUCUGAGUCCCCUCACCCUCUUUGACAAAGAUGUCCAUGAGGGUAGGAGAUCGUUUGUUCCUGUUCCUCCUUUUACCUUUUGACUUGGAGGUAAGUCCAAGUCCUUCCUUUCUUACAACACCUUUGUGAGUGCUCAAGAGAUCGUUCAGGCUCUUCUCACCUUGUAUGCAUGCCACAAGGCCCUUCUCAAGUUUCUCCUUUAACUUGGCAUUUUCCUCCACAAGAUGUACAUGCUCACAACAGGGAUUAGUUGCACAAGCAUUAUCAAUUAACACAAAGGGAGGACAAGUAGAGAUCUCCUUGGUAAGCUUUGCUUGGAGUUGAUCAUGAGACUCUUUCAGAGAGAAAUGUACACCUUUCAAGACCUUGUGGGCCUUGUCAAGUGUGUCAAACUCCACUUUGAGUCUGUCAUGGCCAACCCCAAGAGCAUACUUUUCAGACUUAAGCAUAUGAGUAAGAACAACAUCAUGAUCUAGUUUAUUUUGCAUUUUAGUGCAGUCAUCGUUAUAUGACUCCUCAAGAGCCAACCGAAGAGUGCGCUCAUUUUCUAGAGCAAUAGAUAAUUCAGCAAUUUCAUCGGCAUAGUCAUGACUGUGUCCCUGAAGCUCGGAGAUGGUCUCCUCAUGAGACUCAAUGAGGUCAUUGGCCUCACCCAGUUGUUCCGAGAGAGCAACAAAGUGCUUCUUGGAUUCUCCCUUAAUAGUGCACAGAAACUUGUCAAGAUCAUGCUCAUUAAGUUCCCCAACAUCACUAUCAUCAACACAAUUUAACAAUGAAGGAGCAGUAGCGAUGUUGGUCUUAAUGAUGGGAGUUACCUGAUUGAUACCUUUUGCCAUGAGGCACUUGGUGAUGUGGUUCUCGUUGGGGGCGUUGAAGAGAGACACCUUCUGGGGAGAUGUAGUGGCAAUAGCAACAGUUGCCGUUGCCACUGCAUCAUCAUCAUCAUCAUCGCAAGGGUACUCUUCAAGGGCCACCAUCCCUUUUGGGUGAGGUUUCUUCACAAAGUUGUUCUUGAUUGGAAAUGAUUUGGUUUUGUAUUUGCGAAUGAGCUUGCCCCCGUUGUCUUCCCUUUUCUCAUAGGGACAUUCGGCCACGAAGUGGCUCACGUUACCACAGUUAUAACAUGUCCUCACUCGUUGCUUGGGUAUGAAUCCACUCGAGUUGUUCUUGGUGAAGGUGGGUCUUGAGUUCCUCUUGUUGCCCCAGAAUUGCCUUGACGCAAGAGCCAUGUGCUCAUGAUAGGCAUACUUUGUGUCUUCAGGGCAGCUCUCCUCUUCUUCAUCCUCUUCUUCUUCUUCAAACAUUGCUUUUGCUUUUAACGCAAGGUUGGGUGAAGUUGUCUUUGAGCGAACGCGAGCAAGUGCAUCGUCGGCUGUUUCGUUCAUGAUUGACAUUGCAAUAAAUUCAUCCAACACCUCACUGGAAGACAAGGAGUGGAAGUCUGGCCACUGACGAAUGACAGAUGACAUGGCUUUGUUGAAAGGCAUGAUGGCUUUGAGAAACUUGCGCUUGACCCAUGUAUCAUCCACAUCCUUGCUCCCAUGAUCCUUGAGUGCCACAACAAUAGUAGUCACCCUCCGAUAGAGAUCACGAGGGUCCUCGUCUUCCUUCAUCACAAACUCAUCGGCCUUAUCAAGUAUCAAUUCAUAGUUGGAUCUUUGAAUGCUUGAGCUUCCCUUGUACAACACCAUAAUAUGCUCCCAACAAUCCUUGGCCAAAGUGAAGGGACGCAAGUGAGGAAGAUCUUCAGGUUGCACUGCAGACUGGAGAAUAAACAAGGCGGAGUGAUUGUAUUGAUUGUCUCCAUCUUCUCUUGGAUUGAGGUUGCUUGGAUCAUGGGGAUAAUAUCCUUGCUCAAUGAUUCUCCACAAGUUUGUGGAGCUGUGAUUCAAAUGAGACUUAAUAGAAAAUACCCAGUUAGCAAAGUCACCUUUCACAAGCUUAGGAGGAGGACCAACAGGAUUAAGACGCGGUGUGGGAGCGGGUCCUCCAUAGACCAUGGGGGGUGGAACAGAGGCAUAUGUUCCAGUCCCAUCCUUUUCGUGAGAUGAGGAAGGUCGCAUACCUUUAGCCCCUUCCUUAGAGGAAUUGGCCUCCAAAUCGGUGAUGGUGGGUUUAACCACUAACGCCUGUUCGGGUGGACUUUUAAAUCCCUCAAUUAACUCUUUAAGCAUGGUCUUGACUUCGUUCGUCAAGGACGUCUUGAGGGCAUCCAUAGCCAUUUUCAAGUCGUCCCUUGUGACCGAAGUCAAGUCCAUGGCCUCGGGUUGCCCAUGGUUAAUUCCCUCUUCGCCUUCCAUACUCUUCGGGUGGUGAAACCCUCAAUAAAGAGACGUGGCUCUGAUACCAAUUGAAAGGAUCGAUAUGGUUUACUAGAGGGGGGUGAAUAGGCAACGACCACUUUUUAAUUAAUCUUAGCAAGUUAGGGCAAACAACAUACGGGUUCACGAAUAUAACAACAAUGGGGUGAACCGUAAUGAUGCUAACAACGAGAGCUACUAAGACAAGUAAGAGAAAGACAACAACAUAAGAAUACACAAAGUAAAGGUUAGAGAUAACCACAAGUGGGACCAACGAAGACGAGGAUGUGUUACCGAAGUUCCUUCCCUUUGACAGGAAGUACGUCUCCGUUGGAGCGGUGUGGAGGCACAAUGCUCCCCAAUAAGCCACUAAGGCCACCGUAUUCUCCUCACGCCCUCGCACGAUGCAAGGUACCGUGAUUCCACUAUAGGUGCACUUUGAAGGCGGCGACCGAACCUUUACAAACAAGGUUGGGGCAAACUCCACAAAAAGCUUGGAGGCUCCCAACAAGACCACGAAGCUUCACCACAAUGGAAUGUGGCUUCGAGGUGACCUCAAUCGUCUAGGAUGCUCAAACACCCAAGAGUAACAAGAUCCACAAGGGAUUGGUGGGGGAAUCAACUUUUCUCUUGGUGGAAGUGUGGAUCUAGGCCUUCUCAACCAAUUCCUAAAGAAUAAACAAGUUUGAUUGGCUAGGGAGAGAGAUCGGGCACUUUUGAGCUUAGGGAGCAACAAUGGAGCUUGGGAGGGUAAGAGAUAUGGUUCUACAGCUAGAAGAACCCUUUAUAUAGUUGCGAAGAUAAUCCAACCUUUUCCCACUCACAGCCUGUGCCUAGCGGUACUACCGUUGGAUGCAGCGGUACUACCGCUAGCACUCCAGCGGUACUACCGCUGGCUGAAGUGGUACUACCGCUGGCUACAGUGGUACUACCGCUGGCACUCCUGCGGUACUACCGCUGGCUGCAGCGGUACUACCGUUGGGCCCCUGAUAGUGCAUAAGCACUACCACCGCGAAGAAAGUCUUCGCGAAAAGGUCCGUCCAUGCACAACCGCUAGGCAGGCGGUACUAAGCUCCUGGAGCGGUAAUACCGCUGACCAGGGCGGUACUACCGCCAGCUAGCGGUACUACCGCUAGGCCCAGCGGUACUACCGCUGGGGGACCAUUUGCAAAGAAGAAAGAAACACCAAGGCGGGAGCCACUCCAAAGUUGCCGGCAAGGGGGAAAGGAGGUGAAGUGUGCGCGUGCAAGAUUGAUUCCACCCAAACCUUUCCACUACGGCUCCCCUCUUAAUAGUACGACUUUUCUAUGACUCAAAUAAAGAGAAUCGUAGAGAACGUCGUGGUUCUGUUCCACGAAAGAGGGGGGCGAGUCGUCUUGUGCUGUUGACGUGUGUUAUCUGAUAUCUUAACACACACGGUUAGUCCUUUGCGGUACUGUCAUCAAUCACCAAAAUUACUUAGGCAUAAACUGUGCCCCAACAGUCGCGGAAAUAAUUCACUCGUCGGACGGUAUUACGGCCGCUAAAGUUGUGCUGAUCCUCGAGCAGAAUUGCCACUACGAACCUUUGGUGCAAAAGUUGGGGGGACUCAAACGAAAGGUCCAAGACAUGGGGGAGCUAAUGGAUACCCUCAACAGGUACGCUGAGGCGGACGACACCAAAGAUCCCGGCAAGGAUGGUAAAGCUAACUCACCAAGGAAGGGCGAGUCAUCCAAAAAUCAUACCCGUUUCAAGGGACGCGCCGGCCACGAUCAGGGAGCGAGAAGCAAGAGAAGGCAGCAGGAAGAAUCUUCGGACUUAGUCGCCAACACCAACACCAAUAAUGGCAACCAACGCCCGAAGAAAAGCAGAGGAUACAGUGGUAAAAAGCCGCGCAACUAUAAUGAGUUACUCAAGGGCCCCUGCCCGCACCACGCCAUGGCAGACGGACCGGCGACUCAUUCCUGGGAGGACUGUUACGUGAUGCGGGAGUUUCGGGUGGAGGCGAUCAAAAAGGGGCAAAGCGGUGACCCGGACCAACGGCAGGAACAGUUCGGCGUGCCCAAUCAACGUCAGAACCCCUUCGGCGGUUUCCCUGAACCGGGGGCUCAGGGUGGCCCGCAGCCGAACAGCGGCUAAUAUCCAGUGCAUCACCAGCGACGGUAUAACCCGCCCGGAGCGUUUCAACAACCACCCCCGCAUGGGGCUUCGCAGGGGCAUGAUGAUAAUGGCGGCUUCCGCAACGAUCCCAAGCAGUUAAGCAAUGGGCAGUACCACGUUUUCACCACCAAUGCUUGUAGGCGCAAUAAAAAGGUGAGUCACCGAGCGUAUAGUGUUUCUGAGCCGGUACUGCCUAGAUACCUCCACUGAUCCGUGCAGACCAUAUCAUGGAGCAGGGAGGACCACCCGCCAAGAGUUGACAAUCUCGGCGACUUAGCGUUGGUCGUGGCUCCCCAAGUUGGGGGGUAUACCUUGUCGAAAGUACUGAUGGAUGGUGGCAGCAGCAUCAAUAUUUUGUAUUUCGACACUUUCCAAAGGAUGAACCUUUUGGAAAAAGAUUUGAUGCCUUCAUCCACGGUAUUCCACGGAAUCGUCCCAGGCAAAUCGGCGUACCCCAUAGGCCGAGUCAAGCUCACAGUUGCAUUUGGAACAUCAUCUAAUUACAGGAGUGAGUCGCUGAUGUUUGAGGUGGUCAAAUUAAAAAGGCCCUAGCAUGCGCUGUUUGGGCGGCCGGCUUACGCCCGGUUCAUGGCUCGUCCAUGCUAUGUUUACCUUAAACUCAAGAUGCCUGGUCCUUAAGGACCCGUCACGGUUGAUGGUGAUAGAAGGAUUGCAAGAGAGUGUGAAGAAGGGGACGCGGCUUACGCGGAAGUCGCGUGCGCUGCGGAGGAGCUCAAAUAUCAUCAGGCCAAUGUUGACUCGGCUGAUAUGUCACCCUUAAAAAAGCCAACGACAGAUGUUGAGCCGCAACUCAAGUUCCAACCAACGGAUGACACUGAAACGGUUGAUUUCGUCCCUGGCGACUCAACCAAGCAGUUCACUAUUGGGACGGGUCUGGAUCCCAAAUAGGAAAGCACGCUCAUGGGAUUCAUCCGUGAGAAUCGGGACAUCUUCGAUGGAAACCUUCUGACAUGCCUGGUGUGCCGAGACAAUUCGCUGAGCACCAUCUUAAUGUUGACCCAAAGGCAAAACCCAUCCAGCAAUAUCUUCGUAGGUUUAACGAGGAACGACGCAAGGCAAUCGGGGAAGAGGUUGCCCGUCUCUUGGCCGCCGGAUUAAUCGUAGAGGUUUUCCACCCCAAAUGGUUGGCUAACCCGGUCUUAGUGCUCAAGAAGAAUGCUACCUUCCAUAUGUGCAUUGAUUACACGGACCUCAACAGAGCUUGUCCAAAAGAUCCUUUCACUCUUCCCCGCAUCGACCAGAUUAUUGAUUCGGUGGCGGGAUGCGAACGUUUGUGCUUCUUGGACGCUUACUCUGGAUAUCACCAAAUCAAGAUGGUCGCGGGGGAUCAAGAGAAAACAGCUUUUAUAACCCCCUUUGGUGCUUUUUGCUAUGUGUCCAUGCCAUUUGGACUCAAGAGUGCAGGGGCGACUUAUCAGCGCUGCAUCCAGAAUUGCCUCCGUGGCCAAAUCGGAUGCAACGUCCACGCCUAUGUUGAUGACAUUGUGAUUAAAACCCGCCAGGGGGAGACGCUAUUGGAAGAUCUCAAGGAAACUUUUGAUAAUCUGCGGGUAUAUCUGAUGAAGCUAAAUCCCACCAAGUGUGUUUUUGGUGUUCCUGCAGGAGAAUUGUUGGGCUUCCUUGUGUCUGAGCGCGGCAUCGAAGCUAACCCGGACAAAAUCGAAGCAGUUACUUCCCUUGGGAAGCCAGCAAAUGUUAACCAAGUCCAACGGAUGGCAGGUCGCAUUGCGGUCUUAAGUCGCUUCAUAAGCCGCCUGGGAGAAAAGGUGAUUCCCCUUUAUCAAUUGCUAAAGAAAUCUGACCAUUUUGUUUGGACAGAUGAAGCUGAUGAAGCUUUCGAAGCCUUGAAACGGCAACUGGUCAACCCGCCGGUCUUGGCCGCCCCGACUGAGAAAGAGCCCAUGCUUUUAUAUAUUGCGGCAAACUCCAAAGCAGUAAGUGUGUCGGUGGUCGUUGAAAGGAAGGAGGAAGGAAAGGAAUACCCUGUGCAGCGCCCGGUGUAUUUUAUCAGCGAAGUGCUAACUCUUUCCAAACAACGAUACCCACAUUGGCAGAAAUUAGUGUAUGGGGUGUUUAUGGCGAGCCGAAAGCUUAAACAUUAUUUUCAAGAACAUCCCAUCACGGUGGUUAGUUCCGCCCCCCUCGGGGACAUCAUGCAGAAUCGGGAGGCAACGGGGUGGAUUGCCAAGUGGGCGAUUGAACUUGGGCCGCAUCACAUACGAUACACCCCUCGCACGGCCAUCAAAUCUCAAGCCUUGGUUGAUUUCGCCAAUGAUUGGACCGAGUUACAGGCCCCGGAAGACAGGCCUGAUCUUACAUACUGGACUAUUUAUUUUGAUGGAUCCAGACAGUUGGAAGGCUCGGCGGCUGGCGUGGUACUGGUAUCUCCUCAAGGAGACAAAUUCUGUUAUGUCCUCCGACUCAUGUUUCCAUGCACCAAAAAUGCUACAGAAUACGAAGCUUUACUUCACGGCUUGCGACUCGCCAAGGAGAUGAACCUUACGCGGGUCAGAUGUUUUGGCGACUCUGAUCUGGUGGCUCAGCAAGUUUCAGGCACUUGGGACUCUUGAGACCCCGUGAUGGCGGCUUACAGGAGGGCUGUGUCCGAUGUGGCGGGUCAUUUCCAUGGCUAUUAGGUUGAUCACAUUGACCGACGCCUUAACGAGGCGGCUGAUGCCCUUUUGUGUCUCGGUUCCCAGUGAAAGCCGGUUCCCCCCAAUGUUUUUCUGGAUACUUUGCAUAAUCCCUCCGUGAGUUUGACAUCAGAGGAGGAGUUGGUGAUACCGGACCCUGAGUCCCAGUUCGUGGUGGCUCUCCACGUUACGCCGGAUUGGGUUCUUCCCUAUCUGGCCUAUCUCGCCCAAGGCGAGUUACCUACAGAUGAAGUUUUGGCCCGCCAAAUUGUUCGGCGAAGCAUAUUCAUGGUGAUCAACAACGGCGAAUUAUAUAAUCGUAGUACCUCCGGGGUUUUUCAAUGAUGUGUUUCCUCCGAAGAAGGGUGCAUAAUUCUAAAUGAGAUUCAUUCCGGAGAUUGUGGGCAUCACGCCGGGUCACGUUCUUUGGUUUCAAAGGCGUUCCGUCAUGGUUUCUUUUGGUUGACGGCUCAUGCAGAUGCAGAGGAGAUAGUUCAUUGAUGUGAUGGAUGCCAGCGUUAGGGGCGACAGGCUCAUGUGUCGGCUCAAGAACUAAGGAUGAUUCCCAUCACUUGGCCUUUCGCAGUUUGGGGGUUAGACAUGGUUGGCCCCUUUAAGAUGUCAUCCAACAAGAAAACCCAUUUGCUGGUGGCAGUUGAUAAAUUCACCAAGUGGGUUGAGGCAGAGCCUGUUGGAGUUUGCGAUGCGGAGACGACGGUCAAAUUCUUGAAAAAAUUGAUCUUCCGGUUUGGAUAUCCGCACAGUAUCAUUACUGACAAUGGCACUAAUCUGUCUCAAGGGGCGAUGCAGGAGUUUUGCCGUCGGGAGCACAUCCGGCUUGAUGUUUCUGCGGUUGCUCACCCACAAUCUAAUGGACAGGCGGAGUGGGUGAACCAGGAAGUUUUACGGGAAAUCAAGCCCCGACUCAUGGUUCCCUUGGAAAGAACCCCGGGGUGUUGGGUUGAGGAGUUGCCUUCGGUGCUAUGGAGCAUCCGGACCACCCCGAACCGGUCCACGGGUUUUACCCCUUUCUUUCUGGUCUAUGGAGCAGAAGUUGUUCUUCCCACUGACAUAAGGCAUGACUCACCUAGAGUCGCCGCUUAUGUGGAACAGGACAACGAACUGGCGCGUCAAGACUCUUUGGAUGCCUUAGAGGAGGCACGUGAUUUGGCUGCAGCCCGAUCGGCCAUUUAUCAGCAGGACUUACGGCGUUAUCACAGCCGUCGGGUCAAGAGACGAACCUUUCAGGAAGGCGACUUAGUGCUUCGGCUGAUACAAGAUCGUGCUGGCAUGCAUAAGUUAUCACCACCAUGGGAAGGACCGUUCGUCGUCAGCAAAAAUCUUCACAACGGGUCUUACUAUCUGGUGGAUCUCCGGCCUAACUGGCCAACCACGGAGGUUGAGUUGACUCGCCCCUGGAAUAUUGCCCACUUGCGGCCUUAUUACACUUGAGCUCUUAAGCUCUACAUUUUGUAAGUUUUUCAUUUCUUAUAAAGCAAUAAAAUUAAACGCCUCCCGACUUGGGGGCUUCCUCUCACUGAGAUCAGCUUUAUUACCCAUUUGGCCUGCGAAAAAUUACUGCGUUACAAGUGGUUAUACUCGACUGUGUGUUGGCCGAAUCGCCAUAUGGACUCAUGAACUCUUGGCGAGUUAUUCCGCUAAUGGACCAUGAACAUGCUUUGGUUAAAACAUGUCUGGUACCGGCAAGCGCCUCACAUGGAAAAUAGAGAAACCAUUGGUUCAUUGUACCCGCUUGACUCAAGCUUGACUUGUGCCUGAUCAGCCGGUCUAAAUACUUGGGCUUUUGAUACAAAAGUCUCCUUUGGGUGGCGCUUGAGCUUGUUUAACUCGCCAUAUCCUGUCGCGACCUUAUGAGCCGACGAAAUUGUUAUUUUUUUACCUCCCUUGGCUGGUGCUUGAGCUUGUUUAACUCGCCCUAUCCUGUCGCAACCUUAUGAGCCGACGAUAUUAUUAUUUUGGGUGGCGCUUGAGCUUGUUUGACUCGCCCUAUCCUGUCGCGACCUUAUGAGCCGAUGAAAUUGCUAUUUUUUACCUCCCUGGCAUUGCCACAAGGUUUUUUAGACUUUUUUUUCCUGACUCGCCUCAAAAUAUCUUGGGGCGAUUGCUAUUUGUUAUCACCUAUUACUCACUGAGAUGGUUUGAUAUAUGUUUUCAAGUUUAGAACAGGUUGAUGAUCAUAAUCACUCUAGCCAUGGCGGAUCAAGCAUCAUAACAACGCCUCAAUGGAGGAUCAAGUAUUAUGAUAAAAGCCUCAAACGGCAGAUCAAGUAUUUCAAAACGCCUUAAAGGCGACAUAAGGGUUUUUAAGAUAUCACAGAAGCAGUUUUCAUUCCUAAAGAGACCUAUUACAUGCCUCUCAUGGCCAAAUCAAUGAGGUGUUAUUCUGCUGAUGCCCUUGGCUCAGCUUGCUGCGAGCUUUGGCCAACUUCAAUUUGCAACUCGCCCAGUACCCAGUUACAUUUGGAUAAUGCGGCGAACUCAUCUUCAUCGCUCAGAACUGAUGAGAGAUCUGCGUCCAAGUCAAAAGGAUUCUUGGGUCGAUGCGGAGUUAAGCUGGUCAUCACAAAGGUUGGCGGGUUAACCUUCUUGUUUUUGUUGUCGUAGGCGGCUUGGUAUUUUGAUAAAUCUAGGCUAGCAGCAAGCUGAGUCGCCGCCAAACGGGAGUCCUUGACAACACGUUGAUAGUCCUCUUCAGCGAAUUCUGACCCAUCAUCCUUGAGUUGAGGAAAGUCCGCCGCUACUUCUUCUGGGUUUAUCUCUGGAGCAUAUGCUAAGCACCGACUCAGAGUGGUCAGUGCUCCUUUCUGGGCGGCUGAAUGAGUUAACUCGCCAAUUUGGGGAGGAAGAGUGGAUAAGAAGCCAAGCAUCUUCUUUAUUGAUGUUAUAGGUUCCUUGGCGCCCAUCACUGCUUUCAUAGUCAGCACACUCCCGGUAUAUAGCUGCUCCGUCAACGUGUAAAUCGCCUUCAGCAUCAGGACGCAAUCAUCCUGAAGGUUGGCGGCUCUCGGACCUGUAUAAGAGGUAAUGAUAGUCAGCUAUUUAUAUAAAGCUAUUGGUUUACAAAUGUCAAGAGUUGAUUUUUACCGAAGACAGCUUGCGCCAUGUUUGAGAUGUGUCGCUUUAAGCCGGACAGCUCCUGUUGCACAGUGUCCAACUUGGCUUCAGCUUUUUUUGCUCUCUUUGUUAAAGCAUCUUNNNNNNNNNNNNNNNNNNNNNNNNNNNNNNNNNNNNNNNNNNNNNNNNNNNNNNNNNNNNNNNNNNNNNNNNNNNNNNNNNNNNNNNNNNNNNNNNNNNNCCACUGUGCUGGAAAGCUACGUCCUGCUUUGGUUUCUAUUGAUGUGGUUUCGAUUACAAGGAGGGCGUAACUCGCCAAACCUAGCACCCGAUGAUUUCUAACUUGUCCUCUUCUUCCCUGGGACUCGCCUUUAUAUACAGGUCGAACCCUUAGGGUUUACAAGGGUACUUUCCUUCCUACAAAUCGUAACCCCUGCAGUCUCUAAGUCGUUGACCUUCAAAGCUUGGAGACCUUCUGGAAAUCAUAAACCGCCAUACGACCUUGAUCUGACGAGGCCAAGGCCCAAACCACGCUCAGGUGAAUCGCCUGAUUUGGUGACCCGGCCCAACUAGGGCGGGUUAUUAACAGGUAAUAUCCCCAACAUUAGGCCCUAGAUUGACUUGAACUCUUUUCACGCCAAUAUUUCUGCUCAGUUAAAGGCAAUUUAUUCUUCAUUCUUCUCCACACAUCAGAAAUUGUAACCCGCCAUCUGGCGCUGAAAAUCUUUAAGUCGCCAAACCAUUUCUCGUCGGCAUCUUCUUAUCCCUUGAAUUCCGGGAAGACUGACAUAAUCCCAACGGAUCCUGGUGCAUCAUUAUCCCAAAAUUUUCGGAACGCCAUUAUAGCGAAUCUUUUUUAUCCCCAGGCGGUUCCCGCUCACGGCGCCUCGAUUCCAGCGCCCGUCCUGUUGAAUAGGUGGGGGGGGACAGGACUGGCGCUUCCCACCUACGAGUCUCAUCAAUCUCCUCCCCAUUAUCAAAGCGAGGAAACCUUACCGCCUCCCGAGGGCUCCGCCGCUGACCGCACUUCCUGUCUUCGCGCGAAAGCUUCGGCGCCGCCCAUAGACCUUCGCCGUCGUCAAGCUUUGCACCGCGGCCGAUCUGCUCGCCGCCAUUGACCACCGCGUCGCCGUCGACCACCUCGCCGUUUGCCAAGCACUCCGUCGCCACCGAAGAUCUCUUCGCUCGACAAGACUUUCGUGUUUCUCCAACAGCCUCUGUCGCCGUCGACCACUCCCGACCGAAAGCAUCAGGUUAGGCCACCGCCCAUUUAAGAACAGAUCCAAUCUUUGUUCGAGGUUCCAACAUCACCAUGUUCUAGAUGUUCUUCGUGAGUAUUUGUUACCUGUCCUUGACUGAUUAACGCAAAUGUCGACGAGAUAGCCAAUGUUUUUAAUACCUUCAUUUAUCCGCUCUUAACUUGCAAGUCUAGAAUAAUGUUUCGUGAAACGAACGAUAUCACCUUAUCCUGGCAGUAAAUUGCUGCAUCCAGUCAUUUUUCUCAUGUUUUUUCAUCUAUCCAGUAGAUCCACAAUUUACCCACUCAUUGCGUAAAGCUGUUUGUAGUCUCCACACUUCACUAUUUUGAACAAACGUCUCCGACACCUUUAGAACAUAGCUCUCGUGAAUAGCCAAACUUCGUAAGUCGCCAUAGCAACCGAACCCGGAUCUUUAUAUGGCGGGUCAAGGUUUUUCCCUCAGUCCGUCAACAAAUUACUUGGCGAGUCAAAUGAACUUAUUUCACCCCUUGCGGUAGAUGUUCAAGGUGUGCAAAUUCACCCGUACUUUACUCCUUUGUAGCAUGGGCACCGUCUUCAAAAGUGAGUGGCUCCCUACCAAAGUCGACGACACCAUACUAGCAGACUAUGUGAAAACGGGUAACUUGGACCCUCAGAAUGUUAUCGGUUGGCGUACCGGGUUCGGAGAGGAUCUCCCCAACCCCAAAGAAGGGGAUAUCGUCCUUUUCAUUGAACACCUUGAGCGAGGUUUUAAGCCGCCCGGAUCAAAGUUUCUUAGAGAAGCUAUGGCUUUCAUGAACGUCCGCCUCCAGGAUCUGGGACCUAACUCGAUAAGUAACCUAUGCCAGUUCCAAGUGUUCUAUGAGGCUUAUCUGCGGAUUGAACCCUCAGUUCCCUUAUUCUGGCACUUUUUCCGCCUAAAUCGCCAAACGGAAUUUCAAAACGGCCCCAGCCUGGAACUUGGCGGUGUCAAUGUUCAGCGCCGCAGGGAUAGCCCGUUUCCCUCACUCGCCAUGCCAAGCCAUCCCAAAGGCUUGGGCGAGUCUUGGUUCUAUUGUCGAGAGACCUCACCUGCAGGCGAAAACAUGCUUCUGGGCUAUAGGAAAGAUCGCCUUCCAAUGAAUUUCAAGCUUCCGGACAAGCUCACCGAGGAGUAGGAAUCAGAUUUCAUCCCAGUAUUGUCCGAGUUAAGAUCUUUGACAAACAACGGCCUUACUGGGUCGACUUGAUCCGCUGCUGGGUCGAAUGGCGCAUCCUCCCUCUGAAUCGCCGGGACGGGCUAAUGUGCGAAUUUGAUGGCACCUUAGAUCAUCCUCAAUGUUAUUUCCAUACGGCUUUAACGGAAACGGAUAUUAUCACCAUCAUCAAGAAGCUGACUGGCGAGCCUGCGGGAAAAUGCGGCCAAAUCGGCCUCAAGCCUUUCUGCAAAAUUAAUCCGGCGCCCAAGGUAAGCAAAUUUAAACCGCCUUUUGUCUUUACUUCUUAUGUUUCAUUUGAAUUGUGGCCUUUUGUAACAUAUGCCAUUUCAGAAAGGUGAUAAAUUUUGGUCCAAGAAACCCAAAAGGCCAGCCAUGAAGCAUGCUAAGCCGCCCCCAAAGAAAACCAAGGGCAAUGGCAAAGCUGCUGCGGCCGAGCCAUCCGAAGCCGAUGAAUCUCAAGUCGGCGAUGCACCUUCAGAGGUAAAAACCUAUCCUCUUUUCACUCGCCAUCCACUACUGUUAACUUUGUAUUUAUAUCUCUGCCUCUCUUGAAUAGAAUGAAGACAACGAAAGCCAGGAGGAUUCUGUAGAGGUAAUUUCUGUUUCCUCCAAUUCAUCUGCUUCUCCACCUAAUCCGCCCAGGCGAAUUUGUGGGAAAGUUCCCUUCUCACAUCCAAAUGCUUGUUUGGACCCAAAUUUCCUACUGAAGAAAGCAAGUCAUUCCGGUGAUCUGGUGUCCGGCUUACCAGCAAAGAACAAGAGGAAACCAAAUGAGGUACCCCUGAACAAUAAUUCUUCAUGUUUCUUUGGAUCACAUCUGUAACCCGCCUAUAUCUUUGACGUAUAAUUCUUGGAGAACUCUCCUCCUACAUCUGGCGAAUCAGUAAUGUCGAUACUUUCGCCAAUGAUUUGAGUCCCUGGGUAAGUCUUUUGAUAAUUUUACUUUGAAUCUGAAGGUGAUAAACUUUCAGUUUCUUUAAUGCGCUUCUCCCCUCUUUUAGGGCACAGGCCAAGAAAAGGAAAACCGGCGGGUCAACUCCUGUCAUAAUUUCAGAGCCCAUCAAAGAGUCAGUGCCGAUCCAAGAUAACCCGGAUCAAGGCGAGCCCGAAAAUCAAAUGGAUCUUCCAAACUCGCCCAAGGAAACAAUGAAUGCCCCUAAGCCGCCAAGUCCAUUGAUGACAGCAGAAGACCCGGAUGCUGUAGUUAUCACUGGUACCAGCUUCUCCAAACCGGCGACAACGAUUUUGUCAAAGCAUGUGACAUCCUCCUCUCAAACCAUUCCUGAGUCUGGGCUCUCCAAGGCUAAGCUUUCUUAAUAUGAACAUCUGGAAUUCAAAGAACUCUGCUCUGGUUUUGCAAGUCGCCUGGAGGCGAGUUAUGAGCUGGAGAAAAGCCUGCUCCGGAUGCUAAAAAAUAACAAUGAGGUAAGCUUUGUUAUAUUAUAUUACUCCCAUUAAGCCCCAAGGGUCGGGUCAUCAGUAAAAAAGAUGAGCCGGGUCUUGAUAAAUUUAGAAAAACUUUCGACCAAUAACCCCCAAGGGCCGGGUCAUCAAUAAAAAGAUGAGCCGGGUCUUGAUAAAUUUAGAAAAACUUUCGACUAGUAACCCCCAAGGGCCGGGUCAUCAGAAAAAAGAUGAGCCGGGUCUUGAUAUUGUAUAAUUUUAUCGGAAAAAAUUAUACAUUAGCCCCCAAGUGUCAGGGUAUUGCUUGCAAUAGUUCUGAGACUUGCCCCUUAUUAUGUACUUUCAACAGGAAACUCUUGCUCAGACUGAAUCGGCGAUUGGCGAUUUAAACAAAAACUUAUCUGAUUAGCAAGAUGCCCGAACUAAGUCGGAGGAGAAGUAUCAAUUGGUCCUGUCUGAGAUGGAAAAACUCAAAGCCGAUUUAAAAAGAGCUCAAGCUGACCAGGAUGCUGCAACAAAAAGAGCAGAGAAGGCUGAAGCCAGGCUGGCUACUGUGCAACAAGAAUUGUCCGGCUUGAAGCGUCAUAUCUCAAACAUGGCGCGAGCCGUCUUUGGUAAACGACUCAAACUUUUGAUCUCUUUUUUACCAAUAACUCUUAUUGUAAGUCGCUGAUUAUCAUGACCCCUUACACAGGUCCGAGAGCCGCCAACCUUCAGGAUGAUUGCGUGCUGAUGUUGAAGGCGAUUUACAUGCUGACAGAGCAGCUGUACACCGACAGUGUAUUAACUGUUAAAGCUGUGAUGGGUGCCAAGGAUCCUAUAACUUCCAUAAAGAAGAUGCUUGGCUGCCUAUCUAUGCUUCCCCCUCAGAUUGGCGAGUUGACUCGGUCAGCAGCCCGGAAGGGGGUACUGACUAACUUAAGUCGCUGGUUGGCGUAUGCUUCAGAGAUCAACCCGGAAGAGGUAGCGGCAGGCUUUCCUCAACUUGCUGCUAAGGACUCCCGGCUGGCGGCGACCCAACUUGUUGCAAGUCUGGAUUUAUCAAAGUAUCGGGCUGCUUAUGACAGCAAGAACAAGAAGGUCAACCCGCCAACCUUUGUGACGACCAGCUUAACUCCACGGCGACCCAAGAACCCUUUUAACUUGGAAGCAGAUCUGGCAUCAAUCCUGACCGAUGAAGAUGACUUCGCGGCUCUGGCCAAGUGUGACUGGGUACUGGGUGACUUGCAAAUUGAGGUCGGCCAAAGCUCGCAGCAAAAUGAUCCGAAGGCGCCAGCAGAAUAAACUUCAUCGAUUUGGCCUGAGAGCCAUGUAAUAGGUCUUUUUCAUAAGUCGGUACUGUUUUUUGGAUACUCUCGAAAGAAUCUUUAUAUCGCCCUUAAGGCGAUUUGAAAUAUUUGAUCCGCCGUUUGAAAAUCCUUUAUAAUGCUUAAUCCGCCAUGGAUGAAGUGAUUUUGAUCAUCAACCUGGUUUAAGCUUGAAAAAACAUAUGUGAAACCAAAUAAAUGACAACAAAUAUUUUCAAGAUGAAUCAGGAAAAAGGUUUUGAAACCCUCGUGGCCAUGCCAUGAAGGAAAAUAAAAACAACAAUUUCGUCGGCUCAUAAGGUCACGACAGGAUGGGUCGAGUCAAAAAACUCAAGCGCCACCCUAGAUGAUGGUUUCGUCGGCUCAUAAGGUCGCGACAGGAUGGGGCGAGUCAGAAAGCUCGAGCACACACCCUAAGAUGAUGGUUUCGUCGGCUCAUAAGGUAGCGACGGGAUGGGGCAAGUCAGAAAGCUCGAGCACACACCCUAAAAUGAUGAUUCUGUCGGCUCAUAAGGUCGCAACUGGAUGACAAAAUUGAGUUUUAAUGAAGAAGCCCCCAAGUCGGGGAGCAUUUUUAAUUUUAUUACUUCAUAAUGAAACUGAAAAACUUACAAAAUGCAGAGCUUAAGAGCUCAAGUAUAAUAAGGCCGCAAGUGGGCAAUAUUCCAGGGGCGAGUUGACUCAGCCUCCGUGGUUGGCCGGUUAGGCCGAAGAUCCACCAGAUAAUAAGAGCCAUUGCGGAGAUUCUUGCUGACGACGAACGGUCCUUCCCAUGGUGGUGACAACUUAUGCAUGCCAGCACGAUCUUGUAUCAACCGAAGAACCAAGUCGCCUUCCUGAAAGGUCCGGCUCUUAACCCGGCGGUUGUGAUAACACCGUAGAUCCUGCUGAUAGAUGGCUGAACGGGCCGCAGCCAGGUCACGUGCCUCCUCUAAGGCAUCCAAGGAGUCUUGACGCGCCAGCUCAUUGUCUUGCUCCACAUAUGCGGCGACUCUAGGUUUGUCAUGCCUUAUAUCAGUAGGAAGAACGGCUUCUGCUCCGUAGACCAGAAAGAAAGGGGUCAAACCUGUGGACCGGUUCAGGGUGGUCCGGAUACUCCACAGUACUGAAGGUAAUUCUUCAACCCAACACCCUGGGGCUUUCUCCAGGGGAACCAUGAGUCGGGGCUUAAUUCCUCGCAAAUCCUCCUGAUUCGCCCGUUCCGCCUGCCCGUUAGAUUGCGGGUGAGCGACUGAAGAAACAUCAAGCCGGAUAUGUUCUCGACGGCAAAACUCCUGCAUCGCCACUUGGGACAAGUUAGUACCAUUAUGAGUAAUGAUACUGUGCGGAUAUCCAAACCGGAAGAUCAGCUUUUUCAAGAAUUUGACCGCUGUCUCUGCAUCGCAAGCUCCAAUAGGUUCUGCCUCACCCCACUUGGUGACCUUAUCAAUCGCCACCAGCAGAUGGGUCUUCUUGUUAGAGGACAUUUUAAAGGGGCCGGCCAUGUCUAACCCCGAAACCGCAAAAGGCCAAGUGAUGGGGAUCAUUCUUAAUUCUUGAGCCGACACAUCAGCCUGUCGCCCAUAACGCUGGCAUCCUUUGCACCGACGAACUAUAUCUUCCGCAUCUGCAUGAGCCGUCAGCCAAAAGAAACCAUGACGGGAAGCCUUUGACACCAAAGAGCGUGACCCGGCAUGAUGCCCACAGUCUCCGGAAUGAAUGUCAUUUAAGAUUAUGCAUCCUUCUUCGGAGGAAACGCAUCGUUGAAAAACUCCAGAGGCGCUCCGCUUAUAUAACUCGCCAUUGAUGAUGACCAUGGAUUUGUUGCGCCGAACGAUUUGACGAGCCAAAACUUCGUCUGUUGGUAACGCGCCCCGGGCGAGAUAAGCCAGAUAAGGAAGAACCCAAUCCGGCGUGAUGUGGCGAGCCGCCACGAGCUGAGACUCAGGAUCUGGUAUUGCCAACUCCUCCUCCGAUGGUAGAAUCACGGAUGGUUUAUGCAAAAUAUCUAGAAAAACAUUGGGAGGAACUGGCUUUCGCUGGGAACCAAGUCGUGAGAGGGCGUCAGCUGCCUCGUUGAGGCGCCGAUCAAUGUGGUCAACGUGAUAACCAUGAAAAUUACCCACCACAUCACACACAACUCUUUUGUAAGCCGCCAUCAUGGGGUCCCGAGAAUCCCAGGUACCCGAAACUUGCUGCGCCACCAAAUCAGAGUCGCCAAAACACCUGACUCGCGUUAGAUUCAUCUCCUUGGCGAGUCGCAAGCCGUGAAGCAAAGCUUCGUAUUCUGCAGCAUUGUUAGUGCACGGAAACAUGAGUCGGAGAACAUAACAGAAUUUAUCUCCUUGAGGGGAUACCAAUACCACACCAGCCCCCGAGCCUUCCAGCUGCCUAGAUCCAUCAAAAUAAAUAGUCCAGUAAGUGAGAUCAGGCCUGUCUUCCGGAGCCUGCAACUCCAUCCAAUCGUUGACGAAAUCAACUAAAGCCUGAGACUUGAUGGCUGUGCGGGGGGUGUACUGUACGUGAUGCGGCCCAAGUCCAAUUGCCCACUUGGCAAUCCGCCCUGUUGCCUCCCGAUUCUGGAUGAUGUCCCCAAGGGGGGUAGCGCUAACCACUGUGAUAGGGUGUUCUUAGAAAUAAUGCUUAAGUUUCCGACUCGCCAUAAACACCCCAUAUACCAACUUCUGCCAGUGUGGGUACCGUUGCUUGGAAAGGGUUAGCACCUCGCUGAUAAAAUACAUCGAGCGUUGCACUGGGUAUUCCUUCCCUUCCUCCUUUCUUUCAACAACCACUGCCACACUUACUGCUUUGGAAUUUGCCGCGAUAUACAGAAGCAUGGGCUCUUUUUCAGUCGGGGCGGCCAGGACCGGCGUGUUAACCAAUUGGCGUUUCAGGGCUUCGAGCGCCUCAUCUGCCUAAUUCGUUCAAACAAACCGAUCAGAUUUCUUUAGUAACUGAUAAAGAGGAAUCGCCUUUUCACCUAGGCGACUUACGAAGCGACUUAGAGCCGCAAUGCGACCCGCCAGUCGUUGAACUUGAUUAACGUUCGCCGGCUUUCCAAGGGAUGUAACUGUUUCGAUUUUGUCCGGGUUAGCUUCAAUGCCGCGCUCUGAUACCAGGAAGCCCAAGAAUUUCCCUGCAGACACACCAAAAACACAUUUGGUGGGAUUCAGCUUCAUCUGAUAUGCCCGUAGAUUAUCGAAAGUUUCCUUGAGAUCCUCUAGUAGUGUCUCCCCCUGGCGGGUUUUGAUCACAAUAUCGCCGACAUAGGCGUGGACGUUGCGACCGAUUUGGUUGCGAAGGCAAUUCUGGAUGCAGCGCUGAUAUGUCGCCCCCGCACUCUUGAGUCCAAAAGGCAUGGACACAUAGCAAAAGGCCCCGUAGGGGGUUAUAAAAGUUGUUUUAUCCUGAUCCUCCACGGCCAUCUUGAUCUGGUGAUAUCCUGAGUAGGCGUCCAAAAAGCACAAUCGUUCGCAUCCCGCCACCGAGUCAAUGAUCUGGUUGAUGCGGGGAAGAGCGAAGGGAUCUUUUGGACAACCUCCGUUGAGGUCCGUGUAGUCAAUGCACAUACGGAAAGUACCGUUCUUCUUGAGUACCAAAACCGGGUUAGCCAGCCAUUUGGGGUGGAAAACUUCCAUGAUGAAUCCGGUGGCUAAGCGACGGGCGACCUCUUCCCCGAUCGCCUUGCGUCGCUCCUCGUUAAACCUGCGAAGGUACUGCUGGAUGGGUUUUGCCAUUGGGUCAACAUUAAGAUGGUGCUCAGAAGGUUUCCAUGCAAAGAUGUCCCGAUUCUCACGGAUGAAUUCGAUGAGCGCGCUUUCCUAUUUGGGGUCCAGACCCGUCCCAAUGGUGAACUGCUUGGAUGAAUCGCCGGGAACGAAAUCGAUUGUCUUAGUGUCAUCCUUUGGCUAGAACUUGAGGGGUGACUCAGCAUCUGUCGUUGGCUUCUUUAGGGGUGACAUGUCCGCCGGGUCAACAUUGGCCCGAUGGUGUUUGAGCUCCUCUGCAGCGCAGGCAACUUCCGCAUAAGACACGUCCCCUUCUUCACAUUCCUUUGCAAUCCUUCUAUCCCCAUCAACCGUGAUAGGUCCUUUGGGACCAGGCAUCUUGAGCUUAAGGUAAACAUAGCACGGGCGAGCCAUGAAACGGGCGUAAGCCGGCCGCCCGAAUAACGCAUGCUAGGGACUUUUCAAUUUGACCACCUCGAAUAUCAGUGACUCGGACCUGUAAUUAUGCGAUGUUACAAACGCCACUGUGAGUCUGACUCGGCCUAUGGGGUAGGCCGACUUGCCCGGGACGAUUCCGUGGAAAACCGUGGUUGGAGGCAUCAGGUCCUUUUCCAAUAGGUUCAUCCUUUGGAAAGUGUCAAAAUAUAAGAUAUUAAUGCUGCUGCCACCAUCCAUUAGCACUUUGGACAGGGUGUAACCCCCAACUUGGGGAGCCACGACCAACGCUAAAUCGCCAGGGUUGUCAACUCUUGGCGGGUGAUCCUCCCUACUCCACGAUAUGGUCUGUUCAGACCAAUGCAGGUAUCUAGGAAGCGCCGGUUCAGACACAUUGUACGUCCGGUGACUCACCUUCUUAUCGUGCCUGCAAGCAUUGGUGUGUGAAAACGUGAUACUGCCCAUUACUUAACGGUUUGGGGUUGCUGCGGAAACCCCCGUUAUCAUCCUGACCCUGCGGAGCCCCCUGUGGGGGUGGCUGCUGAAAGGCUCCUGGCGGGUUAUACCGCCGCUGGUGGUGCACCGGGUGCUGGCCGUCGCUUGGCUGUGGGCCUCCCUGAGGCCCCUGUUCGGGAAAACCGCCGAAGGGGUUCUGCCGUUGGUUGGGUGCGGCAAACUGCUCCUGGCGCUGGUCCAGGUCAUCGUUUUGACUUUUCUUGAUCGCCUCUGCCCGAAACUCCCGCAUUACGAAGCAGUUCUCCCAGGAGUGAGUCGCCGGACCGUCUGCCGUGGCAUGGUGCGGGCAAGGGCCUUUGAGUAGCUCUUCAUAGUUACGCGGCCUCUUCCCGCUAAACCCCCUGUUUUUCUUCUGGCGUUGGUUGCCAUUGUUGGCGUUGGUAUUGGCGACUAAAUCCGAGGGCUCCUCUUGCGGUCUUCGCUUGCCAAUGGCCCCUUGAUUGUGGCGGUUAUGUCCCUGGAACCGGGUAUGGUUUUUGGAUGACUCGCCCUUCUUGGGCGAAUUAGCCUUACCAUCCUCACCAGGAUCUUUGGUGUCAUCUGCUUCAGCGUACCUAGUGAGGGUGUCCAUCAGCUCUCCCAUGUCUUGGACCUUUCGCUUGAGUUGCCCCAAUUUUUGCACCAAGGGUUCGUAAUGGCAAUUCUGCUCGAGGAUUAGCACAGCCUGAGCCGCCGUAAUACCAUCUGACGAAUGGAUAAUUUCCGCAACCCGCCAUGACCAAUGGUGAGCCGACUCAUCUGGGCGCUGAACACAGUGCUGUAGAUCGACGAUCGUCAUCGGACGCUUGCAAGUUCCUCGGAAGUUUUUGAUGAAACGCUCUUUCAACUCGGCCCAGGUCUGGAUGGAGUUGGGCGGUAAGUUUUUCAACCAAGUACGCGCUGACCCUUCGAGCAUCAUCGUGAAGUAUCUGGCGCAAACCGCCUCGUUUACGUCGAGCAUGUCCAUGGCGAUUUCAUAACUCCCGACCCACGAUGUCGGCUCAAUGUCCGGGGUGUAGUUAGGCACCUUUCUUGGUCCCUUAAAAUAUUUGGGCAUCCUUUCUUUACGAAGGGCGGGGGCCAAGCAUGGGACCCCCAAUCGCCCACCGCCCCCGAUGAGGGGGGCCGGGGCGACUUGGUUGUUCAGGAGAUCCCGGCCCGGCGGGUUCUGAUGAUCAGGCGGGUUGUCCUGUGGGACGGGUCGCGGCCCGCUGUUCACGGCGGGCUGGUCCUCUGGCCGACUCCUGGUGUAACUUGCCUGGGGAGUGGGAUGCAGCCUCUCUAGGCUAUGUGAGAACUGGGCGUUUUGAACCACCGCCGUCUUCAACAUCUCAAUAGCGUUCCUUGCUUCUAUCUCGGGAGGAGUGUUGCCGUGAAUCGGAAGAGAUUCCAGAUGGCGAGUUGCGGCAAGGACGUUGUCCACCGGGUUGGAAAAGUGUCCUUGAGGCAUCCGGAAUCAGGGAAUGCGAUCCUCAGCCGUCUGAACCGUCGGGUUAGGCGGUUCACCCGGUCCUCCUCCUGGGGCGGCUCCCGCCCCUGGGGUUCGUGGAGUGUCGAACAGGCGGGUCGGGUUGAGAUCAUGGGGCAGGCGACCUUGGUGUCUCCGUUGAUGGACGGUGUCGGAUGCGCGCUGGUGUCUUUUGAGCCACCAGUUGUCAGUAUUUAAGUGCAUCCUUUCGGCCGCAAUUUGAGCUUGCCGAGUCUCGAUCCUGGCGAACUCCACCUCGGCAUCCCGAUGAGCCUUUGCCACUGCCUCUGUGAGUUUCGGCAGCUCCGCGUUUAUCUCCUCCUAGUUUUCUGGUGUGAGGGGAGUCGCCAUCAGCCUUGUGAUCUCCGCCGCUAAAUCCACCAGGACAGUGGCCGGGCUUCAAGACGUCUCGCCGGUUCCAUCGCCUCCUGUGGGGUUUUGCGAUGGUUGAGUCGCCCCCGCCAUGUAAAUGACGAUCUGGCGGCGGGUUCGGUAAAGGACUUCGGGGUCCAUGGCCAGCGACAAGCCCCCAAGAGAAUCCCCAUGUAGAGACCGGAUUGAAUCUGAAUCGCCCAUGGAUGAUUCAUCAUCAGAGUUGACCAGUGUAGUUUCCUGAGUCGCCGAGCGCUCUGUCUCCUCCAAUCCCUGCGUGAACCCCACAAAGACCGGGCGAGUCAUAUUUGGCAUCACUACUCGCCGGACGUACCUGGCCGGCUCGACGAUGUCGGUGGAGAUGUCCGGCUCAGGCACGGAUGAUCCGAUCAUGCCGAUGAAGAUGUUGAUCUUGCCGAAGGGGACCCUGUACGUGUAACUCCCAAACCGAAUCGAUCGAAUCCACUUCGGGCCCCCAUUGCUGGUUGUCGAUGUAGGUCUUCCCGCGGCGGCUCCGGGUCAUGAGCCCCGUCGCGUAACUCCCAAACCCUGGUAGGGCUCCCUUUGAGAACUCAACUCCAUCGUGCGUAGGCCCCACGGUGGGCGCCAACUGUCGUGGUUUUGUCACGGUAGAUGUCCUCGUGAAAGGACUUAGUACUGGAGCCAUCGCACCUUGGUGGCGACUCAAAGGGGUUAAGCGGGAGAGACACGGCGAUUUACCCAGGUUCGGCCCCUCGUGAGGAGGUAAAGGCCUACGUCCUGCUUUGGUUUGCAUUGAUGUGGUUUCGAUUACAAGGAGGGCGUAACUCGCCAAACCUAGCACUCGAUGAUUUCUAACUUGUCCUCUUCUUCCCUGGGACUCGCCUUUAUAUACAGGUCGAACCCUUAGGGUUUACAAGGGUACUUUCCUUCCUACAAAUCGUAACCCCUGUGGUCUCAAAGUCGAUGUCCUUCAAAGCUUGGAUACCUUCCGGAAAUCAUAAACCGCCAUACGACCUUGAUCUGACCAGGCCAAGGCCCAAACCACGCUCAGGUGAAUCGCCUGAUUUGGUGACCCGGCCCAACUAGGGCGGGUUAUUAACAGGUAAUAUCCCCAACAGCUAGCGUACAAUCUCCCCUCCUAUCCUCGCACCUAGUGGAAGGACACUCCGCCCUCCUCGUCGGCAGAUGUACAACCGACGUCCAUGGUGGCGCGAACCUCCUCUUCUUGCUUCUGGAGGGAGCCAAUUCCAUGUCCGUUGCAGUGUUCGCGGAGCCUCCGCUGAAGCUCUAUGUGUAGUGGAUCUGUAAAGAGUUUUAGGGUUUUAUGAUAUCGCCCUUCUAUUUUUGAAGUAUCAUAUGUAUACAUAAAAUUAUUAAAUGAGACUAGCAAUGGAUUGACGGCUAGAUGAGACAUUCUUGCAAAGAAGCAGAGUGCCUCGAUAACCCACACGUGUGUGCCCAUAUAUGCUUCCCUGCGGUGCCCGUACGGGCUUCACACCCGUGGAGAUAUAGGUUCAUACCCAUGCCGAUAUAGGUUCACACCCGUGCAUGUAGGGGCUUGUAACCCGUGUGUAUAGAGGCUUCCCCACCGUUCAUGUAUAGGCUUCAAUCCCGUGGGUGUAGAGGCUUCACUCCCGUGUCUGUAGUGGCUUCACUCCCGUGCUUGUACAGGCUUUAAAACUAUCUAACUGGGUGUUCGGACGCAUGCCACUGCUACCGCAUGUUUGUAUAUGCAGAGCAUGUUGAUACCAGUGCCUCGGGAACCCCACGUGCAUGCGUGUAGAGGCUUCACCCACGUCGCUUCACAGGAUUCACACCCAUGCCUGUAUGUUCUUCCCUCCCGUGUCUAUAGAGCCUUAAAUCCCUUGGUUGUACGGUCUCAAUACCGUGGCUCCAGAGGCUUCGAUCCCAUGCCUCUAGGGGCUUCACUCCCGUGGCUAUAGAGGUUGUCCUCCCGUGCCUGUAGGGGCUUCAAUACCGUGGCUCUCGAGGCUUUACUCUCGUGUCUCGUGCCUGUAGAGGCUUUACUCCCGUGGAUGUGGAGGAUUUCCUCCUGUGGUUGUGGAGGCUUUCCUCCCGUGUCUAUAGAGCCUUCAAUAUCGUGGUUGUACGGUCUCAAUACCGUGGUUGUGGAGGCUUCGAUCCCGUGCCUGUAGGGGCUCCACUCCCAUGGCUAUAGAGGUUGUCCUCCUGUGCCCGUAGGGGCUUCAAUACCGUGGCUCUGGAGGCUUCACUCUCGUGUGUCGUGCCUAUAGAGGCAUCACUCCCGUGGCUGUGGAGAGUUUCCUCUUGUGCUUGUAGGUGCUUCCCUCCCGUGUCUAUAGAGCCUUCAAUCCCGUGGCUGUAUGUUCUCAAUACCGUGGCUCUGGAGGCUUCGAUCCCGUGCCUCUAGGGGCUUUACUCCCAUGGCUAUAGAGGAUGUCCUCCCGUGUGCGUAGGGGCUUCAAUACCGUGGCUCUAGAGGUCUUUACUCUUGUUUUUCGUGCCUGUAGAGGCAUCACUCCCGUGGUUGUGGAGGCUUUCCUCCCGUGCCUGUAGGUGCUUCCCUCCCGUGUCUAUAGAUCCUUAAAUAACGUGGUUGUACGAUCUCAAUACCGUGGCUCUAGAGGUUUCAAUCCCGUGCCUCUAGGGGCUUCACUCCCGUGGCUAUAGAGGAUGUCCUCCCGUGCGUGUAGGGGCUUCAAUACCGUAGCUCUAGAGGCUUUACUCGCGUCUGUCGUGCGUGUAGAGGCAUCACUCUCGUGGCUGUGGAGGCUUUCCUCCCGUGCCUGUAGGUGCCUCCCUUCCGUGUUUACAGAGCCUUCAAUCUCGUGGCUGUACGGUCUCAAUAACGUGGCUCUGGAGGCUUCGAUCCCAUGCCUCUAGGGUCUUCACUCCCGUGGCUAUAGAGGUUGUCCUCCCGUGCCUGUAGGGGCUUCAAUACCGUGGCUCUCGAGGGUUUACUCUCGUGUCUCGUGCCUGUAGAGGCUUCACUCCCGUGACUGUGAAGGUGUUCCUCUCGUGCCUGUAGGUGCUUCAGUAUCGUGGCUAUGAACGCUUCACUGUCGUGCCUAUAGGGGCUUCACUCCCAUGUCUGUACUGUCUUCAGUCGAGUUCCUGUUAGGGUCUUCAGUCCCGUGUCUAUUCACUCAUGUGCCUGUUAGGAGCUUCUGUCAUGUGGCUAUAGAGGCUACACUCCCGUGGCUAUAGAGAUUUUAAAAACUAUUUAACUUGGUAUUCGGACGCAUGCCAUUGCUACCACACUUUUAUGUAUGCAGAGGGUGUGUAUACCAGUGCCUCGAGAACCCCACGUGCGUGACUGUGGAAGCCUCACUCCCGCGUGCCUGUAGGGGCUUCAAUCAUGUCGCUAUAGGGGUUGCAUACCCGUGCCCGUAAAAGCUUCGAUCUCGUCGCUAGGGGUUGCACAACCGUGCCUGUAGGGGCCUUAAUCCCGUGUCUAUAGAGGCUCUUGUGCCUGUAGGGGCCUUACACCCGUGUCUAUAGAGGCUUCCACCCUAUGCCUUUAGGGGAUGUACAGCCGUGUCUAACUGCGUAUUCCGAUGCAUGCCGCUGCUACCACACUUUUAUUGUAUGCACAGGAUGUUGAUAGCAGUGCCUAGAGAACCCCACGUGCGUGACUGUUGAGGCCUCAAUCCGUGCCUAUAGAGGCAUGAAUACCGUGCAUGUAGAGGAUUCAAACCCGUGGUUGUAGAGGCUGCACUGUCGUGCGCGUAUAGGGUUCGUUGUGUAAACCACGGGUGUGUUGGUCAUGCAGCGUGCAAUCUUCUAGACGUACAGUCUAUGAGUGGACAGAGGCAUGUGUGUGAAUUUUCUUGACACGUGAUUCAUGAGUCUCUGGAGGCAUGUGUGUGAAUCUUUCAGAGGAAGAUUCUUGCGGAGAGUCAUGGGAUCAAACCAUCAACAUAGCCAAGUGUGUGAAUUUUCUAGAAUAACGAUUCACGAGUCUUCGUGUACAUAUACAUAUGGACAUGGACUUUGUAUACAUGCUUUCAGUUACACGUUUACAAGUUUACAUUGGGGAAAACAACUAAGGUGGCAGUUUCACUGUGCCGUUGCACAAGUAUUACUCUUCAUCCUUAUGUACAACCUUUAGAAUCUCUUGACCCAUCGCAUCAUGUUUGACUUCAUUUACUUCACUGAGUAGCAGCAUGUAUAAUGUUUCCGCCUUCUAGAUUUCUAGUUCAUCCUACGAAAAUUCACCAAGAAUAAUUAAAUAAUAUGUAUCUUUGCACUAGUGCAUAAGUAAAAUAAUUUCCAGUUUUUUAUAUUGUCCUAGUAGUGUGAUGGUAAACUUACAUCAAAAUGAUAUAUGUCUUCAACGAAUUUUAUGCCAUUGUAUAGCAAUGCAAGCUUCAGAGCAACAUAUGGUGAUUCACCCUUGUCAACCAUUGGCAUGUCUUCCACGAACUUUACUUGCCAACUACCCUUCUACUUGGUUUCCAUAUCUCUAUGAUGUACCACGUCGAGAACUACUUUAAACCUAGGUACCUGCAAGUGAAAAAAAAUUUGGGGGUUUGUAGAAACAGCAAGUGGAUUUUUUUGAGUUGGAUAUUUUUGUAUUUAGGAUACUUACAACUUUAAAUUUGUGGUUGUGGUAGACAUUAGUGUCUUUAACCCUUCUAUUCUUUCUUGCUUCAAAAACGUCAAGCAACUUACUUGCUUCCUCAUCAUUCAAAUUGUAAAGUUUAGAUUAUUUUCAUCAUGUAUUUCUUUGCGACGUACUUCACGAGGAUCGAUGACAUGGACUUUAUUCGUGUAUUUGUCAAGCAUAUAUACGGCGUAAUGACUAUGCUUCUCCAUUAUUAAGAAUAUCUGCGAACACAGAAGUUUUGUUUUGUUAUUUAACGCUAUAUGAAUGAAUUUGAUGAAACACAUAUUUUGAUUGCGUCUUGGAGAGAAGGCUUUUACCAUAUUUGUUGUUAAGAGCUUCUUCUGCUGCUCUUCGCUCAGGUACAGGGGAAUCAGUUGUUCCUUCUAUUUAUCCAAUUCCCCUUUAAACUUAGUAACGCCUAGAGUUUGAUUAUUUAUUUUCAGUAGAUACUGCACCAAAAAGAAAUAAACUGUUAUCGACAUGAAACAUGCAAAUUUAGAAGGAUGUGCAUGCUUUUUUUAAAUUUACCUCUGCAAAGCAAGGGCCUAAUAUUAUUCUGUCUUCAUCACUUUCUUGUGAAGGUUUUCUGCUUUCCCAGAUAUGUGCUAUUUCGUUGAGCACCCUCUUUUCAAUGCGAGGUCUAUGGAGUCCUAGUGUUGGUCGAAAUGUUGCCUUCAGUUGCGCUCGAGUUAAAAUUGAUUCUCACUAUCCAUGCCUCUACUUAUAUAGAUUUUUGCUGUGAGAGGGAAAAAGGAAUUAUUGUUGUGGGGCGGACUAUGAAAUGUAUCUUGAGGUAUUUUUCUGCAUCCAUGAGUAAACAUGUCACAUUUUGAAUUCAGUUUGCCAUCUGUCGCUCAUGAUUUGUUGCAGGAGCUAGACUGUGUCGUCCGUGUGCUCAAAGCGUGGUGCUUCAUGCUUUGGAUACGUCACGCUGCUUCGUUGUUUGCCCUUCUUUUUGCUGCUUGUCUCUGUCAAAGCAACUAAAAAUUAAUGGUCAUUGUUUCUAUGCUAGAAAAUAUAUGUCAAACUGUCUGGUCAUAGCUUGUCAGCGUGCGCCGCUCCAGAAAAGUCAUCUCACCUUCAUUUCUAAGAAAAAAAGAUUUGAAUUCAUUUGCUUGAAUUCUUGUAUUGGUGCAGGCAGCUGGUCCCACUUUAUUUGAUUGCUUUUACUGAAUAUCAUUGUGAAUAGGAACUCUGGUUUUCAUUUGUCAUCCACCUUACUAUGCUGCAGUCAAGAUAUCCGAAUACUUACUACUUUCAUGGAAACUAUGAUGCUGAAAAUUAAUAAAAUUGUUCUAUUGUUAACAUACAUGGAGUUCGUCAUCAUCCUUAACCAGUUAUUGGUCGUUCCAGUAUUUUGUAAAUUGGACCAUGAAUUGUCCGCAUUGCGUGUCCCUUUCUUUUGGUACAGAAACUCUUUUAGGGCUGGCUGCCAAUUGUCCCCAAUUUGGUUCGUCGUGGGCUUUUAGUGUUGAUUCCCCGUAAUGCCUCCUCAGCAGUACAUACAUCCUUUCAACCUGUGAUUUCAUUUUUGUCUUGUUGUUAAGAAAAGUAAUCACACCGUGUUACCAACAGAGAGAUAACAAGCCUAAGACCCACAUACCAGUUCUUUAUGGCUUCUAUGGUGAUCUCUCCAUGUCGUCUUACUAUACAACUUGUAAUUUAGCGAGUCCAGAAUGUCAAGUCUAUUCUCAUACUUGUUAAGGACAUACAACGUGUGGUGUGAAUCAGUGUUAUGAGGUAUCAUGAUCUGCAUUGACUGACACACAGAGUCAAAUGUCACGUGAACAUGCGGGCUUAAGGAGAACAAUAACUUAUGUGAAGUGAUAUUACCAGCUUCUUAUCUAGAAGGUUUUUUCCUUUCACAGUUUCUUCAAACUUGAGCAGGUAUCAGGCCCUCAAGAAAGCAUGCCACUUCUUCUUUAGGGGCUAACAUUUUUGGACGUAAGAACUCCAAAGGCUCGCAUGUGCAUGAUGUGCUUCUUACUGCUGGGUUUUUCUCCAGUUUUCUCUUGACACCUUUGUUUGCUUCUUUACGAACACACAUCGCAGCAUCGCAUUUGCGCUGUUCAAUUAUCCUCUGUUCAGAUAAACAUCUCUUCUCCUUGGUUGGGCUGGGAGGUCGAUCUGAUUUUAUUGGAGGAUCCUUGCGUUCAUCCUCCCACUACAAAUAAACACCUUGUUGCUCAUGUUGCUUUGUGUAAGUUUCAUUGUUGUAUUGCUCAAGUCUUUUCUCUUGAGUGCAAGAAUUUUUGUCUUGUUUGUCUUCUUCAUCUUCACUGUCCAACACUUCUAUAACUUGUGUAUCUCGAGUGCAUAUCUCAAUUUCCUUAGUGCAUUGAGGAAUUUCUUCUUCAGUCAUGACACAUUCAACUUGUUUCAUUUCUCUGUCUUCAAUUACAACUUUAUGUUUCAGCAUAUCUAUCCGACAAAAAAAUAUAAGAAUUGUGAGGCUUUUGUUGUAAAAACUACCUCUCAGAAGAGAAUUCGUUUUUUUAAGACGAACCUCUUGUACAAUUUAGCAAUAUUAAGUUUGUAUUGCCGAUUUCUUCGCGCAUUAAAUGAUACAGAAUUAUCUUCCUCAACUCAGGGACUUGUUCUUCUGUCAGUGAGGUGGUUGUUCCUUCUUCAGUGUAGUGUUUGAGGUUCAUGUACAUGUAGAACACACGGUCCAAUCUGCGACUUGGGACAAUGAUUCGUUAAUAUUGUUGUCCCCUUGGCAUGAAAAUACUUUCUAUGUUUUCAUGCUAAACUGUCUCAACGAGCGAUUUUUAGGACCAAAAGAAAUAAAUGUUAGAUUAAAGAUAAAGAACAAGGAUGUUAGUAGUGUUUACGUGUCUAGUCCCUGAAGUGGCACAUGCACGUUGAAAUCCUUGAAAUGGUCAAUGUUACUUGGAGAAAGUUGAAUCUGUGAGCUUAUUUCUUUCGAGAUCCUCUUUAAAUUUCAUGCUACAACAGUGAAGAAUUGUCUUGCCUAUCUAUAAUCCCAUAUAGAGUCAAGCAGCUCAAAGCGCUGUUUUUCCAUGUUGACUCAUAUGGUCACAUAGUGACCGAUAGUCUUGUCUUUCUCGAACCCCCCUAUGGUAGUUGGCACAAGAAACCGCAAAAAGGAAAAUAAUGAAACAUAAACACUUGUAACAUAAACUUAAACAUUUGUAAUCGUUUUUAGAUAUGGUAUUUCGUUCUGUUUACCAUGUCAUAGUCUUGCAGAUCUUCUCCUUCUUUGAUAUCAAAAAACCUCCUGAGCUGACCGCACAUAACUCUUUCUUUUAUCUUCUUGUCAUCAUAGUCUCUAAAGUUCAAGGGAUCUUUGCUAUUGGCUUGUUGUAUUGAAUGUUGUUUGUUUUGUAAUGCAUACAUAUAAAUAAUUUGUAAGUCCACAUGUACACAGGCUGAUAUUCGUUUACUUAAAACAUGAAGUUGUGCCGUGAUUUUUACUUAUAGUGUUGCUUAGUAUUAGGAUCUUCCUCCAUGCGCCCUUGAAUUCAUUUUGUAGGAUCAGUAAUGUAGGCUCAAUGAUUGUACUGUUCACCGCAUUACCAUCUCGGAAGCUUCUGGCAGCGUCUCCGAUGUUGGUAGUCACAUCAGCCGUUAUUAUGAAAUCACCAUUUCUGCAAUAUGUAUAUAUAUAUAUAUAUGUGUGUGUGUGUGUGUGUGUGUGUGUGUGUGCGUGUGUACAUAAAGAGUUACAGAUAAAGGGUAUAUUAGUUAACACGUAAAAAACAUUGAAAUAAUUUAUUCUGUGGAAGUAACAUGGGUUAACUUUUCGUCAGCCAUCCAUUCCCUGCCACAUAGAGCGUUGUAUAUUUUUCGAUGAUUUCUUUCGUGGGCUCAGUGUCUGUGCUGCCUGAAAAUGACAUGAUUUUAGGUUUAAUUGGCAUCGUAGUAGUUGGUACUUUAUUUUAUGCUCUUAGAGGUGUUGAAAUAAUUGGUUUAACUUCCUGAUCUGUUGAUACAAGUUGUACCUUGUCUUUUCUCGUCACUUUCCUGGCUUGGUGUGUCAUGAGGUACCUCAACUUGUGCAUGUGUGAGAUCUGUGAGCUCUGAAGAUUUGUCGUGUGCACUUUCCGUUGCAUUCUCGUUUUUGUCCAGAACACUCUAAAGAUUUGCUUCAUUUUGUUUAUGUGUGGGCUCUUCUUCUUCCGCUUUCUAUGUUAUCGUCGACAUGUGUAGUUAAAUCAAUAUAAAACUUCAAUAUUUAAUUUUAUAUAAUCAGCUUGUGGAAUACCACCUCUUCAGAAGUUGUCGCCGGUGUCGUGCGUGUGGUCCUGUUGUUUGUUGCUCAAUGCCAGCGUGCUCUUCUUUAUCUUGUGACUGUUCAUAGAAAGUGUUAAUUUAAAAUACUAGUUCAUUUGUGCCUGGGGAGCUAUUUAUUAUUAUUAUUCAGAUAAGCAAUUUACCUGUUCAGAAACUAUUGCCGUUGUAGUCAUCGAUACUUUUUUCUCGCUAAGUGAUAUAUUUGUUGACCUCUUCUGGUUGCUUGUUUACGUGUACGACGUCGGUACUAUCCUUUGUUUCAAGUUGUUGUUCAAACUAAAAAUAAAUUCUUAGGGACUGUAUUUUUUCCUUGUCCAGCAAUUAUUUCUUUAAAAUAAAUUAUUAGGGACUGUAAUUCUAGGUUGGUUUUAUUGACCUCUUCAGUGAUUUUGAGAUGAGUUGUGCCUUGUACUCUUCCUUCUUCCUCCUCGGCUACUAAAGUUCCUGGUUCUGUUUUUUCCAAGUCUUGUUCUUGGUCUUCGGUAACAGGACUACCUUGCUAUUCUAUGCCAAUGCUUUCAUUCGUUCCUUUUUCCAGUUUUAUGAACCAAAAAUGUAAAUAACAAUGGAACUUCAUUUGGAAUGUGUGAUCUCUUAUACUUGUUGUCCAAGUUUACUUAUUUACUCAUUGGUGCCUGUGGGAUCUCUCCUCGUUUUUUUGUGCCAAGUAAAGCUUGCUCUUCGGUUACAACACUUGGUUCCUAAUAAAACAACAUCACAAACAUGACAAAUAAAAAUGCACUAUUUAAUUUUAUACAAUCAGCUUGUGGAAUACCACCUCUUCGGAUGUUGUCGCCGGUGCCGUGUCCCGUGGUCCUGUUGUUUGUUGCUCACUGCCAGUGUGCUCUUCUUUAUCUUGGGGUCGUUCAAAGAAAGAGUUAAUUUAAAAUACUAGUUCAUUUGUGCCUCGGGAGCUAUUUUUUAUUAUUAUUCAGAUAAGCAAUUUACCUCUUCAGAAACUAUUGGCGUUGUAGUCAUCGAUAGUUCUUUCUCGCCGAGUGAAUUUUUUUGGAGUGAUAUGUUUGUUGAUGUCUUCUGGUUGCUUGCCUACGUGUACGACGUUGGUACUAUCAUUUGUUUCAAGCUGCUGUUCAAACUAAAAAGAAAUUAUUAUGGACUGUAUUUCUUCUCUGUCCACCAAUUAUUAUUUUUAAAAUAAAUUAUUAGGGACUGUAAUUCUUGGUUGGUUUUGUUGACCUCUUCAGUGAUUUUGAGAUGAUAUGCGCCUUGUAAUCUUGCUUCUUACUCCUCAUCUACUGAAGUUCCUGGUUCUGUUUUUCCCAGGUCUUGUUCUUGGUCUCCGGUGACAGGACUGCCUUGUUAUUGUAUGUCGAUGCUCUCAUUCGUUCCUUUUUCCUGUUUUAUGAACCAAAAAUGUAAAUAACAAUGUAACUUCAUUUGGAAUGUGCGAUCUCUUAUACUUGUUGUCCAACUUCAUUUGGAAUGUGCGAUCUCUUAUGCCAAUUAUUUAAAAAAUGUUACCGUAAUUAACCGGAUCCCAACAUAGAUAAAUCUCCGAGAUAUUUUUUCUAUUGUCGUUUUAUUUUACCUGUCCGUCGGUCGGUGUGGCGUUUCUCUUUGUCUGCACUGUUAUUUCUUUUUAACGUAAAACAUGUUCCACCACCUUGUCAUCAACAGCCAUCUCACAUGCUUGUAUCUCCGCAUCUGGAGCAACAUCAUCUUGAGUGUAGCUUUGAUGUGACUUUGAUUCAUCAUGCGAUCCGGUUUCGACCUCUGUUGCAUGUUGUCUCCCGUGCUCUUGUAGUACGUGGAUCUGAAAGAUGGUGAGUUUACUGGUUCAUUUUUCUUUGGAAGUGAUGUCACUACAGUAUGCGUACAACAACAUCGGUAUUCUCCUUGGUUUCUUACAUCUAUUGAAGCUAAAAAGUAAUUAGAAGGGAUUGUAUUACUUUCGUGGAUACCAUUUUUAAAAAAUGGUGUGUUUGUUGAAGAAAAAAAGUAAGUAACGAUAAAAUUUCAUUUGGAAUAUGCGAUCUUUUAUAACUCUUGUCCAACUUUUCCUCCAUAGUCAUUGGUGCCUGGGGAUAUCUCGUACUUUUUGUGUGUGAUCCGAAGGCUGCUCUUCUAUUACAGCAAUUAAUUCUGUUGUACUGAUAAACUCCCUUGUAUUUUUGGUUUCCACCUGUUUUGUUUCGUCUUGUUCUUCUCCAGCAGUGGUGGCAUUUUUUUCCUGAGUAACAUUCAGGUAAAAAUGUUAUCGUAAUUAACCGGAUCACGGGAUAAAUAUCCGAGAUAGGAUUUUUCUUGUCGUUUGAUUUUACCUGUCCAUCAGUCGUUGUCGUGAUCAUCUGUGCAUCCACUAGUAUUUCUUUUUGAGAAAAAAUAGUUUUGAGCUUGUCCUCAAAUGUCAUCUCUCAGGCUUCUACCUCCGUAUAAGGAGCCACUUCAUCUUGAGUGUGGCUCUUCACAACAUGCUCUAGUAUUUCUUGUUCUUAUAAUACCUGGGUAUGAAACAUGGUGAGUUUUUUAGUACAUUUUUUAGACAUGUUCUAUGAGGGUAAGUUGGUUAUGGAAGGUCACCUCAUUACUUUUUUUAUUCUUGUUGUUUUUCUUCAUCUUCUGAUCUGUCGCUGCUUGAGGCAAUCUCUGUUGCACUUGUUUGUUGUUUCUUGUCUAGCCGAGUCUACAUUUUGUUACAGGUUUGUUAGCUUGCAAAAAAAGUAUGUGUCCAGCUCACACGAGAAAAAAGUUGUUUAUACUCACUUCUUGGCUGGUUAUGAUGCCCGAGGAUGAGCCUUUCCUUGCGAGUUCUCUCGUAUCUGCAGAGAUGGCAGUUGAUUUCUUAUUUGCAUGCUCAUGCGCACUGUUGUUGUCAUCAUCAUGCUUGCGCUCCUGGUAUUGCUUGUCUUCUGAAUGCUUCUUCUCUGUUUUGGCUCAGUUUUCAACUGUCGUCAUUUGUGUUCUGGUUCUUUUCGUUAUCUCUGGUUUCUCUUCUUCUUCAUUAGUUUUUUUUCUCGUUAUUCUUGGUGGCUCUUCCACUAUUUCAACUAUUGAUAUCCGGUUCCUAUUGCGACACAUGCGCUGAUAGGCAUUGUGUUGUUCGAAAGUAGCAAUCAGUGACACCGUUUGGUCUACAAGUCCUUGUCUCGCUAAUUCGUCGUAAUUUGCCUCAUCAUCAGUGCAUCCUGCCACAUUAUUCUGCCUUAACGCCGGUAAUUGUUUGCUUCCUCAAGCACUUUUUCCAACAUUUUGUUGAUCCUUCUGAAAGCUUUUUCAGAACCUUUGCUCGUGCUUGUCUCAGGUUCGCUUAUCGUUCUGGUGCUGGACGCUGCUUCACGCCUAAGCUUUGGUGGAUCUAGUAGCAGUUUUGUAGUUUGCUUGUCCUGUCUCCUACUCUCUACUCGUACCACUUGAAGUGAAGCUGAAGGUGAUCCUGCGUUUCCAUGAACCGUAUGGAAUAUCCUGUCUGUUGUCCCUUUCCAUGUCUACAUUGUUUCGAUAAGACAAAGUUUGUUAGAAUGAACGAUGUUUUUACAUGGUUUGAUGAAUUAAUAGACAACAGAGAUACCUUUAUCUUGCCAAAUUCAUAGUCAUCUAGACCUCCUUUUCCAUCCUUCUUCAUGUCUUCUUUAGAUCCUUCCCGUCAGGAUAGUUCGCUCUAGGCAUUAAAGUAUUGUUUAUUUUCUUAGCUAUUAUGUUCAUUUCUCUUGUGUCUGGUAACAGCAGGGAGUCGAGGUACAUGAUUACUGGUCCCAGCGCCAAGCCGUAGUGGUGGUCAUUGUUUCCUUUCUCACCCUUUUUCAUUUUUUUGCCAAUCAAUGGCUCCAGCCUGGAUUGUUUCGACGAUGACCUGGCAGAAUUCCAUCUGUGCCAUAUCUUUAGAAUUCAUAUCCCGCACCAUUAACUCUUGUCUGCUGUAGCGAGGGAAGGUUGUCCCACAGACAACCUUGUUGAAAAAUAUGAGGAAAAAUAUUUUGACAACCUUGUUGUUUUCUUCUUCUCGGUCUACUUCUACAAGCACCUUUAGUUUCUUAAUCCGAACUGAAUGUGUGAACUCGGUAUUUCUAAAGCCUGUCUCUGACUGGAGGACCUUCAUUGAUUCGUUGCAAUUCAUUGGCCUUGGUGCUGUGUUUUUGUCGCCGUUUGGGUAUCCAAAAACCUUAUGGAUGCCUUCCUUGGUAAUCCUUAUUUCCUUGUGUCCAUCGUCGUCGUCGAAGCUUAUCGUCAUCGUGUCUGUGUCCAUGUUUUCGUAUAUGUUUGCUGCGAGGUUCCUGUUGAUUGACCCCUUUAUUUUGCAGUCCUCUAUGCUACCAAAUCCACUCGUCUUAACAUUUUUUCAGUGAUGUUCUUUGAUAAUUCCCCAUGCUUCAUUGACCUAUACAAACGUAGAUCCAGCCUUGAUUUGGUCAAUUUCUGUUUUAUCUGCUUCGUUGGUUAUCACCAGUGGCGAUUGUUUUCCACAUGGCCUUCUCCUCUUUCUUCCCUUUUGGCUUGUAUUUCCCUGAUUCAGAAAAAACAGAAACAAAUUCUUUGUUAGGAGGUACCGUUCUAUUUUCUGUAGCAACAAAUACUUGUAGAGAAAUAAUCUCUUAUGUGAUCGCUCCCGUCCUCACCGGCAUCGCUGCCGUUUGCAGGAUUGAAAUCAUUGUCACUUUCUGUGUUGCUACUGGCACCACUGGACUCCUCUCAAAUUCUGUUUUUUGAAUCCUCUCCUUCUUCAUCUCCCUGUUGUUUCUUCUUGUUCUUCCUGUCAAUAUGUUUUAUGUUUGCACAUGGUUUUGCUUGAUCAUGAGGUGGUGGGAUUAUCAUUAGAGGCGGUGGCUGUUGCUUCAAGGUAUCAGUCAUGACCAAGAGCUCAGUGCUUUUCAUUCUCUUAUGUGUCUUUUCCACAAGAUUAGCAGCAUCUGUUGUUUCUGGUUGUCUCUUUGCUUUUUUCCUGUUGUAAGUUACUGUGCUUUUCUGUGGUUGUGGUACGGUAGCACGUGCCUUUUUGUGCUUGCUUGGUGCUGUCCUUGUUCCUGGAUGGCCAUGAGAGAUGCUGUGUCUAUCUGGAAAUUCUUCAUUAAUUUCAGAGAUGAUUGUUUGAAUGUCGUCGUCUUCGUUCCCUACUUAAUUACGAGUUAGCAGAUAAGGUUUGUGACAUAAUAUUUACUGUAAACAGUAAGACAUAAUAUUUACUAUAAACUAUAAGACAUUAUAUAUGAGAUACAAUGCCUUUUGCUGACAAUAAGGUACUAUGCAAGAAUUUUAAAAGCGUUGUCAUUUGAAUGCAACAUGUCAUUGGAAUCACGGUACAUCAGAAAAGAGUUGUUACUUAGAAUCACGAUAACAGUUACCUUGUUUGACUGUUGAAUCAACAACAUUACCUAUUUUCUAUUGGUCAUUUUCUACGAAGUCCUUCGCAUCAGCCAUUUAUACAUGUAAAACGACGUGUUGUGAGGCACCUACUUGGAUUUGACAGGAAAUUAGGUGCCCAUGGUGUGAAAAAUGAUAUAAUCUGUAUAGGCACGGUUUGUUUGAUGCUUGAAGCGCGUAAUUUCUACACAUGGAGCAUGGAUUUUGAAAAUCAGGUCUCGUAAUUUGAAAUCCGUAAGAUGCAGGUAUGUAAACAAUCGUGGCUAACUAUUUUGCUACGCUACUUGUACUUGUUAGAUAAGUUGAGACAAACUAUGCAAAAACAGAUUUAGUGAUGCUGCUAGGGUUUUCUGUUUGGGGGAAAUAGAUACUACGAGCGAAUUGGUGCGACGGGCUAUAAUGCAGAAAUGGUUACCUCCGAUUUCGCGUUCGGGACUCCUCGAAUCCAUCCGCUCGUUCUUUCCUUGCUCUUCCUUGUUAUCUCCGUCAUUGUUUUUGUGACCGUAGUUCUUCCUGGACGGUUGCCGCCAGCGGGAGUGGAUCUUGUGGCGGGCACCUUUCAAGUGCUUUGUGUCGCAGUUGAGGGCGGUUGGCGAAGCGCAACGGUGGUUACCGACGAGGUUAGAACUCCGCGUGCUUGAGAAGGAGAAGAGCAGAGCGUGCGAGAGGGGAAGUGUCUUAGAUUUUCAAUUCGGGGAAGGAGAAGCAAGGCAGUAGUAGGGAGAGCGAGGGAACCGAGGGAAACGUCCUGAAUAUUGCAUCAAGAUUCGUAAGGAGUCGGUUUGUUUUUUUCCUUUAUUAUUAAACGUCAGGGAGCGUGACGCUAUAAUCACGUGCGUGUCACACCACACCACACGCAUGGCUUCCAAUAGACUUCUAGAUAGCCACUAUGUAAAAUCACUGAUGUGUAGACACAAGAGUCACGAAAGAGUGUCUGCAGGACGAAACACGCGCUCCGACCUAUGGCCCCCCUUCAAAAUUUAUAUGAAUGCUAAACGAGCCGAAGGCGAGAUAGUGUUGCGCCGCCGGAGGCGCCGUCUGCACGCAUGCACGACGAAACACGCGCUCCUACCUAUGACCCCCUUCAAGAUUUAUAUGAAUACUAGCCGAGCCGAAGGCGAGCUAGUGUUGCGCCACUGGAGGCUUCGUCUGCACGCAGGCACGAUGAAACACGCGCUCCGACCUAUGACCCCCCUUCAAGAUUUAUAUUAAUACUAACCGAGCCGAAGACGAGCUAGUGUUGCGCCGCCGGAGGCGCCGUCUGCACGCAGGCACGACGAUGAUUCAUGAACCAUGGCUUUGAAUAUUGAUGAACAGUGCCUCUAAAUAUUUAUGGAACGUGCCUCUAAAGAUUCAUGGUCCGUACCUCUUCUCACCGCACAACAGGUCCCCAUUUUAUUAUUUUAUCGUAUCACAAGCGUGCCUCUAAAGAUUUAUGAAUCGUGCCUCUAUUUAUUCAUGGGACGCACCUCUAAAGAGUUUUAACAUCUAAAGGUUGGAUGAGGGCUGUGAAAGUUGAAAGUUUAAAGUUGUACAGGCAAGUUUAAAGUUGACAUUUAAUCGUGUUGGAAGCUCCCACCCCUAAUUUCCCCUGAAACCUCAAUUUUCCUCAAAUAUAAUGGGAAAAAAGAGAAACAGGGAACCAACAUACCUUGCCAACUCAGGCUAAACUGAAAACAAAAAAGUUCAAGGGGUUAGUUGAAGAAUGUUCGAAACCGAAAACCGGAAACGAAAAAUUUGGAAUGUUCGGGGGUGCGCUUCGCGCGUGACACUUGUCGCACUUCUAGCGCGCGCGAAACGUUCAUUCGUUUCACGCGGAGCGAGCGCUCGCUAACUAGUUGAUGCCCAAUGAUACCCUUAAAAAAGCAAAGGCAACGAUUUGGAUCAAAGCCCAUUGACUUGGGCGGCUUUUAUAACCAAAAGAAAUUACUGGCCCAACUUAUAUUUUCCCCUUAAAAAAGUUCAUUUAUUUAUUAGAAAACUUAUAAUUUUUUUCCUUGGUAUUUUUCUUUCCGAGGAUAAAUACAUUUCUUAUUAAUUAAAAAAAUCUAUGUAGAGGUGUGGCACAAUUCUCCACGGAUGGAAGACUCGAAUCUUAUAAGACUAAAAUCUUGUAAAGGCUCCAUAAUCUUAUAUGUCCAUUUUUUAUUUUUUAUUUUGCGAAAAGGAUCAAUUCUAUUAUAAAAGUUCAUUGGAAGUAAAAAAAACAUUACAUGGCACUAGUGCAUAAAUACGUCCUAUGAAGUUUUUUUUUCUUUUGCCAGAAUCAUGUACAAUGUUUGGAAGUACAUGUGCACACAGUCAUACACACAUGUGCCAGUAGUUUUGGAAGGAUUAGGGUUGUCCCGGUGGAGUAGAUUAUUGAUCACCGAAAAUAUACGAAGUUGUCAAUUAGUCUUGCUAUAUACAAGGCUCACUUUGCAGUUGCUAAGUUGUGUUGUGCUUAGUUUAUAACCUGUUAUAAAAAUUAGCCAUAGUUGUAAAUAAUAAGGAAUGAAACAAGCAUUCAAAUAGGGAAGCAGGCUUAUUAGGAGAUUGAAGUGAGCGGCUUCGUCGGUGAUCAUGGAUAAUGAAGUCGGAGUCGCUCCCUCAUGUAGAGGAGUGAUGAUGAUGACACCAUUUGGCUACCUCAAGGAUGUCCCUUUUUUGGCGGUGUACGUGAUGUCUUUUGUUGUGUGCCAAGUCCGCUAGUGGUGUUCCUUUCGGAAAGCCAUUGUAACAGUUUUCGAUCAUAUUUUCACAUAUUAGGGCAUCUCCAACGUCGAUUCAUAUAUUUCUUACAGUGACAGGGGGCUAAUCCGCAGACAUGAAUAUCGAAGCUGACCGAACAUCUUCCAGGCUUGGUGGCUGCCACUGAGGUUGUCGACAGGGUAACAGAGUGUACCUGAGGCUUCAGGAUGGACAACGUCGUGGCUGUUGUCCGGACUCCCGCAUCCCUCCCUCCCUCCCCCUCCUCACUUUGUCUCCAUUUUGCGGGAGAAAGUACGCCCAAACCAUCACGCGAACCGAUACAGAUCCGUGUUGGAUGGUUUUCACGAUGUGGACAAUGCACGUAUGUGGCGGUUUGAGGGUCGGCGCUGAAAAUGCGCUUAACCGGACAAUUCUAUUAUACUCCCUCUGUUCCUAAAUAUAAGUCUUUCUAUAGCGGAAAUUGCAUUUGGUGGCCGAGCUCCAUGAAGGCCUUUAAAUUUAAAAUUCAAAAUUUCAUAAAAAUUCAUAUUUUUACUUUUCAAUUUUUUUUCAUAAAAAUACAGGGAUAAGUGAAGGCGUAACACACAUGUGUAUAAAUUUUUAGAAAAAAAUAUAUUGAAAUAAGGACUGUGCAAAAAAGACAAAUCUGAGGCUUUUUUACACAUGACACUAUUCAUUGUUUCAGGUCAUGAAUUUGUCUUUUUUGUGCAGAUCGUAUUUCAAGGUAUUUCAUCCUAAAUUUUUACAUACAUACACAUAACAUUCUUCUUACUUGCAUAUUUUUUCAGAUUUUUUUUGAAACCGAAAAGUUUGAAUUUUGAAUUAUUCAAAAAAAUUGGUCUCCAUGGAGGCCGAGCUCCAAACGUCCGUUCUUUUUUUAUAGGUUUCACUAGAAGACUACAUGCAGAUAUAUAUAGAAAUAUUUUACAGUGAAGAUUCACUCAUUUUAUUUCAUAUGUAGUCCUCUAGUAAAAUCAUUAAAAACACUCAUAUUUAGAAAUGGAGGGAGUACUUUUUUUAAAUAAAGCGAGUCCAAAGGAUCUGUUUUGUUAAGAAAAAACAUACACGCCCUAAUACGCACACCAUGUCAACUUAGAGUUUGGAUUGAGAAUUUGAGUUUUACCGUAUGCACCUUUUAACCCACCAAAUCAUUUGUGGGUCAGCGCUGAAGAUGCCCCAAGCGGAGUGUGAUUGGACGCCCACGGUUAGUCCCGGCUGCAGCCUGAAUUAAACCGCUUAACAAUAAUCUUCCAUGAAAAAAGCAUCAAACAUCAUAUAUAUGCAACAACAGCGGCUAGCACCAGCUUUAUAUGCAUCUGAGACGACCAUACGAACUCUGAAGCCUGAAUGCAAUGAAUUCGACGGAUGCAGCUCGAGAAAGAAACCCGAUGCAGAUGCAGAUGAGUCCAAUCCAGGUAACCACCACGUAGCUAGUACUACCAAUGACUCCAUGAAAAAGUAGGCAGUACACCUAGUCAAAGCAGGAGCACACAAAUGCAGAAAGGCCAAGGCUACUAUAUCGGCAUCGCACACAUGGGGGCGCCGAGCAAUUGCGGCAGGAAACCGUGCCGCUGAGCUCACAUCACAGAUCACAUAGAUCGAUGCAGAGGAAAAGGGCAGAGCCAGACUAGACGAGGCCAUGAAAAAGGCCACAAACGAGGAAGCACGGCACAUGCAGAGGCGCGGCGAUGGCGUACCCGCAUUCCCUAUUUGAAUGGAGGAAGGAAGGCCAGGACGACUGAACAUUGGCUCGUAAACGAUUCCUAGGCAACUAGGCCAACUGGCCCUGCAUCGCAGACGCAUAUGCGGAUGCAUAUGGUACUGGCACGCAGCCUUCUCUCUCUCUGCUGCCAUGGUGUGCUGCUUUUCUGUUGCAUGCUGUAUAGUCAGCCUGGGGUAUUUUGGUUAUUUCGGUUCGGGUAGUUCGGUUUAUGGGCAAUUCGGGUAUUUGAAAAUGGGAACCAAAAUUAUUUCUGUCAAAAAACCGGACCCAAAUUACUUAAAAUUUCGGUUCGGGUAAUUCGGGUACCCAAAAUACCUAAAAUAUUAUGAGCAUACAUCAACUUUUGAUAUGAAUAACUCGAAUAGUAUGGGUCUUUUUGAUAAUAUGAGUAUUUUAGUUAGUAUGGGUAAUAAGUUAGUGUAAUAAUAGCAUUAAAAUUUUGGACAGUAUGAAUAAUUUGGGUAGUAUGGGUAUUUCGGAUUUUCCACACUAAAACCCAAACCCUAUACCGAAAACCGAAUAGUAAGGAAAUGGGAACCGAACCCUUACCCGAUAAUUCGGGUAAUUCGGUUCGGUUCGGGUUCGGGUAGCGGGUUCGGGUACCCAAACGUCCAGGAUGACUAUAUAGUACUUCCUCCAUUAGGCCAACUCCACCGCACGAUCCCAUUUUGUCCGGCCCCGUCCGUUUGGGGUAAAAGGGACAAACCGGUCGGUCCAACGCAAGACGGCCCGGAUCCAUCUCGUCUGUUUUGUGUCCGGGGAGACCCAUUUCGAGCGCAAACUUGCGCGGGGUUUGGGUCACGACGGACAUCAAACGGACGCACGCUCGUCCGCGUCGGGGCCGCGUGGCAGGCGGCCACCUACCUCCCACCCGCCCACCUCUAUGCGCACGAGCGGCCGGGCACGCCUGUCAUCCGCCCAGGGAACGGUCGCGGUCCUUCUUAAAUGGGGAAGCCGUGGACCGUCGUCGUCCACACUUCCCAUCACCAUCCCGCGGCCUCCUCGAAACCGACAGCCAAACCCGAGCCUCCUUGAACUCGCCGGCCGGCCACCUCGCAGCCAUGGGGCUCUGGUACUACCACAGCAAGGGGAAGCACGACCACGAGGUUGGAUCCUCGUCAGGACGCCGCCGCGGCUCCGUGAAGAAGGAGGCCGCAUCGCUACCGCGCUAGGCCAACGCUCCCUUCACCAUCGGCCCUAGGCCCGCCGGGCAGUGUGAUCGGGAGUACCUCAGCGCCGAGGUAUACCGACGCUACUGGGAGACGAGGACGCUGGUCCCGUGUAGCGACGUCCACCUCCCAAAGGCAUGGCACCUCUCUGCCAACCGGGUCCCGAUCCCGCCGGUGCCGACAAGCGGCCGUGCGCGCCGCGAAGAGAUCGAGCGCCGUCGCCUCCUCACGCCCACGCCAUCGCCUUCCCCGUCUCCAUCACCACCUCCAGCUCCUCGCAUGACGGAGGAGGAGGAGGCUCGGCUCAUGCAGCAUGUCAUGGAGGACUCCAUGAUGAUGCAUGAUGAACGCCAAUGGCCGGGCCUCGACCGCGCGAUGGCCCUCUCUGCGGCAGCCGACGUCGCCAUCCCCGAGCAGAUGGAGGAGGAGGAGGUGGCCGAGUUUCCUCCGGAUUUGGUGGGCCAGCAAUGGAGCUGGUCGUGCACGGCGCCGAAGAUGGCGCAGGCAGUGGGGGCGUGAACUGGUGCCCCACGCCGCCGCGGUCACCGGAGCGGGACGCCUCGCCACGGGAGGAGGUGUUGCUCGCACCUGGCAGGUUCCAGCCCGCCCCGCGCACCAGGGACCGCCGGCCCACCUCUGGACGCCAUUGACCUACGUCGACCUCGUCAGUGACGGCAACGAGGACGACACCGGCGGCCAGUGAAGACGGCGACGGCCACGACAUCGACAUGCUUUUUUAUGUUAAUUAUGUCAAACUGGGCCGUUUUGUGGCCGUGCAAACUGGGCCAUUUUUAUGUUAAUGUUAUUAUGUUUUAAGUUUUUAAACUACGUCUAUUCACUUUUGAGUUAAGUUUUUCUAUUUUUUUAAUCACGUCCAACACAGACAUGAUUUGGGGUGCGGCCGCGCGAUGGGCACACUCAUGACCCAACACACAGAAGCGGGCAUGGGCGAACCCAUUGCCGUCCCAAACGGACAAAAUCUGGCCACACCGGACAUCCGUUUCAGGUCAGGCGGUGGAGGUUGCCUUAUACUAUGCGUUAUUCAAGUUUGACCCUAUGUUUAAGAAAUGAGACCAACUUCGGUGGAAACAAAGCACCGACGCAUUUCAUUGUGAAAUCAAGGGAGUAGGAUGGAUGUAGGUCGAGGCAUUGGAGAGGUGUUUCUCACGGACAAAUUCACUGUUUUGACCCUUUUGAUAUUGUCAAUUAAUUUUCAAAUUAACUGUAAAAACACCCUGUCGUCAUGAGCUGUGGCGGUAGACAUACACAUCCUACCAUCACUUAUCUACAUCAACAGGGUCAAACGACGUUGUCUGUGUUGGCCCGAACCUUACCGUCAUAGCAAGUGGCGGUACGGUGUGUAUGCUUACCAUCACAACGAGUAACGGUAGAAAAAAUGUCAGAUCCGAAAAAAAAUCACAACCAUUGUUAGAUCAGGAGUGAUUUUACAGUGCAUCCGGUUGAUAUGGACCGUCCGUCACAGCGAAAUAGACGAUCCAGAUCCGACACAAUACAUUGAUGUCACGUGUAUUAUAUCAGAUCCCGAGGGGCAUUUUUGGGAGAAGAAGUAUUUCGAACUGAUCAGAUUUUCCCUCCCAAAUAUUUCGAGGGUAUUUUCGGUAUGAAUUUCAGGGCUAUUUUCGGUUUGAUUUUUAUCCCAUUUGUUAGGGUCUUACUCUUUCGCCGCGGUAAGGUGUUGCGGAAAGAUCCUCACCGGCGGGGAGGGGCCGCGGCAAGAUCCCUCGCCGACGGUAGGGUUUUAUCCCCGUGAUUGGAUCUUGCCGCGUGUCGCGGCCCCUCCCUCCGUCCAACCGAAAUUCCUCACGCUCUUGAACCUCCUCUUCACUGACGAACACGAGAGGACGAUGACUGCCCUCCCCGUGGCAGCCGUCGGUGAAGAUUCGGCCUCAUGCCACCUCCCAUUCCUCUAUGCGGGUGCCUAUAGCCACGAGGUGAGUGUCUGCCUCUUUCCCACUCCCCACGUGGUUGUUCGCGUCCUCAGACUCACCUCUUCGCCAUGGCCGCAACUUGAUCUGGCCAUGCAUCUCGUGCGAAGGCAAGGCAGUUGGGCCUAUCAUGUUCUCACUGUUGGUGGGGUAUUGCGUGACUGGAUGAAGCCGGCCGGCCAGCCUCGACGGCUAGUCCCAUUCGUCCAACCUCAUCCACAUCACGGCAAGAUCUACGAAUGUUCGAUUGUUGCCUAUGUAUUCUUAUAUAUUUCAUUCAAGUUCUAUUCUUUCAGUUUGGCUGAUAGGUCAGACGUUCAAUUUGGAGAUCACGAGAGAUGGAAAUCUAUUUAUUUUGAAAUGUACUAUAGACAAUUCAUAGCUUAUGUUGCUCAAUAUUUACGAUGCUCGCUGCUGAUUGUGCAGUUGCUGCACUGGGAUCAACAGACUUGGCGUCUGCUUUAUAAUUGUUUUAGAUUCACAUUGGAUAUCCACCAUUUGAAGAUUAGUGUAAAUUCUGAUCAUGAUGUUUUAGCCUUGUUAAAGACAGAGUAAUGAUCCUCGCAGAAAGCAGAUACAAAGGAAUGAGCAUUUGAUUCUUGAACAUGUUGCAAUAGAUAAUCUUCUCUAUUUAGUUAUGUGCAUCGUAUGUUAGCUGGACACAUUUGACAAGGUGAGUACAAGUAGUAAUUUUCCCUCUUUUUUGUAGGGUUAUGACACAACAUGCUAUGUGAUUCCCUAAGGCAGGAUGGAUGUACCAUGGCCACACCAUUGUGCUGCUCAAGAUGCGUGCAAACCCGAAGAUCCCUUCAAUUCACUGCACGCCCUACCAUACCACACCAUUGUCGUUGCAACACCUGCAAAGGCCCCCUACGGUACGUGCUUUACUCUUGUUAUCAUAUGCUCUCUUUUAUUGGCUUUGCGGCGUGCCUAUGAGACAUUGGUGUGCCAUUUUCUGGGACAGCUGGGAUUACAUGGUGAUUCAUCCAGUAUUUUUUCUUCUGUUGUGAGGGUAAGCUCAUGCUCGUACCUUUUUCUCUCGUAUGAAAAUAAACAUAUCAUAAUCCAUUAUUCUUCUAGGGUUGCCCAUACACUGUAAUUGGUCCGAACCUUGCCGAGGCACUGUUACUAUCACAUUGUUGUAAAAAGAAAAUAUAGAUUACUAGGAGCUCCCGUAGAGACCAAAUAUAUUUCAAGGAAAGUAUUGUAACCAAUAUUAUUGAAGUUAUACAACUUGACUCAUCCGCAAUGGACUAAGAACACGGCUAGAAAACCUUCUUCGGGACUAAAACCCAACCACACCCUACUCUGUCGCUUUAUGGCCAAGUGUACACUCCACAUGUAAGAAUGAACCACACUAUUGGACUAACUGCUUGCAUCUUCGUCGUCUUCAACCGCAUCUGCAUCCGAUAGGAUAGCAUGGUACUGCUUGAACCUUUUCCUGUAUUUCAUUUUGAUGUAGGGUGAAUCGACAAGCACAACAAGUAGCUCUCUUCUGAAUUUCUCAAUGUAGCCCUGCAUGCGAGGAUAUGUUAGUAUCGUUCCAUAAGAUUUAGAAAAUGACAGAAUUAUAGGUGUUACUCUACAUACUUGGUCAUAUUGCAUCCUUAGUUUUACUCCCAUAAACAAUUCGAUGUUCUCAGCAUGUACAGUGCACAACAAGAACUGCAACAUUUUAUUUUGUUAGAUCAACAUUUCAAAUAUUAACAAUCUAAAAAAAAUAAAAGCUAAUAUUGUUGACUAAAGUCUCAUCGGCUUUUGGCACCUUAAUAAUUCGUACUAGCCAUUGCGUCACUUUAAUGUCUUCCCAUGCAUUGCUUUCUAUCCCAUUGACUCGCAUUGCUGCUCUCAGAUGUGCUUCAAUCCCACGAAACUGCAAGCCCAAUGGGAUGAGAAGUUUCCCACGACUAAUACUUACAUACGAUGUUAAAUCCUUUGUUAUAAUUAAAUAUGUUGAAAUUCUCACCACGUUAUUUACUUCUGUGGGUACCAUACAUUGGAAAAGUGAAUCAAGAACAUGAAUCUCCUUCCUUCUGGGGUUUACAACCACAAGGAACCAAUGGACGUUUAAACUGUUCGUAGGUAGGGAACCUGGAGUGCACAGAUAAUUAGAUCAACGUGUAUAGUAAUAAAAAAUAUGUUCAAUGUAAGGUUAAAAUACCAUAUCAUGUUUCAGGUAGCUGGUGCCUUAUGUUGUUCCAUGAAUGCCUCCCAAAGCGUCCUGGUAGCACUCCUCUAUCCUACCAUCUCUUUCGAGCUUAGAGACGCCGGCCACCCUCUCAAUGUAAACCACUUGGUCGUCCCUUGUGUCAAUUGGUUCACCAUGACGCAUGAGCUGGAUCGCAGCAUCAACCACCUAAAACAAUAAUCAAGUUAAUUGUAUUGUACAAAAAUUAAACUACAUAAACUAAUUUGUGAAAUAUCUUACUUCGUCACCCAACCGUACGCCAUCUUCACAUUCAUAUUUUUGGUUGAGGCAUUGCAAAUGCUUCGAUAGCACGACAAUGUCAUCAACUAAGACCAUUUGUUUUUCAUAAUUUGUAGUAUUGAUCAGUGACGACGAAAUCCCGUCGAACCACGUCUAGCUAGUCCCUCUGGGUUUCAGGAACUUCUGACCUCUUUUUUAAGAUGCUAGAGCCGAUUUUCUUAUUUUUAUUGUCCGUGUCCUCGAAAUCAUUUGUAGACUCUAAUGGAGUCUUGUUUUUCCUUUUCUUUUUCUCAGUAUCGUACGAAAAAUACUCAUCAUUCUUAAAUAAUUGCAAUACCACCCUUUUCUUUUCGCCCCCAUGAUUUGCUGGCGUCGAUUCAACCACACUUACGUCUUGCUGCUUUCGAAAGGAUUCAUCAUGGCUGUCAUCAUCUGUGAAGGCACAUGGCUCUUCAGGCUCUCGCGAUCCCGUAGCCUUCAGAGAGUGGUGCUUACAACGUCUGUUGAACGGAUUCUAUCAUACGAAAUAAACCGUGUGUUAGCCUUUAGUAGAUUCUUGCUCAAUUAUAGGUAAAAUGUGCAUCACCUAGAAAGCUUCAAGGCUUGUGGUGGCUUUCCAAUGCAGUUUCUUAUCCAAACUAGGAGCCCGUGGAUAUGAUCCACCUCUUUAAAAACUUAUGAACACCACUGAGAUCCUAUUUGAUUUUACAACAGCUCUUUCGAAUGCUUCAUCCUGUACGUGGAAGAUCACAUGUUAUUUCUGAAAUAACAAUGAUUUUUUCAUAAUUAAGUUAACAUGCGUACGUCAAAAUCUUCAUCAAGGUCCUUCAUGGGGGCUCCAUGUCAUCAUUUUUUAUUCUCUGCUUACAAUUGUGCUUAGCAGCGACCUCCAUGACAUCCUUUUGUUUCCCCUGGUCAGAAGCCUGCUCAACAUUCUCAAAGAGGCCUCCAUUGGGUGUGAGGGUGCCCCGAGGUUAGAAAGAUGUAUGUCCUCCACUCCUGGAAAUAUUCCAUCACGUUUUUUCUUAAAAGAAAUACAUGUUAGUCCGGGGUGUUUUCAUAAUAAACUAAUUUAGAAAAAACCUUGUACGCGUAAAUUUCCAAUUAUAUAUACUAAUCUCAUAAUUCUAUGCUUACGUUCAAUUCUUUGAUGAGGUCCUCCGUGAGCUUGCCAUUUGUAUGGGUACGUCCAAGGCAUUCAUCCAUUUUCUUUUCAAGGGUGCGCAUCCUAUCGACUUGUUCUGCACCUGCCUCCCGCACAAGGGAGGCAACUUCUUGCAAAUCAGUCAAUACACGUUCGACAAGUACCUUAAUCUGAGACUUUGAAACAGUUAGAAUCAUAUAACUUCAUACUAGUUGGAAUGUUACAAUAUAUAUUUGUGCCAGAUGUAACUCAUUUACCUGAGCGCCAGUCUUCGGUUUGGCCACCGUACCAUCUCGUGCUGGAAUGAAAGGCAUCAUCAGGUCCUCUACAUACUGCAGUUUCAGUUUAGUGUCGUUAGUAUGAUUUAGAAAAUAUACAUGUUACAUAAUCCAGGCAACGUGCUGACAUUUUACCUCUCCAACUCCCAAAUAAUUAUUCUGGAUUAUAUUUUCAACCUUUCUGGCCUUCUCCUCGCUCCAGUUUUGGAUUAGCGACCUUAACCUUGAUUCAUACGAGAUACUAGAGUCCAAUUGGAGCACUCUGAACUUCUCGUAGUACCAUGUCUGCAUGACAACAAAAGCAGUUUACAAACAUUCUCGUACAUUGUGUAAUGUAUGUGAGGUAACUAAUAAUUGUACUACUGCGAAUUACCUGCAGAAGUGGUAGAUUCCACUCUAGAAUUGCCUCACCAUUUACAAGAUUCUUCACACUAUCCAUAAGAUAGUCAAGUGUUAGCUGUCCAAUAUUUGUACCCUUUAUCGUCUCAAUGUUUCUAUCAAUCCCAAUAUAUUUGUUAUCCACAUAUUCCUCUUUUGUUCGGCAUACAUAUUUUCCUAUGGUGUAUAAGACAAAUGGCCUGACAAAAUUUGCUGUGUUGUGGCCUUUCAUCUUGGCUAGCAAUCCUUUGAAAGUUAUUUUGGUGUCAUUACUGUCUUUCUGUUUCUUCCACAAAUCCAUAUUAUCAUAAAGAUUUGAAGGGACAUGAUUAUUCCCAUCACAGGGCAUGCCUGUUAUAUGCGUUACAUCUUCUAGUGUGAUCCUAUAUGGUCUCCCAUUGAUGAUAAAGGCAUCCUGCUCUGCAUCAUAUGAAUUAGCGAUGGCCAGGCACAGUACACGCGUAAUUUUGAUGCUAGGUGUCUUGAGAAGUCCACCCAGUCCUAUCAACUGGAUGUACAUCCUUUGCUGCGUGUUUAAUCCGUUUCUGAACUCCUCAUAUGGCGGCAAAGAAGCAUCAUGGGUUCAAUGGAUGUGCAAGUGUGAUUAGAUUCGGCAUGGUAUACAAUUUAAACACUCAUACAAACGACUACAACUUAUAUAUACCAACAUAAAAAUUGUGCUCUACGCUACUGCAUGAGGUAAUUUGUUUACAAGCAUGGUGAGUUCCAUGAAUGUGCAAAUACUAUCAUUAAAUUCAGCUUGGUUACGUAUGAACAGUCAUAUAAGGUAAUAUCCAUUGCAAGGCUCUUAUUUGAAAUAAAAUAAAGAUUGGAAAAUAAAAAACUAUCCAACCAUGGUCUCCUCAACUAUAGGCGCUAAUCAUGGUUAGUAGUAUGAAAUUAAAACAUGGGCCAUCGAUGCCUUACAUAACUCGUGCGGAAGGAAAAAAGAAGGCAAGAGCCUGCUGCACUAAUUGCCAUCGACAAGACGAGGCGCUACGAUUUAGCCUGGAAUUACUCAAUGAACUGUCAAUAUGGUAGGAAAAAAUCUUAGCGCCCUCCCCUAACGCCCACAACUUAAUUUGUUUAAAAACAUGCCGAGUUACAUGAAUAUGCAAACAAUGAGUGGGGUUGCAACAAGAGUUCAUGGGAGGAAGAUCGUGGCACAAAAGUAAGCAGCGGUAAGCAGCGGUUGCAGCAGGAGAUCGUGGGGAGUUACCAGAGCAUUCAUGUUUGGCUCCGUCGUUCGGUCUUGCUGGAUUCCUGGGUUGCUUCGUCCUUCGAUCUUGCUGUUUGGGCGACGCAGAAGGACGAACUAUGAACUACGAGGUUUCAAAGGAUCCCUAGUUAUAGGGAUCGUAACAACGGGGCAUAUACCUACGUAUAGAUUUCUUUGGUUGGCCGAAAUCAAGGGAGAGGAUGUAGGGUAACGUAGUAGUAAUUCAAAAAAAUUCCUACGUCAUACCAUUAUCUAUCUAGGAGAAACCAGCAACGAGAGAGGUUGUAGAGCAUCUUCAUACCUUUGAAGAUCGCUAAGCAGAAGCGUUACUAGAAAGCGGUUGAUGGAGUCGUACUAGUAGCGAUUCAGAUCACGGAAGACUGCCAUCUAAGCGCCGAACAACGGCGCCUCCGCGUUCAACACACGUGCAGCCCGGUGACGUCUCCUUCACCUUGAUCCAGCAAGGAGAGAGGAGGAGUUGAGGGAGAGCUCCGGCAGCACGACGACAUGGUGAUGGUGGAGCUGCGUGGUACUCCGAUAAGGCUUCGCCAAGUGCUACGAAGGACCAGGAGGAGAAGAGGUAGGGCUGCGCCGAGGGAGGAUGAAACUUGUGUGUCUAGCAGCCCCAAACCCUCACAUAUAUAUAGGGGAAGGAGGAGGAGGGUUCUCCACCCCUAGGGUUUCCCUAGGUGGUGCGGCAGACCUUAGAUGGGAGGGGCGACGGCCCAAGAGGAGGAGGAGGCGACGCCCUAGGGUGACUUGCCACCCAAGGCAGCCCUGACGCCUAGGGUUAGACCUCCCUUGCCCUCUUGUGUGCCUUCGGCAAAGGUGGGUGGAACACCAGCCCACCUAGGGGCUGGUUCCCAUCCGAUGGUCCCGGUACAAUAUCGACGAUUCCCGAAAUGUUUCCAGCGAUCAAAUCUCCACUUCUUAUGAAUGAAUAUUUACAUCCUGACCAUUCCGGAGCUCCUCAUGAUGUCCGGGAUAUCAUCCGGGACUCCGAACAACCUUUUGUAACCACAUACUAAUCCCAUUACAACUCUAGCGUCAUCGAACCUUAUGUGUGUAGACCCUACGGGUUCGGGAACCAUGCAGACAUUACCGAGACACCUCUCUGGUCAAUAAACAACAACGGGGUUUGGAUAUGCAUGUUGUUUCCCACAUGUUCCACGAUGAUCUCAUCAGAUGAACCACGAUGUCGAGGAUUCAAUCAAUCUCGUAUGCAAUUCCCUUUGUCUACCGGUAUGAUACUUUCCCGAGAUUCGAUCGUCGGUAUCCCCAUACCUUGUUCAAUCUCGUUACCGGCAAGUCUCUUUAAUCGUUCCGUAAUACAUCACCCCAUGGCUAACUCCUUAGUCACAUUGAGCUCAGUAUGAUGAUGCAUUACCGAGUGGGCCCAGAGAUACCUCUCUGUCACACGGAAUGACAAAUCUCAGUCUCAAUUUAUACCAACCCAACAAACACUUUCGGAGAUACCUGUAGUGCACCUUUAUAAUCACCCAGUUAUGUUGUGACGUUUUAUACACCCAAAGCACUCCUACGGUAUCCGAGAGUUGCACAAUCUCAUGGUCUAAGGAAAUGAUACAUGACAUUAGAAAAGAUUUAGUAGACGAACAAUACGAUCUAGUGAUAUGCUUAGGAUUGGGUCUUGUGCAUCACAUCAUUCUCCUAAUGAUGUGAUUCCGUUAUCAAUGACAUCCAAUGUCCAUGAUCAGGAAACCAUGACCAUCUAUUGAUCAACGAGCUAGCGAACUAGAGGCUCACUAGGGAUACAUUGUGGUCUAUGUAUUCACUCGUGUAUUACGGUUUCUGGUUAAUACAAUUAUAGCAUUAAUAAUAGACAAUUAUCAUGAACUAGGAGAUAUAAUAAUAACCACUUUAUUAUUGCAUGUAUGGCAUAUUUCCAACAGUCUCCCACUUGCAUUAGAGUCAAUAAUUUAGUUACAUUGUGAUGAGUCGAACACCCGUAGAGUUCUGGUGCUGAUCAUGUUUUGCUCGUGGAAGAGGUUUAGCCAACGGAUCUGUGACAUUCAGAUGCGUAUGUACUUUACAAAUAUCUAUACCCCCAUCCUAGAUGUAUCCACGAAUGGAGUUGAAGUAGUACUUGAUUUGCUUGGUCUUCUUGUGAAACCUAGGCUCCUUGGCAAUGGAAAUAACACCAGUGUUGUCACAAAAGAGAGUCAUCGGGCCCGAUGCACUGGGAAUCACUCCUAGGUCGGUGAUGAACUCCUUCAUCCAGACUCCUUCAUGUGCUCCUUCCAAAGCAGCUAUGUACUCCGCUUCACAUGUAGAUGCCGCCACGAUGCUUUGCUUGCAACUGCACCAGCUGACUGCCCCACCAUUCAAUAUAUACACGUAUCCGGUUUGUGACUUGGAGUCAUCCGGAUCUGUGUCGAACCUAGCAUCGAUGUAACACUUUACGACAAGCUCUUUGGAACCUCCAUAAACGAGAAACAUAUCUUUAGUCCUUUUCAGGUAAUUAAGGAUAUUCUUGACCGCUGUCAAGUGAUCCACUCCUGGAUCACUUUGGUACCUCCCUACCAAACUUAUGGCAAGGUUCACACCAUGUCUGGUACACAACAUGGCAUAGAUGAUAGAGCCUAUGGCUGAAGCAUAGGGGAUGGUACUCAUCUUCUCUCUAUCUUCUGUCGUGGUCGGGCGUUGAGCUGUGCUCAACCUCACACCUUGUAAUACAGGCGAGAACCCCUUCUUGGCCUUAUCCAUAUUGAACUUCUUCAAUAUCUUGUCAAGGUAUGUGCUUUGUGGAAGACCUAUGAGGCGUCUCGAUCUAUCUCUAUAGAUCUUGAUGCCUAAUAUGUAGGCAGCUUCUCCAAUGGCCUUGAUUGAAAAACACUUAUUCAAAUAGGCCUUUAUGCUUUCCAAAUGUUAUAUAUCAUUUCCCAUCAACAAUAUGUCAUCCACAUAUAAUAUGAGAAAUGCUAUAGAGCUCCCACUCACUUUCUAGUAAAUACAGGCUUCUCCAUAAGUCUAUACAAACCCAAACGCUUUGAUCACCUCAUCAAGGCGAAUGUUCCCACUCCGAGAUGCUUGCACCAGGCAUAGAUGGAGCGCUAGAGCUUGCAUACCUUGUUAGCAUUAUUAGGAUCGACAAAACCUUCCGGCUGUAUCAUAUACAAUUCUUCCGUAAGAAAGCCGUUUAGGAAUGCCGUUUUGACAUCCAUUUGCCAGAUCCCAUAAUCAUAAAAUGCGGCAACUGCUAACGUGAUUCGGACCAACUUCAGCUUCGCUACGGGUGAGAAGGUCUCAUCAUAGUCAAUCCCUUGAACUUGUCGAUAACCCUUAGCAACAAGUUGAGCCUUAUAGAUGGUCACAUUACCAUCCGCGUCAGUCUUAUUCUUAAAGAUCCAUUUAUUUUAUAUGGCUCGCCGAUCAUCAGGCAAGUCCACCAAAGUCCAUACUUUGUUCUCAUACAUGGAUCCUAUCUCGGAUUUCAUGGCAUCAAGCCAUUUGUUGGAAUCCGGGCCCUCCAUUGCAUCUUCAUAGUUCGAAGGUUCACUGUUGUCCAACAACAUGAUUUCCAUGACAGGGUUGUCGUACCACUCUGGUGCGGCACGUGUCCUUGUGGACCUUCGAGGUUCAGUAGCAACUUGAUCUAAAGUUUCAUGAUCAUCAUCAUUAACUUCUUCUCUAGCCGGUGCAGGCACCUCAGAAAUAUUUUCUUGUGUUGGGCUACGCUCUGGUUCGAGAGGAGGUACGAUUACCUCUUCAAGUUCUACUUUCCUCCCACUUACUUCUUUCGAGAGAAACUCUUUCUCUAGAAAGGAUCUGUUCUUGGCAACAAAUAUUUUGCCUCCGGAUCUAAGAUAGAAGGUAUACCCAAUAGUUUCCUUAGGGUAUCCAAUGAAGACACAUUUUUCCGCUUUGGGUUCGAGCUUCUCAGGUUGAAGUUUCUUCACAUAAGCAUCAUAGCCCCAAACUUUCAGAAACGACAGCUUAGGUUGUUGCCAAACCAUAAUUCAUACGGUGUCGUCUCGACGGAUUUAGUCAGUGCCCUAUUUAAAGUGAAUGCGGUAGUUUCCAAUGCAUAUCCCCAAAAUGAUAGCGGUAAAUCAGUAAGAGACAUCAUAGAUCGCACCAUAUCCAAUAAAGUGCGAUUACAAUGUUCAAACACACUGUUACGCUGUUGUUUGCCAUGCGGCGUGAGUUGUGAAACAAUUCCACAUUUCCUUAAGUGCGUGCCAAACUCGUGACUCAAAUAUUCUCCUUCACGAUCAGAUCAUAGGAACUUUAUUUUCUUGUCACGUUGAUUCUCUACCUCACUCUGAAAUUCCUUGAACCUUUCAAAGGUUUCAAACUUGUGUUUCAUUAAGUAGACACACCCAUAUCUGCUUAAGUCAUGAGUGAGGGUGAGAACAUAACGAUAGCCACCACAAGCCUCCUUGCUCAUUGGACCGCAUACAUCGGUAUGUAUUAUUUCCAACAAGUUGGUUGCUCGCUCCAUUAUUCGGGAGAAUGGAGUAUUGGUCAUCUUGCCCAUGAAGCACGGUUCGCAUGUGUCAAAUGAUUCAAAAUCAAGAGACUCCAAAAGUCCAUCUGUUUGGAGUUUCUUCAUGCGCUUGACACCGAUAUGACCAAGGCGGCAGUGCCACAAGUACGUGGGACUAUCAUUAUCAACCUUACAUCUUUUGGUACUCACACUAUGAAUAUGGGUAACAUCAUGUUCGAGAUUCAUCAACAAUAAACCAUUGACCAGCGGGGCAUGACCAUAAAACAUAUCACUCAUAUAAAUGGAACAACCAUUACUCUCAGAUUUAAAUGAGUAGCCAUCUCGCAUCAAGCAAGAUCCCGAUACAAUGUUCAUGCUCAAAGCUAGUACUAAAUAACAAUUAUUAAGAUUUAAAACUAAUCCCGAAGGUAUAUGUAGAGGUAGCGUGCCGACGACGAUCACAUCGACCUUGGAACCAUUCCCGACGCGCAUCGUCACCCCGUCCUUUGCCAGUCUCCGCUUAUUCCGUAGUUUCUAUUUUGAGUUGCAAAUGUGAGAAACAACACCGGUAUCAAAUACCUAGGAGCUACUAUGAGCGCUGAUAAGGUACAAAUCAAUAACAUGUAUAUCUUAUAUACCUUUGACAUUGCCGGCCUUCUUAUCCGCAAAGUACUAGGGGCAGUUCCUCUUCGAGUGACCGGUCCCCUUGCAAUAAUAGCACUCAAUCUCAGGCUUGGGUCAUUUCUUUGGCUUCUUCCCGGCAACUGGUUUACCGGGCACGGCAACUUCUUUGUCGUCCUUCUUGAAGCUCUUUUUACCCUUGCCUUUCUUGAAACUGGUGGACUUUUUCACCAUCAACAAUUGAUGUUCUUUCUUGAUUUCUACCUCUGCUGAUUUCAGCAUUAAAUAAAACUCGGGAAUGGUCUUCUCCAUCCCUUGCAUGUUGUAGUUCAUCACAAAGCCCCUAUCACUAGGUGGAAACGACUGGAGGAUUCUGUCAAUAACCGUGUCAUCCGAAGUUCAACUCCCAGUUGAGUCAAGCGGUUGUGCAACCCAAACAUUCUGAGUAUGUGCUCACUGACAGAACUAUUUUCCUCCAUCUUAUAGGUGAAGAACUUGUCGGAUACCUCAUAUCUCUCGACCAGGACAUGAGCUUGGAAAACGAGUUUCAGCUCUUGGAACAUCUCAUAUGCUCCAUGUUGCUCAAAACACCUUUGAAACCCCGGUUCUAAACUAUAAAGCAUGCCACACUGAACCAGAGAGUAGUCAUCACUACGCGACUGCCAUGCGUACAUAACGUCCUGGGCUGCCAUGGGAACGGGAGGAUCCCCUAGCGGUGCAUCACGGACAUAUGCCUUCUUGGAAGCAGUGAGGAUGAGCUUUAAGUUUCGAGCCGAGUCCGCAUAGUUGCUACCAUCAUCUUUCAGCUUGGUUUUCUCUAGGAACGCGUCGAAAUUGAAGUUGACAUGUGUGUUGGCCAUUGGAUCUACAAUAUUUCUAAAUACAUUUUUAGACUAAGUUCAUGAUAGUUAAGUUCAUCUAAUCAAAUUAUAUAAUGAACACCCACUUAGAAAGACAUCCCUCUCAUCAUCCAAGUGAUACAUAAUCCAUAUCGACUAGCCCGUCUCCAAUCAUCACGUGAGACAAAAUAGUCAUCAACGGUGAGCAUCUUCAUGCUGAUCGUAUCAUCCAUAUGACUCAUGUUGGACCUUUCGGUCUCUCGUAUUCCGAGGCCAUGUCUGUACAUGCUAGGCUCGUUGAGUCAACCUAAGUGUUUUGCGUGUGUAAAUCUGGCUUACACCCGUUGUAUGCGAACAUUAGAAUCUAUCACACCCGAUCAUCACGUGGUGCUUCGACACAACGAUCCUUCGCAAUGGUGCACACUUAGGGGAAUACUUAUCUCGAAAUUUAAUGAGGGAUCAUCUUAUCUUUGCUACCGUCGUUCUAAGCAAUAAGAAGAAAAACAUGAUAAACAUACAUGCAAUCAUAUAGUGACAUGAUAUGGCCAAUAUCAUCUUGCUCCUUUGAUCUCCAUCUUCGGGGCACAGCGUGAUCAUCAUUGUCACCGGCAUCACAACAUGAUCUCCAUCAUCAUGAUCUCCAUCAUUGUUUCUUUGUGAAGUCUUCUCGCCAACUAUUACUUCUACUACUAUGGCUAACGGUUAGCAAUAAAGUAAAGUAAUCACAUGGCGUUGCAUCUCAUACAAUAAAUUAAGACAACUCCUAUGGCUCCUGACGGUUGUCAUACUCAUCGACAUGCAAGUCAUGAAUCCUAUUACAAGAACAUGAUCAAUCUCAUACAUCACAUAUGUAACAUCUCAUCCUUUUGGCAAUAUCACAUCGCAUAGCAUACCCUACAAAAACAAGUUAGACGUCCUCUAAUUGUUGUUGCAAGUUUUAUGUGGCUGAUUUGGGUUUCUAGCAAGAACGCUUCUUACCUACAUGAUAGCCACAACGUUGAUAUGCCAAUGCUAGGCGGUGGAACCAGUCUCACAUUUCUAGCAAAAACAAGUUACCCUUCAUAAGGACCCUUUUUAUCGAAUCCAAUUCGACUAAAGUGGGAGAGACAUACACCCGCUAGCCACCUUAUGCAACAAGUGCAUGUCAGGCGGUGGAACCAGUCUCACGUAAGCGUAUGUGUAAAGUCAGUCCGGGCUGCUUCAUCCCACAAUACCGCCGAAAAAAGAUUGGACUAGUAACGGCAAGCAAUGGACAAAUCACCGCCCACAACUUUUGUGUUCUACUCGUGCAUGGAAUCUACGCAUAGAACCUGGCUCGGAUGCCACUGCUAGGUAAUGUAGUAGUAAUUCAAAAAAAUCCCUACGUCAUACCAUGAUCUGUCUACUGAAACACGAACACGUCACGCGUACCCUCGACGCCGGGGGUGAUGCAGCGCAGCUCACGUUGAAGGAGAUUUGACGGACAACGCGAUAUGCAAGACAGUCGGCGGAUGGUUUUGAAGACCCGAAACUCCGCACGCCCGGGAGGGACCCCGUCAGGGAGCGCGGCGGCUAUGGGCUGCCCUAGCUCGAUUCGCUCGCCCCUAGAUCCUCGGGAUUCUCAGCUCUCAAAUUCGAGGAACAUCGAAGAACGAGAGAUAAAACGAUCAGAGCAUAAAACGUAGAUGAAAAAGUAGUAUAUUGAUGUUUCGAUUGUGUGUUGUUCAAUCGGCCGUCACCCCCAACAUAUAUAAGAGGCGGCUGGACUUCCUGUACAAGCAAAGGAUUCAUCUAGGCUUUCCUUACAAGAAAACUACAGCAAAUCACGUCCUAGAGUCCUACUUCUAGUCUAACUCGGAUUCAGCCCAAAUCUGGUCCAAUCUUCUGUCUUGUUCCUUGCGUAGGCUCUGAAAUACCAAUAUGACCUCUGAUUGAGACUAUUUAUAUAUAUCAAAAUUGACCAUAUUGACGAUACGAACAACUCUCAUGUUGAUCACUUUCCAAAUAAGGUCAUCUUGAAUACUCCACGAAGUCGUCUUGAACUUUGAAUCGGCAUCUGUCAUAUAGCGGACUCGACCAUCCGAGUGUUGUAGCAUCCCUGCAGGCCGUGUACUACCUCAUAUGAUAAUGACCUUAAAAGAAAAGUUGACCAUUUCGACGUUACAAACAAUUGUCAUGUUGAACACUUUUCCAUAUGAGGCCAUCUAGAUGACCAUACGGGCCAAUCUCUACCUUCUAGUUGAGUCACUCGGAUUCGGAACCCCUUUAAAUCGGUCGAGUCACUCGGAAAUUUUUUUUCACUCUGUAUCCAUGACUCCGUGGCCGAAAUUCCACUCGUAUUUGGAAACUUUUCACUCGGUCAUCAAGCCUUCACUCGGAUAAUUAUACUUUCACUUGGAAUUCAUGCAUCUCACCCAAGUUCCACUCGUGUUUAGAAACUUUUCACUCGGAUGGAAAAUUCCUCUCAGAUGGCAAACUCCUUUUGGAUGACAAACUUUCCACUCGGAUGGAAAAUUCCACUCAGAUGGCGAACUCCACUCGGAUGGCAAACUUUUCACUCGGAUCCACGAGUGAAACUUCAGUCUGAUCUUGUUUUGUCCCUUCAGGUCGAACACGAACUCGGAUUGAGACAAAAUAUAUAUCAAAAUCGAUCGGCUCGACGAGGCGAACACAAUUCCUGUUGAACAUUUUUCCAUAUGAGGCUGUUUUGUUGGCUUAAAAGGCCGAACAACACUCUGAAUAUGAAAUCUCAGCACUUCGAACACAGUUUCGGGCUUCAAUAUCAGAUUGGACAGCGAUGGCCCAAACUCAAAAUAUUCAUGUCAACACCACAAAACUCUUUUAUGUGGAACACUUCUCCCUUUGAAUCCAUCUUUAUAAGAUUUUCUUCCGUGCCAAAAUACGGGUCAACACAUGCCCCCCUAUUUUUCGGCAAAACUUGUGUGCCGAAAAAUAACUUGCACACGUCUGUUCUCAUGACGAUGUGAACACUCCAUCGGCUCGGCCAUCUAUAUUUCUCAGGGUGAUAAUCAUGUAUCGGCCAUUGCCUACUCAAGCUUCUUGCCAUACACUCGGAUGAUAUUUUUUCAGAUAUUUACCAUUGAGGGCUUGAGGUAGCAUCGUCCCUUGAAUUGUUUCCAUUAAAUAUGAGUUUCCAAGAACUAUUCUCGCAAUCCUAUAAGGGCCUUCCCAGUUCGGAGACCACUUCCCGAACUUUCUAUCUCUCGAGCCAAUCGGUAGGAUCACUUUCCACACAAGAUAGCCAACUUGGAAAUUCUUCAGUUUGACCCUUUUAUUAUAAGCUCUGGCCACUCUUAACUUGUCCUUUUCUAUGGCCUUUAAAGCAACUAAACGUUUAUCGGCCACUUCAUCAAUAAAAGUCUACGACCGAUAAAUCAUUUUGUUUGGCUAUUCGCAAAGCACUCAAGUUUACUUCAGUCGGUAAAACAGCCUCCUGACCAUAUACUAGCUCAAAAGGGGUUACCUUUGCAGCACCGUGCUUUGAUAUUCGAUGUGCCCAUAAAGCCUCAGAUAGCAGCUCAUGCCAUCUCCUUGGAUUAUCCUCAAUUUUCUUUUUGAUGAGCUUGAUCAAUAUUUUAUUGCUAGAUUCAGCUUGUCCAUUAGCUUGGGCAUAAUACAGAGAGGAAUUGAGCAUCUUUAUCUUAUAAGACUCGGCAAAUUCUUUAACUUGAUGUGACAUAAAAGACUAACCUUGAUCUGUAGUCAAAGUUUGCGGGAAUGCCGAAUCUGUGAAAAAUGUUCUCAGUUAUGAAUUGAAUCACCUCCGUAUGUCUCAUGUUCUUGAGAGGUACCGCUUCAGCCCACUUAGUGAAAUAAAUAGUCGCUACUAAUACGAACCGAUGCCCCUUUGCAGAAGAUGGGUGAAUUUCUCCAAUGAAGUCCAAACCACACCCCCUAAAAGGCCACGGUUUGAUAAUAGGAUGUAACAUAGCAGCAGGAGCCAACUGAAUAUCACCAAACUUUUGACAAGCCUCACACCCUUUAUAAUACCUGAAGCAAUCAUUAAUCAUCAUCGGCCAAUAAAAUCCAGCAUGUCGCAAUAACCACUUCAUCUUAGGAGCCAACUGACGAGUUCCACAAAUGCCUUCAUGUACCUCUCCCAUAGCAAUCCUGUCUUGAUCUUCAUCCAAGCACUUCAAAAGAACAUCAUCAACUGUUCGGCGAUAAAGGUCAUCAUCCCAGAUCACAUAUUUGAAAGCCAUACGCCGAAUAGCCUUGUCCACCCUCUCACUCGGAUCACAUAAGUAAUCAAUAAUGGGCUUUCUCCAGUCUGGAUUUUACUGUUCGACAUUCUCCAUUAGCUGCCAAAGUUGUGUUUUGUUCGGCCUCCCUCACACUCGGAAAGCUAGACAUCAGCUUUACAGAGAUAUGAAACAUGCCUCGAUCAACAUGAUAGUCAGAUGCUUGUUGUGUCAAAUCAUUCGCUCUCCAAUUGUCAUGUCUAGAUAUAUGAGCAAUGCCAAAAUAAUCCAAAGCAGAAAUUAUAUCUAGACAUUUGUCCAGAUAAAUAUUAAGUGAUUCUUCAAUACACUAAAAAACACUGGAUAUUUAUUGUACCAGUAAUAACGAAUCACUAAAAGCCUCAAUAUGUGUAGUGCCUAUAGCCAUCAACAUCUCUAGGACAAAUAAGAGUGCUUCAUAUUCGGCUUGAUUAUUUGUGCAAAAAUAUUCCAAUCGACACGAGGCUUCAAAAACAGCACCAUGGGGAGAUAUAUAAACAAUACCAACACAGUGGCCAUUGUUACAAACUAAACCAUCAAAAUAUAAUCUCCACGGUACUACCGAGACAAUGUUUAGAUCAAUAUCGUGUUUGUCACUAAUCUGAUGCUCAACAAUGAAAUCAACAACUAUUUGGCCUUUCAUGGAUUUUAAAGAUUCAUAGGCCAAAUCAUAUUCAAUCAAAGCAUAAGCCCACUUGCCAAUUCUACCACUAAGAAUCGGCCUAUGCAACAUGUAGUUAAUGACAUCGGUUUGACAAGCUAUUAUGCAAGCACUCGGUACUAAGUAAUGUCUCAGUUUGGUGCAAGUGUAAUAUAGACAAAGGCAUAAUUUUUAAAUAAAUGUGUACCUUGUCUCGGCGUCCAACAAUCGCCGACUCAAAUAUGUAAUAGCAUGCUCUUUUUCUUCGGUCUCUUGGGUCAAAACAGCACCAAUAACACCUUCCUCCGCUGCAAUGUAAAGUUUGAAUGGCUCCCCAUGUCUAGGUGCUUUCAUUACCGGAGGAGUGCACAAAUAUUCCUUGAUCAUAUCAAAUGUUUCUUGUUGUUUUGCCCCCAAGUAAAGUCAGCAUCAUUCUUUAACCGAAGGAUGUGAGUGAAUGCGUCGACCUUGCCUGACAAGUUGGCUACGAAUCUCCUCAAAUAGUUGACCUUGCCAAGGAAUUUUUGCAUAUCUUUCUUACAUGUUGGAGCUUCUACUUUCUGUAUAGCCUCUAUUUUCUUAGGAUGAAUCUCCACACCAUUUUCAUGAAUGAUGAACCCCAAAAACAUCCUAUCUGAUACACCAAAUGCACAUUUCGAAGGAUUCAUCUUCAGUCCAUAUUUCUUCAUUCUUUCAAAGGCUAAACGCAAAUCGGCUAGAUGAGAUUCAAAAGCAUCCGAUUUGACAACAAUGUCAUCGAUAUACACCUCAAGUAUGUCACCGAGUAAAUCAUGAAAAAACAAAUUUAUAGCCCUCUGAUACGUUGCACCAACAUUUUUUAAUCCAAAGGUCAUUACUGUCCACUCGAAUAAACCAAGAAAACCAGGGAAACGGAAAGUUGUUUUGGACAUGUCCUUUUCGGCCAUAAAAGUCUGGUUAUAUCCCGCAUUAGCAUCAAGAAAACUAAUGACCAUAUGUCCAGAAGCAUCAUUAAUAAGCAUACCAGCUAUAGGCAUGGGAUACUCAUCUUUGGGUGUAGCCCUAUUCAAAUCUGUGAAAUCAAUGCACACCCUCAACUUACCAGACCCCUUUUUGUCUACCGGUACAAUGUUAGAAAUCCACUCGGCAUACCUGCAAGGUCUAAUAAAAUUAGCUUUCAGCAAUUGACCGAUCUCCUCCUUGAUUCGGUCGUAUGUUUUUGGAUUAAACUUUCUAGCCGAUUGUUUCUAAGGUCUAAAACCGGCUUUUAUAGGUAAUCGAUGGUCCACCAAUUCUUGGCUUAAACCUGGCAUCUCAUGAUAUUCCCAUGCAAAACAACAAACAUAUUCUUUCAAUAGCCCGAUCAACUCAGCUUUACGAUCGGCUCUAAAAUUCUUGUUUACAAAAGUCAACCGAGUGAUUGAACCAUCUCCUAUAUCUAUCUCCUCUAAUGGAUCAGCCGAAGUAAAACCUUGUCCUAAUUUAUCCAUGUCAUCUAACUCCUCUAUAGACUCAUACAUAUCGUUCUCACUGGACCGAUAUUUUGCAAGACGUUUCUGUAACCACUCGGAAUUAGAAUCCAUUUAAACAUAUCAUACCUUGGAGCCGAUUGCCUCCAACCGGCUUUAAAGAAAUUGGCACAAAACCACUCUUUGUAGCGCUGAGAAAAUCAAACUGUGAUAAGUCACGCCCUGUCAAGCAAGUAGCAUUGGGAUGUUGCCAAUCCACUGAUGCAUCGUCCAAAGCAACACAAGUCAAGUUAUCCACAUGAAUGACUUCCACUUCAUCGUCAACCCAAUGAAUUAAGAACUGGUGCAUAGUAUAUGGAAUGCACUGGUUUGCAUGAACCCAAUCACGGCCUAAAAUCACGUUGUAAUUACCUUGCACCUGGCGACAAAGAAUGCAGUAGCCAAAGUUUUGCUCCCGACUGUAAGCUCUACGUACAUGACACCUUUGGCUUCAGUUUUUUCUUUGCAUUCAAACCCAUUGAGCACCAUAUUGGUCUUGAUUAAUUCAUCACCGGGCAAACCCAAUUUCUUGAAGACCGACUAGGGCAUGAGAUUCACCACAACACCACCAUCAACAAGCCUCCGAGUGAGUGGUGAUCCAUUGAUAUGACCUCUAAGGUACAAGUGCGUCACUGGUUCUUUUGGCUUCUCGAAUAUUGCAUUUUUAGGGCCAAAAUCUAGUUGAUCCACCUCCCCUUCUUCAUCCACAGCACAAAAUUCAGCGGGUAGAUAGUACACCAUAUUGGUAUCGAUACCUUCAUGAAACGGUGGAGGCUCAUAGUCCAAAACAUCAUCUCCAUCCUCAAGCAUGUCCAUUGGCUCUGAAAUAUCUCGAAGUGAAGAAGUAGUAAAAGGUGAAGUGGACGACGUAGUAGCGGCUGCAUCGUUCUCCGUCAGUGGUGUGGGUGUUGCUGUGAUAGGUGUAGAAGCCGCUGCAUCUUGCAUUGGUCCAGGCUUCCAUACUUGCUUUGUAGGUAACAUGGGUCGAGUAUUAUUGAACAAUUCAUCCCUUCGUUUCUCGGCCUCUAGUUCUGCCAUCUCUUGAUUCCUUAACCUCUGUAGUUUCCUCUUUUGCAUUUUCAUUAGCCCUGGAGGACACCACUUCGGUUGAGUGUAUUUGGGAUCUCGUGGCUUUGCUUGGCUAGUACUUGCCUCAUGAUCAUUAGUCGAAUGCUUUGGUUCGAUGGCGAGUAUCGGCUUGGUCGGAUUGUUGUGCAUAGUCGACUGUUGUAUGGUGAAUGUUUUGUCUCCUAAGAUGAGUGAAUCUGUAUUGACUUUUUCCUUGCCUUUUCCUGAAUCCACUACUGCAGCACUUGGCAACUUGACACGCCACUCUUGUUGACUUUUAUGGCCUACGAAAUUUUCACUCGGACGCACCUUUUUAUUUGGAUGAAAUCCACUCAAACGUUCAACUGAGUAAAAUCCACUCGACCGUAUUCUUUCAUUCCGAUAACUUCCACCCAGGUGCAUUCUUACACUCGAAUACUUUCUGAGUGAUGAACACUAAUAUUUAGUCGGUUUUCAUUCGAGCCAAGUCGAUCCCAAAUAGGUUGUCGUCGUUCUUAUGGAAACGAUACCCUCGAUCCAGUCGGUUUUGCAUACCGACUGAACAUAUCAGCUUAUGGUGACCUUGGUGGCUUUAGGUAUGAUCACCGAUUAGAGCUAAAACCGGCCAAUUGACUAGCAUAUUUGGACAGCAGCAUGUUAAAAGUUGGCUUGAUCCACUUACGAUGUACCUUGCCUUCAUUCUUCUUCCACCUGCCAACUUCUGGAUUCUUGGGCUUAACAAACUUGACAUGAGUGUUCCCUUGUACUUGUGGUUGCCCCCUGAGUGUAGGGUGAUACGCCUCCAUCGUAUCUACUUUUCCAAAUACUUUUCCCUUUCUUUUGGACUCUAAUUUGCAUGAUUUGAAUGGAACUAACCCGGACUAACACUGUUUUUAGCAGAAUUGCCAUGGUGUUGUUUUUGCGCAAAAAUAAAAGUUCUCGGAAUGACUUGAAAAUUUACGGAGAAUUUUUGUGGAAUAUAUAAAAAUACUAGCGCAACAAUCAACGUAGGAAGUGGAGCUGUGAGCCCACAAGCCCACCAGGCGCGGGCCCCUCUGGCCAUGCCUGCCAGGCUUGUGGGGCCCACAAAGCUCCACCGCCUCCAAUCUCAGCUCUAUUUAGCCUCUUUCGUCCGGAAAAAAAUCAAGGAGAAGAGUUCAUCGCGUUUUACAUACGGAGGCGCGCCACCUCCUGUUCUUCCUCUGGAGGGCAGAUCUGGAGUUCGUUCUGGGCUCCGGAGAGGGGAGAUCGUCGCCAUCGUCAUCACCAACCUUCCUUCAUUGCCAAUUCCAUGAUGCUCUUCACCGUUCAUGAGUAAUCUCAUCAUAGGCUUGCUAGACGAUGAUGAGUUGGAUGAGAUCUAUCAUGUAAUCGAGUUAGUUUUGACGGGGAUUGAUCCCUAGUAUCCACUAUGUUCUGAGAUUGAUGUUGCUACUACUUUGCCAUGCUUAAUGCUUGUCACUAGGGCCUGAGUGCCAUGAUUUCAGAUCUGAACCUAUUAUGUUGUCGCCAAUAUAUGUGUGUUUUAGAUCCUAUCUUGCAAGUUGUAGUCACCUACUAUGUGUUAUGACCCGGCAACCCCGGAGUGACAAUAGCCGGAACCACUCCCAGAGAUGACCAUAGUAUGAGGAGUUCAUGUAUUCACCAACUGUUAAUGCGUUGGUCCGGUUCUUUAUUAAAAGGAGAACCUUAAUAUCCCGUAGUUUCCAUUAGGACCCCGCUGCCACGGGAGGGAUGGACAAUAGAUGUCAUGCAAGUUCUUUUCCCUAAGCACGUAUGACUACAUACGGAAUACAUGCCUACAUUACAUUGACGAACUGGAGCUAGUUACAUAUCUCUCCGUGUUAUAACUGUUGCAUGAUGAAUAACAUCCGACAUAAUCAUCCAUCACCGAUCCAAUGCCUACGAGUCUUUUCCUAAUCGUCCUUGCUAUGUUACUUUGCCGCUACUGUUGUCACUACUGCUAUUGUUACUUUGUUGCUACUGUUGUUACUUUGCUGCUACUGCUGUCACUUUUCUGCUACUGGUUACUGUUGCUACUGCUGCUAUCAUACUACCUUGCUACUGAUACUUUGCUGCAGAUACUAAAUCUUUCAGGUGUGGUUGAAUUGACAACUCAACUGCUAAUACUUGAGAAUAUUCUUUGUCUUACCCAUGAGUCGAAUCAAUAAAUUUGGGUUGAAUAGUCUACCCUCGAAAACUGUUGCGAUCCCCUAUACUUGUGGGUUAUCAAGACUAUUUUCUAGCGCCGUUACCGGGGAAGCACACCUAUAUUCUCCGAGUCACUUGGGAUUUACGUCUGCUGGUCACUAUGAGGAAUCCGAAAGAGCCAAGAACUAAAGUCUUGCCCUCAACUACGAGGACAAGUAAGAACUGCCAUCUAGCUCUGCACUUGAUUCACCUUCAGUUAUGAGUACGUUUGCGACACUACCUCCUGCUAGAAAUAUUGAUAUGUCGCCUGUGCUUGAUGAUGCUACUUCUGCUGCCCAUGAUGCUUACGAUGAUGCUAUGCUUGAUACUGCUUUUCCACUAGGUGCAUUCCUUGAUGCACAAAUUGCUAGAGUUAAUGCUAGAUGUGAUGAUACUUCUGAAACUGUUGAUAAUAUUGAAGUAGAACCUCCUAUUUUUCCUGUUAGAACUAGCUCUCCUAGAUAUGAAUUGCCUGAUAUGCCUGAGUGUUAUGUUAUGGAGGGAGAGAUAAUUGAGGACUUUCUUGCUUGUAAGGAUAGCUAUGAUGUUGAGAACUUACUAUGCAAGUGGAAAGAAAAAUCUUUGAACGCCAGGAUGAAAUACGACCCAAAGUUUGCUACUUUGCCUAUCUUUGUGACCGAUAAGGAUUAUGAAUUCUCUGUCGACCCUGAGUUAAUCACUCUGGUCGAAUAUGAGUCUGAAACGGUUGUAGCCCAUCUUACCAAACUGCACGAUAGAGCCACCCUAUUCACUAGUGAGGAAAAGAUCCGCCACUACUAUAUCCUUAAGUUGUUUCCUUUCUCGCUAAAGAAUGAUGCUAAGACUUGGUUCACUUCUCUUGCUCCUGGUUGUGUGCGUAGCCCCCAGGAUAUGAUCUACUACUUCUCUGAGAAAUAUGUCCCUGCCCUUAAGAAGCAACCUGCCUUGCAGGAAAUAUACAACUUUGCGCAAGUUGAGGAAGAGAGUCUCCCACAAGCUUGGGGGAGGCUCGUCCAGCUACUGAAUGCUUUGCCUGAUCACCCUCUUGAGAAGAAUGAAAUACUUGAUAUCUUCUAUAAUGGACUUACUGAUGCUUCUAGAGACCACAUAGAUAGUGGUGUCAGUUGUGUUUUUAGAGAAUGAACCAUAGAACAAGUUGAAAUCCUAUUGAAUAACAUCUUGUGCAAUGAAAAUGCUUGGACUAUUCCCGAACCACCUCCUAAGCCAACUCCGAAGAAAAGAGGUAUUCUAUUCCACAAUCCUGAAGAUAUGCAAGAAGCUGAGAAAUCUAUGAAAGAGAAAGGCAUUAAAUUUGUAGAUGUAAAAAAUCUACAACCUAUCGAAGAGAUCCAUGGUCUUGAUAACCGAAUACAGGUAGUAGAGGUAAAUUCUCUUCAUAGAUGCAAUGAGAGUGAUAUUCCUCUUGAUAAACCUGCUAGCUUAUGCCUAGAUGAAUUUGAUAACUUUGUUGCCAAAGAACAAAGUUUCAAUGAUUAUGUUAGCAGACAAUUGGAACGGAAUGCUCGUAUGCUUAGUCAUUUAAGUGCUUGUGUGGACAAAAAUGUCAAUGAUCUUAAGCUCUUGAAUAGACAUGCCUCUAUGGUUACUACUCAGGUAGAACAAGUACUUAAAGCUCAGAAUGACUUGCUCAAUGAGUUGAAUGACAAUUCUGUCAAAAUCGUCACUAGAGGCGGUAGAAUGACCCAGGAACCUUUGUGUCCUGAGGGUCAUCCAAAGAGAAUUGAACAGGAUUCUCAAGGAGUUAGCACUGAUGCACCUAGUCAUCCUAGGAAGAAGAAGAAAGAUGAUAGGAACUUGCACGCUAGCAACCCUGUUGCUGCUACACCUAAGAGUCCAAACGAUGUCUCUGUCUGUGAUGCUGAAACACAAUCUGGUGAUGAACAUGAGGCUAAUGAUAAUAUCAAUAGUGAUGUUCAUGAUGAUGCUCAGCCUAGCAAUGAUAAGGAUGUGGAGAUUGAACCUGUUGAUCUUGAUAACCCACAACCUAAGAAUAAGAGAUACGAUAAGAACGACAUCGCUGCUAGGAAGCAUGGUAAAGAAAGGAAACCAUGGGUUCAGAAACCCAUGCCCUUUCCUCCUAAAUCAUCCAAGAAAAAGGAUGAUGAGGAUUUUGAGCGAUUUGUUGAAAUGAUCAGACCUGUCUUUCUGCAAAUGCGUUUGACACAUAUGCUCAAAAUGUCUCCGUAUGCUAAGUACAUGAAGGAUAUUGUGACUAAUAAGAGGAGGAUACCUGAGGUUGAGAUUUCCACCAUUCUUGCUAACUAUACCUUCAAGGGUGGAACUCCUAAGAAACUAGGUGAUCCCUGUGUGCCCACUAUACCUUGCUCCAUUAAAGGAAACUGCGUUAGAACUACUUUAUGCGACCUUGGAGCCGGUGUUAGUGUUAUGCCUCUCUCUCUCUUUAUCGUAGACUUGAACUGGAUAAGCUGACACCCACUGAAAUCUCUCUGCAAAUGGCUGACAAAUCAACUGCUUUCCCUAUCGACAUUUGCGAGGAUGUGCCUGUUGUGGUUGCUAACGUUACUAUCUUAACGGACUUUGUUAUUCAGGAUAUUCCCGAGGAUGAUGCCAUGGUGGUCAUCCUUGGAAGACCCUUUUUAAACACUGCAGGGGAUGUUAUAGAUUGCAACAAAGGCAAUGUCACUUUCCCUGUCAAUGGUAAUGAGCAUACGGUGCACUUUCCGAAGAAACAAUAUCGAAUACAUUGCAUCAAUGCUAUCAAAAAACUUUAUCGAUUCUUAUUGGAAGCUUUGAAUGCCCUAUUCCUCCUGUUAACAUGAAGUAUGAUUUUCUUGUUGGGGAGAUUCACAUCCCCAUUGAGGUAACCUAGUGACUAUUCGAAAAUUCUCCAUCUUCUUUUGCGAUUCGAAAAAGUUUGUCAAGGAGACUUGAUCAACCUCAUUAACUGAUUUCUUUCGAUGAUCAUGAGAUGGAUGAAUCGAUGAGUCACAAACCUCUUUUCCAAGCUUACACCUUCGGUUGCUUAGAAGAAAAAUGAUAGGUUUAGUUUAGUUUUCCCUGUUUUAUGUUUUAGCGUCCUGUAGAAAAGUACCCCGAAGAUAGAAGUUCUCCGAAUGCCGUGAAAAUCAAGUAUGAUUUUUUCUGGAAUUUUUGAAAAGUACUAAGACGAAGAGCUAGUCAGGGGGCUGCACCAGUGGGCCACAAGCCCUGGAGGCGCGGGCACCCCCUGGCCGCGCCUACCAGGCUUGUGGGGCCCACGUGCACCCGCUCCACUUAUUCUAGCUCCCAUCUGCUUCUCCUACCUCUAGAAAAAAUCGUUUCGCAGCUUAAACUCGUGUUCUUGCUCUUCUUGCUAGGAUUUUCGAUCUCCUUGUGCAAAGCCCCAUUUACCGAACUGUUUUGGGGAAAUUACUCCUUGGUAAGUGACUCCUCCAUUGGUCCAAUUAGUUUUUGCUUUAGUUCCUUAUACAUCGUGUAUUUUUGCUGCCUUGGCGACCCUGUUCUUGAGCUUUGCAUGCUAAUUUUAGCUGGCCCCAAGUAGUUUUGAUGUGUAAUACGGCCUCUAGGCACUUGUGGGAGUAGUUGCUACGAGUUUAGUUGAGCCUUGUUCACUUUUCCUUUGAGUCACUGAAAAUUUCAGAAAAGGAAGAUGUUCAGGAGAAACUAUCAUGGUGGUUCCUCAAGCAAGAGAGGUCCCCGUCUUGCGAUUCGGGAGCCCGAUCCUUACCAACCGACGAACGCACAGGUACAACCAUGUGAAUGGCCUUCUGAUGAAUUCAUGAUUGAGGCAGGUUCCAAAGACGAGUUUGAUACACUUGUUCACAACGUCGGACUUGAAGAAUUCAUCUCCGGUAAAUGUGAACAGUAUGUUACUCUCACUGCCUCUUUUGUUCGUAGAUUCAAAUUUUCAGUUGGCCGUGAUACAUUUGUAUUGUUUGGUCUCUAUGAAAAAUUGUAUACCAUGUAUUUAGAGGAUUUCAAUAGAAUUUGCAAGAUACCUAUUUGGGUAGUCUUAAUGAUCCUCCUAAAUCUUCGGUUAGAGAUUUUUUUCUCUGGUAUAACCGUUGGAGAAACUAGAGAUAUUACACAGGCUACCAUGGGGAGCAUUCAUUUUCCUUCCUUGCAUUAUUUCGCCAUCUUCGUAGGCAAAUGCAUUAAUGGCAAGAUUGAGCAUUGUCACCUCUGCGCACCCGACCUUAGUAUUCAUAAGAGCACAGUAACGAGUGAUAGAAGUUUCAACAUGGGAGCUAUAAUAGCAAGGAGGCUGAAUAAUAAUGCUAAUGAAGGGGAUUUCUUUGGUGGGAUCUAUGCCACUCGCAUAGAAAAUUUUCUUGGAGUACCCAUCCGUGAAGGAGAUCCCCCGCUCCAUACAGCUGUCCUUGAUUGCACCGCUUUGACACGCUAUCAGUUCCUUGAGAGGGAUGAUGAAUCCCUCCUAUACCGUUUAAUAUUUAACAGGCAACAUGUUUUCCAUAUUACGCUUCCUGCUCGUGCCUUCUUUGACUUUCAGGUAAAACGGAGAUAUUACAUAACCAGAGGAGAGGCAGAGGAGUAUGAGAGGGAGGCAAAGGCUGCUCGUCUCCAUGAGGCAGCUAUUCAGGCAGUGGCUGCAGCGCUCCCGUAUAACCCCCAUUAUGAUUUUGGGUAUCGCCCGGACCAUCCAUGGGAGUAGACCAACUUAGGCCAAAAGCCUAAGCUUGGGGGAUACGUGUUUCUCACCGACUUUAUAUUCUUGCUUACGCUUUCACUUUGUUAGUCGGUGUUCACACUUUUCCACUUUAUCAUCCAUGCUAGUUUAUUUCUUUUUCUCGCUUUCUUCUCGUGUGUUUGUCUAGUUUGACAAAACCUAAAAAUAUUUUCUUUUCUUCUUUUUCUUGUUGGGAGCUUUCCCGUGUAAAUAGUUUUCUUUUUCUUUGGGUUAAGGUAGAAGACCAUGCUUACAAUCUUUAGUGGCUCUCGCAUGCAUAUCUGUUUAUCUGUUAAAGAGCCAUAUUACUUUGUCUUCUCCUUUGUGUUUGCCUGUAGAUUCCAGCUUAGUCCAAUGCACGAGCACUCUUAUUAUUUUUCACAUCAUUCAGUCGUGCAAGUGAAAGGCAAUAAUGACGAUAUAUGAUGAAGUGACUUAGCCUGGAAAAACUGGUAUGAACUCGAUCUAUUUUGUUUUUGUAAAUAUGACUAGCUCAUCGUGCCUGAUUCAGCUUUGUUGUGUGAGAAACAUGUUUGGAAUGAAAACUUAGAGAUCAUAGUUUCUGAUGCCAUGCUUAACUAGGAGCUUAUAAUGGUUUGCCUUGGAUGCCAACAUGAAUCUUGAGAUGACUAUGAUGUAGUAUGAUAGGAUGGUAUCCUCCUUUGAAUGAUUCAAGUGGCUUGACUUGGCACAUGUUCACACAUGUAGUUGAAACAAAAAGAACAUAGCCUCUAUGAUAUUCAAGUUCAUGGUGAUUUAUGUCCUACUCAUGCUUGCACUCAAUGUUGGUUAAUCUCAAUGCAUUUUGAUGACUGUUGUUGCUCUCUAGUUGGUCGCUUCCCAGUUUUUUGCUAGCCUUCACUUGUACUAAGCGGGAAUACUGCUUGUGCAUCCACUUCCAUAAACCCAAAGUUGUUCCAUAUGAGUCCACCAUACCUACCUAUAUGCGGUAUCUACCUGCCGUUCCAAGUAAAUUUUCAUGUGCCACUCUCUAAAUCUUCAAAAAAUAAUCUGUUUUGCAUGCCCGAACUGCUCAUGUGGUGACAGGGGGCUAUCAGUAUCUUCCAUGCUAGGCGUGUUAUCCUCGAUAUGAGUUUAUUCACUAUCAUUCACGAGAAAGGGACGGUAAUUGGAAUGCCCAGUUCCAUGCUCAAAUCGAAAAGAUAAUUCCAAACAAAACUCCCCCUGGAUUGAUGUUGGUAUGGACGGCACCCGAGUAUUCGGCUAGUCGUGGAGUGUGAUUGAUUGGUCGUGGGGGAGUCAAAACUUUACUUUUCUGUUUGGGAACCGCCUAUAGCAUGUGUAGCAUGGAAGAUGGUGAGAACUCUUGGUCAUUGCAUUGACAAAGAAAGCAUGCCACCCAAAAUUAUUAUCUCUGUUUUAAAAGCUUGAGCUAUGGCACUUCUGCAAAUCAAUGCUUCCCUCUGCGAAGGGCCUGUCUAGUUAUGUUCCUGUUGAGCCCUCCUCUUCUUAUAAAAGCACCAAUUAGAGAGCACCUGUGUCAUUUUUAUGCUUUGCUUUUAACUAUGAUUGAGUAUGACUAUGACUGGAUCUUCUUUGCCAUGAAUUAUAAUGUUUAGUCAGCCCUUGGUCUUUGAAAGUCCUCUGCAUUUAUGUUUUGCGGUCUUAGAAAGAGCUGGCGAGAUACCAUCUGUUCGUACUACUUCAUGUUUGUUUUGAUUGAAGUGUUGAUGUUCGAAACUUAUUAUUAUUUGCUCGCUAGUUGAUUAUGCCAUUGAUAUGAGUUUACCGUGAGACCUAGAUGUCAUUUACUUAUGUGGUUUGCUUGUGAUCUUGCUUAAAUUCUGGAUAUGAGUUAGACAUAGUUGCAACAACAAGAUCAAACAGAGUUCGUAAAAGUUUUUCUUUUGUCUCUUUCAGUUUGUCAACUGAAUUUCUUGAGGAAAAGCAAGGUUUUAAGCUUGGGGGAGUUGAUACGUCUCCAUCGUAUCUACUUUUCCAAACUCUUUUGUCCUUGUUUUGGACUCUUGUUUGCAUGAUUUGAAUGGAACUAACCAGGACUAACGCUGUUUUCAGCAGAAUUGCCAUGGUGUUGUUUUUGCGCAGAAAUAAAAGUUCUCGGAAUGACCUGAAAAUUUACGGAGAAUUUUUGUGGAAUAUAUAGAAAAUACUAGCGCAAGAAUCAACAGGGGAAGUGGAGCUGUGAGCCCACAAGCCCACCAGGCGCCCCCCUUGGCCGCGCCUGGCAGGCUUGUGGAGCCCACAAAGCUCCACCGGCUCCCAUCUCAGCUCUAUUUAGCCUCUUUCGUCCGGAAAAAAAAAUCAAGGAGAAGAGUUCAUCGCGUUUUACGAUAUGGAGGCGCCGCCACCUCCUGUUCUUCCUCUCGAGGACAGAUCUGCAGUCCGUUUUCGGCUCCGAAGAGGGGAGAUCGUUGCCAUCGUCAUCACCAACCUUCCUUCAUUGCCAAUUCCAUGAUGCUCUUCACCGUUCGUGAGUAAUCUCAUCGUAGGCUUGCUGGACGGUGAUGGGUUGGAUGAGAUUAUCAUGUAAUCGAGUUAGUUUUGACGGGGAUUGAUCCCUAGUAUCCACUAUGUUCUGAGAUUGAUGUUGCUACUACUUUGGCAUGCUUAAUGCUUGUUACUAGGGCCUGAGUGCCAUGAUUUCAGAUCUGAACCUAUUAUGUUGUCGCCAAUAUAUGUGUGUUCUUGAUCCUAUCUUGCAAGUUGUAGUCACCUACUAUGUGUUAUGACCCGGCAACCCUGGAGUGACAAUAACCGGAACCACUCCCGGAGAUGACCAUAGUAUGAGGAGUUCAUGUAUUCACCAAGUGUUAAUGCGUUCGUCCGAUUCUUUAUUAAUAGGAGAACCUUAAUAUCCCGUAGUUUCUAUUAGGACCCCGCUGCCACGGGAGGAUGGACAAUAGAUGUCAUGCAAGUUCUUUUCUCUAAGCACGUAUAACUACAUACAGAAUACAUGCCUACAUUAGAAUGACGAACUGGAGCUAGUUACAUAUCACUCCGUGUUAUAAUUGUUGCAUGAUGAAUAACAUCCGGCAUAAUCAUCCAUCACCGAUCCAAUGCCUAUGAGUCUUUUCCUACUCGUCCUUGCUACGUUACUUUGCCGCUACUGUUGUCACUGCCGCUAUUGUGACUCUGUUGCUACUGUUGUUACUUUGCUGCUACUGGUUACUGUUUUUACUGCUGCUAUCAUACUACCUUGCUAUUGAUACUUUGCUGCAUAUACUAAAUCUUUCAGGUGUGGUUGAAUUGACAACUCAACCGCUAAUACUUGAGAGUAUUCUUUGGCUUCCCCUUGAGUCGAAUCAAUAAAUUUGGGUUGAAUACUCUACCCUCGAAAAAUGUUGCGAUCUCCUAUACUUAUGGGUUAUCAUAGGGAUACUCAUGGUGAUCUUAAUUAUCUCCUUGCCACCGGGCUGUUUGUCAAGCAUAACUUGUCUCCCCAAGACCUUGUCACUUUCCUUGCUUUUCCUGGGCUCACCUAUCACAACAUUGGACUUAUUAAGAGUUUCGGCUACUUCCGAUCGAAUGAGCAACUUCUUCCCCUCCAAAUCUAUGGUGUUCAUAGGAAAAGGUUGUUUAUCAACUUGCAUCUCAGAAAAGUUUAAUCAUCCACCAUUAAUGGCUGAUUGUAUCUGUCGUCGAAAAACAUUGCAAUCGUUAGUAGCAUGAGAAAAAAAGUUAUGAUACUUGCAAUAAGCACAUCGUUUCAGCUCUUCAAACGGUUGUAAAGUAUGAGAUACUUUGAUAAUCUUAGCUUGUAGCAGAGCAUCAAAUAUUUUUUUCACACUUAGCAAUGUUAAAGGAGAACUUCAUCUCCUCAUCACGAUUCUUAUGAAUCGGUUUCAGAUCAUUGCAAGUAAAUGGUUUGGUCGCCGAUGGCCAAACAAAUUCAGUAGCAUAGAUGUCACCCUCAUCGUCCGAGUGAUCACUAUCAUAUUCAACCAUGUUUACCUUCGGACGAUCAAUUUUAUAUCUAUGCAUUUCUUUAAGAUCUUUACUUCGGCUUUCCUGAGCCAAAGUCCUUUGCAAAAGUUGGUUGAUACUUAAAAACUCAUAGCCUUCUAGCUUUUAUCUUAUGUGAGUCUUCAAACCAUUAAGAACAAGAUCUGCCAAGUCUCUCUCGGUUAUCACCAAACUAUAAUACCGGUUUUUUGUAUCUCUAAAUCUCUUGACGUAAUCGGAGACCGAUUCAUCAUGCUUCUGUUUAACCGAUGUAAGAUGUGAUAACUUAAGUUCAUUGUCGCCGCUAUAAAAAUGAUCAUGAAAUUUCUGCUCUAGUUGCGACCACACGCGGAUAGAGCCAUGUGGUAAGGAAGAAAACCAUGAAAAUGCAGUACCAGUUAAGGACAAAGGAAACAAAUGCACUUUCAACUCAUUUAGUGAACCUGCUUCACCUAACUGGGCUAAGUACUGACUAACAUGCUCCCAUGUGGUUUUUGUGCCCUCUCCAUGAAAUUUAACAAAAUCUGGAAUUUUAUAUCCCGGAGGGCACUGUAUUCCAUCAAAGUACUCGGGAUACGGUUUUUUAUAAAUCCGAUUCCUAGGUAAUUCAACACCAAAGUUUUCUCGAAACAUUUUAGCCAUAUCCUCUCUGAAAUUAGCUAGAGCAUCGUUCGUAGUGGACGAUGAAGCUUGCUGCAGUGAUAUUGGAGGAGUAGGAUUACUAGCGGCAGGUAGGAACUGUGGCACAUAUGCCGAACCAUACUUCGGCAAUGGUCUAGCAACGCUUGCACCUAUAGGUAACGCUUGGUUUGGUGUUGCCACCGAACUUGGUAUGUUCAUGAUAGGACUAAUUGGUGCAGCCACAAUCUGGUUUGUUUGAGCAGGAUGAUAGUUCAUUGGUAUGGUAGGUGCCGAUGCAAUAGGUAUAGACAGAUUAGCGUUUUUUGUACUACUCGGCAUACCAAUAUUAUGAGCAGAUGAUUGAGGCAUAUUCUUCUGAGCAGCAGUAUUUUCCAAGAAAGAUUGAUAAACCAGAUUGUUACCAUUGGCAAUACGACUCUCAAUCUCAGCCCAUUGCUCAGGAGAAAAGGUCGUACUUACACGGGUUUUAACCUGCUCGGCUUGAAGAGGAGGGAACUUGAUUUCUCCAAUCGGAGUGAUAUUGCCUUGGCGAUCCUUCUUGAAGUUUGCGAGAAAUUCUUGCAGCUCCUUCUCCUCGCGUCCCUUCUUGUACUCCUCAUAAGCUUGUCGAUGAUCGGCCGAUAAUUCAUCAAGCUUGGGCUUAAUGAUGUUAUCGGUGUUUACCUCAGAUGGGUUAGGAAGAUCAGACAUGAUGGUUGAUGAUGAUGGUUGAUUUCUUGUCCCCAGCGGAGUCGCCAAAAAGUGUCUUGACACACAAACACGUCAAGUGACCCUCGACGCCGGGGGUGAUGCACUACAGCUCACCUCGAAGGAGAUCUCACCGACAGCGCGAUAGACAAGACAGUCGGCGGAUGCUUUUGAAGACCCGAAACCCCGCAUGCCCGGGAGGGACCCCGUCAGGGAGCGCAACGGCUAUGGGCUUCCCUAGGUCGAUUCGCUCACCCCUAGAGCCUCGGGAUUCAUAGCUCUCGAAUUCAAGGAACAACGCAGAAUGAGAGAUGAAAACGAUGGGAGGAUAAAACAUAGAUGAAAAAGUAGUAUAUUGAUGUUUCGAUUGUGUGUUGUUCAAUCGGCCAUCACCCCCAACAUAUAUAAGAGGCGGCUAGACUUGGCGUACGAGCAAAGGAUUCAUCUAGGCUUUCCUUACAAGAAAACUACAGCAAAUCACGUCCUAGAGUCCUACUUCUAGUCUAACUCGGAUUCAGCCCAAAUCUGGCCCAAUCUUCUUUCUUGUUCCUUGCGUAGGCUGUGAAAUCUGGAUAUGACCUCUCAUUGAGAUGAUUUAUAUAUCAAAAUCGACCGUCUUGAUGAUAUGAACAACUCUCAUGUUUAUCACUUUUCCAAAUAAGGUCAUCUUGAAUACUACACGAAGUCAUCUUCAACUUUGAAUUAGCAUGUGUCAUAUAGCGGAGUGGACGGUCCGAGUGUUGUAGCAUCCCUGCAGGUCAUGUACUACCUCAGAUGAUAAUGACCUUAAAAUCAAAGCUUACCAUUUCGACGUUACAAACAAUUGUCAUGUUGAACACUUUUCCAUCCGAGGCCAUCUAGAUGACCAUACAGGCCAAUCUCUACCUUCUGGUUGAGUCACUCGGAUUCGGAACCCCUUUUAGUCGGUCGAGUGAUUUUCACUCGGACAACAAUUUUCACUUUGAAUCCAUGACUCCUUGGCCGAAAUUCCACUCGUAUUUGGAAACUUUUCACUCGGUCAUCAAGCCUUCAAUUGGAUAGUUAUACUUUCACUCAGAAUUCAUGUAUCUCACCCAAGUUCCACUCGUGUUCAGAAACUUUUCACUCGGAUGGCAAAUUCCUCUCGGAUGGCAAACUCCACUCGGAUGAAAAACUUCCCACUCAGAUGGAAAAUUCCACUCAGAUGGCGAACUCCACUCGGAUGGCAAACUUUUCACUCGGAUCCGUGAGUGAAACUUCAGCAUGAUCUUGUUUUGUCCCUUCAGGUCGCACACAAACCCGGAUUGAGACAAACUAUAUAUCAAAAUCGAUCGGCUCGACGAGGCGAACACAAUUCAUGUUGAACAUUUUUCCAUAUGAGGCUGUCUUGUUGGCUUAACAGGCUGAACAACACUCUGAAUAUGAAAUCUUAGCACUUUGAACACAGUUUCAGCCUUCAAUAUCAGAUUGGACAGCGAUGGCCCAAACUCAAAAAUAUUGAUGUCAACACCACGAAACUCUUUCAUGUGGAACACUUAUCCCUUUGAAUCGAUCUUUAGGAGAUUUUCUUCCGUGCCAAAAUCUGGUGUCAACACUAUCUAGGAGAAACCAGCAACGAGAGAGGUUAUAGAGCAUCUUCAUACCUUUGAAGAUCGCUAAGCGUAAGUGUUACUAGAACACGGUCGAUGGAGUCAUACUCGUAGCGAUUCAGAUCACGGAAGACUCCGAUCUAAGCGCCGAACAAUGGCGCCUAUGCGUUCAACACACGUGCAGCCCGGUGAUGUCUCCUUCACCUUGAUCUAGAAAGGAGAGAGGAGGAGUUGAGCGAGGGAUCCAAAAGAACGAUGGUGUGGUGACGGUGGAGCUUCGUGGUACUCCGACAGGGCUUCGCCAAGCGCUACGGAGGACGAGGAGGAGGAGAGGUAGGCUGCGCCGAGGGAGGAUGAAACUUGUGUGUCUAGCGGCCCCAAACCAUCACAUAUAUAUAGAGGGAGGAGGAGGAGGGUGCGCCACCCCUAGGGUUUCCCUAGGUGGUGCGACAACCCUUAGAUGGGAGGAGCGGCGGGCCAAGAGGAGCAGAAGGCGGCGCCCUAGGAUGUCUUGCGACCCAAGGCAGCCCCCACGCCUAGGGUUACCCCUCCCUUGCCCUCCCUGUGCGCCUUGGGCCAAGGUGGGUGGCGCACCAGCCCACCUAGGGGCUGGUUCCCAUCCACUUUUGACCCACGUGGCCCUUUGGGGCUGGUGGGCACUUUUGGCCCACGUGGCCCUUCGGGCCUGGUGGGCCCUACCGGUGGUCCCCUGGAACCCUUAUGGUGGUCCCGGUACAAUACCGAUGAUUCCCGAAACGUUUCCGGCGAUCAAAUCUCCAUUUUCUAUAUAUGAGCCUUUACCUCCGAAUCAUUCCGGAGCUCCUCGUGACGUCCAGGAUCUCAUUCGGGACUCCGAACAACCUUCGGUAACAACAUAUUAUUCCCAUUACAACUGUAUCGUCCUCGAACCUUAAGUGUGUAGACCCUACAGGUUCGGGAACCAUGCAGACAUGACCGAGACACCUCUUUGAUCAAUAACCAACAGUGGGGUAUGGAUAUCCAUGUUGGUUCCCACAUGUUCCACGAUGAUCUCAUCGGAUGAACCACGAUGUCGGGGAUUCAAUCAAUCCCGUAUGCAAUUCCUUUUGUCUACAGGUAUGAUACUUGCCUGAGAUUGUAUCGGCGGUAUCUCUAUACCUUGUUCAAUCUCGUUAUCGGCAAGUAUCUUUACUAGUUCCGUAAGACAUCAUCACAUGGCUAACUCCUUAGUCACAUUGAGCUCAGUAUGAUGAUGCAUUACCGAGUGGGCCGAGAGAUACCUCUCCGUCACACGGAGUGAUAAAUCUCAGUCUCGAUUCGUACCAACCCAAUAGACACUAUCGGAGAUACUUGUAGUGCACCUUUGAUACACCGAAAGCAUUCCUACAGUAUCCGGGAGUUGCACAAUCUCAUGGUGUAAGGAAACGAUACUUGACAUUAGAAAAGCUUUAGCAGACGAAUAAUACGAUCUAGUGUUAUUCUUAGGAUUGGGUCUUGUCCAUCACAUCAUUCUCCUAAUGAUGUGAUCCCGUUAUCAAUGACAUCCAAUGUCCAUGAUCGGGAAACCAUGACCAUCUAUUGAUCAACAAGCUAGCCAACUAGAGGCUCACUACGGACACAUUGUGGUCUAUGUAUUCACACAUGUAUUACGGUUUUCGGUUAAUACAAUUAUAGCGUGAAUAAUAGACAAUUAUCAUGAACUAGAAAAUAUAAUAAUAACCACUUUAUUAUUCCCUCUAGGGCAUAUUUCCAAUGGGGGACCUACCUGGUUGAAUAUUAGGGGGGGGGGGCGGUGGAGAGUUUAGCAAAGGUAAGUUAUGGUGUAAAAAAGCUAAGGUAAGUUGCGUAACAACACGUAGGUCUCAUGAGAAUCACGAUCGUCAAAAAGAUAUAGUUUGCAUUUCUUUGAAAAUCAGCCAAAAAAACUGGACCGCUUUUAUUAUUGGUUAUAAGUAAAUCACUGGACCUCUUUAGGAUGAAAAUUAGUUCUAAGUCAACUAGGAUUGAUUGUUCACACGUGAAGUAUUUUACUCUCUCUUGUGAAGCUAUUUUAUUCCCCAUCAGAUCUUGCAUGCUCAUGCUCAUACCUUUUUUCCUCGUAUAUGUGGGACCAAAUUUUGCUACCUAAGAUGGCACGACACCAUGGUUUUCACCUUCGGUGAGAUUUCGAUGAAAUAACUGAAUUUCAUUCAUUUCAACACUCACUGCAAUAUUUCCUUUCGGCCAAAAUAAUUCAGCCUCACUGAAUUUCGGCCAAAUAUUUUAGCACUCGGUGAAAUUUUUAUGAAACUUCUAACUAGCGAUUGAAAAAAAUCGGAAACUUCUAACUAGCCAUGUAAUUGUUCUGAAUCUUGUCCAGACUCCGACGAAACAUAAAUACAAAUUUAAGAAUUCUGUUAACCUUCCUAAGCUUCAAAAGUUCAGGUUGUAAAAAGCAAAUAUAUGUUUUAGCGUCUCCCAUGCAGACCAAAUUUAUUUCCAGAAUAGUAUUUGAACCAGUACUGUGAAGUAUUACAACUUGAUUAAUCCGCACUGGAUUAAGAACAUGGCUAGGAAACCAUCUUCGGGACUAAAACCAAACCACACCCUACUCUACCGCUUCAUAACCAAGUGUACACUCCAUAUCUAAGAAUCAACCACUGCUGGACUAAUUGCUUGCGUCUUCAUGAUCCUCAAUCGUAGUUGCAUCCAAUAGGCUAGUAUUGUAUGUCUUCAGCCUUUUCAUGGAUUUCAAUUUGUUGGAGGGCGAAUUAAGAAGGACAACAUGCAGCUCUCUUCUAUAAUUUUUGAUGUAUGCCUGCAUGGGAGGAUAUGUUAGUAUCGUUCCAUAUGUUUACAAAGUUGACAACAUUUUAGGUGUUACUCUACGUACUUGGUCAUCAUGCAGGGCAAGAUCUUCUCCCGUAAAGAAUUCGACGUUCUUCAGCUGUAGAGUGCACAAGAAGAACUACAACAAUUAAAUUUGUUAGCAACAUUUCACGUAUUAACAAUGAAAAACAUAAUUAGAAGCUAAUAUCGGUGACUCGCGUGUCAUCUUGUCUUGGCACAUGAACAUGCUUUACUGUCCAUUGGAUCACGUUAAUGUCUUGCCGUGCAUGGCUUUGUGGUCCAUUGAUUCGCAACGAUACUCUCAGAUGUGCUUCCACCCCACGUAUCUGCCAAGUCCAUGGGAUGAGAAGUUGCUCACGGUUCAUGGUUAGGUAUGAUGCUAAAUCUUGUGUUAUAUUGACAGACGUUUAAAAUCUCACCACGUGAUCCACUUGUGUGCGUACUAUGUAGCUGAAAAGUGAAUCAAGAAUCUGAAUCUCCCUCCUUCUGGGGUUUACGACCACAAGGAACCAGUUGGUGUUCGCCAUGUUCGUAGGUAGGAAAACCUGGACAGCAAAGAUGAUUACAUCAACAUGCAUAAUAAUUAGAAAAAAAUGUGUUUAUGUCAUGGUUAGAUGGUACCAGAUCAUGUCUGAGGUAGUUGUCUCCUUUUUUUGUUCCAUAACUGCCGCCAAAGCGGCCUCGUGGCAGUUCUCUACCUUACCAUCUCUUUCGAGCAUAGCGACGCCGGCCACCCUCUCAAUGUAAACUAGUUGCCCUUCCCUUAUGUCCUUAUGAUGAUCAUGAUGCAUGAUCUGAAUCACAGCAUCAACAAACUAAAACAAAAUUCAAGUUAAUUGUACUGUGCAAAAGAAAAUUGAUAAACUAAUUUGGAAAAUAUCUUACUUCGUGACCCAACCAUUUGUCAUCUUCGCCUCCAUCUGUCAUGGUGAGGCAUUUCAAAUGCGUGUGUAGCAGAACAAUGUCAUCAAUUACCACCAAUUGUUUAUCAAGAUCUGAGGUGUUGACAAUUUCGGCCACGUAAAUCUGUUGAAACUUGUCUAGGUCGGUCUCCAGCCUCGAAGCACCUGUGUCUGUAUCUUUUAAACUCCUUGCACGGUUUUUCCUCUUUGUAUUAUUUGUGUCCUUGGAAUCGUUGGUAGACUCCGAUGGAGUCCUGUUUUUCUGUCUCUUCUUAUCACUAUCGUACAGACCAUAAUCUUCAUUGCUCAAUAAUGAAGAUACCACUCUUUUCCGGCUGCUCGCACAAGUUGGUAGAAUGGAAUCAACCACACUAUCUUGUCGCUGCUUUGCUAAAGAAUCAUCAUAGUUGUCCUCAGCAAUUGGGAAGACAUGGGGCUCUUCCGGCUCCUUUAUUCCCUUAGCCUUGGCAGACCGGUGGUUGCUUUUGGUACCUGCCUCUCCCCCAUCUCAAUACUGACAGCUUUGUCAUCUUGAUUUCUUCUUUCUUCAGCCUUUCACACAUUCUUAUUGUGCCUCAAAUUCAGAGGAUACUGUGAUUCGAAAUAAAGCACUUGUUAGCUUGCAAUCUGUGCGGAAAAAAAACCAUUUAACUGUAAAAUGUGCAUCACCAGGAAAGCUUCAAGGCUUGUGUUGGCUUUGGAAUGCUUUCGCAAAUCCGAACUCGGAGCACCCUGUGAAGCAUCCAGCUCUUUAUAAAGCUGUGAAACAUUCUUGAGACUCUCCUUGCAUGCUGCGGCAAUAGCUCUAUCUUCUUCAUCCUGAACGUGGAAGAUCAUAUGUUAGCUAUGAAUCUGCGUUAACUUAAAACAAAAUCAGUUAGAUGUAAAAUGUGUAUCACCAUGAAAGCUUUAAGGCUUGUGGUGGUUUUUGAAUGCUUUCGCGACUGCAAACUAGGAGCAGGCUGCAAAUCUUCAGCUACGUUCUUCAUGGGGGCAUCCAUGUAAUCUUUUCGUAUUCCCUUAGCACAAAUGCCUUUGGCAAUGACCUCUGUGUCAUCUUUUUGAUUUUGCUGGUGAGUAGUAUUCUCUCCUAGGACCUCCAUUGGCUCCGCAGGUACUCCCAGGUCAGAUAGUUGUACGUCCUCGACUCCUGGGCGAUCAGCAUCAAAUAUUCCAUAGUGGUGGUUCUUUAAAAAAAUGUGUUGGUGUGGAGACUAUUGAUAGUAAAAUUAUUUAUAGAAACUCGUAAUGGUAUACUCACAUUGAAUUCUGUGAUGAGGACGUCCGUGGGUCUGCCGUUCGCAAGGGUAUGCCUAAGGCACUCGUCCAUUUUUUUCAAGGGUGCACAUCCUAUCAAAUUGUUGUGCACUGGUCUCCCGCAGAAUGGAGGCAACUUCUUUCAAAUCAGCCAAUACACGGCUGAUGAGUGCCUUAUCCUACAAAUUACAAGAAGUUAGAAGCAUAUGACUUCGUUUGUACUUGCAAAGUUACAAUAUAUAUUUGUGCAUGAUGUUCAUCAUUUACCUGACCGUCAGUCUUCGGUUUGACCGACGUCCCAACUCAUGGAGGAUUGCAAGGCCGCAGAAGGUCAUCGACAUACUGCAUGUUAGUGUCAUUAGUAUCAUUCAAAAGAUAUGGUAGACAAUCCAAGCACACAAUACUAACACUUUACCUCUCCAACGCCUAUAUAUUUUUUGUUGAUUAUGUUGUCAACCUUUUGUGCCUUCUCAUCACUCCAGUUUUGGAUCAGCGGCCUUAACCCUGAUGCAUACGAGAUGGUAGAGUCCAAUUGGUGCACCCUCCACUUCUCUUAGUACCACGUCUGCAUUACAACAAAAAUAGCAUAGAAAAUUUUCCAUAAAAUUAAAUGUAUGGUAUGUUAAUAAUGAUUGUAUUACCUGCAACAGUGGUAGGUUCCCCUCCAGAUUUGAUCCACCAUUUACAAAUUUCCUGACACUAGCCAUAAGAUGGUCAAGCGUAAGCCGUCCAAAAUUGGUGCUCUUUAUGGUCUCAACGUUUCUAACAAUCCCAAGGUAUCCGUUGUCGACAUACUGCUGUGUUAUCGGGCAUACAUAUUUGCCUAUGGUGUACAAGGCAAAUGGCCUGACAAAAUUAGGUGUGUUGUCGCCUUUCAUCUUGGCUAGCAAUCCUUUCAAAGUUACUUUUGUGUCAUUGGGGCCUUUCAGUUCCUUCCACAACUCCAAAGCAUCGUUGUUAUUUGAAGAGACGUGAUUCUUCCCCAUGCAAGGUAGGCCUGUUAAAUGCUCCACAUCUUUUAGUGUGAUCCUACAUGGUCUCCCAUUAAUUAUAAAGGCAUCCUGCGCUGCAUCAUAUGAAUAAGCGAUGGCCUGGCACAGUAGACGUCUCAUUCUCAUGCCAGGAGUCUUGAGAAGAUCACUCAGUCCAAUCAACUGGAUGUACAUCACUUGGAGUGGGUUUAAUUCUUUUAUGAACUUCUCUUAUUGCUGCAAACAAGCAACCUGAGUUCCCUGAAUAUACAAAUAGUGUGAUUAGAUUUUGUAUGGUAUUCAUUUCAACACGCAUAGAACCGACCAGAUCUAAUCUAUGUCAAUAUCAAAAUUAUGCUCUACAGUACUACAUGAAAUCAUAGAGCUUCUAGGCCAUAUAAUGAACACCAGACAUAGAAAACAAGCUAUCUCUAUUGGCAAGUUGACUGAUAAUAGUAUAUAUUUUAGUAGAAAUAGCAGACUUUGGUCUAUGUACACUACUAAAGUUUCAGGCGUCACGCUUACGAAAAUAAUUACAUGCAUGAUCAGAAGAUCAAUAGUUUAUAAAUAAUCUAAAAAAAUGAUUGUAGGAGUUCCAUUGCAAGCAUUCAAGAGCAUAUACUCCUUAGUUCCCAUCAGAUUCAAAAAGAUCAAUUAGUAAUGACCAUGCAAAAUUAAGGGCAAUCACCAACAGUUUCAAUGACUAGAGACUAAGAACACGCAUAAGUCCAAUCAAUAUGAUGUUCUCCAGUCAACUUGAACGCCAUUUAGAAAGCCUAUGCCAAAAAAUAGCAAUUUCCAAAUUUUAAGGCAUAUAAACAGAUAUGAUAGCUUGAUGUCCAGUAAACAUGACCAUAGUAGUCAGUCGAGCAACCAAAAACACAACUAGGCAUCAUCAAGCAGCCUAAAAAUGUUGACAUGGACCGAAACAUGUGAGCCUAAAAUUGAAUAUAGUACAUACAUUUGAUGUUCUCAAUGCCAAAUAAGUGAUGCAUGCUCAUAUUUCUGCAUGUUUUUACUAAAUCAUGUACAUUGCGACAGUUGAAACGCACAGAACUGACAAGUUGGACCAGUUACCACAAAUUCACAGUGAACAAAUUAAGUACAAACACUAGUCUUGAAUUUCUAGACGUUUAGUGUAAAACAGCCCAAUCAACAAAAAGAGAAAACAACUUACGUACAAAACUACUUUGUAUUCUGUCUACUGCGUAUUUGAUCACGCAUUUAGGAGUACUACGAUUAUUUUGUUGAUUCGGUUGCUGGUUUUAAACAAAGUUAAAUUACUAGUUCCUCCUUUCCAUAUUGUUACACGUAGAACUUUUCAGCACAGAAAUUAGCACAAGUUUCAUUACAGAGAGAGGCAUUCACGACUGAAAACUAAGAGAGGAAGGCAUCCACGAUCUCCCUUCAGUUUUUCUCAAGCACAUCUAGAUGUGCUCUAAGUAUUGCAAAUCUAAGUCCUAUGUAAUUGAUUUUAUGCUAAGACUCGUGCAAGCAUUGUUUUGUCCUUUUUUAUUUUCUUUCUAGAUUGAUUGAGUCACUUUGAUGUGCAAUAAUUAGGGCACAUCUAGAUGUGCAAUAAUUAGGGCACAUCUAGAUGUGCCUUAGACACACCCAUCUUCCUUCAGUAAAUAGGGAUAGUUUGUUAUGGUUCUAAGUAAAUGAGAUCAAAAGGCAAGUGCGCCGUAAAUUAUGGGAUUGGAUGCAAAAAAUUAGACUUGGAAAGGCGAGAGUAUAUAGAAUAGAAGGAUCUCGAUCGUUACCGGAAGAUUCUCUCGAAGGCGAUCGGCUCCAUUGCUGUUCACUUUCAUCUUUUGCUUCGUCGGCUUCUCUGAAGUGCCCUUCUCUUUCGUCGGCUUCUCUGACAUGACCUUCUCUUUCAUCUCAGGAUUCGCCGACGCGGGCUUCGAAGAUGACGGCUCCUUUGGCUUCUCUGACCUGGGAGCUACUUUGGGCGGCGUGGGUUGGUAAUUCGGUGUAGUCAUGGAAGGCAUGGUCUGGGAGGUGUGGGGUGGAGUAUACGAUCUAUGCCGUAAAAAGCUUUGUAUUUAUAGGGGAUUCUCUAACAACCGACCAUAAGGAAAUAUUGGAAAUUUGGGAUCUCACGAAGAGGUAGCGUUAGAUCACGUAAUGUUAUUUUAGCAAGUGUUUUUUGAGAUUUUUUUUGCAAGUUUAGAUCAGUAAUCUCAACCGUGAAGCACUUGGGCUUAUUGUGCUUUCUUAUACGGUCCUAUUAUAAUUGGAUGAGCCCAUUUUAAAUGAAAACUUGAGAAAGGAAAGAGAGGACUCCAACAAGCGGGAGGAUUCCGACAGACAGGACGAGUUCCGUCCCAAUUAUUUAGGACGGGCAUGCGCGAGGGCGCUUCGUCCCCACUGCCACGACUCUCCAAAAACAGUUCCUCAACCUCUGCGUUGUGUUGAGUACACGAACAAGGCUAGAUGUGUUGAGUACUGCAUUUGCACAUUCAAAUACUGGUUGCACAACAACGACGAGAAGAUAGUUGCACUGGAUGUGGAGUUCACCUGGCCUCGUGGUCCAACACAGAUGGCUGUCGUGGUCCAGUUAUGCGUUGGCAUCUACAUCCUCGUGUACCACAUAAGCGUUGCUGAUGAGCACCGCGGCCUGCUGGCCGCCUUCCUGCUCGACGAGGAGUACACCUUUGUUGGGGUGGACGUCAACAAUAACCAGAAAAAACUCAAGCAUGUUGGUCUGGUGGUAUGAAACUUUGUGGAUAUCCAGAAUAUGUGGAGAGUGCCUGAUCCAGUGAUGAUUAAGGCAAAGUAUGGCUUGGCUGACUACGCUAGUUCCAUCAUCCACCACAGCUACAACAAGAUGAAGGAUGCUAUCACAGAAGAUGACCACCAUAUAUGGGAAGAAGCGCCCUUGCCCUUGAAGAACAUCUAUUAUGCUUCGAGGGACGCGUAUGCCACCUACAAUGUAUAUAGGCGCUUGGUGAAAUUCGAGAAGGGGUUCGAGAGCCAGUGCCAGCAUCUCACCAAACCAUCUAGGCAGUCGAGGAGGUCCAUAAGGAAGAAUGAAUCAACCUAAAAUGUUUCUUCUAUUUAUCUAGCUGAUAGUCUGUAAACUUUAUUAUACUACUAGUAAGUCGUAAGUUCAAAUUACCUGCAAGUUGAAUCAUCCUUUAUUCUAGCUGUCUACCCUAAUUUGAUCCAUGUUCACGAGAUAUUAUACUUAAGACGUUUACUUUAUUUCGGUUUUGCUAGCUAUGAUACAAAAUGCGAAAGCUAUUUUUACCAAAAGAUUAUUUCAUAUUUAUAAUAAAUACUGUUCUCAACUGGGUUUGAAUAGAGAACGUUUAUUUUUUACUGAAAAUAGAAAGUUUUUUUAAAUCAAAAGAGGGGUCGCCCCCUCUGAUUUUCCAUUAACAGAAACCACAUGGUCUUUCAAGCCCGUGAUACAAACUACAGCUAGAAACUAAACUAAUCAACUAGCAGCACAAAUCAUACAUGGUAGCAAGACCUAUCAGACUUAACAUGAAGGUACAAAAAAUAAAACUAUGACAGAGGACAGAAAUACAGCUGAGAGAUGCGCAGGCGACACCACAGUACCCUGUGACUCCACACUUGCAAUGAUCUGUACAAUUCACUUGCUAGGUGCUCUAGCAGCUUUGCUCCCAGCAUCGCCACCUCUUUGUUAACCACCUUCAUCUACAAUAUAGACCAUCCCAUGAUCCACAAGCAAAUUAGCUAAACAAGAAUCAAAAGAUCACUAUACCAUUUAUUUUGUAAUCUCAUAUUAUUCCCGCAUUACCAAAGAGUUAAGAACACACCUGAUGCCCUUCCUGCAUCUCCUACGCAAACACUCAUAGGUAGUUCUACCAUAUUAACUCCAUGAUUUAAAUUAUUAAUAAAAACCCCUUAACGAUUCCAUUUGCAUAACCAUCGUUCAUGAUUAUAGCCAGGGAAUCAGCAACCAAUAAAGCAACCACCUGUGUAAGCCCUAUUUUGAGUCCUGAAUAGGGCCCACACCUAGCAUAGACAGAAUAAAGACAUAAUAAAGACGUAACCCCAUAGAUGCAUAAUUGUUAUCAACAUAGUUUUCGCACUAUACCUAGUGUAAGGCCAACUCCACCGCACGACCACAAAUUGUUCGGGUGUGUCCGUUUGAGGUAAAACGGACAAAAUAGAUGACCCACCGCACGAGAGCAUACCCACUAUUUUCCAUGUCUGUGUCUGUUUCUACCCUACUUCCACACCAAAGUUGGUCUGGGUUUGGGGUCCAAAGGCGACAAAAAAUGUCCGCCUUCACGUCCUCUUCGUCCGCAUGUGUCUGNAGCGACCGGAUCUGACCAAGCUCUCAGAAAUGGGGUAGAAAUGGGGUAGCAGCGUUGGGUGCAAGGACUUUGUCCGGCCUGUGUACGGCGUUCGUUGUCUGUUUUUCUACCACAAACAAACAAAAUUCUAACGAAACCGGACGUCCGUUUGGGGUCGCGCGGUGGAGUUGGCCUAAAGGACACUCUUGUGUUGUUGUGCUACAUUUGUGGCUCCUCAGUCAACAUGUUCAUAACCACCUUGAUCUGAAUAUCUUCAUGGGUGGUGGUCUUGAAACCGAAAAGAACGGCUUUAUGAAACUUGAGCUCUUCACUGUCAACAAAAUCACUGCAUCCCUUGCGGAAGAUGAUGCGGCCAUCAUCACACUUGUGGUACUUGACCGGCAUGAAACUGUCCUUGCACAACCGAAUGGCAGCAAGCCCAUCUCCCGGUAUCUCCCCAUCUCCUCGGGUCUUCAGGGCGUCGACAACUUUCGCCGUUAAUCUUUGUAUGCACCAUAAUAGGAAGUAAUAUUAUCCAAUAUGUGAAGGAACAGUAAACAAAAGGAUCUUCAGCUACAUCUACGUAUAUUACAUAAAGAUCUUCAGUUAUGGGAAACAAAAGGAUAUGCAAAAACACACAUCAGUGUAUUCACUCGUUUCAGCUACAAUAGCAUAUCAUUCAUCUUUCUCUCCAUGAAAAAACAAAGAAAAUUGCAUACAAAAUAGAAAAUACUAGUACACCAAAAACAUAACAUCGUCUUUCCUGCUAUGUUCGACUUGGUGAAGCGAUGGACAAAAAAUGCACCUAUAUAACCUUUCUUCAUCGCCAAAAGGUCAUGUAGGUUCACCUCCUCUUGCUUCGUCUGAUUAAGUCCCUUCAUUAUGACAGUUGAUUCUAGAGGAUCUUUACGCUCUUCGUUUUGAUCGCAUGUCCUUGGCAGGUUGCAGAAGUACACCAUUGGAAUGUCUUCAGUCAAAUCAAAGGAGACAAGGUUGAAUUCUUGCAGGUCGAAGUCUUCAACAAACAAGCACCAGUUUUCACCACCAAUGAUCCCCCUUGAAGUCCCUUUGUACAUGCCAAAAUCAUACGUGCGGCUCCCUCUCACUUGAAAAAGCAAUGAACUAUCUGGGAUGGCGCUGAACUGGUGCCAUGCGUAGCAUGGCACGAUUUGUAGAUGUAGAAUUUAAUUGCUAUUUAUUUCCUUCAUUUUGUUGAUCUUGAAAGUAGAGGGUAACAAACACAAUACAAGUAAAAAUUGACAUAAUUAUUUAUGCCACAGCUAAAGUGUCCCAUGUAGGAUGAUGGUAAAUGUCAACCCAGUGGCAUUGUGCCUGUUGCAGUCCUGUCGACACGUUAUGCACACCACGUGUGUAAACAAAAUAAAAUGAAGAAAAGAAAAGGAUGAGAAUUUAAGAAAACGGCUUGUGCAUGUAAACACACUAGGAAACAACCAUACAGUAUAAUCAACAAAGGUACUGCAUCAGUAAUCAACAAUCAUACACUUGAAGUGAGCGAGUGGCUCGCCUCCACUCCUUAUAACCCCGCAACGCAGUGCAUGCCCGCCGCACCACAGCUUGUUCAGACAUGUCCUUCUCUUGAUACUCGAUCGGCAGCAUGGGCACACCCCAAGCGUCGACGCGCGUCAUUGGCUCCUCCUCCUCUGUAGCACAAGUGAGGUAGUGUCUGAGACUGAGCAGUAAUCUCUGAGAAAAGUCCUAUCAAAACAUAAAUCCUACUACUGUUGUUACUCGGCCCACCCGAAUAUACACACGCACACCUUCAACAUACAGCCCAUCUACAUACAUCCGCAUCAAACAAUUUGUUCCUGGAAAAAGAAAAGAAAAUAUGUUCUGAAGGACGAAGGAUCGUCGGGGAACCAACUCAAUUAGCCACUUAUGUGUCAUAUUGGAGAAGAUGAACUUACUUCACUUUUUCCUGGUACUACAUAAGCACACAAAAUAAAGAUUAAAAUAAUUCCUAAAAACUCUCAUAUAUUGUACGCCCUCACAUUUAUAAUCUUUAAAAGAUGAACUUAAUUUGGGCAACAGAACAUAGAGGUUAUUGUUAUUUGCGUAGAAAGGUACAAAUAUUUGGAUCAAAAUUUCAUAUUCUGCAAAAAAAACACUCGAGUAAAUAUUAUUCUGAGAAAUGUUUAGUUGACUUGCAAUCUAGGACUACAAGUUAAUGGCUGCCUUACGAAACCCAACCUAAUUUCGGCCUAACAAGGAAUUUAAUCCACUAGCCCAGCUUAUAAGUUUUGAGCUCACCCUCCGGUUUCUUCCUGGAUUCGCUACUGCACAAGGCCAAUUUUUUUAAGUUUUUAAGGAACUGUUUACUGAUAUUUGCUGCUAUUGUGUUACGCAUCUGCACUUGCUCAUUGUUAUGAAAACCCUGGAGUACCGAAACCCUAGAAAAAAUACCGAGCGAGCUACCAAUGUAUAAAACUUCCUUCAAUAUCUGCAUUGCCUUCCAUCUAACCUCCGAUUUGAAAAUCCUAACUAUCUAAUCUCCGAUGUUGAAAACCAUAUCCAACUCCUGAAAUGGCAACACAACAAGGAACAAAGAAGUCGAAGAUUACAAGUUAGGGUUUCUCACUUCACCUAGUCGCCGGUAGUUGCUAGAUGCUUGUUGGCAGCCUCCCAAUCUCACUCCGCGCUCUUCUGCUCCAACCGUCGAGAGCGGCCGGGCGAGUAGGCACCAGGGUCGCGGUGGGGUGGUUUGUCGGGAGGGUGGGGAUGAGGGGGGCAGGGUUGUCUGGGCAAUGGGGGUGAUGACACAGACCCUCUCCGUGUCAAGCAUAGAAAAUAAAGGCCCGUGGGUCCAGUUGGGAAAGAAACAACCAAACAGGCCCACAAGCCACUUACCAGUCACAAAGUAAAAUCCUUUGUUACUAAUAAAAAACAUAAAGGAAAACCAUUUUGUCUAAAAAACAAAAACAAAGGAAAAUCGUAAAAAAAUAGGGAAAUUUUCAAAUAACCAUUUAUUUAGCUACUGCGUGGAGGUUGCCCCCCCCCCCCCGGUCGUGGAGAUUCGAUCGACCUCUCCUUAUUUUUUGGGUGAGUUCAACGUGAACUGAUGGUGAGAGGCUCAAGGAGGAGUUUUGUGCGUUCACAACACCUUUGUUUUAUAGAGAAAAAAAUGCACCUUACAAUGUGAAAUUAUAAAACCGAUAGUAAUAAGUGCUAGAAAUUCCUUAUUUAUAAAAAAAUUGUUUCUUUCCAGAAAAAUAAACUUCAAUAAUGGGGUUAGGUAAUUGCGUGUCCUUCCUCCCUCUCAUAUUUGGGUCAUUUCCCGCAUUUCUAUGGUUGUAACCUCGAAAGUUCAAGAUCUUACGCGGUCACAUGAAAUCAUAGCAGGGAUGGGAUGAGUGCCCCAUGUUAAGCUCUUUGGUCCAUAUAUGUGCCAUAUGCUACCAACGGGGGGCGUGGCCUCGACACCGUUCUCUAGGGCUAUGAUGCCCGUCUGCUGUCGUUAUAAUCAGUGCAAAUUCAUGAGGGGCUAAAAAUUCAUGGGACCUAGCAUGGUGUCAUCAUACAACCCCUAGAGGAUGUGGCAAAACAUCGAGAGCGGCAUGCAUCGGCCCUCACAUAGACUGUGUGCAAACAUGACAAUAUCGCAUGUCGGAUCAAGCCAUCAAGAGAGAAUGUGUCCGGCCUAUGAAGGGAGUGCGGGGCCCGUUCCUUCGUUUUCCUCAAAUCUCGAUGCCACGUGAUGUUAGACCUAGUAACUAAGGCACGUCCCAUGCAUCGCACUCAACUGGACCCACAACAUGCAUGCACGCAUGUCCACGUAUGAGUCUAAGCGGCCGGGAUGCAUGGUUCGGGGACUGGCAUAAGUGGUGUGAGUCAUGUGUCUACGUGAUGCUCCACGUGGGUCUAGAAGGCGGGGGUGCAUGGUUUGGAUCUAGCUACCGAGAGGUAACGCAUUCGGUUUGUGCCUAGGCGGUGCUUCACAGGGCCUGGCACGGUCUCAUCAUAUGAUCCAUGAAGGGUGUGGUCAAACACUGAGAGCGACACGCAUAAGCCCUAACGCGGGCUAUGUGGAAAUGAUGCCAUAUCGCAUGCUGGAUCUAGACAAUGGAGGGAACGAGUUCGGCAUGCAGAUGGAGUGCGGGGCCCGUUCCUUCAUUUUCCUCAAAAUUUGGUGCCGCUUCAUGUGGGCCCUAUCCAAAAAGGAUCGUCCAGUGCAUCACACAUAGUUGGAUUCACACCAUGCAUGCACACUUGGCCACGUAGACACCCACCGUAAACCUUUAGCCAAGUUGACCCACACCAUCCAUCCACCCUUGAACCCACCUCGAAUCGUUGGAUCUCCGACGACCCCUUCCCUCGGUAUGCCAAGUGUUGGGGAACGUUGCAUGAGAAACAAAAAAUUUCCUACGCACACGAAGACCUAGCAUGGUGAUGUCCAAAUACGAGAGGAGAUUCUACGUACCCUUGUAGAUCACUAAGCGGGAAGCGUUAAGAAACAUGGUUGAUAUAGUGGUACAGAUUUGUGAUUCAAAUCAAUGUCGCCCCACGAUCCAUCCCACGAACGGUUCCGAUCUAGCGCCGAACGGACGGCACCUCCGCGUUCAGCACACGUACAGCUCAAUGACGAUCUCGGCCUUCUUGAUCCAACAAGCAAGCCAGAGAAGUAGAUGAGUUCUCCGGCAGCGUUACGGUGCUCCGAUGGUGGUGAUGAUCUACUCCUGUAGGGCUCCGUCCGAGCUCCGCAGAAAUCCGAUCUAGAGGUAAAACUAUGUGGAAUAGGCUAGAUUUGCAUGUGGCAAAGUUGUGUCUCAAAAAGCCCUAAACCACCAAUAUAUAUAGGAGGAGAGGAGGGGCUAGUCUUCGGGCACAAGGGCCCCAAGGGUGCGCCGGCCCCCAGGGAGGAAGAGGACUCCUCCUCCAAUUCGGUUUGGGAACGAGGAGUCCUCCUCUUCCUUCCCACCUCCCUCUUUCCUUUUUUUCUUCUUCUUUUCCUUUGGUAUUUUUACAUGUGGCGCGAUAACCCUCUUGGGCUGACUCCACCAGCCCACAAAGGACUUGGUGCGCUAGCCUAGGGCCUUGGGCUCACUCUCGGGUGGGUGGGCCCCUCCCGAUAAACACCCGGAACCCAUUCGUCACUCCCGGUACACUUCCGGUAAUGCCCGAAACUUUCCGGUGACCAAAUGAAACGAUCUUAUAUAUCAAUCUUCAUCUCUGGACCAUUCUGGAAACCCUCGUGACGUCCGUGAUCUAAUCGGGGACUCUUAACGACAUUUGUUAAUCACACAUAUAACUCAACUAUACUAAAAACACCAUCGAACCGUAAGUGUGCAGACUCUACGAGUUCGAGAACUAUGUAGACAUGACCCGAGACACUCCUCGGUCAAUAUCCAAUAGCGGGACCUGGAUGCCCAUAUUGGAUCCUACAUAUUCUCCGAAUAUCCUAUAGGUUGAACCUCAGUGUCAAGGAUUCAUAUAAUCCCGUAUGUCAUUCCCUUUGUCCUUCGGUAUGUUACUUGCCCAAGAUUCGAUCGUCGGUAUCCGCAUACCUAUUUCAAUCUUGUUACCAGCAAGUCUCUUUACUCAUUCUGUAAUACAAGAUCCCGUGACUUACACUUAGUCACAUUGCUUUUAAGGCUUGUGUGUGAUGUUGUAUUACCGAGUGGGCCCCGAGAUACCUCUCCGUCACACGGAGUGACAAAUCCCAGUCUUGAUCCAUACUAACUCAAUGGACACCUUCGGAGAUACCUGUAGAGCACCUUUAUGUUCACCCAGUUAUGUUGCAACGUUUGAUACACACAAGGUAUUCCUCCGGUGCCAGUGAGUUAUAUGAUCGCAUGGUCAUAGGAAUAAAUACUUGACACGCAGAAAACAAUAUCAAUAAAAUGAAACGAUCAAUAUGCUACGUUCAUAGUUUGGGUCUAGUCCAUCACAUGAUUCUCCGAAUGAUGUGUGGGGACCCCGAAUUACAAGUUGAGAUUGCCGAAUGAUCGUGCUUAGUGAUCCCAGAGAUCAAUGCUCAUCGAACACACAGAUAUUGAAUAAUAAGAGUCUUACAUCCGAGUACCGAAUUAUUACAUCACAUGACCGAAUGGUCAAGUUCACAAGGUUGGGCCUAAGGCCAAAUCAUACUGAUACAACUAAUAGCGGAAAUCAUAGGGGCUAUGCGGGUGCCCAUGCCAUCAAGCCUACACCGACAGGCAUUCUGACUCGGAAGCGUCCUAGAUCGCAGGGGCGUCUCCGAAGACGUACUCAUCUCCAAACUCCGGUCCUUCCAUGUCUGGUCAAUAAUAUAACCAGUGACAAGCCAAUGAGUAGUUUUGAAUGUACUGGCAAACAACCCAUGAUAUGAACAUUGAAAGUGAAGGAUAACAAUAACAUGCAUCUUUGGUGGAAUUCAUCUUGGUGGAAUGAUCAUGAAUAUGCAUCAAGUUGAAGAAUUACUUUUGAAUAAAAGGUUACAAAUAUCAAUAUAUCUGUCGAGGGCUGAACCAUCCGGGCUCACCCUAUAUGCCAAGUCAGCAAACUUGGUCAUAUCAUUACUUUCAUAAUAACUGCUUAUUGUUACCACACACACACACUCGGUUUAUGCGGAAAUAACUGGACGUAGUUUAAGCAGCACCACCCAACUGUCCUUGAAUGUGGACACGACUAUUCGAAUAGUUUUACACUCUGUAGAGGUAGUAAGCUGGACCCACGAGAUCGGGGAAACUUCCGUGUCAUCCACGACUCGCGGUAUAUAACGUACCCAAGGUAAGUACCCGAUCAAUGCCUUUCCCCCGACGAUACUAGACAAAGAGGUCCACUCGAUUGGUACCCAACCCACAUGUUGAACGUCUUACGAGCACCGACUCUAGACAGUUCCAACCAUGCGGGGACCAACGGUAUGCCUAGAACUCAUAAAAAUGGCAUAGUCAUCCUACCUGGCACGACACCAUCAUGAGAGUGACCACACAUCACUCCCGCCAUUAGUAAUGUGGCUCUUUGCUAGCACCGACCAGAGUAAUCAACAUAGCCUCGUCCCAUAAGGGGUAACGUGGUCGUACUGGUAAGGUUGGGACGGUCGACACAUCAUAAAUCUAAUCCCAUUUCCGAAACCAUACUCACACAAAUACCCGGUGCACCGCUUCACCAAAAGUGGCCACCUAACUCAUCAUCGCCCUUGGGCAUUAGUGGCACCCGACGGGGUUUUCAUAAACCUUGGAUUUAUACCAACAACAUUCUCAUGCUAUUUACUCUAGCAUUACUUGUCAACAUGAUAAUAGCAUGUCCUCAAAAGGGGUAAGAUCAAGCUCAAUGCAUGUGCUCCAGAGGAGCCAUCGGUAACAUAUCCUUUGUGAUUUACCUACACUUAUGAUCAUAUGCAACGGAAUACUUGCUAUCUUAACAUGCAAUUAUAACAUAUGCUCAGUCAUGGUCAAAGGGUUGCUUUCCUUGGUCAGCUAGGUAUCCGUGGUCUUCGAGCUCUUCCGCUCUGAUUCCCUCGUCACACGGAUUUUCUAUCGUCGUCAAAUGAAUAAAUAAGAAAUAGCUCACUCAAAAACAGCUCACAAAGUCAUUUUAAAAAUGUUCUUUACUACUGAUAAAUCUAAGUUGUCAUUUUGAAAAAUAUUUGCCUCGGAUUCUCAUGAAGGAACAUUUUUAAAAUCAACCAAACAGAAGCAAAAGUAUUCCAAUUCGGUCCUUUUUAUUAUUGCAAAACAGAAUAGUUGAGGCUGCCGACGUUCUCAAGCCCCAACGAGGACAGAAAUGGGCUCGGCAUUACGUCGCCUACCUACUUGUGGUUGGAACAACGACAGAGAGGCAAGGGUUCGCCGGCGACGAGAAGGCCGCGGCGGAGGAGUUUCGGGAGGUCGUCGAUGAGGUAGCUAGGGGCACGGGAAUGCUCGGGGAAGCUGGGGGAAAGCUUCCUAGGGUCGAGGGGAUCAGUUUUGGGGGUCGAGGAACGUAGGAGCCGUAGUAUAGCCGGAGAUCGACCGGAGCUCCGAGGCGGAGGGCCUCGGUCGAUCUCGAGCACCGGGCUCUGCUCGCUUGCUGGGCUGGCUAGGGAGCUGCUAGUGGUCGUGGUGAAGCUGUCUCAGGGGUGCUGGAGCGAAGGGGAGGGCUAUAAAUUGGCCCACGAUGGUGAGUCGAUUCGGAGCGACGGUGAAUCACCGUGGCGCGCAUGGGGGUGCAGGGAGGAGCUGGGGUCGAAACGACGGCCUGAGGACGUGGUUUUGGACUUCCAGAACCAUCCGCAACAGAGGAAUAGAGAGAGGAGUCGACCAUCCCUGGCCGCGCAACCUUGGCUGGUUCUGGUGCGUGCGGGCACGCGUCGCACGAGCUCUAGCGUGGGAGAGGAGGGGUCCUGAUGGUUGCUCAACGCAGAGGGGGUGUCGAGGAAGAGGUUGGACACCUCGGGGAGGCUCGAACUGGCCGGGGGCGUCGCCCCCAGCUCGGUGGCUUCCUGUAGCACGCCCAGAGCGUAGUUUUGGCAUGCCACGGCAUGCUGGUGCACUCUGAGGCACUUUGGACGUGUCUAUCAUGUCCUGGCACUGGCUGGGAGUGAGGCCAGCCGUUUGGGUCUCGUGGGAGCUUCAGCUGGUCAAGGGAGACAAGGAAUGCUGCUGCUGUCUGCUUUGAAAUGAAGCUUAGAUUGGGAUUCUUGGCAUUUCCACUUUGAACUAGUGAGGGGCCAGUUGACUAGGAAUAACAUUUCUGGUCUCAGAAAUGGACAUGCAAUUAAAUUAGGAAAACAACUCUAAAAUAAUUAUUUUGUGGUUUUGGAAUACUAAAAUAAGUUUAAAUCAGAUGACCAACUUUGGGUAGAAACCAAUCUGCUAUCAAGGGCAAGUAGUGCAACUCAAAGUAGGGUUUUAGCUUGAUCAAAAACAAGAAGAAGGUUCUAAAAAUAAUUCAAUACUGUGGAAUGGGGUUUUAUCAUCACAUGAUCGGUACACAAGUCAUUCAAUGACAAACAUGGCACUCACAUCAUUAGUUUUGAGAAAAAUAACAAGCUCAGAUUUUUGCACUAUAGAGAAAGUGGUAGUAAAAACAGGGUGUGACAUGAUGUGAUCCAGUUAUCAAGUGACAACACUUGCACAUAGCCAGAAAACCUUGACUAUCCUUGAUCAACUGGCUAGCCAACUAGAGGCUUGCUAGGGACAUUGUUUUGUCUAUGUAUCCACACAUGUAUAUGUAUUUUCAUUCAAUACAAUUAUAGCAUGGAUAAUAAACGAUUAUCUUGUAACAGGAAAUAUAAUAAUAACUAUUUAUCAUUGCCUCUAGGGCAUAUUUUCAACAUUCUCCCACUUGCAAGUGAGUCAAUAAUCUAGUCCUCGCAUCGCCAUGCGAUUUUCAUUGUAAUAAAUCUAACACCCAUACAGUUCUUGUGUUGAUCAUGUUUUGCCCAUGGAAGAGGUUUAGUCAGCGGGUCUGCUACAUUCAGAUCCGUGUGCACUUUGCAAAUAUUCAUGUCCUCUCCUUCAACGUAGUCGCGGAUGAGGUUGAAGCAUCGUUUGAUGUGCUUGGUCUUCUUGUGAAACCUUGGUUUCUUUGAAAAAGCAAUGGCACCAGUGUUGUCACAGAACAGAGUUAUUGGAUUUAGUGUGCUCGGCACAACUCCAAGAUCCCUCAUAAACUGCUUCAUCCACACACCCUCCUUUGCUGCCCCGAGGCAGCCAUGUACUCCGGUGCACAUGUAGAAUCUGCUACGAUGUUUUGCUUGGAACUGCACCAGCUUACCGUGCCCCCGUUCAGAAUAAAUAUGUAUCCGGUUUGCGACUUAGAAUCAUCCAGAUUGGUGUCAAAGCUUGCAUCGACGUAACCCUUUACGACGAUCUCUUCGUCACCUCCAUAAACGAGAAACAUUUCCUUAGUCCUUUUCAGGUGCUUCAGAAAAUUCUUGACCGCCGUCCAGUGAUCCACUCCUCGAUUACUCUGAAACCUGCCUGCCAUGAUUAUGGCCAAGCUGACGUUUGGUCUAGUGCACAUCAUUGAAUACAUGAUAGAACCUAUGGCUAAAGCAUAGGGGACGGAACUCAUUUGUUCUCUUUCUUCCGCAAUUGCUGGGCACUGAGUCUUACUCAAUUUUAUACCUUGUAACACUGGCAAGAACCCUUUCUUGGACUGUUCCAUUUUGAACUUCUUCAAAACUUUAUCAAGGUAUGUGCUUUUUGAAAGUCCUAUCAGGCGUCUCGAUCUAUCCCUAUAGAUCUUAAUGCCUAGAAUGUAAGCAGCUUCUCCUAGGUCCUUCAUAGAGAAACUUUUAUUCAAGUAAUCCUUUAUGCUCUCCAAAAACUCCACGUUGUUUCCAAUCAGCGAUAUGUAAUACAAGAUUCUCCAACCACUUGCAUAAACCCAAAUGCUUUGAUCACCUCAUCAAAGUGCUUAUUCCAACUCCGAGAUGCUUGCACCAGUCCAUAAAUGGAUCGCUGUAGCUUGCAUACUUUGUUAGUAUUCUUUGGUCGACGAAACCUUCGGGUUGCAUCAUAUACAACUCUUCCUGAAGAAAACUGUUAAGGAACGCCAUUUUGACAUCCAUCUGCUAGAUUUCAUAAUCGAAAAAUGGAUCUAUUUCUAACAUGAUUCGGACGGACUUAAGCAUCGCUACCGGUGAUAAUGUCUGAUCGUAGUCAACUCCUUGAACUUGUGAAAAACCCUUUGUCACAAGUUGAGCUUUAUAAACGGUCACAUUACCGUCUGCGUCCGUCUUCUUCUUAAAGACCCAUUUGUUCCGAAUAGCCUUGCGGCCUUCAGGUAAUACUUCCAAAGUCCACACUUUCUUUUCAUACAUAGAUCCUAUCUCGGUCUUCAUGGCCUCCAGCCAUUUGUUGGAAUCCGGGCCCAUCAUUGCUUCUUCAUAAUUCGCAGGUUCACUGUUGUCUAACAACAUGAUUACUGUACCACUCAGGAGUAGUACGUGAUCUUAUCGACCUGCAAGGUCCGAUACGAACUUGAUCCAAAGUUUCAUGAUCAUCAUCAUUAACUUCCUCCUCAACCGGCGUCGCAAUGACAUGAGUUUCCUCUUGCCCUGCGCCACCAUCUAGAGGGGUUAGAGGUUAGACAACCUCAUCAAGUUCUAUCUUCCUCCCACUCAAUUCUUUCGAAAGAAACUCCUUCUCAUGAAAAGCUCCAUUUUUAGCAACAAAAACUUUGCCCUCGGAUUUGAGAUAGAAGGUGUACCCAACUGUCUCCUUUGGGUAACCUAUGAAGACGCACUUUUCCGCUUUGGGUUCCAACUUUUUAGGUUGAAGCUUUUUGACAUAAGCAUCACAUCCCAAACUUUAAGAAACGACAAUUUCGGUCUUUUGCCAUACCAUAGUUCGUAUGGUGUCGUCUCAAUGGAUUUUGAGGGUGCCCUAUUUAAAGUGAAUGCAGCUGUCUCUAAUGCAUAACCCCAAAACGAUAACGACAAAUCGGUAAGAGACAUCAUAGAUCGCACCAUUCCUAACAAAGUACGAUUACGACGUUCGGACACACCAUUACGCUGUGGUGUUCCACGCGGUGUCAAUUGUGAAACAAUUCCACAUUGUCUUAAGUGAGCACCAAACUCGAAACUCAUAUAUUCACCCCCACGAUCAGAACGUAUGAACUUGAUCUUCUUGUUAUGAUGAUUUUCAACUUCACUCUGAAAUUGCUUGAACUUCUCAAACUUUUCAAACUUGUGCUUCAUCAAGUAGAUAUAUACAUACCUACUUAAAUCGUCAGUGAAGGUGAGAAAAUAAUGAUAUCCGCCGCGCGCCUCCACACUCAUCGGACCGCACACAUCGGUAUGUAUGAUUUCCAACAAGUCACUUGCAUGCUCCAUUGUACCGGAGAACGGAGUCUUAGUCAUGUUGUCCAUGAGGCAUGGUUCACACAUGUCAAGUGAUUCAAAAUCAAGUGACUCCAAAAGCCCAUCGAAAUGGAGUUUCUUCAUGCGGUUUACACCAAUAUGACCUAAGCGGCAGUGCCACAAAAACAUGGCGCUAUCAUUGUUAACUCUACAUCUUUUGGUCUCAAUGUUAUGUAUAUGUGUAUCAUCGCUAUCAAUAUUCAAUAUGAACAAUCCUCUCACAUUGGGUGCAUGACCAUAAAAGAUAUUACUCAUAGAAAUAGAACAACCAUUAUUCUCUGACUUAAACGAGUAACCGUGUCGCAAUAAAAAAGAUCCAGAUAUAAUGUUCAUGCUUAACGCAUGUACUAAAUAACAAUUAUUUAAGUUCAUAACUAAUCCUGAUGGUAACUGAAGUGAAACUGUGCCGACGGCGAUUGCAUGAACCUUGGAACCAUUUCCCACGCGCAUCGUCACUUCAUCCUUCGCCAACCUUCGCUUAUUCCGCAGUUCCUGUUUCGAGUUGCAAAUACGAGCAACAGAAACGGUAUCGAAUACCCACGCACUACUAUGAGAGUUGGUUAAGUACACAUCUAUAACUUGUAUAUCAAAUAUACCUGAUUUUUCCUUGGCCGCCUUCUUAUCAGCCAAAUACUUGGGGCAGUUGUGCUUCUAGUAACCCAGUCCCUUGCAAUAAUAACACUCUGUUUCAGGCUUAGGCCCAGCCUUGGGUUUCUUCAUCGGAUUAGCAACAGUAUUGCCGCUCUUCUUGGAUUUACCCUUAUUGCCUUUGUCGUUUCUCUUGAAACUAGUGGUCUUAUUGACCAUCAACACUUGAUGCUCUUUCCGGAGUUCUGACUCUGCGACUUUCAGCAUCGCGAAUAACUCGCCGGGUGACUUGUUCAUCCCUUGCAUGUUAUAGUUCAACACAAAGCUCUUGUAUCUUGGUGGCAGCGAUUGAAGAAUUAUAUGAAUGAUAGAUUCUUGCGGGAGUUCAAUCCCCAGCUUAUCUAGACGGUUUGAGUACCCAAACAUUUUGAGCACAUGUUCACUGAUAGACGAAUGCUCCUCCACCUUGCAAGCAUAGAAUUUAUCAGAGGUCUCAUACCUCUCCAUUCGGGCGUUAUUCUGAAAGAUAAACUUCAACUCUUGUAACAUCUCAUAUGCUCCAUGAUGCUCAAAGCAAUGUUGAACUCCCGGCUCUAAGCCAUACAAGACUGCACAUUGAACUACUGGGUAGUCCUCCUUACGUGUUAACCAGGCGUUCUUAACAUCUUGGUCAGCCGUAGCGGGUGGUUCAUCUCCUAGCGCAGCAUUAAGGACAUAAUCCUUCUUCCCAGCUUGCACGAGCAACUUAAGAUUACGUGCCGAGUCUACAAAGUUGCUUCCAUCAUCUUUCAACUUACCUUUCUCUAGGAACGUAUUAAAAUUCAGAGUGACUAUUGCGUGAGCCAUUGAUCUACAACACAAAUAUUGCAAAAUGGACUUAGAAUAUGUUUAAGACAAUUAGAGUUUAAUUAAUCAAAUUACUAAUAAGCUCCCACUCAAAAGGUACAUCUCUCUAGUCAUUUGAGUGGUACAUGAUCCAAUUUCACUAACUCAAGUCCGAUCAUCACGUGAGUUGAGAAUAGUUUCAGUGGUAAGCAUCCCUAUGCUAAUCAUUAUCAAUUAUAUGAUUCAUGCUCGACCUUUCGAUCUCAUGUGUUUUGAGGCCAUGUGUGCACAUGCUAGGCUCGUCAAGUUUAACCCGAGUGUUCCGCGUGUGCAACUGUCUUGCACCCCUUGUAUGUGAACGUUGAGUCUAUCACAUCCGAUCAUCACGUGGUGUCUCGAAAAAACGAACUGUCGCAAUGGUGCACAGUCGGGGAGAACACAAUUUCAUCUUGAAAUUUUAGUGAGAGAACACCUUAUAAUGCUACCGCCGUUCUAAGCAAAAUAAGGUGCUUAAAAGGAUUAACAUCACAUGCAAUUCAUAAGUGACAUGAUAUGGCCAUCAUCUUGUGCUUCUUGAUCUCCAUCACCAAAGCACCGGCAUGAUCUUCUUGUCAUCGGUGCCACACCAUAAUCUCCAUCAUCAUGAUCUCCAUCAAUGUGUCGCCAUCGAGGUUGCCGUGCUAUCUAUGCUAUUACUACUAAUGCUAUGACCUAGCAAUAUAGUAAACGCAUCUGGAAACACAAAUGUUAGUUUAAAGACAACCCUAUGGCUCAUGUCAGUUGCCGUAGCAUCGACGUGCAAGUCGAUAUUAACUAUUUAAACAUGAUCAUCUCAUACAUCCAAUAUAUCACAUCACGUCAUUGGCCAUAUCGUAUCACAAGCAUACCCUGCAAAAACAAGUUAGACGUCCUCUAAUUUGUUGUUGCAUGUUUUACGUGGUUGUUAUGGGUAUCUAGUAUGAUCACAUCUUACUUACGCAAACACCACAAUGGAGAUGUACAAAUUGCUAUUUAACCUUUCUCUAAGUACCGCCUCGGUCAAAACCAAUUCAACUAAAGUUGAAGAAACAUGCACUCGUCUGUCAUCUUUAUGCAACGACGUUGCAUGUCAGUCGAUGAAACCAGUCUCUCGUAAGCGUACGAGUUAUGUCGGUCUGGGCCGCUUCAAUCCAACAAUACCAUCGAAUCGAGAAAGGACUAAGGAGGGCAGCAAAUCGAACAUCACCGUCCACAAAACCUUUUGAGUUCUACUCGAGAUAACAUCUACGCAUGAACCUAGCUCAUGAUGCCACUGUUGGGGAACGUUGCAUGGGAAACAAAAAAAUUCCUACGCACACGAAGACCUAUCAUGGUGAUGUCCAUCUACGAGAGGAGAUAAGAUCUACGUACCCUUAUAGAUCGCUCAGUGGGAAGCGUUAAGAAACACGGUUGAUGUAGUGGUACAGCUUCGUUAUUCAAAUCACUCUCGUCCCACGAUCCGUCCCACGAACGAUUUCGAUCUAGCGCCAAACGGACGGCACCUCCGCGUUCAACACACGUACAACUCAAUGACUAUCUCGGCCUUCUUGAUCCAAAAAGAAAUAUGGAGAAGUAGAUGAUUUCUCCAGCAGCGUGACGGUGCUCCAGUGGUGGGGAUGAUCUACUCCUGUAGGGCUCCGCCCGAGCUCCGCAGAAAUCCGAUCUAGAGGUAAAACUAUGUGGAAUAGGCUAGAGUUGCACGUGGGAAAGUUGUGUCCCAAAAAGUCCUAAACCACCAAUAUAUAUAGGACGAGGGGAGGGGCUAGCCUUAGGGCACAAGGGCCCCAAGUGUGCACCGGCCUCCAGGGAGGAGGAGGACUCCUCCUCCAAUUCGGUUUGGGAAGGAGGAGUCCUCCUCUUCCUUCCCACCUCCCUCUUUCCUUUUUCUUCUUCUUCUUUUCCUUUGGUAUUUUUACAUGUGGCGCCAUAGCCCUCUUGGGCUGACUCCACCAGCCCACUAAGGACUUGGUGCGCCACCCUAGGGCCUUGGGCUCACUCCCAGGUGGGUGGGCCCCUCCCGGUAAACACCCGGAACCCAUUCGUCACUCCUGGGACACUACUGGUAAUGCCCGAAACUUUCCGGUGACUAAAUGAAACCAUCCUAUAUAUCAAUGUUCGUCUCCGGACCAUUCCGGAAACCCUCGUGACAUCUUUGAUAUCAUCCAGGACUCCAAACAACAUUCGGUAACCACACAUAUCACUCAAUUCUACUAAAAACAUCAUCGAACCUUAAGUGUGCAGACCCUGCGGGUUCGAGAACUAUGUAGACAUGACCCGAGACACUCCUCGGUCAAUAUCCAAUAGCGGGACCUGGAUGUCCAUAUUGGAUCCUACAUAUUCUCCGAAGAUCUUAUCGGUUGAACCUCAGUGUCAAGGAUUCAUAUAAUCCCGUCUGUCAUUCCCUUUGUCCUUCGGUAUGUUACUUGCCCGAGAUUUGAUCGUCGGUAUCCGCAUACCUAUUUCAAUCUUGUUACCGGCAAGUCUCUUUACUCGUUUUGUAAUACAAGAUCCCAUGACUUACACUUAGUCGCAUUGCUUGCAAGGCUUGUGUGUGAUGUUGUAUUACCGAGUGGGCCCCGAGAUACCUCUCCAUCACACGGAGUGACAAAUCCCACUAUUCAUCCAUACUAGCUCAACGGACACCUUCGGAGAUACCUGUAGAGCACCUUUAUAGUCACCGAGUUACAUUGCGACGUUUGAUACACACAGGGCAUUCCUCCGGUGCCAGUGAGUUAUAUGAUCUCAUGGCCAUAGGAAUAAAUACUUGACACGCAAAAAACAAUAGCAAUAAAAUGACACGAUCAAUAGGCUACGUUCAUAGUUUGGGUCUAGUCCAUCACAUGAUUCUCCUAUUGAUGUGAUCCAGUUAUCAAGUGAAAACACUUGCACAUAGCAAGAAAACCUUGACUAUCCUUGAUCAACUGGCUAGCCAACUAGAGGCUUGCUAGGGACAUUGUUUUGUCUAUGUAUCCACACAUGUAUCUAUGUUUUCAUUCAAUAAAAUUAUAGCAUGGAUAAUAAAUGAUUAUCAUAUAAUAGGAAAUAUAAUAAUAACUAUUUAUCAUUUCCUCUAGGGCAUAUUUCUAACACCAAGGAUGUUAAAACAACACACGGCUACACGUCUUGCACACCGAGAUUGGCGCAUCAUGCACUAGUGCCAACAAACAUGUCCAGCUGAGCAUCUUUCCCCAUGGUCUGGAUCGAGGCGGCUAGCGGUGCAUGUUGUUGACCCAGUUGCCUAGUGGUGCAUGAUAUGGGUCGACAUGAAUCACAUCGCAUCGGAUCAAGAUUCCCCUAUCUUGUACCAGACGCCGGAGCAGCACACGUGCAUGGUUGAAAAAUCUGCACGGUUGAUGUCGGAGCUUGGAAGAGACGCCAUGGUAUAGGUGCAUGCUGAAAUUCAAGAUUUAGGAGUUGAUAACAAAUGAAAACGACAAUUCAAUUGUUUGUACAGGUGUACAACAUGUUUUAAGGGAAAUAUGACACGUUCACAUGCAUUUUGGCAACAAGUGCACUUUUGGAGGGGAAAAUCAGGUAGCCCUCGUGUCUCCCAUGAUUUUUGUUCCAUGUAUUUCGACACAAAUAUUGGAGGAAAAAAGUUAAAUGUAUUUUCCCCUCAAAAAACGACUUGGGAAGAAAAUCUCAAGUAACCAUAUUAAGCUACUCCGUGGAGGUUUCCCCUCGUGAGGAGAUUAGAUCGACCUCUCCUUGAUUUUAGGGCGAGUUCAACGUGAACGUGAUGGUGAGAGGCUGAAGAAGGAGUUUUUUGUGUUUACAACAACCUUUGUUUUAGAACUAUAUAAUAAUAAAUGAAAGAGAAUAUGUGAAAAACAAAAAAUAAAAAGGAUAUGCAUACAAGAUGGGCCAGCCCAACCAUCUACAGGGACGCGUGGUCCAACACGCGGGUGAGGUUCGCCUGGGACAACCCAACAAAAUCUGGCCCAACAUUGAGUCGCACCGUGCACAACUGACGGGUGGUGGGAGUUUAGUCCCACCUCACCAAGCGAGACGUGCACGUACCUACCUAUAUACGCGGCUGAAAGACCAUUUUCAUGAGCCUCUCUCACUUAAACAACAUGUUCUCUAUCCAUUUCCAUUUAUGCCAUGUGGGGUCUGCUAGCAGGAGAAAUCAAUAUCCCAUGGGCCUGCAUCCUGGCCCAUAUAGUUGGGUUUCUAGUUGUAUGCACGCCGUGGGGUUUGAAAUCUCCUGUUAGAGGUGGGCUUUUUCUUUUGUAUAUGGUCACAUGUUUAUGUUUGGACCAUCUCCAAAUCACCCAUUUUUUAUGUUGUCACAUACAUGUAAUAAACAUGAUUAUCAAAGAAAAUUCAACAAUAAUGAAGUUUAUAAUUUCCCCUUAAGGUAAAUUCACAGGUAUGUACCUGAGUUUCACUGAGCCACUAUAAAUUAUAUAAAAUUCUAAAAAAUGGAAAACUUUCAUAUUCUCUCUAUGUUUAUGAAAGAUAUCAUGUGUACAAAAUUUCAGGUGAUUUGGAUGUGGUCUAAAAACCCACCUUGUUAGAAGAACUCGCUUAAGUGAUACCAAACGUUCCGUGUGUAAUGAAGUGAUUUUUUUUGACCAUCUCCAAAAUAACCCCAAAUUUGUUGUACAUGGUGCCAUAAAUGUAACAAAUAGGAUAUCCAAAAAUAAAACUCAAUUUUUUUAAGUUUACGUUGUCCCCUUAUGUAAAAUUUCGUGGUAAGGCAAGUGAGGUAGCUCAUGACCAUAGCCAUGGCAUACAUUGUUCAAAUGGCCUCUAACCGUUCCCCUGUAGCCAAGUUGACCCACACCAUCCAUCCACCUUUGACCCCACCUUGGUUCGUUAGUUCUCCAAUGAGUCCCUCCCUCCUUAUGCCAAGCAUGUCAAAGCGACACACGGCUACCCGUCUUGCACACCGAGAUUGAGCAUCAUGCACUAGUGCCAGCAAACAAGUCCAGCCGAGCAUCUUUGCCCAUCGUGGACACUACCGCAUGGUCUAGAUCAAGGUGGCUAGCGGUGCAUGUUGUCGGCCCGGUUGGCUAAGGGUGCAUGAUAUGGGUCAACAUGAAUUUUAUUGCAUCACAUCUAGAUUCCCCUCUCCGUUACUGGACGCUGGAGGCCCUGAGCAGCACGUGCAUGGUACAAGAAUCUGCACGGUCGCUGGCGAAGCUUGGAUAAGACAAAUUUGACCUAACCGCCAUGGGGUAGGUGCAUGCUGAAAUUCAAUAUUUAGGAAUUGUUAACAAAACAAAAAACGAUAAUUCAAUUGUUUGUACAUGUGACACGUUGAUACGUCCAUUUUGCAUCAUGCUUUCAUGUUGAUAUUUAUUGCUUUUUGGGCUGUUAUAUUACUUGUGGUACCAUAUUUAUAUCUUCUCUAUCUUAUUUUGCAAGGAUUAUUUGAAGAGGGAGAAUUCAGGCAGCUGGAAUUCUGGACUAGAAAAGGAGCAAAUCCUAGUCCACUAUUCUACACAUCUCCAAAUGCCCUGAAAAUUUACGUGGAUUUUUUCUGGAAUAUAUUAAAAAUACUGGGCGAAAUAACUACCGGAGGGGGGCCACCAGGGCCCCACAAGCCCCCACUCCGCCACCACCCCCCGUGGUGGCGGUGGGCAAGCUUGUGGGCUGCCUGAAGGCCCACUAGCCCCCUCUUUUGCCAUAUGAUGCGUACUGACCUGGAAAAAAUCAUACGGGAGCUUUUUAGUGGUUUCUCCGCCGCCACGGGGCGGAACUUGAGCAGAUCCAAUCUAGAGCUCCGGCAGGACGAUCCUGCAGGGGAAAUUUCCCUCCCGAAGGGGGAAAUCGUCGCCAUCGUCAUCACCAACACUCCUCUCAUCGGAGGGGAGGCAUCUUCAUGAACAUCUUCAUCAUCACCAUCUCCUCUCCAAUCCCUAGUUCAUCUCUUGUAACCAAUCUUCGUCUCGCAACUCCGAUUGGUACUUGUAAGGUUGCUAGUAGUGUUGAUUACUCUUUGUAGUUGAUGCUUGUUGGAUUAUUUGGUGGAAGAGUUUAUGUUCAGAUCAUUGAUGCUAUUCAUUACACCUCUGGUCAUGAUUAUGAUUAUGUCUUGUGAGUAGUUACUUUUGUUCCUGAGGACAUGGGAUAAGUCAUGCUGAUAAUAGUCAUGUGAAUUUGAUAUUCGUUCGGCAUUUUGAUAUGAUGUAUGUUGUUUUUCCUCUAGUGUUGUUUUGUGAACGUUGACUACAUAACACUUCACCAUAUUUGGGCCUAGAGGAAGGCAUUGGGAAGUAGUAAGUAGAUGAUGGGCUGCUGGAGUGACAGAAGCUUAAACCCAAUUUAUGCGCUGCUUCGUGAGGGGCUGAUUUGGAUCCACUAGUUUAAUGCUAUGGUUAGACUUUGUAUUAAUUCUUCUUUUGUAGUUGCGGAUGCUUGGGAGAGAGGUUAAUCAUAAGUGGGAUGCUUGUCCAAGUAAGGGUAGUACCCAAGCGCCGGUCCACCCACAUAUCAAACUAUCAAAGUAACGAACGCGAAUCAUAUGAACGUGAUGAAACUAGCAUGACAGAAAUUCCCGUGUGUCCUCGGGAGCGUUUUUCCUCCUAUAAGAAUUUGUUCAGGCUUGUCCCUUGCUACAAAAGGGAUUGGGCCACUUGCUGUACCGUUGCUACUACUUGUUACUUGUUACUCUUUGCUUGCUACGUUUCACCUCGCUACACAAUCACUUGUUACCGCUACUUUCAGUGCUUGCAGUUAUUACCUUGCUGAAAUCCAUCUAUAAGAGCCUUCUUCUCCUCGUUGGGUUCGACACUCUUACUUAUCGAAAGGACUACGAUUGAUCCCCUAUACUUGUGGGUCAUCAAGACUCUUUUCUGGCGCCGUUGCCGGGGAGUGAAGCGCCUUUGGUAAGUGGAAAUUGGUAAGGAAACAUUUAUAUACUGUGCUAAAAUUUAUUGUCACUUGUCACUAUGGAAACUCUUCCUUUGAGGAGUUUGUUCAGGGUAUCUUCACAAUGAAUGGAAGCACGAGGAGUUGCUCCUCGACCUGAGGUACCUACUGAAAAUAUCUUUUAUGAAAUUCCAUUGGGUAUGCUUGAGAAACUGCUGGCUAAUCAUUUUACAGGAAAUGGAUCUUCACAUCUAGAGUUUCAUCUAAUCUAUGUAGAUUAAGUUUGUGGUUUAUUUAAGCUUGCAGGUUUGCCCGAGGAUGAGGUAAAGAAGAAAGUCUUUCCUUUAUCUUUGAAGGAUAAGGCGUUGACAUGGUAUAAACUAUGUGAUGAUGCUGGAUCAUGGGGCUACAAUCGGUUGAAAUUGGAAUUUCAUCAAAAGUUCUAUCCUAUGCAUUUAGUACAUCGUGAUCGGAACUUUAUUUAUAACUUUUGUCCUCGUGACAGGGAAAGCAUAGCUCAAGCUUGGGGGAGGCUUAAAUCAAUGCUAUAUUCAUGCCCCAAUCAUGAGCUCUCGAGAUAAAUCAUCACUCAAAACUUUUAUGCUCGGCUUUCUCAUGAAGAUCGUACCAUGCUUGACACUUCUUGUGCCGGUUCUCUUAUGAAGAAGGAUAUUGAUCACAAGUGGAAUUUAUUGUUGAGAAUCAAAUGCAACUCUGAAGAUUGGGAGCUGGAGGAAGUUAAGGACUCAGGUACGAAUUUCCAGUUUGAUUGCGUUAAAUCUUUUGUUGAGACAAACACUUCUAGAGAUUUUAGCGCUAAGUAUGGAUUUGACUCUGAGAUAGUAGCUUCUCUAUGUGAAUCUUUUGCUGCUCAUGUUGAACUUCCCAAAGAGAAGUGGUUUAAAUAUCAUCCUCUAGUAGAAAGCAACAUAGCCAAAACCAACCUAGUUGAGGAGAAAGUCAUAGCUUUUAGUGAUCCUGUUGUUCCUUGUGCUUACACUGAGAAACCACCAUACCCUGCUAGAAUGAAGGAUUAUUCUAAAGCUCCAACUGUGAUACAUAGGGGUUACAUUAGACCACUUGCACCCCCUGAGGAGACUAGAGUUGAACCUAGUGUUGCUAUUAUCGAAGAUCUCUUAGACAAAGACAUAGACGGGCAUGUUAUUAAAUUCUGUGAGGACUCUGCUAGAAUUGCUAAACCUCACGCGAAAGACAAGCACGGACCUGUAGUUGGCCUGCCCGUUGUUUCUGUUAAGAUAGGAGAUCACUGCUACCAUGGUUUAUGUGAUGUGGGAGCUAGUGUUAGUGCAAUACCCCGUUCUCUCUAUGAUGAAAUCAAAGAUGAGAUUGCACCUGCUGAGAUAGAACCCAUUGAUGUAACUAUCACGCUAGCUAAUAGAGACACUAUCUGCCCUUUGGGAAUUGUGAGAGACGUAGAAGUCAUGUGUGGUAAGACGAAGUAUCCUACUGAUUUCCUCGUCCUUGGUACUGCACAAGAUAGCUUUUGUCCCAUCAUAUUUGGUAGACCCUUUCUCAACACUUUCAAUGCUCACAUUGAUUGCAUUAAGCAGACUGUCACAGUAAGUUUCGAGGGUGUGUAUCAUGAAUUUAACUUCUCCAAGUUUGGAAGACAAUCCCAUGAAAGAGAGUUGUGUGGUAGAGAUGAAAUCAUUGCUCUUGCCUCUAUUGUCGUACCUCCUACGGAUCCUUUAGAGCAAUAUCUGCUUGAGCAUGAAAAUGAUAUGCAUAUGGAGGAGAGAGAUGAGUUAGAUAGAAUUGUCUUAGAACAACAUCCUAUUCUCAAGAAUAAUUUGCCUAUUGAACUGCUUGGGGAUCCUCCCCCACCAAAGGGUGAUCAUGUGUUCGAGCUUAAACAGUUGCCUGAUACUCUUAAGUAUGCCUAUCUUGAUGAGAAGGAGAUAUAUCAUGUCAUUAUUAGUGCUCUCCUCUCAGAGCACGAAGAGAAGAAGUUACUAAAAACUAAGAGGAAGCACCGCGCGGCUAUUGGAUAUACUCUUGAUGAUCUUAAGGGUAUUAGUCCUACUCUAUGUCAACACAAGAUUAAAACCGAUCCUGAAUUUAAACCAGUUACUCAUCAUCAAAGGAGAUUAAAUCCUAAGAUGAAAGAGGUCGUUAGAAAAGAAAUAUUAAAGCUUCUGGAAGCAGGAAUCAUCAUGUUGCUCAUAGUGAUUGGGUAAGUCCAGUAAAUUGCGUACCUAAGAAGGGAGGUAUCACCGUCGUUCCUAAUGAUAAGGAUGAACUAAUCCCACAAAGGAUUAUUACCGGCUAUAGAAUGGUGAUAGACUUCCGGAAACUGAACAAGGCAACCAGGAAAGAUCAUUAUCCUUUGUCGUUCAUCGACCAAAUGCUAGAAAGGCUAUCAAAGCACACACACUUCUGCUUUCUAGACGGUUAUUCAGGUUUCUCGCAAAUACCUGUUGCACAAUCUGAUCAAGAGAAAACCACUUUCACCUGCCCUUUCGGUACCUUUACCUAUAGACGUAUGCCUUUUGGCUUAUGUAAUGCACCUGCCACCUUCCAAAGAUGUAUGAUGGCUAUAUUCUUUGACUUUUGUGAAAAGAUUGUCGAGGUUUUCAUGGAUGACUUCUCCGUUUACGGGUCUUCCUUUCAUGAUUGCCUCAGCAACCUUGAUCAAGUCUUAGAGAGAUGCGAAAAAACCAACCUCGUCUUGAAUUGGGAGAAGUGCCACUUUAUGGUUAAUGAAGGUAUCAUCUUAGGACACAAAAUUUCUGAGAGAGGCAUUGAAGUUGAUAAGGCUAAGGUUGAUUCAAUUGAGAAAAUGUCGUGCCCCACAGAUAUCAGAGGUAUACGAAGUUUCCUAGGUCAUGCUGGUUUCUAUAGAAGGUUCGCUAAAGACUUCUCUAAGAUUUCUAGGCCUCUUACCAACCUCUUGCAGAAGGAUGUUCCUUUUGUUUUUGAUGAGGAUUGUGAGGAAGCUUUCGAAAUACUUAAGAAGGCUUUGAUAACCGCACCUAUUGUUCAACCACCUGACUGGAACUUGCCCUUUGAAAUCAUGUGCGAUGCUAGUGAUUAUGCUGUUGGUGCUGUUCUAGGACAAAGAGUUGAGAAGAAGUUGAAUGUCAUUCACUACGCUAGUAAAACUCUAGACAGUGCCCAAAGAAACUAUGCCACUAUGGAGAAGGAAUUUUUAGCUGUCGUGUUUGCAUGCGAAAAGUUCAGAUCUUACAUAGUUGACUCUAAAGUCACUAUUCUCUCUGAUCAUGCUGCUAUUAAGUACCUCAUGGAGAAGAAGGACGCUAAGCCUAGGCUGAUCAAAUGGGUUCUCCUGCUACAGGAAUUUGAUUUGCACGUCAUUGACCGAAAGGAUGCUGAUAACCCUGUAGCAGAUAACUUGUCCAGGCUAGAGAAUGUCCUUGAUGACCCACUACCUAUUGAUGACAGCUUUCCUGAUGAGCAAUUAAAUGUCAUGCGCACUUCACUUAGUGCGCCGUGGUAUGCCGAUUAUGCAAACUAUAUCGUAGCCAAAUACAUACCACCCAGUUUCACCUAUCAACAAAAGAAGAAAUUAUUCUUUGAUUUGAGACACUACUUUUGGGAUGAUCCUCACCUUUAUAAGGAAGGAGUAGAUGGUGUUAUUAGACGUUGUGUGCCUGAACAUGAACAGGGACAGAUCCUGCAGAAGUGUCAUUCCGAAGCCUACGGAGGACACCAUGCUGGAGAUAGAACAACCCAUAAGGUAUUGCAAUCCGGUUUCUAUUGGCCCACUCUCUUCAAGGAUGCCCGUAAGUUUGUCUUGUCUUGUGACGAAUGCCAAAGGAUAGGGAACAUCAGUAAGUGUCAAGAGAUGCCUAUGAACUAUUCACUUGUCCUUGAACCAUUUGAUGUCUGGGGCUUUGAUUAUAUGGGACCCUUCCCGAGUUCCAAUGGGUACACUCACAUCUUAGUUGUUGUGGAUUACGUUACUAAGUGGGUAGAAGCUAUCCCCACUAAAAAUGUUGAUCACCACACCUCUAUUAAGAUGCUUAAAGAAGUUAUAUUCCCAAGAUUUGGAGUCCCUAGAUACUUGAUGAAUGAUGGCGGUUCACACUUCAUUCAUGGUGUUUUCCGCAAGAUGCUAGCUAAGUAUGAUGUCAACCAUAGAGUUGCAUCUCCUUAUCAUCCUCAGUCUAGUGGUCAAGUGGAGUUGAGUAAUAGGGAGAUCAAGUUGAUCCUACAAAAGACCGUCAAUAGAUCUCGAAAGAACUGGUCUAGCAAACUUGACGAUGCACUAUGGGCUUAUAGGACUGCUUUUAAGAAUCCCAUGGGCAUUUCACCGUAUAAAAUGGUUUACGGUAAGGCCUGUCAUUUACCUCUUGAGCUGGAACACAAAGCUUAUUGGGCAAUCAAAGAGCUCAACUUUGAUUUCAAACUUGCCGGUGAGAAGCGCUUGUUUGAUAUCAGCUCGUUGGAUGAAUGGAGAGCCCAGGCGUAUGAGAAUGCCAGCUUGUUCAAGGAAAAGGUUAAGAGAUGGCACGACUAACAGAUACAGAAACGAGAGUUCAAUGUAGGUGAUUAUGUCUUGCUAUACAAUUCUCGUUUGAAAUUCUUUGCAGGCAAGCUUCUCUCUAAAUGGGAAGGUCCCUAUGUUGUCGAGGAAGUAUAUCGCUCCGGUGCCAUCAAAAUCAAUAACACGGAAGGAAAUUUUCCUAGAGUGGUAAAUGGGCAAAGAAUCAAGAAUUACAUCUCUCGUACUCCCAUAAAUGUUGAGACCAAUAUCAUCAAUGUCAUAACUCCAGAGGAGUACAUAAGGGAUGUUUAUCAGCCUAUUUCAGACCUUGAAACAAAGAUGUAUCUAUUUCGGCAAGAAAUUGGACUGCGAUGCUUUUCCAAUAGGAAAUUUCCUCAGUUUUGGAAUUUUUGGAAAAUUAGAAAAAUAAAAAGCAGUUCAGAGAGCAAACGAGGCAGCCACAAGGGCCCACACCGCCACCACCCCCCUGGUGGCUGUGGGCAAGCUUGUGGGCACCUCGUGGGCCUCCCGGACUCCGUUUUCUUGCGGAGCACUCCUUCUGGCCAAGAAAAAAAUCAAUAUAUAGUCGCCCGAAGGUUUUGAUCUCCGUAUCGCGUAGUUUUCCUCUGUUUUCGUUUCGAGCUUGUUGUCUGCCGCUGAUUUAGAGCAAAGAUGUCUCAGGAAUCUGUUGGGGAGAAUGAUCAUCACCAAGUUCAUGAGGAAGAAGAUGCUGAUCUGAAAAGAGUUGAAGUUACGGAAGCCAGGGACCAAGCUAAGGAGAAAACCCAAGAUAAGGAGGAAGUUCAACCUAUGUUCAACGUUGAAGACGUUGAAGGAAUGGACUUUCUCCAACCCUUCCUCCACAUGUUGUCUCCAUCCUUGAUUGAAGUCUUGAGGUUUUUCAAAACAACUCAUGCUCGCAAUAUUUCUCUUUCUCGUCAAGUUGUUUUGGUGGAAAACCAUGUCACAGAUCUCAGAGGUAUAAAUCAAAGGUUGAUAGCUCUCUUGGAAUCAAAGGCCACAACAACACCAUCACCACCAAAGGAAGAUAAGUAAGCAUUGGUAUGCGCAAUUCCCUUGGCUUCUCCCAAGCUUGGGGGAGUUGCCCUGGUAUCGUAUCACCUUUAUAUCUUUUGCUUUCACCUUUGUUUUAGUUCUUUCCUUUUUAGUUUUUAUUUCUUCUUUUAGAGGAAUAAGUCUUUAGUUUUUAGUUUGAGUCUUUUUCUUUUGUCUCUCCCCCGAUGUAUUCGAGCUUACGAGCUAUAUAAUAAAGAGUGUCUUAGUCAAGGGCUUUGCUUUGUGCCAUGAUCAAAAGUAUGAAAAGAAUGAUAGCAUGAAAGAUCAUGAGACGAUCUUAUGGAAAGUGAUAACUUCACUUAUGACAAGUAUGAUGAUUGAAACUUGUUGAGAAUAAAUCAACAUAGACCUUAGUCAUUGUUGCAAUUAAUAAGAAGUAAUAAGGAAAGAGAGGUUCACAUAUAAAUAUAUCAUCUUAGAAACUUUUUUGCAAUUGUGAGCACUCACCAAACUAUUACAUGCCUAGGAGUAGAUGUUGGACAAGGAAGACGACAUAAUGAAUUGUGUUUGCUUGGUUCCAAACAACAUUAUAUGAUUAGAGAUCCCUUAGCAUGUGACGAUUGCUUCCACCUCAUAUUAGCCAAAACUCCUGCACCAAGUAGAGAUACUACUUGUGCAUCCAUAAACCCUCAAACCAGUUUUGCCAUGAGAGUCCACCAUACCUACCUAUGGAUUGAAUAAGAUCCUUCAAGUAAGUUGUCAUCGGUGCAAGCAAUAAAAAUUGUUCUCUAAUAUGUAUGAUCUAUUAGUGUGUGGAAAAUAAGCUUUGUGCGAACCUGUGAUGAGAGACAUAAAAGCGACAAACUGCAUAAUAAAGUUCUUUAUCAUAGGAGGCAAUAUAAAGUGACGCUCCUCCGCACUAAGAGGACACACAUUCAAACCUCAAAAGCGCAUGACGACCUCUGCUUCCCUCUGCGAAGGGCAUAUCUUGUACCUUUACUUUUUACCCUUGUAAGAGUCAUGGUGAUCAUCACCAAUUCCUCUUUUGCCUUCGUCUUGGCUACCGUCACAUGCUUGGGAAAGAUAUAUAUUGAUAUAUCAACUUGGAGUUGAGUACUCAUGAUUUAUUAUUGUUGACUUUACCCUUGAGGUAAACCGAUGGGAGGCAAAACUAUAAGCCCCUAUCUUCCUCUGUGUCCAGCCGAAACUUUGACACCAUGAGUACCACGUGAGUUGUAACAAUUGUGGAAAACAAAAGAGAUGAUUGAGUACGUGGGUUUGUCGUACAAGCUCUUAUUUGACUCUUUCUGAUGUUGUGAUAAAUUACAAUUGCUUCAAUGACUAUGGACUAUUGUUGGUUACUUCUCGGUAAGGUUUUUGCUUCAUGCUUUACUUUGUGAAGGAAUUGUUACUUUCCCAUAAUAAUAUUUAUGAUAUAUUGUUGUUCUAUGUGUGAUCAUGAUGCCCUCAUGUCCGUAUUAUGUUUUAUCGACACCUUCGUCCCCAAACAUGUGGACAUGUUUAUGGAACUUGGUUUUCGCUUGAGGACAAUCGAGGUCUAAGCUUGGGGGAGUUGAUACGUCCAUUUUGCAUCAUGCUUUCAUGUUGAUAUUUAUUGCUUUUUGGGCUCUUAUAUUACUUGUGGUACCAUAUUUAUGCCUUUUCACUCUUAUUUUGCAAGGAUUAUUUGAAGAGGGAGAAUUCAGACAGCUGGAAUUCUGGACUGGAAAAGGAGCAAAUCCUAGUCCACUAUUCUACACAUCUCCAACUGCCCAGAAAAUUUACGUGGAUUUUUUCUGGAAUAUAUUAAAAAUACUGGGCGAAUGAACUACCGGAGGGGGGCCACCAGGGCCCCACAAGCCCCCACUCCGCCACCACCCCCUGGUGGCGGUGGGCAAGCUUGUGGGUUGCCUCAACGCCCACUAGCACCCCUCUUUUGCUAUAUGAUGCGUCGUGACCUGGAAAAAAUCAUACGGGAGCUUUUUCGUGGUUUCACCGCCGCCACGGGGCGGAACUUGAGCAGAUCCAAUCUAGAGCUCCGGUAGGACGAUCCUGCCGGGGAAAUUUCCCUCACGGAGGGGGAAAUCGUCGCCAUCGUCAUCACCAACACUCCUCUCGUCGGAGGGGAGGCAUCUUCAUCAACAUCUUCAUCAGCACCAUCUCGUCUCCAAUCCUAUUUCAUCUCUUGUAACCAAUCUUCGUCUCGCAACUCCGAUUGGUACUUGUAAGGUUGCUAGUAGUGUUGAUUACUCUUUGUAGUUGAUGCUUGUUGGAUUAUUUGGUGGAAGAGUUUAUGUUCAGAUCCUUGAUGCUAAUCAUUACACCUCUGGUCAUGAUUAUGAUUAUGUCUUGUGAGUAGUUACUUUUGUUCCUGAGGACAUGGGAUAAGUCAUGUUGAUAAUAGUCAUGUGAAUUUGAUAAUCGUUCGGUAUUUUGAUAUGAUGUAUGUUGUUUUUCCUCUAGUGUUGUUUUGUGAACGUCGACUACAUAACACUUCACCAUAUUUGGGCCUAGAGGAAGGCAUUGGGAAGUAGUAAGUAGAUGAUGGGCUGUUGGAGUGAUAGAAACUUAAACCCCAGUUUAUGCGCUGCUUCGUGAGUGGCUGAUUUGGAUCCACUAGUUUAAUGCUAUGGUUAGACUUUGUCAUAAUUCUUCUUUUGUAGUUGCGGAUGCUUGCGAGAGAGCUUAAUCAUAAGUGGGAUGCUUGUCCAAGUAAGGGCAGUACCCAAGCGCCGGUCCACCCACAUAUCAAACUAUCAAAGUAACGAACGCGAAUCAUAUGAACAUGAUGAAACUAGCAUGACAGAAAUUCCUGUGUGUCCUCGGGAGCGUUUUUCCUCCUAUAAGACUUUGUUCCAACUUGUCCCUUGCUACAAAAGGGAUUGAGCCACUUGCUGCACCAUUGCUACUACUUGUUACUUGUUACUCUUUGCUUGCUACGUUUCACCUCGCUACACAAUCACUUGUUACCGCUACUUUCAGUGCUUGCAGUUAUUACCUUGCUGAAAUCCAUCUAUCAGAGCCUUCUGCUCCUCGUUGGGUUCGACACUCUUACUUAUCGAAAGGACUACGAUUGAUCCCCUAUACUUGUGGGUCAUCACACGUUCACAUGCAAUAUGGCAACAAGUGCACUUUUGGAGGGAAAAAAUAGGUGCACCAAAGUUGUCAAAAUCGUGACUCAAGUCUUAAAAUCUUACGACUUUACGAUCCAAACUAGCACCUACGACUUGGGGAGAAAUUCUUCAUACGUCCAUUUUGCAUCAUGUUUUCACGUUGAUAUUUAUCGCUUCUUUUGCUGUUAUUUCACUUCACGGUACUAUUCUUAUGCCUUUUCUUUCUUAUUUUGCAAGGUUUACAUGAAGAGGGAGAAUACCGGCAACUGGAAUUAUGGCCUGAAAGUGGAGCAAAGUUGAGAUACCUAUUCUGCGCAACUCCAAACGCCGUGAAAAUCAACGGAGAUUUUUUCCCAAUAUAUAAAAAAUACUGGACCGAAGAAGUACCGGAGGAGGGCCAGGGGGUGGCCACAAGCCUGCAUGGCGCGGCCACCCCCCCCCCCCCAGGCCGCGCCAUGGGGGCUUGUGGGCACCCUGCUGGCCCACUUGCCCCCCUCUUUUGCUAUAUGGAGGGUUUCGUCCAGAAAAAAAAUCAGAAUGGAGCUUUUUCGUGGUUUCGCCGCCACCACGAGGCGGAACUUGAGCAGAACCAAUCUAGAGCUCCGGCAAGACGAUCCUGCCGGGGAAACUUCCCUCCCAGAGGGGGAAAUCGUCGCCAUCGUCAUCACCAAAACUCCUCGCGACUCCGAUUGGUACUUGUAAGGUUGCUAGUAGUGUUGAUUACUCUUUGUAGUUGAUGCUAGUUGGAUUACUUGGUGGAAGAGUUUAUGUUCAGAUCCUUGAUGCUACUAAUUACACAUCUGAUCAUGAUUAUGAUUAUGCUUUGUGAGUAGUUACUUUUGUUCCUGACGACAUGGGAUAAUUCAUGCUAAUAAUAGUCAUGUGAAUUUGGUAUUCGUUCGGUAUUUUGAUAUGUUGUAUGUUGUUUUUCCUCUAGUGGUGUUAUGUGAAUGUCAACUACAUAACACUUCACCAUUCUUUCAGCCUAGAGGAAGGCAUUGGGAAGUAGUAAGUCGAUGAUGGGUUGCUAGAGUGAUAGAAGCUCAAACCCUAGUUUAUGCGUUACUUCGUAAGGGGCUGAUUUGGAUCCACUAGUUUAAUGCUAUGGUUAGACUUUAUCUUAAUUCUUCUUUCGUAGUUGCAGAUGCUUACGAGAGGGGUUAAUCAUAAGUGGGAUGCUUCUCCAAGUAAGGUCAGUACCCAAGCGCCGGUCUAUCCACAUAUCAAACUAUCGAAGUAACGAACGCGAAUCAUAUGAACAUGAUGAAACUAGCAUGACAGAAAUCCCCGUGUGUCCUCGGGAGCGUUUUUCCUCCUAUCAGACUUGCCCAGGCUUGUCCCUUGCUACAAAAGGGAUUGGGCCACUUUGCUGCACCGUUGCUACUUUUGCUACUUGUUUCUUUCUACGAAUGAUCUCACCACACAAUCACUUGUUACCGAAAAUUUCAGUGCUUGCAGAUUUUUCCUUGCUGAAAACCACUUGUCAGAUCCUUCUGCUCCUCGUUGGGUUCGACACUCUUACUUAUCGAAAGGACUACGAUUGAUCCCCUAUACUUGUGGGUCAUCAAGACUCUUUUCUGGCGCCUUUGGUAAGUGGAACUUGGUAAGGAAACAUUCAUAUAGUGUGCUGAAAUUUAUUAUCACUUGUCACUAUGGAUACUAAUGCUUUGAGGGGCUUGUUCGGGGUAUCUUCACCUCGAACGGAAGAACAAAGAGUUGCUCCUCAAGUUGCUGCACCUACUGAAAAUAUUUGCUUUGAAUUUCCUUCGGGUAUUGUCGUGGUAACGAUUCUGACAAUAGAAAGAGGGUAGGAUAACGGAGCAUGAUCUAUCAAGAUGCACAUGGGUGACACUGUGGUUUUAGCGAGUUCAUGCCUCUCAUAGUGGAGAUAACAACCCUACGUCUCGUGCUCCCGAGAGGCUUUGUUUUAUCUGUCAUGGACAUGAGUUACAUGGUAUAGAGAGAGCCAGAGCUCCAGGGAAGGAAUGAGCCCAAAGGAGGAGAAGAAGAUCCCCUUUAGCUAUGUGGAGGGGGUGGCUUAUAUAGAGUGCGCCACCUCCUCAGCUCUUAUGUUACAAGAUGGGGCAUUGAUGCCAUAAUGUCAACCCACUACAGAUGUCUUGUCGACUGUUGGUAUUUGCAUGACCGAGUGAGUCAUACGGUCGAGUCGAUGACUGUCAUCCGAGUGGAUUAGAUGUUGUCACGAUCUAGUAGGAAUUUCCCUUGUAGUCCUUUAAACUAAUAAUGAGGUUUCCUUGGGUAGGACGUAUUGGUCUGACCUAUGACCCUACCCUAGGGCUAUAUCCCCGUCAUUAGCCCCCGAAUGGAUCAGAGUCCGAGUGGUGAAGGUGUCGAUGUAAAUCUUGUAGCAGCAGACCGAACUUGAAGGUGCUUCAGGGCCUUGCAAAAUUAUGCGUUGAUUGAAGUCUUCAUCAUUCGCCCUGAUCGAUUCCUCUGAGUAGUACGUCGGAGUGAACUUAAGAAUUGAAGUAGAUCCGAGUGCCCAACAGGAUCUUGAGACUCUGACUGACUGCUGGUAGUCGGUUGGAAUCUGUUGAAUCUGUUGAACUUGGAUGUUGUUGGUGGACCUGACCAAGCAGAAUGUUUAUUUUUUGUAUUUCUCUUCUAGUGGGGGCACACUAAGUGCACCCACUGGGUGUAGUCCCCGAGCCUCUGUCGGACUAGAUGAGUCUGGCAGAGGGUUUAGGACUUCGAGUGCUCGUUAUGUUGAAUGUUUGUAGAAUCUGCAUCAUAUGAUUUUUGGAUCAAAGUCAAGUCUCCGAGUGUAUUUUUAACUUAGGCGAUUCGGGGUCGCAGCUAAGUUCCCGAGUGUGGAGCAUGUCUGUACUCGGAGUAGUUUUUAACUUAGGCGAUACGGACUCACAACAAAGUUCUCGAGUAUGGAGCGUGUCCGUACUUGGAGUUGUUUUUAACUUAGGUCGUAUACGGAGUCGCAGCUAAGUCCCCGAGUGUGGAGCAUGUCCGCACUCGGAGUUGUUUUUAACUUAGGCGAUACGGAGUCGCAGCUAAGUCCCCGAGUGUGGAGCAUGUCCACACUCGGAGUUGUUUUUAACUUAGGCGAUACGGAGUCGCAGCUAAGUCCCCGAGUGUGGAGCAUGUCCGCACUCGGAGUUGUUUUUAACUUAGGUGAUACGGAGUCGCAGCUAAGCCCCCGAGUGUGGAGCAUGUCUGCACUCGGAGUUGUUUUUAACUUAGGCAAUACAGAGUCGCACCUAAGUUCCCGAGUGCGGAGCAUGUCCGCACUCAGAGUUGUUUUAACUUAGGAGAUACAGAAUCACAGCUAAGCUGAGCGGUGGCGCGCGGGGCAGCCGAAUGAUGAAGACGUGCCACACGGAGUGGCGAUGCGCAUGGCAUCCGAGUGAGGUAGACGAUUCUGGCUGAGUGGCAACACGCGGGGCGGCCAAGUGAUGUAUGUCGAGGAGGCGUCCGACCCACUGACGGCCCGCGGGGCGGCCGUGUCCACUACGUCAUUGAAGGGGCUUCUGAACACGUGAAAACGCAUGAAUGAUCGUUGCGGCGACUGAGCCUGAGCAGCGACGAGGAUGGCGCACGAAUGCGCCGAGUAACCUGUGUAUGAAAAAUAGCACAAGCCAGCAUAAAAAAUUAUCAAAGUAAUAUGAUCUUUUCUGAAAUAGUUCGUGUAAAUUGCACCCAUAGACACCCGCUGGGUGUGCCACGUGAUUGCUGGUUCGGAACUAGCAAGAGUCUAAAAGAGUGAAGGAUCCGGCUGAACUCGUUUGAGUACUGGACCCAAACGAAGCGGAAGUGAAGUGUUCCCACAUAAAAAUAAACAACCGAGUGCAGAGGUACACUCAGUGGUGUGUCCUCCGAGUGAACGUCACGUGCGACUUCCUCGACACUCGGUAAUGAUUAUUUAAUAGAAUGCAGUCUGUGAAAAAAUGACUUAGCUGCCUGACGACGCGCGGGGCGGUCGAGUGAAGUAGACACGUCCGGCUGAGUGGCGACGUGUUGGGCGGUCAAGCGAUGAAGACGCGUCUAGCUGAGUGGCGACACGCGGGGUGGCCGAGUGACGACGCGCAGAGCAACCAGGUGAUGAAGGAGCCUCCAGCCGAGUGACGACACGCGAAGCUGCCGAGUGACGAAAGAGCGUCCAAUCGAGUGGCGGCACGCGGAGCUGCCGAGUGACGAAAGAGCGUCCAAUCGAGUGGCGGCACGCGGAGCUGCCGAGUGACGAAGGAGUCUCCAGCCGAGUGAGGAUGGCUUGUCUUGCUGACUGGCGAUGCGCGAAGCUACCGAGUGCUGAUGACGGAUCCGAGUGAGGGACGGCGCGCAGGGCGGCUGAGCGCUGACGACGCGUCCGACUGAGUGACAGCAUGCAGGGCGGCCGAGUGAUGACGAGACAUCCGACUAAGGGGCGGCGCGCGGGGCGACCGAGUGCUCACGACACGUCCGACUGCGUAACGGCAUGCAGGGCGGCCGAGUGAUGAUGACACGUCCGACGGAGUGACGACGCGUGGGGCGGCCGAGUGCGGACGAUGCGUGUACGACUGAGCGACAGUGCGCAGAGCGGCCAAGUGAUGACGACGCGUCUGACCGAGCGACAUCAUGUAGGGCGACCGAGUCACUGCAUGUUGGUCAUCUGUAUGCAGAAUUCAUCUGAAAUAAUUUCUUGCAUGGUUUAGAGGAAAAAAUGGCCAUGUCCAGCAGCCAUCGACUGGGAAAGAAACCGUUGCCCGCGUGGAGGCGUGGCCCUUCCUGGCUUUUGCACUCACUCCUGCAUGCACGUAAUCAAGUAGUGGCUCCCACGUCUAGGGUAUUGAAGGAGUUGCCUCACGUCUUGAACUGCAUGCAAGAGGCGUUAGUGGAAACGGCCGGUCUAGCCAUGCAUGUAAUUUGAAAUUAAAACAUGGAGUAGACACGUCUUGAACUGCAUGCAAGAGGCGUUAGUGGAAACGGCCGGUCUGGCCAUGCAUGUAAUUCGAAAUUAAAACAUGGAAGUUACUGAAUGCAUGCGAAGGGAGUUGAAGAAAAAGGUUGGAGUCCUGAGAGCUCUGUCGCACAAGAGACGACUGGUCUGACCGGAAUCAGUCGGUAGCUGAGUGGUGCCGACGAGGUGGACGAGCGGCUGGCCGUAGCCCAAACGCAGGAUGGCGCAGCCAAUGGCGAGGCCAACGCGAGCACUGGUAGCCGCGUUUCACUGCUCGGUGAGAUGGAGCUGCCCGCCGGUCGGAGCGGCGCUUCGACGCCCGCAAAGCCAGGCCGAGCGCAGACGGCCAGUCGUCAUGCACUGUCUCCUGAGGGACCUGGACGAGCUUUGGCACCCGUACGUAUGUGAGCCCUUGGCGUAGGCUUUGCAGAUGAAGCCGAAGGUGACAACAAUGAAGCGGACGACGCCGGCGGUCGCGUGUGAUGACGAUGAGGCGGAGGACGCUGGUGGCCGCACGUGACGACCAUGAUCGGCACGAUGUCGGUGGCCGCACACGAUGACCGAGGCAAAGGACGCCGGUGGCCGCGCAUGACAACGAUGAGGCAGCGGACGUCGGUGGCUGCGCACGACGACCAUAAGGUGAAUGACGCCGGUGGCUGCGCAUGACAACCAUGAGGCGGACGACGCCGAUGGUUGAAGGAAUAACCAUAUGCAUAAUGGCUCGAUAGAUGCCAUGCCCCACGGUGGGCGCCAAAUGUCAUGGUAACGAUUCGAACAAUAGAAAGAGGGUAGGAUAAUGGAGCAUGAUCUAUCAAGAUGCACAUGGGUGACACGGUGGUUUUAGCGAGUUCAGGCCUCUCACAGUGGAGAUAACAACCCUACGUCUCGUGCUCCGGAGAGGCUUUGUUUUAUCUAUCAUGGACAUGAGUUACAUGGUAUAGAGAGAGCUAGAUCUCCAGGGAAGGAAUGAGCUCGAAGGAGGAGAAGAAGAUCCCCUUUAGCUAUGUGGAGGGGGGUGGCUUAUAUAGAGUGCGCCACCUCCUCACCUCUUAUGUUACAAAAUGGGGCAUUGAUGCCAUAAUGUCAACCCACUACAGAUGUCUUGCCGACUGUUGGUAUUUGCAUGACCGAGUGAGUCAUACGGCCGAGUGGAUGACUGUCAUCCGAGUGGAUGGAAUGUACUUGUCUGAGUGGAUCCGUACCGAGUGGAUUAGAUGUUGUCACGAUCUAGUACGAAUUUCCCUUGUAGUCCUUUAAACUAAUAAUGAGGUGUCCUUGGGUAGGAAGUAUUGGUGAGACCUAUGACCCUACCCUAGGGCUAUAUCCCCGUCAGGUAUGCUUGAGAAACUGUUGGCUAAUCCUUUUACACGAGAUGGAACAUCACAUCCAGACUUACAUCUAAUCUAUGUAGAUGAGGUUUGUGGUUUAUUUAAGCUUGCAGGUGUGCCCGAGGAUGAGGUCAAGAAGAAGGUCUUUCCUUUUUCUUUGAAGGAUAAGGCGUUUACAUGGUAUAGGCUAUGUGAUGAUACUGGAUCAUGGGGCUACAAUCGGUUGAAAUUGGAAUUUCAUCAAAAAAUUUAUCCUAUGCAUUUGGUACAUCGUGAUCAGAAUUAUAUUUACAAUUUUUGGGCUCGUGAUAGAGAAAGCAUCGUUCAAGCUUGGGGGAGGCUUAAAUCAAUUCUAUAUUCAUGCCCCAAUCAUGAGCUCUUGAGAUAAAUUAUCAUUCAGAACUUCUAUGCUCGGCUUUCUCAUGAUGAUCGCACCAUGCUUGACACUUCUUAUACCGGUUCUUUUAUGAAGAGAGAUAUUGACUUCAAGUGGAAUUUAUUGGAGAGAAUUAAAUGCAACUCUGAAGAUUGGGAGCUUGAAGAAGGUAAGGAUUCAUGUAUGAAUUUCACUUUUGAUUGCGUUAAAUCCUUUGUUGAGACAAAUACUUUUUGUGACUUUAGCGCUAAGUAUGGCCUUGACUCUGAGAUAGUAGCUUCAUUGUGUGAAUCUUUUGCUGCUCAUAUCGAUCUCCCCAAAGAGAAGUGGUUUAAAUAUCAUCCUCAUUUAGAAGUCAACGUAGUUAAACCCACUCAAGUUGAAGAGAAAGUCAUUGCCUAUAAUGAUCCUGUGGUACCCAGUGCUUACAUUGAGAAACCACCUUUCCGUGUUUGGAUAAAGGAUCACUCUAAAGCUUCAACUGUGAUACGUAGAGGCUAUAUUAGAACACCUACACCCCCCCCUGAGCAAAUUAGAGUUGAACCUAGCAUUGCUAUUAUCAAAGAUCUUCUGUCUGAAGAAGUUGAGGGACACAAUAUUCACUUCUGUGAAGAUGCUGCUAGAAUUGCUAAACCUCAUUUUAGAGAUAAACAUAGGCCUGUUGUUGGCAUGCCUGUGGUUUCUUUUAAGAUAGGAGAUCAUUGCUAUCAUGGUUUAUGUGACUUGGGUGGUAGUGUUAGUUCAAUACCUCAAUCCUUAUACGAUGAAGUCAAAGCUGAGAUUGCACCUGUUGAGAUAGAACCUAUAGAUGUCACUAUUCAGCUUGCCAAUAGAGAUACUAUCUGCCCUGUGGGAAUUGUUAGGGAUGUUGAAGCCUUGUGUGGUAAAACGAAGUAUCCUGCUGAUUUCCUCGUUCUUGCUACCGCACAAGAUAGCUUUUGUCCCAUAAUAUUUGGCAGACCCUUUCUCAAUACUGUCAAUGCUCAUAUUGAUUGUGAGAAGCAAACUGACACUGUUGGCUUUGAAGGUGUGUCACACGAGUUCAAUUUCUCUAAGUUUGGUAGACAACCUCAUGAAAAGGAGUCGCCUAGUAGGGAUGAAACUAUUGCCUUAGCUUCUAUUGUCAUGCCUCCUACUGAUCCCUUAGAGCAAUACUUGCUUGAGCAUGAAAAUGAUAUGCAUAUGGAUGAAAGGGAUGAAAUAGAUAGAGUUGUUUUAGAACAAUAUCCUAUUCUUAAGAAUAACUUUCCUGUUGAACUGCUUGGGGAUCCACCCCCACCAAAGGGUGAUCCUAUGUUCGAGCUUAAACAGUUGCCUGAUACUCUUAAGUAUGCCUAUCUUGAUGAAAAGGAGAUAUAUCCUGUUAUUAUUAGUGCUAGCCUCUUAGAGGAGGAAGAAAAGAAGUUACUAAAAACUCUAAGGAAGCACCGUGCUGCUAUUGGAUAUACUCUUGAUGAUUUUAAGGGCAUUAGUCCCACUCUAUGCCAGCACAAGAUCAAAACUGAUCCUGAAUUCAAACCAGUUGUUGAUCAUCAAAGGAGAUUGAAUCCUAAGAUGAAAGAAGUAGUGAGAAAAGAAAUACUAAAGCUCCUGGAAGCGGGUAUUAUCUAUCUUGUUGCUCAUAGCGAUUGGGUGAGUUCGGUGCAUUGCUUUCCUAAGAAGGGAGGCAUCACCGUUGUCCCUAAUGAUAAGGAUGAGUUGAUCCCACACAGGAUUAUUAUUGGCUAUAGGAUGGUGAUUGAUUUUAGGAAGUUGAAUAGGGCCACUAGGAAAUUUCAUUACCCUGUGCCUUUUAUCGACCAAAUGCUAGAAAGGUUGUCCAAGCACACACACUUCUGCUUUCUAGACGGUUAUUCUGGUUUCUCCCAAAUACCAGUUGCACAAUCUGAUCAGGAGAAAACCACUUUCACCUGCCCUUUCGGUACCUUUGCUUAUAGACGUAUGCCUUUUGGCUUAUGUAAUGCACCUGCCACCUUUCAAAGAUGUAUGAUGGCUAUAUUCUCUGACUUUUGUGAGAAGAUUGUCGAGGUUUUCAUGGAUGACUUUUCUGUUUAUAGGUCUUCCUUUGAUGAUUGCCUCAUCAACUUUGAUCGAGUCUUGCACAGAUGUAAAGAUACCAAUCUUGUCUUGAAUUGGGAGAAGUGCCACUUUAUGGUUAAUGAAGGCAUCGUCUUAGGACAUAAAAUUUUUGAAAGAGGUAUUGAAGUCGAUAAGGCUAAGGUUGAUGCAAUCGAGAAAAUGCCAUACCCCACAGAUAUCAGAGGUAUAAGAAGUUUCCUUGGUCACGCUGGUUUCUAUAGAAGGUUCAUUAAAGAUCUCUCUAAGAUUUCUAGGCCUCUUACCAAUCUCUUGCAAAAGGAUAUUCCUUUUGUCUUUGACGAUGAUUGUGAGGAAGCCUUCGAAAUACUUAAGAGGGCUUUGAUAACUUCACCUAUUGUUCAACCACCUGAUUGGAACUUUCCUUUUGAGAUUAUGUGUGAUGCUAGCGAUUAUGGUGUUGGUGAUGUUCUAGGGCAAAGAGUCGAUAAGAAGUUGAAUGUUAUUCACUACGCUAGUAAAACUCUAGACAGUGCCCACAGAAACUAUGCCACUAUGGAGAAGGAAUUUUUAGCAGUCGUGUUUGCGUGUGAAAAGUUUAGGUCUUACAUAGUUGAUUCCAAAGUCAUUAUUCACACUGAUCACACUGCCAUUAAGUACCUCAUGGAGAAGAAGGACGCUAAACCUAGACUUAUCAGAUGGGUUCUCUUGCUAAAAGAAUUUGAUUUGCACGUUGUUGACAGGAAGGGUGGUGAUAACCUAGUAGCAGAUAACUUGUCUAGGUUGGAGAACGUUCUUGAUGACCCACAACCUAUUGAUGAUAGCUUUCCCGGUGAGCAACUGAAUGUCAUCAAUGCUUCACGUAGUGCACCGUGGUAUGCUGAUUAUGCAAACUAUAUCGUUGCCAAAUACAUACCACCUAGUUUCACGUACCAGCAAAAGAAGAAAUUCUUCUUUGACUUGAGACAUUACUUUUGGGAUGAUCCUCACCUUUAUAAGGAAGGAGUAGAUGGUGUUAUUAGAUGUUGUGUACCUGAACAUGAACAGGGACAGAUCCUACAGAAGUGUCGCUCCGAAGCCUACGGAGGACACCAUGCGGGAGAUAGAACUGCACACAAGGUAUUGCAAUCAGGUUUCUAUUGGCCCACUCUCUUCAAGGAUGCCCGUAAGUUUGUCUUGUCCUGUGACGAAUGUCAAAGAAUAGGUAAUAUUAGCAAACGUCAGGAAAUGCCUAUGAACUAUUCACUUGUCAUUGAACCAUUUGAUGUCUGAGGCUUUGAUUAUAUGGGACCUUUUCCCAAAUCCAAUGGGUAUACUCACAUCUUAGUUGCUGUUGAUUACGUCACUAAGUGGGUAGAAGCUAUCCCCACUUGUAGUGCUGAUCACAACACCUCUAUCAAGAUGCUGAAAGAAGUUAUCUUCCCUAGAUUUGGAGUCCCUAGAUAUCUAAUGACCGACGGUGGUUCACACUUCAUUCAUGGCGCUUUUCGUAAAACGCUUGCUACGUACGAUGUCAACCAUAGAAUUGCGGCUCCCUACCACCCUCAGUCCAGUGGUCAAGUAGAGCUAAGCAAUAGAGAGAUUAAACUAAUUCUGCAAAGGACUGUCAACAGGUCUAGAAAGAAUUGGUCUAAUGAGCUUGAUGAUGCACUGUGGGCUUAUAGAACUGCCUAUAAGAAUCCCAUGGGCAUGUCUCCAUACAAAAUGGUGUAUGGUAAAGCAUGUCACUUACCUCUUGAGCUAGAGCAUAAAGCUUACUGGGCAAUCAAAGAGCUCAACUUUGAUUUCAAACUUGCCGGUGAGAAGGGGUUAUUUGACAUUAGCUCGCUUGAUGAGUGGAGAACUCAAGCAUAUGAGAAUGCCAAGCUCUUCAAAGAGAAGGUUAAGGGGUGGCAUGAUAAGAGGAUACAAAAGCGUGAGUUCAAUGUAGGUGAUUAUGCCUUGCUAUAUAACUUUCGUUUAAGAUUCUUUGCAGGCAAGCUUCUCUCUAAAUGGGAAGGUCCCUAUGUUGUUGAGGAAGUAUAUCGUUCCCGUGCUAUCAAGAUCAACAACACGGAAGGUAAUUGUCCGAGAGUGGUAAAUGGGCAGAGAAUCAAGCAUUAUAUCUCAGCUACUCCCAUAAAUAUUGAAAGCAAUAUCAUCAAUACCAUAACUCCGGAAGAAUACCUAAGGGACAUUUAUCAGCCUGUUUCAGACUCCGAAAACGAAGGGGUAUGAGAUUCGGUAAGAAAACAGAGUCCAAAACGUUCCCCAUAGGAAAUUUUCUCCGUUUUGGAAUAUUUGAAAAAAUACAAAAAUUGGAAGUAGUCCGGAAAGUGCGCGUGGAGGCGACAAGCCUGCACGGCGCGGGCUCACCCCCUGGUAGCGCCAUGAGGGCUUGUGGCCACCUCGUGCGCCUCCCGUACUCCGUUUUUGGGCGGGGGACUCCUUCUGGUCUGAAAAAAUCAUUGUAUAUACUUCCGUUUGGUCUGACCCCUGCAUCACGUAGAUUUCCUCUGUUUUUCAUUUCGAGCCUGUUUCUGUUGCAGAUCUAGAUCGCCAUGACUUCCCCAAAAGCUCUGAAGGACAAGAUCUUCGAGAAGGUCAUCAAUUCCUACCUCAUGAGAGUGCUGCAACACCCUCAAUCUAUCGAGAUGCGUGACGGGAUGUUUCACAUCCGUGAUGUUGAGGGGCCUAAGAAGACCGGAAGCAUGGAGACGAGGCUCGAAGGAAUGGAGCAACAAGUCUUCAAGUGCCAAGGGAUGGUGGAGCGUGGACUCAACGCCAACCAUAUGAUUAUCACGGAGUUCACCAACAAGCACAUGACUGAUGCCAAUGACAUUGGGAAGCAUCUCUCCAGGCUCUAUGACAGGGUUGAUCAACUCCAGGGCCAGAUCUAUGACCUGCAGAACCAAAACUGUGAGUAUGAGUAUAGAUUUAAAUCAAUAUGGUUGGGUGCAGAUUUGAGGAAUCCGGCGACUCGUUCAUCCUUCCACGAUGGAGCACCUAUGCCUUGGAAUAUGGAUGAUCAAACUCAUGUUGCAACAACUCCACCAUCACCACCAAAGGAAGACAACUGAGCAUUGGUAUGGGCAAUCCCCUUGGCUUUUGCCAAGCUUGGGGGAGUUGCACCCCGACAUCGUAUCACCAUCACAUCUUUUGCCUUUACCUUUGUUUUAGUUUUCCUUUUUAGUUUUCUUUUUCUCUAGUAGUUUAAAAGUCUUAGUGUUUUAGUUUUGAGUUUUGCUUUGUGUCACCCCCGAUGUAUUCUUGCUCGUGACCCUUAUAAUAAAGAGUGUCUUAGUUGAAGGGCUUUGCCUCUGGCCAUGAUCAAAAGAGUGAGAAUAGAAAAAAAGCAUGAAAGAUCAUGUAAUGAUCUUAUGGGAAGUGAUGGCUUCACAUAUAAAAAGAAUGAGGAUUGAAACUUGUUGAGGGUAGGCAAACAUAGACCUUGGUCAUUGUUGCAAUUAAUAGGAAGUGAUAAAGAAGGAGAGGUUCAGAUACAAAUAUAUCAUCUUUGACACCACCUAUGAUUGUGAACACUCACUAAACUAUUGCAUGCCUAGAAGUAGAUGUUGGACAAGGAAGGUGUUUCCUUGGCUCUGAACAAUGUUAUAUGAUUAGAGAUCCCUUAGCAUGUGACGAUUGCUUCCACCUCAUAUCAGCCAAAACUUUUGCACUAAGUAGAGAUAUGAGUUGUGCAUCCAUAAACCUUCAACCCAGUUUUGCCAUGAGAGUCCACCAUAUCUACCUAUGGAUGGAAUAAGAUCCCUCAAGUAAGUUGUCAUCGGUGCAAGCAAUAAAAAUUGCUCUCUAAUAUGUAUGAUCUAUUAGUGUGUGGAAAAUAAGCUUUGUACUAACCUGUGAUGAGGAAGACAUAAAAGCGACAGACUCCAUAAUAAAGUUCUUUAUCACAGGGGGAAAUAUAAAGUGACAUUCCUCCGCACUAAGAGGACACGCAUCCAAACCUCAAAAGCGCAUGACAACCUCUGCUUCCCUCUGCGAAGGGCCUAUCUUGUACCUUCACUUUUUGCCCUGAAAGAGUCAUGGUGAUCUUCACCAAUUCCCUAUUUUUCCUUUGUCUUGGCUACCGUCACAUGCUUGGGAAAGAUCUAUAUUCAUAUGUCAACUUGGAGGUAAGUACUUAUGAAUUAUUAUUGUUGACAUUACCCUUGAGGUAAGCAGUUGGGAGGCAACUAUAAGCCCCUAUCUUUCUCUGUGUCCAGCUGAAACUUUGAUCUCAUGAGUACCACGUGAGUUGUAGCAAUUGUAGAGAACGAAAGAAUGAUUGAGUAUGUGGAUUUGCUUUACAAGCUCUUAAUUGACUCUUUCUGAUGUUGUGAUAAAUUGCAAUUGCUUCAAUGACUAAAGGCUAGCGGUUGUUACUUCUCGGUAAGGUUCUUGAUCCAUGCUUUACUUUGUGAAGGAAUUAUCACUUUGGCAUGAGAGAUUGUAUGUUGGUAUGUUGUUCUGAUCAUGAUCAUGAUGCAUGCAUGUUCGUAUCUUGUUUUGUCGACACCUCUCUCCCUAAACAUGUGGACAUAUUUAGUGAUCUAGGCUUUCGCUUGAGGACAAGCGAGGUCUAAGCUUGGGGGAGUUGAUACGUCCAUUUUGCAUCAUGUUUUCACGUUGAUAUUUAUCGCUUCUUUUGCUGUCAUUUCACUUCACGAUACUAUUCUUAUGCCUUUUCUCUCUUAUUUUGCAAGGUUUGCAUGAAGAGGGAGAAUACCGGCAACUGGAAUUCUGGCCUGAAAGUGGAGCAAAGUUGAGAUACCUAUUCUGCGCAACUCCAAACACCGUGAAAAUUAACGGAGAUUUUUUUUCUCAAUAUAUAAAAAAUACUGGGCCGAAGAAGUACCGGAGGAGGUCCAGGGGGUGGCCACAAGCCUGCACGGUGCCCCCCCCGAGACGCACCAUGGGGGCUUGUGGGCACCCUGCUGGCCGACUUGCCUCAGAAGGGAGCUUUUUCGUGGUUUUGCCGCCGCCACGAGGCAGAACUUCAGCAGAACCAAUCUAGAGCUCCGGCAGGACGAUCCUGUCGGGGAAACUUCCCUCCCGAAGGGGGAAAUCGUCGCCAUCGUCAUCACCAACACUCCUCUCAUCGGAGGGGACUCGUCACCAUCAACAUCUUCAUCAGCACCAUCUCAUCUCCAUACCCUAGUUCAUCACUUGUAACCAAUCUCCGUCUCGCGACUCCGAUUGGUACUUGUAAGGUUGCUAGUAGUGUUGAUUACUCUUUGUAGUUGAUGCUAGUUGGAUUACUUGGUGGAAGAGUUUAUGUUCAGAUCCUUGAUGCUACUCAUUACACCUCUGAUCAUGAUUAUGAUUACUCUUUGUGAGUAGUUACUUUUGUUCCUGAGGACAUGGGAUAAGUCAUGCUAAUAAUAGUCAUGUGAAUUUGGUAUUCGUUCGGUAUUUUGAUAUGUUUUAUGUUGUUUUCCCUCUAGUGGUGUUAUGUGAACGUCGACUACAUAACACUUCACCAUUAUUUGGGCCUAGAGGAAGGCAUUGGGAAGAAGUAAGUAGAUGAUGGGUUGCUAGAGUGACAGAAGCUUAAACCCUAGUUUAUGUGUUACUUCGUAAGGGGCUGAUUUGGAUCCACUAGUUUAAUGCUAUGGUUAGACUUUGUCUUAAUUCUUCUUUCGUAGUUGCAGAUGCUUGUGAGAGGGGUUAAUCAGAAGUGGAAUGCUUGUCCAAGUAAGGUCAGUACCCAAGCGCCGGUCCACCCACAUAUCAAACUAUCAAAGUAACGAACGCGAAUCAUAUGAACAUGAUGAAACUAGCAUGAGAGAAAUUCCCGUGUGUCCUCGGGAGCGUUUUUUCUCAUGUAAGACUUUGUCCAGGCUUGUCCCUUGCUACAAAAGGGAUUGGGCCACUUUGUUGCACCGUUUCUACUCUUGUUACUUGUUGCUUGCUACAAAUCAUCUCACCACACAAUCACUUGUUACUGAAAAUUUCAGUGCUUGCAGAUUUUUCCUUGUUGAAAACCACUUGUCAUAUCCAUCUGCUCCUCGUUGGGUUCGACACUCUUAUUUAUCGAAAGGACUACGAUUGAUCCCCUAUACUUGUGGGUCGUCAAUUCUCAACUAACCAUAUUUAGAUACUAGGUAGAGGUUACCCCCCGUGGGGAGAUUCGAUCUACCUCUCCUUGAUUUUAGGGUGAGUGCAACGUGAACGUGAUAGUGGGAGUCUCAAUGAGGAUCUUUGUGUGUGUACAACACCUUUCUUUUAGGAAAAAAUAAGCACCUUAUAAUGUGAAAUUAUAAAAUCCUAAUUAAAAUAUGCUAAAAAUCAUUACUUAAAAAAACUUGUUUGUCUUGCCACAUAAAACAAACAUAAAUUAUGGGGGUAGUUUAUUGCGUGGCCUUUCUCGCCCCCCGUCCCUCCCAUAUUCGGGACAUCUACCGGAUUUCUAGGGUUGUAACCUCGAAAGUUCAAGAUCUACGGCGGCCACAUGAAACCAUAGCAAGGAUUGGGAUGAAAGCCCCAUGUUAAGCUCUUUGGUCCAUAUAUGCACCAUAUGCUACCAAAGGGAGGGGUGGCCUCGAUGUCGUUCUCUAGGCUAUGAUGCUUGUAAGGUGCCGUUAUAAUCCAUGCAAAUUCGUGACGGGCCGAAAAUUCACGGGACCUGGCGCAGUGUAAUCAUACCACCCCUAGAGGAUGUGGUAAAACAUCGUGGGCGGCAUGCAUAGGCCCUCACGUAGGUUGUGGGCAACCGGGCCCAUAUCCCAUGCUCGAUCAAGCCAUACAGUGGGAAUGCAUCCGUCCUUUGAAUGGAGUGUGGGGCCCGUUCCUUCAUUUCCCUAAAAUCUCGUUGUCGCGUGAUGUAAGACCUAGUAACCAAGGACCGUCCCGUGCAUAGUACUCAGUUGGAUCCACAACAUGCAUGCACACAUGGCCACGUAUGAAUCUACACGGCGGGGAUGCAUGGUUCGGGGGCUGGCACAAGUGUCGCGGGUCAUCUGUCUAGGUGCUACUCCACUUGGGUCUAGACGGCGGGGGUGCAUGGUUUAGAUCUAGCUAUCGAGAGGUAACACGUCCGGUUUGUGCCUAGGCCGUGCAUCACGGGGCCUGGCGCGGUCUCAUCGUAUGACCCAUGAAGGGUAUGGUCAAACACCAAGAACAGCAUGCAUAAACCCUCACGCGGGCUAAGUGUAAACGAGACCAUAUCGCAUGUUGGAUCUAGCCAAUGGGAGGGAAGAAGUUCGGCAUGUGGACGGUGUGCGGGGCUCGUUCCUUCACUUUCUUCAAAAUUCGGUGCCGCUUGAUGUGGGUCCUAACCACAAAGGCCCAUCCCGUGCAUCACACUCACCUGGACCCACACGUUGCAAGCACACUUGGCCACGUAGACACACACUUAUAAACCUUGACGAUAGCUAGGCUUUAAUAAUUAUCCAUUCAUUUUGCCUAAUCAGUACAACAUAGCUAGCAUUGAACAAAAAAAGCCAGAUGCCAUGUGAAAUUAAAUGUGCCAACUGUCCCUUCUAGUAUUUUUUUGGUAGUUCUCCCUUCUAGUAUUUAGUAGUACUGCGCAAAACAAAAAAAUGUCCCUUCUAUUUUGGUGUUCUUUUUUUGAACACCAUAUUUUGUUGUUCGGUUUAUGUUGCCACAUUUGUGGACCGACAUUGUGCACUUUUUCUUUUGCCUGGUUGGUUGAUUGGUUGGUUUGGGCAAAUCUCUGGGUGUGCACGAUGCCCUAUAGGUGCAAGUUUCUACCUAAAUUUCAGAAGUGACGAAUUGUGUGCGGCCUUGACCUCUCUCCCAAAAAAAAUGAAUUUUCACUCCCCAAAUCUCACUCCCGCCUCGAGAGUUUGAUCGCCUCUGCCUAUCCACCCACGUCUUCGUCGUCGCCCACUACUUGCCGCCGCCAAAAAGCCCACAUUCUUGCCGGCGAGGAUGAUCCUACCUUGUGGAGGAGGGGGCGUGGCUGGUGCGCUCUGUGCGGCAAAUGUGGACCCCAUGAAGGAACUGGUCGACAAGGACGUCGUAGCCGCUGAUUCGCAGCCGCAGCUGGUCCAACACAGCACCAACGACGACGAAUUGGUUAGUGUCUACAGAGAUUAACCCUAGAAUUUACAUUCUCGAGGUUAACCCUAGAAAUUGCUCUCUUGUUAUUCCUCGCCAUUCGUACACACAAUCGUACUCUUCACUUUUUUGUAUUAAUCAUACAGUUAUCAAUCCUAGGGUUUGCAAAUUUAGAUGAAUGGAUCAUUUUUAUUCCAUUUUAUGCCUGUCUUUCAUAUAACCAAAGUUUUAGAGAACCUAUACAAAGAAAAAACAAUCCAUUUAUGCCUACCUUUGAUAUAAUGUACAAUUCGCUGGCAUGAGAUUUUUUUUCUUCUAGUACCAGAUUGCAGAUUUGGAAGAAUGGGAGAAGUACCUACAACUGAGGGAAGCUUCGAGAAAGAAAAUCUUCAAGUGGCUCAUGGCUGCAAAGAUUGUGUACCGGUGUAACGGUCGCAAUAAAUGCCCAUUCUGCACGAAAGAGAACCAACAUUCUAAAACCACAGCAAUUGCAGCUUACAGAAAGAGGUGGCAUCUUAAGGCAAAACCUGUUGAGUUGGCUAACAAAUUGGGGAGGGUGAAGACUUAAAAGCAUAUAGUCAUGUUUUUUUGUGUUCUGUCGACACCUAAUGUACAAAAUAUAUUGGCCCACUUGAACAAGUAUCAAUCUUUAUCUCAUUUGACGGUCAUUGCCGCAUUGGACAACAUGAAAAAGUGUUGAUCUCAUUGGACUUACAUCCUGGCAAAAUUUGGUGUUAUUCUGAACCUGCUUCACGGGAGGCCUUUCGGGUAGGACUGAAGGGUCCGUCUCGAAGCAUGUUUUUGUCGGCAUCCUUGAAGUGGACCAAGAGCCUUCUACCAACAUGACUAGCAUCCUUGCCAAGUUUUUUAGCUUUUUGACGUUGUAAGGAUUUUCCACGGCUUUCGCGUCGAUAAAUCAUAAAAUAGUUAUGUUUUUUCUGUGCUUUUUUUUUCUGCGCUCGAGGGAGGGCUGCCAUGCAAGCGCGCCAUUGGGUUGUGUAAAGAAGCCCACCCGUUGGACCAAGCGAUGUCCGCCGCCGUUGCAUGCGCCCGAGAGAGCCUACGUUGCAUGCAUGCGCCUGCUUUAGCCUAUGUUGCAUGUGUGCGCAUACGCGAAGGAGCAUGCGCCGCAGAGCCGUCCCCGCUUGACCCGACCGACGGCACAUAGGGAAACAAUUAAACGCCGCAUUUUGAUUUACACUAUAGUUUCCCACGCGUGUACACUCCCAAUGUCGUGGUGGGUGGAAAAACUUGUACACAUUUGACCCCAUUACUGCCACGGUGGCUAUUUAAGCCACCUAUCAUGUUCCUCUUCCUCUCACACCCUUCAUCCAUCUCCCAUACUCUCCCACCUGCAUUUUGCGUCUGCCCUUCUUCUUCUUCACCACAAACAGCCCCAAGAACCAACCCGCCACAGCCAUGCAGUACACUGGGCCAACCUACCGCUUCCCCUCACCGUGCCCGAGAUGCUCUACCCUGCUGGGGUGUACGUCGAGAGCACCCUCUGUGUGUGGGUGAUGUCAAGGUGGGUGGGCGCAAGGGAGUUCAUUGACUUCCUCCUUGGGGCCGGCUACGGGCACCUUCCCCGGGGAUCUCCAAGGAUGUACCGAGUCGAGGAGGUCAUCCACAACGGGGUUGUGGUUGUUAUCCUUGCCCACUUCACUAACCCCUUCGACGCGUUCUACCUCCUCGGCCGCGUGUUCUGGUGUGGCUGGGAGUUCAUAGCUUUCACCACCCAUAACAUCUUCACGGACUACGACAACAUCUUCCCCACCGCGGAGCGCAUGCACACUCUAUCGUACCCCAUCAACAACACUGCAAAGAAGCAGUGAAGGGCGUCCAAAGGAGGAGCGAGGAGGAGCCUGGUGGAGAAGCGACGGCCAUCUAUCUAUCUAUCUAUUUUUUAGCUAAAUCUAUCUAUCAAUAUUUGUCUUGGUGUUAUUUAAGUUGUAAGUGUACUAUAUCUCAUGUUGUUGGCUUUGGUUGGCCCGAAUUAUCUAUAUUUAUUAUACAAAGUUUCACAGUGGUUGGGAUUUUUUGGAACCGUUUUAAUCUAUGGCAUUUUAGUCAUAGGAAAAAAUUGUCUAAAAAAAGUCAUAGGAAAAAAACAAUCAUGCGCUGCCCCUCUCAUCCAAUGCAGAACUGCUGCCCCAGGGUCCUCUCCUUUUCCAUCACCAUUACACAACCGCAGGCAUCUCCUCCCUCUCCUGCAUUCCAAAUCCACGGCAGCCAUCUCCUCCUUCUCGCCACCGCAACUUUGCUCGUCUCCUCUUCCACAUCCACAUCCACACCCCCCUCUCGACGGAGUAGAAGAUCGUCGGCGGCGACCAGCGCAAGCUGCCCAUGUUGACCGAGAUCCUUUCUUGGUUUGACAACACACGGCAAAUGUUCUGGACGGCGAUGGCCACUAUGAAGGUAAUGACGAAGAAAGAAAAGAACAAGGUUUUCCCCCCGUCCGCACAAUCGAUCAACAAGAUCGAGAUCCUCCUGUGGACGAUGGAGUAGGCCGAUUCGCCCAACCCAUGGGUUAGGCGUAGGUGGUGCACGUUCAGAUCCAGGGUAGAGCAUACACUCGAUCAGGAAGGCACCAUGCACGAGGUGUCGUUGCAGAUUAUGCAACCUCCAACGGAGUCACCAGAGACUUCGAAACGCAAGAGGAGGAGGACAGUGGUCGCAACCUCUCUUCCUAGCCGUGCUCCACGCUUCCCUCGCCGAUCCCUUCGUCUGAACAGCGGUGGUACCGUUGUUUAUAGUAAGCUUCCCCACUCCUAAUCUUCCUACUCCUCGGGCUUACAGUUGCGGUCGUAGUGAUGGUAAUAGUUUAGAGAGGGAAUGAAGAUUUGAGUACAUCCUUUUGGGGGCUAGAUUAUGAUGUAUAAGAACCCUAGGCUAAAUUUGUACUGUUGUAGUGGUAGAAUUUGAUGUUCACAUGCGCUUCUACUCCAAAAAAUUGUUAUGUGUCUUUCUAUUAUAAAGUGCUUGAUACUAUAUUUGAAUCUUCUUUUGAGUUGUUGAUUGCUUCUUGGUAGAGCUACCAACUCUUAUGGAGAUGCUCAUGUUGUAUGUCUUGUUCUCCAUGAUUUUUACUAGCAUUCUAUGCAAUUAGAUGCCAUGACAAGCCAUGUAUCGUAUUUAUUCAUUGCCUCCAACAUGCCAUCAUUUUACUCUAUGCAUCUCACCAAGUAUAAAUAUGUCAGCUAUAAAACUUUGUGAAUUUGCUUGAUGGUUCCCACUACUUUCCAGCACAUUGGGAUCCUAAGCUUNNNNNNNNNNNNNNNNNNNNNNNNNNNNNNNNNNNNNNNNNNNNNNNNNNNNNNNNNNNNNNNNNNNNNNNNNNNNNNNNNNNNNNNNNNNNNNNNNNNNACAGGCAUGCCCUGUGAUGGGAAUAAUCAUGUCCCUUCAAAUCUUUAUGAUAAUAUGGAUUUGUGGAAGAAACAGAAAGACAGUAAUGAACACCAAAAUAACUUUCAAAGGAUUAGCUAGCCAAGAUGAAAGGCCACAACACAGCAAAUUUUGUCAGGCCAUUUGUCUUAUACACCAUAGGAAAAUAUGUAUGCCGAACAAAAGAGGAAUAUGUGGAUAACAAAUAUAUUGGGAUUGAUAGAAACAUUGAGACGAUAAAGGGUACAAAUAUUGGACAGCUAACACUUGACUAUCUUAUGGAUAGUGUGAAGAAUCUUGUAAAUGGUGAGGCAAUUCUAGAGUGGAAUCUACCACUUCUGCAGGUAAUUCGCAGUAGUACAAUUAUUAGUUACCUCACAUACAUUACACAAUGUACGAGAAUGUUUGUAAACUGCUUUUGUUGUCAUGCAGACAUGGUACUACGAGAAGUUCAGAGUGCUCCAAUUGGACUCUAGUAUCUCGUAUGAAUCAAGGUUAAGGUCGCUAAUCCAAAACUGGAGCGAGGAGAAGGCCAGAAAGGUUGAAAAUAUAAUCCAGAAUAAUUAUUUGGGAGUUGGAGAGGUAAAAUGUCAGCACGUUGCCUGGAUUAUGUAACAUGUAUAUUUUCUAAAUCAUACUAACGACACUAAACUGCAGUAUGUAGAGGACCUGAUGAUGCCUUUCAUUCCAGCACGAGAUGGUACGGUGGCCAAACCGAAGACUGGCGCUCAGGUAAAUGAGUUACAUCUGGCACAAAUAUAUAUUGUAACAUUCCAACUAGUAUGAAGUUAUAUGAUUCUAACUGUUUCAAAGUCUCAGAUUAAGGUACUUGUCGAACGUGUAUUGACUGAUUUGCAAGAAGUUGCCUCCCUUGUGCGGGAGGCAGGUGCAGAACAAGUCGAUAGGAUGCGCACCCUUGAAAAGAAAAUGGAUGAAUGCCUUGGACGUACCCAUACAAAUGGCAAGCUCACGGAGGACCUCAUCAAAGAAUUGAACGUAAGCAUAGAAUUAUGAGAUUAGUAUAUAUAAUUGGAAAUUUACGCGUACAAGGUUUUUCUAAAUUAGUUWWUAUGAAAACACCCGGACUAACAUGUAUUUCUUUAAGAAAAACGUGAUGGAAUAUUUCCAGGUAGUGAGGACAUACAUCUUUCUAACCUCGGGGUCACCCGUCACACCCAAGUSGAGGCCUCUUUGAGUAAUGUUGAGCAGGUCUCUGACCUAGGGGAAACAAAAGGAUGUCAGUGACGUCGCUGCUAAGCACAAUUGUAAAGCAGAGAAUAAAAAANNNNNNNNNNNNNNNNNNNNNNNNNNNNNNNNNNNNNNNNNNNNNNNNNNNNNNNNNNNNNNNNNNNNNNNNNNNNNNNNNNNNNNNNNNNNNNNNNNNNAAUCACACAAAGCAUUGCACUCAUAGUUUUUGAUUUUGAUUUUGAUGGUACGUUCCCACUCAUCAUGAAGCUUUCUAGGGAUAGAGACUUCCAAUUCAAGUUUCUCUUCAAGGGAUUUUAUCAUAGCUUCGACGAUAUGAUCGGUAAAGGCCUUGUUUUGGCUAUAAGCGUGUGGAGAGUUUAACAUGGAUUGCAUCAAAGAAAUGCAUUCAAUCAUGGAGCAACUAUCAUAAUUGAAUUCCUUGAAAACCACGGUAGUAAUUUCAUUACUACUCAUAGUUUUAACAUCCUCUACUCCACUUUCAAUGCUUUUAGCACCAAGAUAGAUGGACUCUGAAUCACGGGGGCACUUUUCAACCAAAGUGAAUUCAUAUCCAGCCCCAUAAUCAUUAGGUUUGACACAAGAAAACAAAGAUUCAAUGGGAGUCGCACCAAGCACUUUAAGAUCUUCGUGAUUCUCAUCACGAGAACACGCCUUUUUAAGCCAUUCAUGUCUAGCACGAAUUUUGGCGGUUCUUUCUUGGCUCUCAAUCAUGGAAACACGCUAAGCUUUCAAAGCAUCAACAUCACUAGACAUUCUAUCAACGCUCUUAGCCAAAUCGUCAAUUUUGAGUAGCUUUUCCUCUAUGGACGCAUUGAAAAUAUUUUGAGAGUUGAUGAACUCUUUGAUAUUACUCUCUAGAUCAGAGGGUAAUCUAUUGUAAUUUCCAUGAGUGUUGUUGUAGGAGUUGCCAAAAUUAUUAGAGGAGUUACUAGGAAAAGGCCUAGGAACAUAGUUUCCUCUAAAAGCAUUGUUGUUGCGAAAGUUAUUCCUACCAACAAAAUUAACGUCCAAGCUAGCGUUGCUACUCUCAAUCAAAGAAGACAAGGGCAUAUCAUUAGGAUCCAAAGGAGCACUUCUACUAUCAACCAAAUUCAUUAACUCGUCCAUCUUAGCACUCAACGAGUUAAUUUCCUCUAUAGCGUGUACCUUCUUACUAGUAGGUGACCUUUCAGUGUGCCAUUGAGAGUAGUUCGUCAUGAUGUUGUCUAAGAGCUUUGUGGCUUCUCCUAAUGUGAUUUCCAUGAACGUUCCACCUGAGCCGGAGUCCAAGAUAUUUCUAGAAGAUAAAUUCAAGCCAGCAUAAAAGAUUUGAAUAAUCAUCCAAAGACUCAAGCCAUGAGCGGGACAAUUUCUAAUCAUCAAUUUCAUUCUCUCCCAAGAUUGUGCAACAUGUUCAUGACCAAGUUGCUUGAAAUUCAUGAUAUCAUUACGGAGAGAGAUGAUCUUAGCCGGCGGGAAAUACUUGGAUAUAUAAGCAUCUUUGCACUUUUCCCAAGAAUCGAUACACGAUACUAUUUUUGGGCAAAGAAGAAAACCAAGUUUUUGCGCAAUCUCGCAACGAGAAAGGAAAAAGCUUCAAUUUAAUCACGUCAUUAUCCACAUCUCUCUUCUUUUGCAUAUCGCAAAGCUCAAUGAAGGUAUUGAGAUGGGAUGCGGCAUCUUCACUAGGAAGGCCAGAGAAUUGCUCUUUCAUAACAAGAUUCACCAAAGCGGCAUUGAUUUCAUAUGACUCCGCACUAGUGGCAGGAGCAAUCGGAGUACUAAUAAAAUCAUUAUUAUUAGUAUUCGAGAAGUCACAAAGUUUGGUGUUUUCAUUCAUGGUGACUUCAGCAAGCGAGCAAGCACACAAGCAAACAAAGAGCACGCGAGAAAAAGGCUGAACGAAAAGGCGAACGAAAAAGGCAAACGAAAAAGGCAAAUUGGUGAAGUGGGGGAGAGGAAAGCGAGAGGCAACUGGCAAACAAAUUAAAUGCAAGAGAUGAGUUUGCCACACCUAAUUGGAUGAGUUCUUGACUUAAUCUUCCUCCCCGGCAAUGGCGCCAGAAAUCCUUCUGCUACUUCUCAAACAACAACGCCAGAAAUUGACACGUUGAUGGAGAUUGGGCUUGCGUUGGUUUUUCCCUUGAAGAGGAAAGGGUGAUGUAGCACAGGAGCAGUAAGUAUUUCCCUCAGUUUGAGAACCAAGGCAUCGAUCCAGAAGGAGGGUCUCGUCAAGUCCAGAGUACCUGCGCAAACACAAACAAGCUUGCACCCAACGCUUCAAAGGGGUUGUCAAUCCCUUCAAGAUUGUUUGCAAAGUGAGAUCUGAAAGCGGAAAGUGCAACGAAGUAAAAAGUGUAAGGCUGAAAAAAUGGUGUGGAGUAGACCCUCGGGGCCAUAGUGUUCACUAGAUGCUUCUCUCAAAACAGCAAGUAAUAAGGUGGGUGAACAAGUUACUGUCGAGCAAUUGAUAGAACCGCACAAAGUCAUGACGAUAUCUAAGGCAAUGAUCAUACAUAUAGGCAUCACGUCCGAGACAAGUAGACCGAUACUUUCUACAUCUACUACUAUUACUCCACACAUCGACCGCUAUCCAACAUGCAUCUAGUGUAUUGAAUUCAUGACGAACAGAGUAANNNNNNNNNNNNNNNNNNNNNNNNNNNNNNNNNNNNNNNNNNNNNNNNNNNNNNNNNNNNNNNNNNNNNNNNNNNNNNNNNNNNNNNNNNNNNNNNNNNNNNNNNNNNNNNNNNNNNNNNNNNNNNNNNNNNNNNNNNNNNNNNNNNNNNNNNNNNNNNNNNNNNNNNNNNNNNNNNNNNNNNNNNNNNNNNNNNNNNNNNNNNNNNNNNNNNNNNNNNNNNNNNNNNNNNNGAACAGAGUAACGCCUUAAGCAAGAUGACAUGAUGUAGAGGGAUAAUCUCAAACCAAUGAUGAAAACCCCAUCUUUUUCCCUUGAUGGCAACAACACGAUGCAUGCCUCGCUACCCCUUCUAUCACUGGUUGAGGUCACCGCACGGUAUGAACCCAAAACCAAGCACUUCUCCCAUUACAAGAAUCAUAGAUCUAGUUAGCCAAACAAAACCCACAACUCGAAGAGAAUUACAAGGAUAUGAAAUCAUGCAUAAGAGAGAUCAGAAGAAACUCAAAUAAGAUUCAUAGAUAAUCUGAUCAUAAAUCCACAAUUCAUCGGAUCUCGACAAAGACACCGCAAAACAAGAUUACAUCGGAUAGAUCUCCAUGAAGAUCAUGGAGAACUUUGUAUUGAAGAUCCAAGCGAGAGAAGAAGCCAUCUAGUUACUAGCUAUGGACCCGUAUGUCUAUGGUGAACUACUCACGCAUCAUCGGGGAGGUCAUGGUGUUGAUGAAAAAGCCCUCCGUGUCCGAAUCCCCCCUCCGAUAGGGCACCAGAACGUGCCCCGGAUGGGAUCUUGCGGAUACAGAAGCUUGCGGCGGCGGAAAAGUGAUUUCGACGAUCUCCUGAUUUUUUGGGGAUUUUUAGGGAAUAUAUAGGUGCAACCCCUAGGGCAGAGGACGCCCAGGGGGGCCACAAGCCUGUGAGCCGCAGUCUCCCCCCUGGCCGCGGAGUGGGGGAUUGUGGGGCCCUUGAGGCUCCCCUGCCUUGGCUCUCAAGCUUCCCGAUCUUCCGUUACGGAAAAAAUCUUUUCGGGGAUUUUCUUCCGUUUGGACUCCGUUUCAAAAUCUCCUGUGAAAGGGGUCAAAACAUGGAAAAAACAGGAAUUGGCACUUGGCACUGAGUUAAUAAGUUAGUCCCAAAAAAUAUAUAAAAGGGAUGCAAAACAUCCAAAGUUUGACAAGAUAAUAGCAUGAAACCAUCAGAAAUUAUAGAUACGUUGGAGACGUAUCAAGGGUCGUCUCCUCAUUGUAUAGGUUAUGUUGUUUUUAAGAUCUACCAACCACUCUGAUCCCAUGGCUCUCGUGCAUCCAAAAUGUGUUGAUGCCAAAUUUUGAUAGCAGCAGCAGCGGUACAGUAGUGCACCCGAAUGUUUUUGGACGAAAUUUCUUAUAUAUAGUUAUUUUAUUGGUAAAUGUACUAAAAGUGGUCUAGUCUGUGAACUAAACUUCAUGUCAAUUUGUAUAAAACGAGCCUCUAACGCUUAAUCUAGCAGACACACUUUUUUUCGUUCAAUUUGCUCAACACCGAUUGCUUGAUUCCUUGAGUCCAAUUACCAUAUGGUGUAAAAUUUUCGACUUGUUAUCAUCCCUACUUGAAAUAUAUUAUUUGGUUGCUUAUUUUUAGCAUAAUAUUUUCUGAAAGUAAAGGAUAAAAACACUAUGCCUUUUUUAUGAAAAUGUCAUACUGUAUGGUCAUGUAGUAAAUAAUCUUUAUUUUCUGUCAUUCAUGUCAGUAUUGUCAGUACGAUGGAAAAAUAAUAUUUUCACAUGAACAUUUUAGAUAUUACUCCUAACUCUUUCAUUUCUUGAGUAAUAGAAGCAGAGACAGAAGAAUGCCUUGUGGAGACAAAAGAAACUUGAUGUGAGCCGUUUGAAAAAUAUUUUUGUGGUUUUAGUUUGCAAUAUAAAUUUUUGAACACCCAACAGCGAAAUCCUGGAUCCGAAAGCUGUGUUGCUAGGUUACAUUAGUUGAGGUGUGUAUAUGACAUUUUUCAGGAAAAUAAGAACAUUGUUUGGAUCAAUUGGGCCCCACACUUUAUUGUAGUGAGAUAGAGGGAGAGCUCGCAUGUUGGUCCAUAGGUAUUUAUGCCAUUAUAACAUGUCAAAAGAGAUUUGAGAUCGUAAUAACGAUGUGCAUUGGCAUUUUUUAGCAUGUGUGUAACGAAGCGAUGUCAUUUUUUAGCAGUUGAAAUUCCUAGUGGAGAUACUAAGUUGUGGGACACAACUGGUGGCAUAAAUGAUAAAAAACUUCUUUUUGUAAGUACAACAUUUGGGAUCACUUAUUGUCAGAAUUCAUAAUAACUACUUUACCUAGAACGUUGAAUAGUUGAGGAACAUUGAUGGGUGGGGUAUCGAUCAACACGGGAAACUUCCACGACGAUAACAUGUGGACUUUCAAUAUCCAUCAUCAUAAGCACACAAAAUUCUAACCCUAAAUAGAUACAGCUCACUAGCUAUUUUAUCUAGUCAUGCACCACUGGCACAUCAUUAAGGCAUGCAUGUAAGUUAUAAGUCAUAUUUUUUUGCAUUAGUACAUUUGUAUGCUGCUCUGUCAUGUUACAUCAUCAGUUGAUGCAUAUUUACGUAAUAAGUGAAUUUUGUUGCACUAAAAGGCUGUUUGGUUUGUGACUAACUCUGCCAAUACCACACCUAAGGUUAGGCAAGUUUGACCAACUUAAGUGAGUGUUUGGUUCCAGCCACACCUUAGGCAAGCCACACUUGGGCCCCACAUGGCAUACACACAAAAAGUGUGGGAAGAUUCCCUUAGCCUUGCCAACUUGUGGCUCUCGUUUUGGUGAACUAACCUUAGGCAAGCUUGGGAAAAAUGUGCGGCAAAAUGUGGCAAUGCUAGUGCUCUCUUCGACAAGUAUGGUUGAUCCUACAUUUUUUACUAUAUGGUGAUAUCCCAUUUAGUUGCUUAUGUAGCAACUAAUAAGUUAUGCACUUAUUUUUUCAAGAUCAUUUGAACAUUGUCAUUUAUUAUAUUAUGCUUCAUAGACUCUAUGCCUGCUGAAUUCUCAUAUUAAAUAUACUUAUGCAACAUUUUGUACUACAUGUAGGUACUAACUGACAACGUCGACAGCGACCCAGAAACCCAGAGGAUCUACAGGAGGCGCAAGGGGAGGGAGAUGGACAACGGGUUGCAUAAUAAACGUGUCAGACCUAGAAUCGGAAGGGGGGGCUACGGAUGCCCUUUCUGCAACAAGUUGACGAAAGGCAGCCUAACGAGUGCUAUUUAGCAUGCAGUCGGAACAUCUCGUGGCUCCCUCAAGAAUGGAUAUGCCUUCAGGGCGGCGCACGCCGCGUACAUCGAGUACUUGAUGAGGCUUUAGGGCAGCCCGCACCAUCGCAGCUAGAACUGAUGCUCUUUUUGUUUUAACUAUGCUAUUCUAUGUGUCACAUCCCUGACACUUUAAGCAAGUUAGCUUUGUUCUCAUGUUUUCUUUGCAUUGCAUCUAGGAAAUUUCAACAAGAAUAAAGUAAGUGGUGAAGGAAAACUCAAAACCCUAGCCACUUCUUUAAAUAAAGGAAAUCUCAAACUAGUUAAAAUCAAUGAACCCAAAAUGGCCUCAAGAAAAGUUCAAACUUUCUGAUAAAUCAUGAAAGUAUAUAAGCAAUGAAGAAAACUUUUUUCUUGACACUUUAAGCAUUUUAAAUAAAUGCAAAAAGCUACUGGUUUCAAGUUUUAAAUUUGAAAUCAGAAACUUUAAACUUUCAAAAAUGUUGAAAACUUUAGGAAUGAUUGGAAAUAUUCCAACAAAUAUUCUAAGGUGCUCAACAUAGUUUUUACAAACUAUUUGGGAGCUGAAAUAAAUAGCAAAUCAAUUUCAGUAUUUAAAACAGAAGCAAAACAGAAAGAAAAUGAGAAAACCUUACUUGACGCUCACCUGGCCCGGCCCAUCUUCUUCUGUCGUCUUCCUCCCUCGCCAGUGGACAGCAGGAGGUGGCCGUCGCGUACUCCGGCGCGGCCACGCACCUGUGCGCCUGCCUGGUCGCCGCUUCGCGCUGGCAAGCACGGGGAUAAGCUCCCCGAGCUCGUAGCUAUCCAUUCCCCAGCUCAUUCCUCCCCCUCUCCUCUCGGUUCCCUCGAUCCCCUCUGCCUCCAUUGACAGGAGCUCGAGCUCGAGCUGCCCGUGCCCCUAGCCAUAGGAUCCUCAUUCUGAGUGUGCCGUUAGCUCCGCCUCGUCGAUUUGGUCCUCCCUGCAGAAGCCGAAGCCUUCCCGAGCCCUGCAACGCCCUCGGCACCGUCGUCUUCAACCUUCGGCCGCCGGCGAGCUUUGCUCGAUUCGUCGCCCUCGAUGCUUCCCCGAGCUGUCUAAGCCCUUCUCUGCACUCCUCGUGAGCUUGCGCAUCUUUUCCCUAAGCUCUCCCCGUUGAUCCCCUCCUCUAGGCUUAGUUCCAUCGGAGCUCGACGAGGACCGCCGAUGCAGCUCGUUGCCGGUAGCCCUCCGGUGAAGGGUUGGUACCUCUGAGGCCACCAGCAGCCUCAGGACAUCACGUAGAUGCUUUAGGUGCCCAGCCCUGUGCGGUUUGACCCUGUAUUCGAUGGCUUCGACGAUGGCCGAACUUGGUCGCCGCCAAGCUCGUCGCCGGCGUUGAUUCCGGCCACCCCAACCCCUGGGGCUUGUUCCAUCAUGUGCGCCGUCGAGUGGCCGUUCUCCCCGUGGUCUCUGUCGUGAGUUUGGCCGUCGGAGGCGAGUUUCCGAUGCCCUCCACCGUACUGGUGGUCGCCGGAGGCUCCCCGUCGGCGAGGACGACCUCGCCGCCGGUGGAUCUCAGCUGGCCUGAGCCACUGACGUGUGGGGCCAGCCUGUGGGAGAUUAAGAAUAAUAAAAAUAAAAUCAAAUAAGUUUAUAAGACACUGACAUGUGGGUCCAGUAAGAUUAAUCAGCAAAUUAAGUUUAAUUUUAAUCUAAAACUGACCAAAGACACUGACCAGUGGGUCCCACUGGUCAGGUUUGACUUUCAAUGGCCAGUUGGACCUGCUGAUGUCAUGCUGAUGCAGUAAAGGGAUUUUCCAGUAUAAAAAUAAUUCCAGAAAUGUUUAAAACUUCAAAAAUUCAUUGAAAUUAAUCUGUAACUCCAAUGAAAAUAAUGUAUAUAUGAAGAAGUAUCAGAAAUACAUGUUAGUUAUAUUUGAAUGUGAUUCAAAUCAACUUCAAACCUAAUACAUGUUAGUUAUAAUAGUAUAUCACCUUGCAUUCUCAUGCCAUGCUCAUGCAUCAUCUAGAUUGCAUAUGCUUGAUUGAUUGUUGUCAAUCCUUCCAGUAGGCUCCGCUCCCCCGGAUUCCACCGAAUAUCCGUCUGAUGGAUAUUGUCACUCCUCUGAGCAACAAGGCAAGCAACCAUUUUGAUCAUCCCGAUAAAUCCCAUGUUCUUGCUCCUGCACUUACUUAUUGCAUUAGGAUCAAAUGCUUCAACUGCUUUUGCCACGUUAGUUGAACCCACUUCCUUUGCAUGACCUAUCCUUGUCACAGUAAAUAGCCGAACCUUGCAACCUAGCAUACCUAGUAGUUGCUUGAGCCAUGAUGUGCCUUAUCCUGCUAUGCAUGCUAUGCUUAGAGUUGUGUAUGGUCUUUCAUCUGGGAGAUGAACAGAAUUGUGAGAAUGUGUUCGGAAAGCAAAGGUUGUGUGUCGAACCUGAUUUGGUAAAGAUACCGGUGAAAGGUUGUGUAGGAGUACAUGGCGGGUUGUUUCAUUGGAACCGUCCUUAGGAACUGAGUUCCGUGUAUGUAAUCCAAGACUAGAUACUACCACACGUUGGGAUACUUAAUUGACCCUCUCGACUUAUUAAUCGCUUAGUGCUCGGUCCAGGAGUUGCAAGUAGUUUCUGGUGUUUAUAGUCAUGCUGGAGGCCGUGCAUAGCGCUGACCUGAGAGGUGGGCUGUGAUGCGGUAGGAAGUGGCAUGGUGUACCAAGUGGCACCCGGAUGGUGGGCUUGGGAACCCUGCGCACAUCGUUUGGGGCCGUGGCGGAAACCUCGGCCGGACUUCCGUGCGGGUUACCCUCAGAUAGGCGACAAACCUGGACUAGGUACCAGUGUGGUUAACGGUCGUGGCCGACUCCCUCGCUAGGCUUCCGCUUGAAGGUUGCCGAGGUGCAUGACGUGCAAAUGGCGAUAAGUGGCGAGAGCGUGUGUGAUGAAGUACCCCCCCCUGCAGGGUUAUGAUCUAUUCUAAUAGCCGCGUCCGUGGAUAUGGACUACUUGGAGACAUAUGUUGUUCAUAGAUAACUUCAAUGGCUACUCAUUAAAUUGUCAAGAUAAGCGUGAGUGUCGUGGACGGCAUUUCCGUAUGGAGACGGAAUGAUUCCACGAUGGUGUAUUGUUGCGGUGUUAGUGGACUCGUGUGCGAGAAAUCAAGUUGUCAAAAUUAUUUAAAAAUGCAAGUCAUCUAACCACGAGUCAAAUGCUGGCUUUCCGCAUGAAACCCCACAAUACCUUAUUGAUACUUUGCAUGAGUAGUUAGUUAUCCUAAAGUCUUGCUGAGUACCUUCAUACUCAUGUUUGUUUAAUAAAUGUUGCAGAGGUUGCUAAUGACCCUAAUGGAGGGUUCUUCGUAGACAUCGACGACGACGAGUAGCUGGUGUCCCAGCUACAAUCUGGCCCUAGGUUGGGUCUGUAGUAUAGUCAGGCCAUGUGCCUUUUAGUAGCACCUGUCUGUACUCAGACAGUUUUAAACUCUUCCGCUGGCUUGUAACUGAAUGACUGUUAUUAUGGGUCGUGAGACCCUCACUGUGUAAUAUUAUAUGUGUGGCUCUUCUGAGCCUCUUAAAUAAAGCUUGUAUGUUAUGGUUAUGUUGUGAUGCCAUCGAUGUAUCUAUACAUAUCGGUAUGCCAUGCGUACGUGUGUCGUACUUGACAUGUAUGGGGUUCGAUUACCUAGUCGUGAAUUUUAGUAGCACUCCUUACAGGGAAAUGCCCCUUUGUGAUCCAACGAGCCAUGGUAGCUCGCUACUACUCCGGACACAUUGGUUGACCGGCAUGUGUCCUUCUUAGCUGUUGUGUUUGUCCCCUUUGGGGAAAUGUCACGCGAUGUAAUGGAGUCCUGGUAGCUUGCUACGACUCGUCUACACUCGCUGGUGACCGACACCUGCUUUGUUGGGUCAUGUAUGCAUGUCCUUGUGCGGUGCUGCCACUUUGGUUUAUGACUAGACUUGUCGAUCCGGGUUCUUUGACAUUGGAAUGCUAGCGACACUAUUGCAUACGUGAGUCAAAAGACGCAAACGGUCCCGGCUAAGGUAAGGUUGCAGCCAUGGAGUUAACCGUGUGUGAGACCGCAAAGGGAUGCGAUGUGUUAUAGGCUGGAUUCAUAUGGCUUAGGAUCGGGGUCCCGACACUAUGUUGGUGAACGUUUAUGGUUGAACUAUGUGCACCAGUAGUGCUAAGUGGUGUUUGGUUUUGUAUAUAUGGAAGCAUUGAAUUAAGGUUAGAAUGGAAGCUCUUUUGGUCUGAACUAGGUUAAGUACUACCUUAGUUUGUGUCAUGUUGACGAGACUUUAUGGAUGAACUAUGUUAAGAAGUACCCUAUGCUUACUGUUGUACUAUGGUACAACUAUGCAUGUUAAGUAGUGUGCCGACUACAUCUAACGUACCAGUGCAAUGCAAUUGCAGCCUUGAGCUGCAAUCAGCUUGGUAGAUGGAAAUCCAAGCUUCUCUUAUAGCAACCUAGGAUUGAAAUAUUGAUGCUUUAGUACUCUCUCCGCCCCAAAAUUCUUGUGUCAAAAUUUUGGAACAUAGUGUUUUUUGUUGUUUUUCCAAAUUAUUGUCACACGCUUGUUAGUUUAUGGCAUCACGUGAUCACAUUGCUAGCAUCACAAAUGCAUGCACGACGUGAUGACUAUCGAUGCAUGGCUUGAGGGUCUAGGCGGCUAACGGUGCAUGGUGUGAUGUCUAUAUGGCCAGGGGGGCAUCGUAUUGGUUGUGGCGUGGCUACAUGAUGAUCACAAAGUCUCGAUCCAAGUAAUACUAGAAUGGCCUAUGCAUACACUUCUUUAUCAGUUUGAAAUUUUUAGAUCACUUGAUGACAAUGUGAUCUCAUGUUUCACAAGUCUUGAGCACUAGGGUUUAUGUACAAAAUUUUCAAUCCCCAACUCACCCACCCCGGACACAUCUUUGGAUUGCAUCACGUAGAUGUAAACGACGGUAUGCAAAGAAUCCUAUUAACUUUUGUUUUAUUAUAUAAUAUAAUAAUUCAAUAUAACGAAACCUUAUGUAAGGGCAACUUCAACGCCGACCAAUCAAUUUUUUUACAAGUCAUGCCUUUUUGGUUAGUCAAUAUUUCUGCUAUAGUAGGUAACUACCAAUUACUCUCCACGUCUCUCCUCCUAGGGUACACUCUAAAACCAUCGCCGCCGCUCACACGCCAGCCUCCCUGCCACCGGAUAUGAAAUCCACUCGUGGAGGUCGAUUGGCCAUCGUGACAGAUCGUGGGCAUGGACGUGGGGGGCCUCUCAUGGACGUCUUCAUGAGAGAUCGUGGACUUGCGGGGCCAACCACCGACGUCGUCGUCCAUCAGAUGGAUCAAGAUCUCCACGAGAAUGCUUUGUACUACUCGGUGUCUGACCCAGAGAAGCAUCGUGUCCACGAGUAGGUGCACUACUCCGUCGUCGAUCACAAGCAGCAGCACAUCCACGACAUGAAUUGGAAUUCUGUUACGGUAAAAAAAAUUAACCCUAAUCUGUCUUCAAGUUUAAGGUUAGGUUAAUCAUUAAACCAUCAAUAUGUUGUUGAAUUGUCAUAAUGAAAUCUAGCUCUAAAUAUAUUGUUGAUCAUCAGUACGUAAUGAUCAUUAUUUAUCCAGUCAAUCUUUGAGAAAUUAAUGGUUCAUCCACUCCACAAUUUAGUGUGUUUUGGUUUUAUGCUAAAAGUCACACGUCAUAAAGGUUGUCCAUGUUUACUGACAAUUUUUAUAAAAAGUACAUCAUAUGAUUUAUGCUUUCAUAUGGAUUUGAUAUUUCUUUUUUCUCCUUAAAUUUUCAAAGUUAAUUAAUAUUUAUUUAAAAAAUAAUUUAUGGGCACUACACUAUGGAACUUAGGGAAUAUUAGGUACUGUAAACAAUGGUGUAGCUUAUAUCAUAUAUAAUUUAAACUUGCAGCCUUAUUCUGAUGAUUAUGCGGACAUUUCCAAAGAAGAGAUGGAUGCACACACUCAGAAAAGCCUUGAAGAAUUGCAGAAUGGACAGUGCAACAUGCUUAAGUGUAUGGCGUAUCGUUGCGCGUUCUGUGGCUAAUAUAUGGACCCGACAUUCAUUGGCAUUCUUGAGCACGCCGAAGGCGUUGCCAAAGGCUACCACAUGAAGCAUGGUGUGAGGGAAAAACACAAGGCACUAGCCCAAUAUCUAAGGAAUUUGUCGGACAAAGAGAAGGUCCGAAGAAGGCGUUAUGAGAACCAGCAUGCUAAAGAAUAGACGAAUAAUCGAAACCCUGAAGAAGUUCUCGUUGGCAUAAGUAGUCAUUUGCGGUUGUUGUUUUUUGGUGAAAAUACCAAUGAAUAUUUUAAUUAUCAUAGUUUUUUCAUAAAUGUUACAUUUAUAAAACUUAAUCAUAAAAAUGCAUACUAUUCAAUUAUUGAUUUUUUUCAAACAUUUUUAACCUUGCAUCUAAUAGUUUACCAUUUUAUCGGUUAACCAUUAUUUUCAUAUAUAUACUCUGGUGUGCUUAAAAUUGUUCAAGAUCAACUUGUGUACUGAAAGACUCGUGCACAUGCAAUAUGAACAACACUGUACUUUUAGGGUUUCUUCAAAAGACACGUGUGGUGGUCCUGCUCGCCUGGUCAUGCUGAUCUUUUCUGUUUGGCCAGAAAUGAUAAGUUGCCAAAUCUGCAUCUGAUCCGGCCCACCACUUUGUUCCUUUUGUGGGCAUGUACAAGUGGGAGGCAGAGAGAAAAACGAACGAUGGCCCCAACCCCAACCCCACCCCAUUCCCAAUCCAACCACACUUCGCUCUUUGCAGAGACAGAGAGGCGACGCGGAGGGUGACGACUAGGGUUUGCCAAGCCAUCACCUUGGCCGUCCCCAUCGUCGUCAAAUCGGUCAGAUCCGCGAGGCCACCACUCCCCCUACUCCAUCCACGAUUCUCCACUGCUUCAUCCACAACAAGGUCCGACAAUGGCACCUCUUCUCCCCAAUCCCUGGCUGCGCCGCCCGAAGCUCCGGUGGUGCCAGCUUCGAACAAUUCUACUCUAACCCUAUAUCGUACCACUUCGCAGGUAAGAUUGAUCUUCCCUGCCCUUCGCAUGUCGAUCUGACUUUAAUUUUACGAUCUAGCAACACCGCCCAAGUUAAAAUCUGACACUUGAUUGUGAGCAUGUUUCGGGUAUACGCAGAUUUACUGUCAACUAUUAGGUCAUAUUGCAACAAGAUAAUCUGACAAUGUACUGCAUAAUCAUGGUUUUACUUGUUCGUAUGGGUAGUAAUGGGUAAACACUUUCCUCGCAAGUAAGAGAAAAGGGUGGGUGUUGGCCAGCAUACCUUGCUCGUCCACAUAGCCUUCACUAUGCUAUCAUCUUGCUUAACACAUGCUAUCAAGUACUUUUUCUCCCUAGAAAAUGAUCCCCCACUGCUAGAUAUAGAAAAAUUAUAUUUACACGAGAAUACACAUGUUUUUGUUUGUGGGUAUAGUUUGAAGACUAUGCAUAUGUAUUUGCUGAUGCUUAAUUAAAAACUAAAACGCGAGCACAUAAGCAGUCCAUGAGGAAAUUUGUAAUGAUGGAAUGAGGAUCAGUUAUAGUUUCAUGUAUUACUCGAUGGUAGUAUGAUGAUUAGUGCAUAUUUUGAAGGAUUUGUGAAGUACAGACGGCUACUGAUUGGUGCAUGUUUUUGAUGAUAUGUGCACACAUGUAACAUUUAUGGCUGGUGCAUAUUUUUGAUGAUUGUUGUUACUGCUUACUUGAAUUAUGUCAACCUAUAUCCAUGAUAUGGUAUGGGCUUGUUGGUGUCAAUGAAGAUUUGUUGUGAGAUAGUAGUUCAUAUUGCAACAAAUUACUCAUUGUUACAUUUUCUGCCAUUAUACUUCAUAAUCAUGAUUUUACUUGUUGGUAUGGGUAGUAAUGAGUAAAUACAUAGAAAGGUAUACAAAAGGGUGAUUGUUGGUCAGCAUACGUUGCUCCUUCUCAUAGCCUUCACUAUAUUGUCAUCUUGCUUAAGUGAUGCUAUCAUGUCCUUAUUCUCACUGGAAAAUUAACCUCCACAACUACCUCCAAAAAUGUUAUGUACAGGAGCAAAUGCAUUAUUUGUUUUGUUGGGACAAUUUAAAGACUUUAUAUUUAUAAGCUGAUAGCACCACAUAACAGCCCAUCAGGAAAUUUGCAGUGAUCGAAGGUAGAUCAGUUAUAGUUUCAUGUAUUACUUGAUGAGAGUAGUCAAUCAUGGUUCAUUUUUUGAAUAAUUUGUUAAGUAUGCAAGGCUACUAAUUUGUGCAUACCUUUGAUGAAAUGAUUUGUUAAGUGAUUGGUUGGCUACCAAUCAUGGUGUAACAAUUAUGGUUGGUUUAUAUUUUUUAUUAUUCUUUUUACUACUUGUUCGAAUUAUGAGCGAAAUUGGUUUGAUGCCAAAAAUGCAUGGCUACUAAUUGGUGGGUUACCAAGUUUUCUUGUCCAUAUCGCAUAAAGUUGCCAAUAUUUGGCAAUGCCAACAUUGCUAGCAAGACAAUCAUGAUCUAUCAGCAUGAAUGGUUUGAUGCCAAAAUUUGGCAUGCCAAUAUCUUUUGCCAAUGUCACAAAAAUAUGUCAAAAAUUUUGUAACUUUGAAAUACCCCAAUUGGUUGUCUGCCCAAUGAUUAUGAGUCUAACCACUAGUCUUGACUAGUCGUGCGAAUAGUCUAGUAGUAUCAAUCUGGUUGUCGACUAGCUUUUUCGUGUAGAUCUUUGUACAUGAACUACAUACUUAGCAAGAAGUAUGCAAAAAGAUUAUUCACAUUGUAUAUGGUGCUAACAAGUCCUAAUGUAAUACUGAUUUCAUAUAUCAAUAACUACCAUUUCUUCAUUGCAAUGCAUGCAACAGGUUUGAAUAGCGAGGGAAAUCAUCCUCAUCAGCAGUGAAGAGAGUGAUCAUCGGGCCACCUCAGAUGAUGCUUCAGAUGGCACUUCACAUGGGAGUGACGGCUAUAGCGGUGAUGAUGACACCUCUAGCGACUAUGACACUGAUGAUAGUUCUGAUGGAGAUGGAUAUUUCAACCACGAUCCCAUCUUGGCACACAGGGGUAAAGUUCUAUAUGGCUGGUCAGAUAUUAAAUGAACCCUGAACUAUCUAAAGUUGAGGUUUGAGUAACACUUAAUUACCACUCAAUACUCUGUUUGGGUUCUAGAUGACCUUCCAAAUCAACAUUGACUGAACUAGAGCUUAAAUAGAGCAGUGUUUAGUUGUUAGUUUAAAUAAAUCAAAUAUUCAAUUUGCCCAUGUUUCUACGAGAUAUUGAUAGGUGGAUGUGAUUGGGUUAUCUAUGUCCUUCAUUUCUUGAUCAUUGAAGUAGGCAUUGAUCAUCAACCCACUGCUAAUGUUCUAGAUCUUAUGUAUGAAAUUAUUUACUACCCUGUCAUCUUAAUUUUUUUGAUACAGGUCCGAGAUCCAUUGUGAGAAGAGGAGGUUUCGAGAUCACAUCUUCUAUGACAACCAUGUAUCGCUAGACCGGAUUAGGUGCGAAUGUCUCAAAUCCAUAGUAAACCAUUGCAAACCUCCCAUACCAUACUAUGUUUGCACCGUCACUCACUCGGCAGUCAUCAGAGGUAAGAGCAAGAUGGUAAACACUUGGACUUUUUUGUGUGCAAAUCAUACUUCACAAGUGAAAAUUCCAUCAUGUAACACUAUUUAUUUCCUUGUGCAAUCAGUGCUUAUCAAAGGAUUACAGUGAGGCCUACCUCAAAGAUUAUCUGCGACAGUCCAUGGUUGUGCGUGUCACCAACGAACGUUUUGAAGGUUCUAAAAUGGUAUUGUUCAAGAUGGUCAAGAAGGACGGAGCUGCGAUCAUGACGAAGAACUGGAGAGAAGUCAUUGAGGGCCCCAAAAUGAAAUAAGAUCAUAUGGCUAUCUUCAGGUUCAUGGAAUGGAGGGGAGGUGGGCUUAAGGUGAAAAUGGCUAGUGGCAUGAAGAUUCGUUGACCCAUGUGAAGAACCAUGACUGAAUGGCCUAGUUUGACGCUAGUUGUUAUAAUAUGUAUGUACUAACCAGUAACUGGAAGUUGGUAGUAUCAACUUUUGGGUCCAGUAAGUAGAACUUACUAGUAAUUGAUACUUGCUGGUAACUGGUACUUUGGUUGUAUAACUUUUGGGUCCAACUCGAUAUGAAGAUCAACCAGUAAGUGGAACUUGGCAGUAACUGGUUGGUGGCAGUAUGAACUUAUGUGGCGUAAUGUACUUGGUAUGCAAGUCUAUAUAUAUAACGCAUCUUGGUACCCUCCUUGCUAUCAUUACCUUUAUGGACUGAAAUGAUAUUUCCUUUGUCGCCAUAGUUUUUAAAGUGAUGCUAGUAUUUUUAAAAUCAAAUUUAACCGGGUUUCAUAUGGAUUAGAUGCUACUUUCAUAUUUAGAAUGACGUUUAUGUGUUGGCUAGUACUAGUUAUUUUGAAAAUGGAGUUUGUAUGUGUUGCACACACAAAAUGCAAUGCAAAAACAAAAACUUGCCGGUCGAAGCUUUCAUAUUUAAAAAAUUAUGUUUGUGUUAUUUUCGAAAUGGCAUGCUAUUUCAAAAAUAGAGCAAACGAGCAUGUUAUUUUUAAAAAAAAUAAACAGUAUACUAAAAAAUGCUAUUUUUCAAACAACGUAAUAAAAAAGGUAUUUUCAAAAUCAGCAUGCUACAUUCAAAACAACAUAUUUAAAAAAGCAUGCAAUUUUUUAAAUCAACAUGUUAAUUUAAAAACAGCAUAUUGAAAACAUCAUUAUAUUUUUUAAAUCAAGAUGGUAUUUUGAAAUCAUCAUGCUAUUUUGAAAUCAAUAUGCUAUUUUUAAAAACAACAUAUUCAAAAUCAGCAUGCUUUUUUUGAAAUCAGCAUGCUAUUUUCGAAAUCAGCAUGCUAUUUUAAAAAUAGCAUAUUAAAAAGAGCAUUAUAUUUUUGAAAGAGCAAUGCUAUUUUUAAAAUUAUCAUGCUUAUUCAAAAAACAGCAUAUUGAAAACAACAUGCUAUUUUAAAAAUAGCAUGGUAUUUUAAAAACAUCAUAUUGAAAGUAGCAUUAUAUUUUGAAAAUCAGUAUGGUAUUUUAAAAACAACACAUUCAAAGCAGCAAGCUAUUUAUAAAUCCGCAUAUUCAUGUUAUUUUCAAUUGAACAUUCUUUUUUAAUUGAGCAUGCUAUUUUUAAAAUAUCAGUAUGCUUAUUUUUUAUUUCAAAAUAAACAUUUUUCAAGGUUAUUUGAAAACGAGGUUUCUAUUUUGAUACAAAUCUGAAAUUUUGUGCUCAUAAUAAUAGGUUCCUGAGGAAAUCCAACGUUCUAUUUUCGUAUAUAUAUGAUUUUUUGGUUUCUAUUUUAUAUUUCAAAUAUGAAAUUUGACUACACUUUGAACAAAUUUCAGCAAUAUUUUAUGUAAAAAAUGAAAAUAAUACAUAAACCAACUUCAUUAAAAAUGCAUUGUUUGAUCGAUGUUGAUAAAUCAUAAAUAGACUACCAUCUCGACCUGGCCAUAAUCAAAUGAGGGUACCAGUAAAACAAGGAAUUUAGAAAAAUAGUGGUAGUCCAUCAAAUAUGUCAAAUAGAUUUGAAACAAGGUGGAUCACGGCAUGGAAAACUAUCUAAAUCAGCUUGUUCUCAAUUUUUCGACCCGAGAAAUCCUUCUGUUUUCUCUGCCUGACCUUGUGCAUCUAAACAUCCUGUCUCGACUUCACUUUAGCUUUGCUGCAUGAAACAACGUUUAUUAAUAGGAUAGCAAAGAAGAUUUGAGCAUGUGCAUUACACGUGAACACAAAAAACACUAACUUCACUAAUUUUCUCUUCAUAGCUGCAAAAGUUAACUUCACAGCUCUUAUUCCCACAGCCUUUGGUACAUUUCUAGCAGGCCUUUUUGUCUUUAUCACCCCUUUGGCCUAUUAUUUACCACCCUUCCUAGAGUCUUUCCUGGAAAAGUUAAGAAACAUCAACACAGUACUAGCAAAGACCUGACUUGUAGAGUGGACAUGUAAGUACAUACACUAACUUCAGUGGUUUUCUUCACGCACCCUUUGCUGCAACAUUCCUAGCAGGCACUUCUUUGUCAUCUUACUUUUUCUUCCUCCUAGCUUUCACAUUUGGAGCGCACUUACGUUUCCUGCAAAAAAAUGAAAUAGAUGAAUAUGCAGCCAACAUUCGAGAACAUGUUUAAGUACGCACAAUUGUGGUAGUGCCCACUUAUUUGGUUUUGCAUAAUCCUCUUCUACAACCUCCAAUGGUCUCUUCCUAGUCCUCCUCGGCCCACCAUCUUCUGCAUCUCAAUCUUCCUCUUCUUCUGCAUCUGAAUCUUCCUCUACUUCUCCAUCUAAAUCUUCCUCUUCUUCUCUACCUGAAUAUUCCUCUUAUUUUGUAUCUUCCCUUGUCUCUUCUUUUGUAUCUGCCUCUAUCUUUUGUUUUGUCUUUGGGUCUUUCUAUUUUUGCUUCUUCCUCCGUGUGACCUUUGAUUUCCCCGAUUUUUUUCCUGCGUAAAUUGAAGAAAAACAUGUGAACAAUCUCCGGGAGAACUUAUUAACACUGUAAGCAUGUAUGGAAAUGAACAAUGAGAUAAACAUGUCCACUAAUUGUGUUGCUUUUUUUGAAUCUUCCUCUUCUUCUGUAUCUAAAUCUGUAUCUUCUUCUAUCUCCGUGUCUUUCUCUUUUCGCUUCUUCCUCCUUGUGACCUUUGAAUUCCUCAUUUUUUUCCUGCGUAAAUUAAAGAACAACAUGUGAAGACUCUCCCGGAGAACAUAUUGGCACUGUGAGCAUGUAUGGAAAUGAACAAUGAGAUAAACAUGUGCACUAACUUCGUUACUUUUUUCCCUCUCAUCCUCUCGCGCCUGGAUUUAGUCCUCUUGUUCGACUCUUCGGUAGUUGGUCUCCCUUUUGAAACUAUUUUGAUUGGAUUUUCCACGUCAACAGUGCAGCAUUCGCGAGCAGUAGAGAAGUAUGCCGACAAAGGAACAAACGAUUUCUGGCCUUCAUCCAAAUCAGUUUUUUCUCCAUCAACCAAUAUACUCCGGAGGAGCUCCAUCACCUGUUCUGACUGUGAAUCGCUAGCUUCGGCUGUAAAUAAAGCGUCACUAGCCAUGUUGCAUAGUUGAUGAUACUUAUUCAUGUGAUCAGACCAAACAUGAGUAUUCAAAGUCCUCGAAGAAGGGAACGCUGGCUUGCCAUGCAUUGUCCAUAUUUUCUCCAAAUUUUUUUGGAAAUGUGCGUACACCAAGAUGAUCCAGAACGCAAAAUAUAUUUGUGCAUGGGUAAUCCUCACUUUCCAACUUUUUACAUUUACAUGUCGCAGCAUCCAGUGUUGCUCCUGUAAACAAACAAGUCACGUGAUAUCAAACAUCCAUAGAGUUAGCAUCCACGCCUUGUGCAUCCAACUUUUUUACAUCCAACUCCUCAUUGUCCUUGCCUUCCAAGUCAUUGGGAUACUUAGCAUCCAGGUUUUUCGCAUCCAAGUCCACACCAUCCUUGCCUUCCAAGUUAUUGGGAUCCUCAGCAUCCAUGUUUUUUGCAUGCAAGUCCUCACCACCUUAGCAUCCGAGUCCUUACCAUCCUUAGCUUGCAAUUCUCUAGCAUCCCUGCCAUAUGGGACUUUGCGCAAAACUCCAAACACGACAAAAGCAUCACACGCUACCCGGUCUGCGACCUUCCAAUUUGUUCCUUCGACAAUCUGAUGCUUUACGCGUGGAAACAUCACCGUUGUAUAAAUAUAAGAGGCAGCAAUCUCCAGAGGGUGUGCAUUCAGCUUAGUGAAGGGUAUCGUAUGUGUCGCUACUGCGUCUAAUGCUGCUUCAUUCUUACGCAUUAUGGAUACACAGUGCUCAACAUGCUGCAACAAAUCAACAAGUUGCAUCUUCCUGUUCAGGCGCACAUGAAGCCUUGAGUUGAGAGACUCAUUCAUCUGAUUAAUCAUCAUGCCUAGGAAAUAUCUACCCUUUGUGUACACAGCAGCCCAUUUGUGUUGCAGCUCGUACAUCCUGUUAACCCCUGACGACCUCUUCCGCGUUGGUUUUCUUUUGAACCGAACCUAAUAAGCCUCCCAUCUUUUAUCAAACUCAUCAACAUCCCAACGACGGUAAAUGAAUUCCCUACAUCCCUCAAGUUUUUUCUUGCGGAGGUGCAUCACCAUAUUCUCCUCGAUAUGCCACUUGCACAAACGAUGAUCUGUUCCGGUCCACAUAGUAGCUAUUGCUUUAGCCAUUGCACCAUCCAUAUCGGUGAUUGCUGAAAUGGGUGGCUUCUGGGACAUUGCCUCCAAAAAUACAUGAGGAAGCCACUGGUAUGAUGCAAUUGUCUCGUCUGACACUAGACCGACCCCAAACAAAACGGUGUUGCGGUGAUGGUUCAGACCAGCAAAUGGAACAAACGGAAGCGUGUACUUGUUAGACCGAUAUGUACUGUUGAACACCACGACACCACCAAAGGCAACAUAGUCAAUCCGGGAUUGUGAAUCAGCCCAGAAUAUGUUCCUCAAAUGGACUUCACUGUCUUUUGUGUUUUUGAAAAAGAAUUCUGGGUCUGCUUUUUCCUGUGCAAUCAUAUAGGUGAGCAAAUAUCUAGCGUCACUGCUUUCUAUCUUGCGCUUCUUAUGGAUUUAAAAAUGGUUGUAUAGGUCUCGAUCUAUAAAUCCAAGCUUGUCGGGACCUCGGGCAUUCUUCUCCAUUACAUUCAUAAUCUGAUGUGUUCGAAAUCCACCGAUGGCAUACUUGAUGACAUCGGCCUUUUGUGCGUCAGUCAUUCUACGAUGAGGCGAUAAGUAGGGAGUCAUGUUAGCAGGGACAAACAGAUGGUUAUGCUUGUCCACAAAAUUCUUGACGAACCAGAGGCCACUGCUAUCUUGUAGCUCAACCUAAAAAAGAGCGGGACACCCACACCGAGAAAGAACCCUCGGUGUUUUUUUUCUUUCAGCUCUGUUAAAGUGCUUAAGGGCCCGCCAUCCUUCUUUGCAGCACUUGUAUGUCCUUCUGUAUGCAUUUUGUUUCAGACUCGGACCCCUGUACUUCAGAUCAUCCUUUCUAACACCAAACCCUUUUUUCACGCAUAGCCUACGUAGAACAUGUAGGCUUCUUCCUCAGUCCUGAAAGUCUUCUUCACAAUCUCUAAGUAUUCCAUAUACUCAUUCAGUUCUGAACCAGCAUUGCCUUUAUUAUCAAUUCUUUUACCUUGCAUGUGUACAUCAUCCAUGUCUAUGCCAUCCUUGCAUGCAUCCUCAUCAUUAUCAUCCGUGCACAUACUGUCCAUUCCUUUGGGGUCCAUGGCUACGAAAUCAUUAUCCUUAUCAUCCAUGUCUUUUUCUUUGUUUCCUCUAUCACCCAUGUCCUUGUCAUCCUUGCCUAUACCACCCAAGUUUUCGCCAUCGUUGCCUUUAUCAUCCAUGUCCUUAUGUUGCCAACGAAAACAGAUAGUCAAUGUAACGGAUGGAUAGCAUACGUAAUAAUUAUGCACUACUCUGCUUAAAUAAUUGAUUUAAGUUUUCAUAUCAAAUUCAUGUACCUAACUCAGUCCUUCAAAAUCUGUAAGUAAGUAUAAAAUAUGCCCUCACUAAAUCAAGAAAUAUUUAAUUGAUUGUACUUGUUGUAACUGAUGAUCUCCUAACUAAAUCCAAAGUCCACGAAUCCUUCAAGUCCCUUGAUAGAUCCACCCUGAUAGAUCAAUUAUCUCCAAACUCCAUUCAAAAUUGUCUCCUAACUAAAUCCAAAAUUAUGACCUAACUAAAUCCAAAUUAUCUCCUAACUAAAUCCAAAAUAACUCCAAACUCCAUACAAAAAUAAUUAUCUCCUAACUAAAUCCAAAAUAUCUCGAAACUCAAUUCAAAAGUAUCUCCUAACUAAAUCCAAAAUAACUUUCUUUGAAUCCAAAUCUGCUGACAACUUUCUCAUGCCACAUAACACUAACUAAGUACUUCAAUAUGUCCUAGCUAAAUCCGACUUACACUUCCUUUCAAUCGAAAUCUCGUCACGACUUUCUGAAACCAUAAACCCUAACUAACUCCAUCCAUAUGUCCUAGCUAAACCCGACUUACACUUCCUUUCAAUCGAAAUCUGGUCACAACUUUCUGAAACCAUAAAUCCUAACUAACUCCAUCGAUAUGUCCUAGCUAAAUCCGACUUACACUUCCUUUCAAUUGAAAUCUCAUCACAACUUUUUGAAACCAUAAACCCUAAACCUCACAUGACAUAUCCUAAACCCUAAUCAAAUCCGACCCCUAUUGGUACUAUAUGCAGAAGGGAACAGAAAAGAUUUGAGAUGGCUAGGCGCUUAUAGCGAAGAUCCGGCGUGAAAAAGUUGAUGCACGUCGAUGAGGAUGAUGUGACCUCUCGGGUCGGGGAAGGUGGGGAUUAGCGGCUCGUCAGAAGAUCUGGCGCCCUGACCCGAGGGGGUGACUUGCGAUGGAGAGGGAGGGGGACUAGGAGCAGGAGGAAGGAGUGACACGGCAAGUGCGAUCGGCGGCGAUCGAGGGCGUCCGAGGUUAGGGCUCGAGAGGAGGAGAGAGGACGAACCACUCAAACAGAAAUUCAUAAUGAUUGGUGCUAUGAUGAAGUAAUUUGUUAAUGCAUUUAAUUUAAUUGAAAAUUUUAGGACGGGAAUACCCUUGGACCUAAUUGGGCCAAAUAAAGGUAUAAAAAUUUUAGGUCGAAAAUACCCUUGGGCUCAAAAAGGUCCAGUUAAUCUCAUCUGUUAGAUCGCCUACAUAAUACAUGUGCUCUGGUGUAUUAUAAUGUAGGGGGCUGAUCUGCGCCGGCACGCCGGCCUAAACUUUUGGCCGGUCGCGCGCGAGCCGCAGGAUCCACCAACCCUGCGUCGUCCGUACCGUUGGAUCCGCGUGCAACCUUUUUUCCCCUAUGCAGCAAAAUUUCGAUGCGAUGCAACAAUUUUUUCAAUGCUUGCAACAAAAAAUAAAAUUUAUAGCAAAAUAAAUAUCUACGUGAUCGUAGCAAAAAAACGAAGCUGAUGGUACGUGGUAGCAAAAGUCAAACGCCGAUUGUAACAAAUAUUUACGUGACGUGUAUGCAACUUUUUUAGUGAACGGUUGCAGGAAAACAUGAUGCCGGUUGUAGCAGAAAUUAACACGGUUGUAGCAAAAAGUAAAAAACAUCCAUUGUAACGAAAAAUCCGACAAACUAGAGUUGCAACCAAACUAAUAUGCAGUUUUUUUACUGGAACAAAAAUGUAGUAAGAAAAUGCUUGCAGCAAAUAUGACGCUGGUUGCAACAAAUUUAAACAAAAAAUGUUGCAUCCAUUGACCAACGAAGCGCGCGGGUGGGAAAAAUGUUACAAGGGCCCGCGCGCACGAGGGACGUCUGACGCGUCGGUUCGGCCUGCGCGCGGGCGGGAAACGAUUCCCUAUAAUGUAUCGUAAAAUCUCUCUAGAAAAAUGUUAGAUCCGGAAAAAAACACAACCAUUGUCAGAUGGGGCUAAAUUAUGUUAAAAGGAUCGAAACAGUGAAAUCGUCCGCUGCUGGCGUGGCUGGCUGUCGUCUAGGGUUAGUAGCAGCCGUCAGAACAUUGAUUGAUUUGAAGUAGUAAGCCUGCGAUUGCAAUUAGUGGACACGUUGGCGUGUAAGCACGACAUGCCAUGCCAUGCAGUCAGAGGCAAGGAACUAGCUAGCUGCUACGGAGGUGCUGUAGGUGUACUGGUGUAGAGUGUGUAUAUUAAGUUCGUGCAUAUCCACUCUCAAGUCUGAAUGUUAAGGGCGCAAGGGAGAACGAGCACCCUUUGUGCUAAUCAUAGUCUGUAUGCAUGUUUUCCUUCCGUAGAGCUGUGGGCUACAGGUCCCCUUCUUCCGCGGCCACGACACCACGCAUCCGAACGAACCGAAUGAGCAGCGCACACACACACACACACAAGCGUUGUAGUAAUAACCGGCUGACAUGAAACGAGAUGACCGUGUCUCAGGCUCAGCGCCAACAAGCCAACUCACGCGGAAGCUUCAGCUCCCAUCUCCCUGGCGAUCCAUGCGGUUCGGCCUUGAACCUUGGAGGGCGCGCGACCGUUUCCGUUUCGCCCUCCGCUCAGCCCAGCCGCACUUGUUUCGCCUCCCGUUCCGCUGAUGCGGGAAGACGGUAGCAAUGGAUCUGGAGAUGCCAUCUGGUUUUGCUGGUAUACGAAAGAAAGAACCAGCUAGUACAGGGGUGCAGGGCUGGGCCAGCUUGUCAGUAAGCAUUUUGCACGGCAAACGGCCCAAACGUUUCGCCACCUCUCUAGUCUCUAGUCUCUACACUACUCCGAGGAUUCAGGCCAAAGCUGGUUUGGGCAUUAUUACACACGGCCGAGCGACAUGCAUGCAUGGGCAGUUGGCGGUAAAUGUGACCAUAAUUCCUUUUUUUUUUCCCUGUUGUUGGGGGUAUUUCAAAGCUUGCCAGGUUGUUUCAAAAUACUACCUACGUUAAGCUCUGAAUGUUUUUUCAGUUCAGUACUACCCCCUCCGUCCCAAAAUGUCAAAAUAAGUGAAUCAAAAAUAAUAUCGUUUUAUACUAACUUUAAUACAAAGUUGAUUCCCUUUUAAAGCACUUAUUUUGGGACGAAGGAAGUACAUCAUUUCUUUCGUUGUAACGGAGGAUUUUAUUUUUGGCUCACCCAUUAGUUAAGGAGAAAAGGGUUGUCUGAUUAAUUAUGAAAAACCGAACAAAAACCGUGUACUAGUUCAUUUCCACGCCAUCUAAUCGAGCUGGGAACAAAUGCCACAAACAUGACUCUAACCAACCGACGUCCAUUGUCUUCAUGCCACCGGUGAAAAAUAUGAUGUGUAUAUAUAGGGUUUGGUUUAGGUAUCGGUUGCCCGACAUGAAUUUGAAAAUCUUUAUUUUCUUUAUCAAAACUAUUGGAUUGAAAUCCAAUGGCCGACAUGCCUUCAUCCUCCUUCAGUGCGAUCAACCGUACACCCACGACUUCUUCAUGUCCCCACAACCUCUUUUUAGACGACGAUGACGUCGACAACGCGAUGAACUUCUUGUCAUGCCUCCGGCAAGGUCCUGACAAGCCCUUGUUGGCCGCCACGUCCCCAUCUCGAGCUCCAGCUCUAUACGAAUCAUAGCGAGAUUAAAAAUUUGAAGCUUAUGGUCUAAACAGUCACUCAGUGGAAAAGGUUAUCCACACCAGUUUGUUUUGGCCUAAGUUUAGAACCGUCUUCAACGGUUUGCCCAUCUGCCCUCCACCGAACCUGUCAACCCUCGAUGAUGCCGCAGUCGCGGAGCCCCUAUCCCUGUUGCAAGUCAUGGCAAGGCCUCAUCGGGGAGGAAACUCUCCACCACACGUUAAAAUCGAUCGAUCUGAAAAUUAGUUGUAUGUUAACUAAAAAUGUGGAAUAUAUAAGGUAGAAAAGCUCUACCUUCAAGUUGAACAAAAUGAUGUGUCAUUGAUCUAGUUUGCAUUAACAAGGGCAAGGACAUAUAUUCGAAUUUGUGUUGAGAAUAAUAACAAAUCCAAUCCAAACAAAUUAACAAACAUCCGGUCUGCCGGUGCCUAUUUAUUCGGCUUCCAUUAUUUUACUCUCCCACACGAAAAGGUUUGUAAAUCUCCUCUCCACUCUUAGAAAAAGAGAGCGUGAUCUCGCUUAAAUACUCCCCCACCUCCACCCCUUUCCCUCCUCACCCCAACCCAGCGCCAAGUCAAGUCCAUCUCACUCGCUCGCUCGCCAAUGUCCAUCACCACGUCCUCUUCCCCGCCCGCGAUCCUUGACAUGCCGGCCUCCGACGUUGCCAGCAAUGGCGAGCGCGCGGCGAGGCGGAGGCGUCUGC
rnacentral:lncRNA from 1 species